rnacentral:lncRNA from 1 species
AGAUGGUCAUCAACAUAGGUUUGCCACGACAUCUUGAUGAAAGGUUUGGGAAGUGGAGUGGUGAAGAAUAUAAAAGGAUGGAGGAUGAGGAAGCGGGCGAGGAGGAGAGUGGAAAUGGAGGAAGAAAUAUAGGUUGAGAAGGUAGCGUAGGGAUUAAGCAGCUGCAGUGACACACCUCUUUCUCCAACCUGGUGGCCUCUCUUCUUGUCACGUGUGGGUCAUCCUUCUUACUUUAUUUAUUUAUUUAUUUUUGUGUUAAAUUUUUUUUUCCCCCCAUUUUCCCCAUGAGACUGCUAAUAUAAAAAAUAAUCAAAAAAUAAAGGAAAAUAUUAUAAAUAUAAUUUUUUCUAAAUUUUAUGCCAAAUUGUGGACCCCUUUGAGUUUUUUUGUUUUUUUGCUUUAAUAAAAGUUGGAAGCCCAAGAAAAAAUAUCGAUAUCUUAAUGUGGACCCCGCAUUUCGGCUCAAUGCGUUUCCCACUCGAUGGCGAAACUCGAUUUUGGUUUGAAAAUGAUUUUAUUUAUUAAGAAGAGUUGACUUGGAGUCGCCACUUAUUUUUGUUUUAUUUUUAAAAGGGUAAACAAAAUAAGAAAGAAAAACCCUAAGUGUGACUCCUUACUUUGGAAAAGGUGGUCUGUGAAAAACCGGAUCGGGUUCGGGGGUCAGGUUACUUAUCGGGAAGGUACGGUAAAGACCGUAGCACCCCUCUAAGUCCCUAAAGUCGGGUCUCUACUAAUAAAAUGAAGCAAUCAUGGCAAUGGACGAGUAGAUCAAUGAGUACCCAGAAUAAAUCAUGCACGCGUGAGAAUCAAAAUAUGCUUGGACAAUUACCAGAGUGAAAGUAGGUGCGUACCUGGGCGACGAGCCACCAUGCGCUAUCAAGAGAGAGGUUAGUGCACAAUUAAGAAAUAAUAGCAUGCAUGUCGGAGAGCAGGAUAAAUAAAUCGCGCGUGACAAACAGAACAAUCAAUCAUAAAAUCACGUAUGUGGGGCCCCCACCAAAGCCCGAUUGAUCUUGCACGAAUUAAUCUCACAAAUUCCAUUNNNNNNNNNNNNNNNNNNNNNNNNNNNNNNNNNNNNNNNNNNNNNNNNNNNNNNNNNNNNNNNNNNNNNNNNNNNNNNNNNNNNNNNNNNNNNNNNNNNNNNNNNNNNNNNNNNNNNNNNNNNNNNNNNNNNNNNNNNNNNNNNNNNNNNNNNNNNNNNNNNNNNNNNNNNNNNNNNNNNNNNNNNNNNNNNNNNNNNNNNNNNNNNNNNNNNNNNNNNNNNNNNNNNNNNNNNNNNNNNNNNNNNNNNNNNNNNNNNNNNNNNNNNNNNNNNNNNNNNNNNNNNNNNNNNNNNNNNNNNNNNNNNNNNNNNNNNNNNNNNNNNNNNNNNNNNNNNNNNNNNNNNNNNNNNNNNNNNNNNNNNNNNNNNNNNNNNNNNNNNNNNNNNNNNNNNNNNNNNNNNNNNNNNNNNNNNNNNNNNNNNNNNNNNNNNNNNNNNNNNNNNNNNNNNNNNNNNNNNNNNNNNNNNNNNNNNNNNNNNNNNNNNNNNNNNNNNNNNNNNNNNNNNNNNNNNNNNNNNNNNNNNNNNNNNNNNNNNNNNNNNNNNNNNNNNNNNNNNNNNNNNNNNNNNNNNNNNNNNNNNNNNNNNNNNNNNNNNNNNNNNNNNNNNNNNNNNNNNNNNNNNNNNNNNNNNNNNNNNNNNNNNNNNNNNNNNNNNNNNNNNNNNNNNNNNNNNNNNNNNNNNNNNNNNNNNNNNNNNNNNNNNNNNNNNNNNNNNNNNNNNNNNNNNNNNNNNNNNNNNNNNNNNNNNNNNNNNNNNNNNNNNNNNNNNNNNNNNNNNNNNNNNNNNNNNNNNNNNNNNNNNNNNNNNNNNNNNNNNNNNNNNNNNNNNNNNNNNNNNNNNNNNNNNNNNNNNNNNNNNNNNNNNNNNNNNNNNNNNNNNNNNNNNNNNNNNNNNNNNNNNNNNNNNNNNNNNNNNNNNNNNNNNNNNNNNNNNNNNNNNNNNNNNNNNNNNNNNNNNNNNNNNNNNNNNNNNNNNNNNNNNNNNNNNNNNNNNNNNNNNNNNNNNNNNNNNNNNNNNNNNNNNNNNNNNNNNNNNNNNNNNNNNNNNNNNNNNNNNNNNNNNNNNNNNNNNNNNNNNNNNNNNNNNNNNNNNNNNNNNNNNNNNNNNNNNNNNNNNNNNNNNNNNNNNNNNNNNNNNNNNNNNNNNNNNNNNNNNNNNNNNNNNNNNNNNNNNNNNNNNNNNNNNNNNNNNNNNNNNNNNNNNNNNNNNNNNNNNNNNNNNNNNNNNNNNNNNNNNNNNNNNNNNNNNNNNNNNNNNNNNNNNNNNNNNNNNNNNNNNNNNNNNNNNNNNNNNNNNNNNNNNNNNNNNNNNNNNNNNNNNNNNNNNNNNNNNNNNNNNNNNNNNNNNNNNNNNNNNNNNNNNNNNNNNNNNNNNNNNNNNNNNNNNNNNNNNNNNNNNNNNNNNNNNNNNNNNNNNNNNNNNNNNNNNNNNNNNNNNNNNNNNNNNNNNNNNNNNNNNNNNNNNNNNNNNNNNNNNNNNNNNNNNNNNNNNNNNNNNNNNNNNNNNNNNNNNNNNNNNNNNNNNNNNNNNNNNNNNNNNNNNNNNNNNNNNNNNNNNNNNNNNNNNNNNNNNNNNNNNNNNNNNNNNNNNNNNNNNNNNNNNNNNNNNNNNNNNNNNNNNNNNNNNNNNNNNNNNNNNNNNNNNNNNNNNNNNNNNNNNNNNNNNNNNNNNNNNNNNNNNNNNNNNNNNNNNNNNNNNNNNNNNNNNNNNNNNNNNNNNNNNNNNNNNNNNNNNNNNNNNNNNNNNNNNNNNNNNNNNNNNNNNNNNNNNNNNNNNNNNNNNNNNNNNNNNNNNNNNNNNNNNNNNNNNNNNNNNNNNNNNNNNNNNNNNNNNNNNNNNNNNNNNNNNNNNNNNNNNNNNNNNNNNNNNNNNNNNNNNNNNNNNNNNNNNNNNNNNNNNNNNNNNNNNNNNNNNNNNNNNNNNNNNNNNNNNNNNNNNNNNNNNNNNNNNNNNNNNNNNNNNNNNNNNNNNNNNNNNNNNNNNNNNNNNNNNNNNNNNNNNNNNNNNNNNNNNNNNNNNNNNNNNNNNNNNNNNNNNNNNNNNNNNNNNNNNNNNNNNNNNNNNNNNNNNNNNNNNNNNNNNNNNNNNNNNAAGCAUGGCAUAGUAAGAUAACAACCUCAAAAACAUGAGUUAGGAUCACAUCUUCAACAGACAAUCGUGGCGUUCAUUAUGCACCCCAAGCAAACGAAUAUCCAAAUAUCAACAAGAGAUACGGAAGAGAGGUACAGCUAAAAACAUCAAUAAGUCUGCAGUAACCAUACCUGAGGAAGUUUUUUUCUCCAGCAAAAACCAACAGGACUCCAAGCUUCUUCCUCUAACUCCCAGAACCUCACCUGGACCCCUCUCCACAGUAGCCUAGAAAAAACCGAACCCCUCUUCAACCUCUCUUCUUGCUUUUAAACCUCACCUCCUCCUGUCUUCCUCAGCAAGCCACCGAAAUAUUUCCUCUGUCCCCCAGCAGCCCCAGCUCUUCUGUCCCCUUUGGGCUGCUCAAGAACAGCUCACCCAUCAUCAUCUUUGGCUGCCAGCCUCCUUUUGCUGCCCGAGAAACGGCUCCUGACCAUCAUGUCGAGCGGCUCCGGAAGAAAAGUGGGAAAAGGAAAAGAAAAAAUAAAUCAAAAUAAAAAAAUUUCUGCCUCCGGGGGGGGGGGGGGGGGGGGGGGUCUACAAAUAUGCCCCUCUUUGAUAGAGUUCACGAGUGUAAGGAACGUGAACACUAGAGUGAAAAAGAAGUGUGAAAAGCGAGUGAAAUGAAGUGAACUCUAUCGAAGAACAAAGAAAGACCCCCGGACCUAAAAGGUACAAGUAGAACACAAACUCACUCAAGGCUUUAAAAUUCUAAGAGGCUCAAGGCACCUCUAAAGCUGCAUCGAGGACCCAGACUCCCUCUAAGAUGUCUCUAAAAGUGACCCAAGAGAUCAACGUCAAAGAUGAGUAACGGUCGAACCACCCUGGAGUACGAGCAAGAAUGCGCCCAAAGGGGACUACCCUAUGUGGACUACGAGAUGAAUAGGCGAUAAGCACAAGAUAACGGAGUGAGGAAAAACCGAGGGACAAUAUAAAACCAUGAAGGCAAGAUGCGCCAAGCCAGUGGAUAUGAACGCCAGGAGUUGUGACUCUGGAUGACAAGGCCGACUCUAAACACCAAACUAGGAAACAACGGCUCUGGAAGCCAACCAAAACUAACUCUAAAUGCUAAACUGAGAAUAACAGUUCUGGAAGCAAACCAAAAACUAACUCUAAAAACUAAACUAGAAAACAACAGCUCUGGAAGCCAACCAAAAACUAACUCUAAAUGCUAAACUGAGAAUAACAGUUCUGGAAGCAAACCAAAAACUAACUCUAAAAACUAAACUAGAAAACAACAGCUCUGGAAGCCAACCAAAAACUAACUCUAAAUGCUAAACUGAGAAUAACAGUUCUGGAAGCAAACCAAAAACUAACUCCAAAAACUAAACUAGAAAACAACAGCUCUGGAAGCCUAAAUAGGACGAUAGUAAUGGCUUUGGAAGCCUAAAAGAGAUGACGGUAAUGACUCUGGAAGCCUAAACAAGAUGACAGUAAUGACUCUGGAAGCCUAAACAAGAUGAUGAUAAUGACUCUGGAAGCCUAAACAAGAUGAUAGCAAUGGCUCAUGGAAGCCUAAACAAGAUGACAGUGGUGGCUUUGGAAGCCUAAACAAAGAUGAUGAUAAUGACUCUGGAAGCCUAAACAAGAUGAUAGUAAUGACUCUGGAAGCCUAAGCAAGAUGAUGAUAAUGACUCUGAAAGCCUAAACAAGAUGAUAGCAAUGGCUCUGGAAGCCUAAACAAGAUGACGGUGGUGGAUCUGGACGUCGAAACUAGAAAGUGAUGAUGAUAACUCUGAACGUCAAACUGAGAAGUGAUAACGACUCUGAACGCCGAAACCGAGGAUGCGACUUUGAAUGUCGAUCUGAAAACCGAUGAUGGCUCUGAACGCCGAAACUAAGAAGUGAUGAUGAUGACUCUGAACGUCAAACUGAGAAGUGAUAACGACUCUGAACGCCGAAACCGAGGAUGCGACUCUGAAUGCCGAUCUGAAAAUCGAUGAUAGCUCUGAACGCCGAAAUUGAGAAGUNNNNNNNNNNNNNNNNNNNNNNNNNNNNNNNNNNNNNNNNNNNNNNNNNNNNNNNNNNNNNNNNNNNNNNNNNNNNNNNNNNNNNNNNNNNNNNNNNNNNAUAACGACUCUGAACGCCGAAACCGAGGAUGCGACUUUGAAUGUCGAUCUGAAAACCGAUGAUGGCUCUGAACGCCGAAACUAAGAAGUGAUGAUGAUGACUCUGAACGUCAAACUGAGAAGUGAUAACGACUCUGAACGCCGAAACCGAGGAUGCGACUCUGAAUGCCGAUCUGAAAAUCGAUGAUAGCUCUGAACGCCGAAAUUGAGAAGUGAUGAUGAUGACUCUGAACGUCAAACUGAGAAGUGAUAACGACUCUGAACGCCGAAACCGAGGAGGGGACUCUGAAUGUCGAUCUGAAAACCGAUGAUGGCUCUGAACGCCGAAACUAAGAGAAGUAGUGAUGAUGACUCUGAACGUCAAACUGAGAAGUGAUGACGACUCUGAAUGCCGAAACCGAGGAGGGGACUCUGAAUGUCGAUCUGAAAACCAAUGAUGGCUCUGAACGCCGAAACUAAGAAGUGAUGAUGAUGACUCUGAACGUCAAACUGAGAAGUGAUAACGACUCUGAACGCCGAAACCGAGGAUGCGACUCUGAAUGUCGAUCUGAAAACCGAUGAUAGCUCUGAACGCCGAAACUGAGAAGUGAUGAUGAUGACUCUGAACGUCAAACUGAGAAGUGAUAACGACUCUGAACGCCGAAACCGAGGAGGGGACUCUGAAUGUCGAUCUGAAAAUCGAUGAUAGCUCUGAACGCCGAAACUGAGAAGUGAUGAUGAUGACUCUGAACGUCAAACUGAGAAGUGAUAACGACUCUGAAUGCCGAAACCGAGGAAGGGACUCUGAAUGUCGAUCUGAAAACCGAUGAUGGCUCUGAACGCCGAAACUAAGAAGUGAUGAUGAUGACUCUGAACGUCAAACUGAGAAAAACAAUAAUAGCUCUGGAAGCCAAAUCAAAAGGCUAACUCUAAACACUAAACUAUAAGGCCCAUAGGUGAAGACCUACGGUGGUGAUGAAUCUGAAACAAAGGGAGAUGCCCUAAGCGAACUGACGGUAGGGGAAUGCCCUAAACAAACUGAAAAUAGGGGGAUGCCCUAAACGUAAAUAACAGUAGGGAGAUGCCCUAAACAAAAUGACAGUGGGGGGAUGCCCCAAACGAAAUGACAAUGGGGGAAUGCCCCAAACGUAAAAGACAGUGGGGGGAUGCCCCAAACGAAAUGACAGUGGAGGGAUGCCCCAAACGGAAAUGACAGUGGGGGGAUGCCCCAAACGAAAAAUGACAGUGGGGGAAUGCCCCAAACGAAAUGACAAUGGGGGAAUGCCCCAAACGAAAUGACAAUGGGGGGAUGCCCCAAACGUAAAAUGACAGUGGGGGAAUGCCCCAAACGAAAAAUGACAGUGGGGGGAUGCCCCAAACGUAAAGACAGUGGCAACAGGGGGAUGCCCUAUGAAGAUCAAGAAGUAGAUCAAGUAGUGAGGGAAUCUGCAAAUGAUCCGAUGAACUCAGGGGUGGGGGUAUGCCCCAGCGUGGCAUGUCGCUGUAAAUCUCAAUCCGCUGGAAAUGGUUGAAAGGGAUUCUACGAGUCUCGGACGAUGCUCCGCCGAGAGCUCAUAUCGAUGAAAAGCUCAGGAAUAACGGUCAGUGAAGCGAAUACAAUAUAUCUCGAUCGAGUGAUGGGAACUGUAACGGAUAUGUGAGGGAACGAUCGCCUCCAGGGCUAAAUGAAGGCAAUAUGCCCCAGUAUGACAUCAGAUGUACCCGAUCUGUCCCGAUGACCCGAGAAUAACACCAAUGGGACGCGUAACAGAUCUGAUAUGUACCCCUCUGAAAUGAUGACGCGGGAAAUCUAGGCACCAGAGACAACUCCAUCCAGGAAUCACGACUACACAAAAGGGUAUGAAUCUGGCUGAAUGACUCAAGAGAGGCUCCUCGGAGUGUCCGGACAAAAUGAAGUCGAACAUCGACCUGGCGCGUAUCCCAUAACCGUGGAUGAUCAUGUAAACCAGUGGGGAUCUAUAAAUCUCGAUCAAGAUGGGGAAUAUGCCCCAGUGUGGCGUCGAGAAUGUAACAUGUCGAAAAAUCAGAUGAGCUCAGGUCAUCCAUGCCUGGCUAGAUGGCUCUCGAUAGGCUCCACUAAGGAAUCAUCGUGAGGAUAACGAGUAUAUCACCAUCUUCGCAUACAUCUCGCCAAAUAAGGAUAAGCACGCGACUCCCUCAUGAUCUGUAAAUCUCAUCCGAAUUCGAAAUAUGCCCCUGUAUGGCAUCGAAAUGUAGGAUAGGUCGGAGAUCAGAUAGCAUGGAAUCAUCUAUCCUCGAACCUGUGACCUCUGCGAAGAUCCAUAGAGAUCCUCCGAAACGGAAUAUGCCCCAGUAUGGCAUCAGGUGUGCGACAGGUCCGAAGAACAAAUGUCAUGAAAUCAUCCAUCAUCGCACAUGUGACCUCCCGGAAAGUCCGUAAAUCUCAUCCGAAAAGGAAAAUAUGCCCCAGUAUGGCAUCGAAAUGUAUGAUAGGUCGGAGAUCAGGUAGAAUGGAAUCAUCUAUCCUCGAACAUGUGACCUCUGCGAAGAUCCAUAAAGAUCCUCCGAAACGGAAUAUGCCCCAGUAUGGCAUCAGGUGCGUGACAGGUCCGAAGAACAAAUGUCGUGAAAACAUCCAUCAUCGCACACGUGACCUCUAUGAAAGUCCGUAAAUCUCGUCCGAAACGGAAAAUAUGCCCCAGUAUGGGCAUCGGAUGCACGACAGGUCAGAAAUCAAGCGACAAGAAAUCAUCUAUCAUCGAACAUGUAACAAUGGUCGUCCGAAUCCAUAACUGAAUCAUGUGCACAUGUCCAAAAUGUACCUCCCAGAUGGAGAGGCAUGAUGGAAUCCAAGUGUCGAGAAGUGCGGACCCGGCUGGGUGGAUCUUAGAGACUCCGUAAGGUAACGAUCAUGUCCACGUCUCGAUGAGCAUCCAGUAAGUGAUGAUCGCGCAAGUCCGUGAGGAUCCAUGAACCUCCAAAUGAAAUGGGAUAUGCCCCAGUGUGGUACCAGAGGUAUGAUAGGUCAAAAAUCAGGUGACACCAAAUCAAUCAUCAUCAAACUCACGAUCCUGGUAAUCCGAACACAACUGAGUCAGACCUACACAUCAAAGAGGCGACUCCCAGAAGAAGAAGCAUGACAAUAUCUAAAUAUCAACCAGAUCUCAAUCACCUGUCCAAGUAGAGGCUGCUGAAGACGACAUCUGAUCUCAUGGCCUCAGGGUGGUCUUAAGACACGGGACGUAACGUAGGCCAAGGUGAUAGGGUGAUAGAAAUAAAGGAAAACUAGGCUCAAAUACCCGAUGAUCAAAACUCAUGCCCUCAUAUAUGAAAUGCAACAUGUAUAGUGAACCUCAUGAGCCAUGGACCUGAGGAUGCCUAAUGUGAAUAUGAUAUCGAUAAGGAGACAAAUAGGGCAAAAUGAACUAAUAGUGACAUGUGUAAUGAUGAUGCGGAGUAUCGAACCCGAGAUGGGUCACUGUAAGAAGAGAAAAAGAUGUGAAGGGGAUGAGAUGAAUCACAAGCAACGAUAAAAACGACAGCGAAACAAUGGAUAUGUGAAGAAAUGUAGUGAUCGAAUCAGAUCAAACAUGAAGUGAAGUCACAUCAAUAAUGAAUGUAAUGAUGGAAAGGACAAUGACUCGGAGUCCUUAGGAGAAGGUCACUCAUCUCUCUCACAAAUAGAUAUGACGAAGCAAUACAAAUAACAUGGGAUCUCAGAGAGCUCACAUACGAACUCCCAAUAACGAACAUACUCGAUAAAAAUGACCCCCAAACAUCAAUAUACAUACCCAAUGAUCGAGAACACUAUGUACAUACACACAUGUGCUAAUAAUAAUAAUAAUAAUAAUAAUAAUUUUCUUUUUUCUUUUUCUUUUUUUUUUUUUUUUUUUUUUUUUUUUUUUUUUUUUACAUAUAUACAAAUACGCGUACCCUGAACGUGAGCAAAUGAACCCCAAAGAUGAUAUCAAUAACAAAUGAACACACCCCCAAGUGCUAAGGUAACCAACAAACUCUCUCUAACAAGAUGACCUUCUCAAACUAAAGAUCUCUAAACCAAUGUCCGUGAGAUAGAUGGUGGAAAUGAUGUGACUAUCCUCCAUGUAAUGAACUGAGGGGGCUCACCACCCAGGGUGAAGAGAAAUAUGAAACAAACGAAUAAUAGAUAGGAUAAGGAAGAAGAGAUGAAUACCAUAACCAACAAGAUGAGAUGAAAAUGCAGAGGUGUAGUGAUAGGAAAAGAUAAUGAGAAAAACAUGCCUCUAGGUCCAAAGCUCAUGAAACUACCAAACAAUGCAUGCAUACAUUAAAGGGCCCCUAUCCCGGUGUGAAAAUGUGAGCAAGGCGAUAAGAAAGAAAGGCUAUAAUGCGCAUGCGAGGCUCAAUGGGCUAGCAACGGACUAUGUAUCACAAAGGAAUAACAAGGUAAUAGCUAACCGAAAUGACGGCCACCCAUCCUGCGAUCAUGGUCUCAAACAUAGUACCUCUUUAGCUGAUCCACAUUGGUUGGCUCUAAGAAUCGGUUUCCAUCUAAAUCCAUCAACCAUGCAGCGCCCUCUGGGGUCAACUCCCUGAUGAAAUAAGGUCCGCUCCAGUUGGGUCUGAACUUCCCUCUAGGAUCUCUGAUCAAUCCCCUAAUGACUUUCAGAACUAAGUCACCUAUCUGUAAUGGUCUGGGCUUGACCCGCUUUUUGAAAGCGCGGGCCAUCUUCCUCUGAUACGCACGAACAUGGUCUGCUGCUCUCAAUCUCCUCUCAUCUAGGAGAUUGAGCUGAUCAAAUCAAGCCUGAGCCCAAUCUGCCUCGGGAAUCUGCUGCUCUAGUGCUACUCUCAACGAACCCAUCUCAAUCUCAACGGGUAGCAUCGUCUCCAUGCCAUAUACCAAGGAGUAGGGUGUGGCGCCUGUAGAGGUGCGAAAAGAAGUCCGAUAAGCCCACAAUGCAAAUGGGAGCUUCUCUGACCAAUCCCGAGAAGUCUCGACCAUCCUCCGUAAUAUCCUCUUGAUAUUCUUAUUCGCGGCCUCUACUGCCCCGUUCGUCUGCGGCCUGUACGCAGACGAUCUAUGAUGCCGGAUGCCGUAUCUCUGUACUAAGGUGUCAACCUCUGCUCUGAAAUGUACUCCUCUGUCUGAAAUCAACUCAUGAGGGACUCCAUAGCGACAGAUAAUGUGUGAUCUGAUGAAACUAGCAACUCCAGACGAUGUCAAUCUCGCAUACAAAGCGGCCUCUACCCACUUGGUGAAGUAAUCGAUGGCGACCAGGAUGAACUCAUGACCACUGGAAGAUUUCGGUGAAAUCUUCCCGAUGAUAUCAAUACCCCAGACGGAAAAUGGCCAUGGUGAAGUCAGUGCGUGCAGCUCGGAGGGCGGCACGUGAAUGAGAUCUCCGUGUAUCUGACACUCGGGACACCUCUGAACAAACUGGCAGCAAUCUGUCUCCAUGGUCAACCAGAAGUAUCCUGUCCUCAUGAUCUUACGAGCCAACAUAUGUCCUCCCAUAUGUGGUCCGCAGACUCCCGCAUGAACCUCUCUCAUCACCCGAUCGGCAGAGGUGCGGUCUAAACAUAAUAGUAGCAUCCCAUCAGGCGAUCGUCUAUACAAUGUCUCGCCACAGAUGACGAAUCGGGUAGCCAACUGUCUCAAUGCUCUCUUAUCCUUGGCCGUGGCAGCCUCAGGAUAUACGCCGAGUCUCAAAAAGUGAUAUAUGUCGUGAUACCAUGGCAAACCAUCAUCUGGCUCUACAUCAUCGAUCAAGCAACAGUAAGCAGGAGCAGAUCUCGACUCGAUCAACAAAGGUCGAACAGUGGCAUCAACGGGAAUAUCGAUCAUGGAAGCUAGAGUAGCUAAAGCAUCAGCAAACUGGUUCUGCGCUCUAGGCAGAUGUGUAUAUCUCAAAUCCUCAAAUCUCGCAACCAGUAGCUCCAAAUACGCGUGGUAAGGCCUAAGCUUCACAUCUCUAGUCUUCCACUCGCCCUGAAUCUGUCUCAAUACCAGAUUGGAGUCACCAAACACCUCCAUCUAUCUAAUCCCAAGCUCGAGAGCUGUCUCUAACCCCAAGAUACAAGCCUCAUACUCAACAAUGUUGUUCGUGGCCGGAUGCCGAUCCGAGAAUGCCAAACGAACAGAUCUGGGAAUGUGAUCACCAUGAGGGGAUAUCAACAAAACACCUAUCCCGUAUCCAGAAUGGUUGGCUGCACCAUCAAAGUACAUGCGCCAACCCGACAGACUAGUCGCAGCUGUGACAUCCUCGUCUGGGAAAUCAUCGUCAAUAGCUCUGGCAUCAGAAACUGGUAAUGAGGCUAAGUGAUCUACGACAAUGCUCCCUCUGAUGGACUUCUGAGUGACAUAAUGAAUGUCGAACUCAGUCAGAAGUACCAGCCAUCUCAUGAGGCGACCAACUAGGGCGGGUCUGUCAAACAGAUAUCUCAGAGGAUCUAGACGGGAUAUCAACUGCACUGAAUACUCGGUCAUGUAAUGUCUCAAUCGGCGAGUGGCCCAAACCAAUGCCAAACAAUAACGCUCAAUCAUGACAUAUCUCGUCUCGUAGUCUAACAUCCUCUUACUCAGAUAAUAAAUGGCUCGAUCCUUGCCCGAAUCAUCGAGCUGAGCUAACAUGCAUCCCAAAGCCACGUCUGAGACAGACAAGUAUAGGAGUAGAGGACGGCCUGGUGUAGGCGGAGCCAAAACUGGAGGCGACAACAAGUACUCUCGGAUCCUCUCAAAUGCGCGCUGACACUGAUCAUCCCAAACAGUAGGUUGACUCUUCCUCAAGAGUCGGAAAAUGGGCUCACAAAUGUCUGUCAAUCUGGCAAUGAAUCUGCUGAUGUACUGAAGUCUGCCCAGGAAGCCUCUGACCUCUCUCUCUGUCUUUGGUGCAGGCAUGUCAAGAAUGGCUCUAAUCUUGUCCGGAUCUACCUCUACGCCUCGCUCACUGACUAUGUAUCCCAAGAGUUUCCCAGAAGUCACUCCAAAAGUGCACUUCUUGGGAUUCAGUCUCAAUCUGAACUGUCGGAUCCUCUCAAAGAACCUCUCCAAGGCUGCUAAGUGAUCUGAUCUACCUCGGGAUUUCACUAUCAUGUCGUCUACAUAAACCUCGACAUCCCGAUGCAUCAUGUCAUGGAAGAGGGUGGUCGCUGCUCUCUGAUAUGUGGCUCCUGCGUUCUUCAAUCCGAAUGGCAUGACUCUAUAGCAAUAAGUACCCCACUCGGUAAUGAAGGACGUCUUCUCCAUGUCCUCUGGAGCCAUCAAGAUCUGACUGUACCCGGAAAAUCCGUCCAUAAAGGACAACAUCGAGUGACCUGCUGUACUGUCAACUAGCAUGUCUAUAUGCGGAAGAGGAAAAUCAUCCUUAGGACUGGCCUUGUUGAGAUCUCGGAAAUCAACACAGACUCUCACUUUGCCGUCCUUUUUGGGAACAGGGACGACAUUGGCCAGCCACUCCGGGUACUCGACCACUGAUAGAAACCCCACACUGAGUUGCUUCUGAAUCUCCUCUUUCACCUGCAAGCUCCAACGAGGGUGCAAUCGUCUCAACUUCUGCUUAACCGGUCUGGCAUGGGGCAGAAGUGGCAAACGAUGUUGGACGAUAGAUGGAUCAAGGCCCGGCAUGUCCUCAUAGGACCAUGCAAAGACGUCCAAAUAUGCUCUGAGCAACUGGAUAAGGCUGUCCCUCUCAUCUGUAGAUAGAUCUGACCCGAUCCUCAACUCCCUAGGCUGAUCUGCAGUGCCAAAAUCAACAAUCCCUGUGUCUCCUACGGCCGGUGAAACCCUCUGAUCAACGGGAUCCGAAUCGGAAACAGAAGAUGAGUCAUCAUCUGAGUCAUGCUGUGCGAUCUCAUCAUCAAUAUCAAAAAUCUGUGAUGUGGGUGAAGAUGGUGCAGAUAAAUCAAUAUCACAAGAGACAGGCAGAUACUCAAAAAUGCUCAAAUCCAUAGAUGAAACAUCGGAAACAAUGCCAGAACGGGAGACGAACCCCGACAGAACGUCAAAUGAAAGAGGUGGGUCCACAAAGUCGGACGCUCCCUCAACAAUGCCAACAUGGCUAUCAGUCAAAUCAUCAAAAGGUAUAAGGUCCUCAACAGACUCCAGAGCAGGGGCAGUCAGGCUCUCCUCGGCAAGCUCAAUGAUGAGUACCCCGAAAAGAUCAAAUGAUGAAGCAAGUCUAGGCUGAAUAGUCUCCUCAAUCUGGCUCAGGCUCAGGGCGAGCAUCUCGUCGAUGUACUCGUCAUGUGGGGCAGCUCCGUCCACUACGUCCCCGACCUCAGCAAGGGUCCCAUGCUCAUCGAUCUCAUCAGGAAAACAAAGCGUCAUAAGGCUCGUGCGAUCCGGAGAAGAAGGAGCAAUCAACAUAGAAGUCGAAGGACCAGGGGCUCCAUCUCUCAAUCGUAACUGCUGGACAAGGCGCUGAAGCUCGGCCUCCUGGGUGGUGCUAAGUCCUCCGACGAUCCCAUCAGAUGGUGCGUGCGGCUCCGAUGCCUUCACAAAGUAAUCUGCUAAGCUCCUGGUGUAUGGGCGAAGAGGAUAGUAGAAGGGUGUGUGGGUCAGUCGAGCCCUCACUCUCUCCUUGCGCAAACGCGCCAUGUAGAGAUAAUCGGCCUCAGUGGGGAUGAACCCUAGUCCGAACGGUACGUCGUGAUCAGGGAUGGCUAUGAACUCGCUCGGUCCAUGCUGACGUCGACCCAACCCCAUGCCGGGUAGAUAGGACAUGCUCCGCAUAAUAUCGAGCACCACUGUGCUCCCAUGCUGGUCAAAGGACAUGGCCACAAAAUCCCGACAGAAAUCCUCUAUCUCCAUGGUCUGCACCUCAUCGAAGGUGAAUCCAGUCAGAAAAAGAUCGUCAUCAGUGUGACUAAUCUCGAGCACAGGCUCGGCAGCAAUGAACAUGUCUCCCACAGACUGCACCACGACGAUCUGACCAUCGUGAAUAAACUUCACCUUCUGAUGAAGGGAAGAAGGAAUGGCCCCUGCUCGGUGGAUCCAUGGUCGGCCCAAAAGCAGGUUAAAGGAUGUAGGAAUCCUCAAAACCUGGAAUAUAGCGACAAAAGUGGCCGGACCGAUCAGCAACUCGAUCUCCAAUGUACCCAUGACCUCUCUACGGGUGCUGUCAUAAGCUCGGACGGUCUGAGUGGAGGGACCAAAAUCAGAAGGAGCGUAUCCAAGGGCGAUGGCGGUGGCCAAAGGACAUACGUUCAGGGCCGAGCCAUUGUCCAAAAGGACAGAUGGGACUCGGCGUCCUGAACAACCAACAGAUAUGUAGAGUGGGCGAGUGUGGUCUGAGCCCCCCGGUGGCAAGUCAUCAUCGGAAAAGACAAUACAAGUGGCUCUGCCAGCCGUCAUCAUAUGAAUGAGUCCCUCGGGAGUGGUCGUGGUAUCAACUCUGAUCUGGCUCAAAGCUCGAGUCAGUGCAUCCCGAUGAGUACUGGAAGACGCUAAAAGGCUCCAGAUAGAAAUACGAGCCUGAGUGCUCUGCAACUGCCUCAAAAUCUCGUCAUCCUCUGCUCUGACCUCCUCCUGGGAAGCAGAUGUACCCUCAACUGGCCUAGCUGCCGCGGGAGGUGGCUGUCGCAUCACUCUACCCCCUCGGAGGAUGUACUGGAUAUCCGGAGUCUGAGAAAUAUCAACAUGCGGAGCUCGAACCUCCUCAACAUCUGGGAUCAGAAUGUACGGCGCCUGAACGCUAUAGCGUGUGAAUGUCAAAGGCUCGGAAGUGGUAGUCUGUACAGACGCUGCCUCAUGAAAUAAUCGGAAUGGAGCAGGCAUCUGUGGCUCUAGAGUCACCCCACUCGUCUCAUAAAUCCCAGCUGGCAUGAUAGGCUCUGGGUCUGGAUCAUCCCAACUCAACAUAUGGACAUGAUCAUCAGUCNNNNNNNNNNNNNNNNNNNNNNNNNNNNNNNNNNNNNNNNNNNNNNNNNNNNNNNNNNNNNNNNNNNNNNNNNNNNNNNNNNNNNNNNNNNNNNNNNNNNNNNNNNNNNNNNNNNNNNNNNNNNNNNNNNNNNNNNNNNNNNNNNNNNNNNNNNNNNNNNNNNNNNNNNNNNNNNNNNNNNNNNNNNNNNNNNNNNNNNNNNNNNNNNNNNNNNNNNNNNNNNNNNNNNNNNNNNNNNNNNNNNNNNNNNNNNNNNNNNNNNNNNNNNNNNNNNNNNNNNNNNNNNNNNNNNNNNNNNNNNNNNNNNNNNNNNNNNNNNNNNNNNNNNNNNNNNNNNNNNNNNNNNNNNNNNNNNNNNNNNNNNNNNNNNNNNNNNNNNNNNNNNNNNNNNNNNNNNNNNNNNNNNNNNNNNNNNNNNNNNNNNNNNNNNNNNNNNNNNNNNNNNNNNNNNNNNNNNNNNNNNNNNNNNNNNNNNNNNNNNNNNNNNNNNNNNNNNNNNNNNNNNNNNNNNNNNNNNNNNNNNNNNNNNNNNNNNNNNNNNNNNNNNNNNNNNNNNNNNNNNNNNNNNNNNNNNNNNNNNNNNNNNNNNNNNNNNNNNNNNNNNNNNNNNNNNNNNNNNNNNNNNNNNNNNNNNNNNNNNNNNNNNNNNNNNNNNNNNNNNNNNNNNNNNNNNNNNNNNNNNNNNNNNNNNNNNNNNNNNNNNNNNNNNNNNNNNNNNNNNNNNNNNNNNNNNNNNNNNNNNNNNNNNNNNNNNNNNNNNNNNNNNNNNNNNNNNNNNNNNNNNNNNNNNNNNNNNNNNNNNNNNNNNNNNNNNNNNNNNNNNNNNNNNNNNNNNNNNNNNNNNNNNNNNNNNNNNNNNNNNNNNNNNNNNNNNNNNNNNNNNNNNNNNNNNNNNNNNNNNNNNNNNNNNNNNNNNNNNNNNNNNNNNNNNNNNNNNNNNNNNNNNNNNNNNNNNNNNNNNNNNNNNNNNNNNNNNNNNNNNNNNNNNNNNNNNNNNNNNNNNNNNNNNNNNNNNNNNNNNNNNNNNNNNNNNNNNNNNNNNNNNNNNNNNNNNNNNNNNNNNNNNNNNNNNNNNNNNNNNNNNNNNNNNNNNNNNNNNNNNNNNNNNNNNNNNNNNNNNNNNNNNNNNNNNNNNNNNNNNNNNNNNNNNNNNNNNNNNNNNNNNNNNNNNNNNNNNNNNNNNNNNNNNNNNNNNNNNNNNNNNNNNNNNNNNNNNNNNNNNNNNNNNNNNNNNNNNNNNNNNNNNNNNNNNNNNNNNNNNNNNNNNNNNNNNNNNNNNNNNNNNNNNNNNNNNNNNNNNNNNNNNNNNNNNNNNNNNNNNNNNNNNNNNNNNNNNNNNNNNNNNNNNNNNNNNNNNNNNNNNNNNNNNNNNNNNNNNNNNNNNNNNNNNNNNNNNNNNNNNNNNNNNNNNNNNNNNNNNNNNNNNNNNNNNNNNNNNNNNNNNNNNNNNNNNNNNNNNNNNNNNNNNNNNNNNNNNNNNNNNNNNNNNNNNNNNNNNNNNNNNNNNNNNNNNNNNNNNNNNNNNNNNNNNNNNNNNNNNNNNNNNNNNNNNNNNNNNNNNNNNNNNNNNNNNNNNNNNNNNNNNNNNNNNNNNNNNNNNNNNNNNNNNNNNNNNNNNNNNNNNNNNNNNNNNNNNNNNNNNNNNNNNNNNNNNNNNNNNNNNNNNNNNNNNNNNNNNNNNNNNNNNNNNNNNNNNNNNNNNNNNNNNNNNNNNNNNNNNNNNNNNNNNNNNNNNNNNNNNNNNNNNNNNNNNNNNNNNNNNNNNNNNNNNNNNNNNNNNNNNNNNNNNNNNNNNNNNNNNNNNNNNNNNNNNNNNNNNNNNNNNNNNNNNNNNNNNNNNNNNNNNNNNNNNNNNNNNNNNNNNNNNNNNNNNNNNNNNNNNNNNNNNNNNNNNNNNNNNNNNNNNNNNNNNNNNNNNNNNNNNNNNNNNNNNNNNNNNNNNNNNNNNNNNNNNNNNNNNNNNNNNNNNNNNNNNNNNNNNNNNNNNNNNNNNNNNNNNNNNNNNNNNNNNNNNNNNNNNNNNNNNNNNNNNNNNNNNNNNGCAGAGUACAGGAUAUAUCACUCAUGUAUACAUACAAGUCGUGACAAUCAAGAUGAAUAGUGAUAUGAACAUCAUGCUCAAAGACGACCGAGAGGAUAUACAAGUCAGAGAAUCAACAUGUCAAACUGAGUGAUAUACAGUGGUGAGUGUAUGCAUGUGAAAUGAUCAGAAUAAUCAUGGCAAAAUCAGGAUCAAUGCGCUAAGCAAUAUGAAAUGAUCAAUCAAUAUAAUCAGCAUGUCAAAUAUCUCAAACAAAUAUAUCGAUGAAGCACAAAGGAAAUCACUAUGUCAGAAUCUCCAAUCAAGAUAAUCGACCAAUCCAAUCAAUCAUGUCAAUGUCCCAAGUGAAAACUCGGGAACCCUCAAUGUGCAAUCAAGAAGUGAGUAUCCACUAAUCGACUCAUCAAAAGCCACAUUUGCUUCACUUUACGUUCAAGCUUGACCCUCUAAAAAAAAUUCCCCAGUGGAGUCGCCAUUUUGUGGACCCCGCAUUUCGGCUCAAUGCGUUUCCCACUCGAUGGCGAAACUCGAUUUUGGUUUGAAAAUGAUUUUAUUUAUUAAGAAGAGUUGACUUGGAGUCGCCACUUAUUUUUGUUUUAUUUUUAAAAGGGUAAACAAAAUAAGAAAGAAAAACCCUAAGUGUGACUCCUUACUUUGGAAAAGGUGGUCUGUGAAAAACCGGAUCGGGUUCGGGGGUCAGGUUACUUAUCGGGAAGGUACGGUAAAGACCGUAGCACCCCUCUAAGUCCCUAAAGUCGGGUCUCUACUAAUAAAAUGAAGCAAUCAUGGCAAUGGACGAGUAGAUCAAUGAGUACCCAGAAUAAAUCAUGCACGCGUGAGAAUCAAAAUAUGCUUGGACAAUUACCAGAGUGAAAGUAGGUGCGUACCUGGGCGACGAGCCACCAUGCGCUAUCAAGAGAGAGGUUAGUGCACAAUUAAGAAAUAAUAGCAUGCAUGUCGGAGAGCAGGAUAAAUAAAUCGCGCGUGACAAACAGAACAAUCAAUCAUAAAAUCACGUAUGUGGGGCCCCCACCAAAGCCCGAUUGAUCUUGCACGAAUUAAUCUCACAAAUUCCAUUAUUCUGAAAUUAUGAAAAUGACAUUCACGCUUAUAUAAAAUUAAGAGAAAAAAAGAAGAUUAUUUGAAAACUAAAGCGGAAUUAAAACUGUUCGAGUGAAAACUGGAUUUUUGAAAUUUAUUUGAAAAUUGAAGUAUUGGGAAUUAAAUUUAAGAGUUGGAAUUUUAGGAUGUCAAACUUGAAAGAAAUUAGAAUUUUAGAAAUCGAAAAUUAAGUUCGGAAAUUGGGAUUCAAAAAAAAAAUGUUUAAAAAUGGAAUUUUGAAAUAAACAAAUGGAAUAAUAAUAAUAAGGACGAAAAUAAUGAUUAAAUAAAUGAAUGGGAAUGCUGGAAUUUUUGAAAUUGGAAAUUAGAUUUGAAGGUCGAAAAAUUGGAAUCGUUUAAAGAAUGAAUUUUUGAAAUAAAAUAAAUAGAAUAAUAAUAGUGAUGAAAGUGAUGAUUAAAUGAAUGAACGGAAUUUUCGGAAUUUCUUCGUGUUGGAAAUUAGAUUCGGAAGUCGGAAAAUUGGAACUGCUUCAUGAUAGAAUUUUAAAAUAAGUAAAUAAAUAAAUGGAAUAAUAAUAAUAAUGAAAAUAAUGAUUAAAUAAAUAAACCUGAAUUUUGGAAAUUUUGAAAUUGGAAAUUAAAUUCGGAAGUCGGAAAUUUUAAAGAGAUGUUUAAAAUAGAAUUUCAGAAUGAAUAAAUAAACUAUUAGUGAUAAAUUAAUAUGAAUGUGAGAAUUCUUCGGGAUUAGGAAUUUAAUUCGAAAAUCAAAAGUUUGAAAAAAAUUUGUUUAAAGAUAGAAUUUUUAAAAUAAAUAAAUAAAUGGGACAAUAAUUAUAACGGAAAUAAUAAUAUUAAGAGAAUAAAUGCGGGAAUUUGGAGAUUGAAUUUGUGAAUUUGGCAAUUUGAAAAAUCAAUUAAGGAUUUAAUUUUAAAUAAAUGAAUAAAUAAGCAAGUAAGCAAAUUGGAUGAUAAUCAUAAUGGAAAUAAUAAUAAUUAAGAGAAUAAAUGCGGGAAUUUGGAGAUUGAAUUUGUGAAUUUGGCAAUUUGAAAAAUUAAUUAAGGAUUUAAUUUUAAAUAAAUGAAUAAAUAAGCAAGUAAGCAAAUUGGAUGAUAAUUAUAAUGGAAAUAAUAAUAAUUAAGUGAAUAAAUGCGGGAAUUUAGAGAUUUGGAAAAUUAUUGGGUAAUGGAAUUUAGGACCUAAAACUUUUUAAGGAUGGAGAGUAGUGGAAUUAAAUUAACUUGGGAGUUAGAUUUCUUUUUUAGGAUAAACAAUUCUUUAAACUUGUGGGCUUUUGAAAAAGGGCCAAGGAUGGCAACCUGACAGCACAAAAAAAAACUCCCACAUGUGCACGCAUGAAAAUGGGUAACUAAAAGAAACUAAAAAAAAAAAGAGCAAGUGGGCUUUGGAAAUGGGCACGGGAUGCCGAACAUGCAAACUGGAACUGUUCACACGGGCCCGAUUGCACUCAACCUCUUUCAAAUGACACCCCCUCCAUUGGAUUGCAUAAGGGUUAGAUAGGCGUCCUCCGCGUAAGCCAAAGGACCCAUUUUCUGAUUAGAAUAACCCAACAAAAUAAAUUUUCUGAAUUCUACCGGGCCUUCGUUCAUGGCCUUUAAUGAUACCACCAUGCAUGGACAUGUACUCCUCAAGCUUCCGGGCUGGGGGUCAACGAACUCCAUAUCCUAUGCUCCAAAUUGUACCUCAACGAACCUGGCCGUGCCCGCGGGAGCUCGCCAACUGAUCUGCAUGCGCGGCAUCCUAAUGACUCUGAAGACCUAUCAUUGAUGACGCCGCUUCAAGAUCCUGUUCGUCCUCGUCAAAACUGCAACCGGAAGCGGCAUGGGAGCUUCUGAAGGCAGAAACGGCGGAGGUGUCGACGGCUUGACGGGGCAUUGACUGUCACCAAGUGUGCCUUCACACUCAGCUCUUGGAGGACCAUGGAGCGGCAGCCAUGGAGUGGUCAUCACCAGAGACCAGGUCGGCGUCGGUUAGAGCUUUGGCUUGAGGAAAUGGGCAGAACGGGGGGGGGGGGCGCUUGGCAAGGGAUUCGAAAAUGGUGGGAAAUGGAUUUUAUAGGAAGGCUUGGGGAGAGUGCUAGCAGGCCGUGUGCAUGAACCGCAUGCACAUGGGAAGAUAUGGGAUGGAUGAAUGGGGGAUAAGUGGGAAAGGUGGUGGAUGCGGUAAUGAGAGAGAAUGGGUAUGGCUGCGGUGUAGAGAGAGAAGUGGUGCGUGGGGGGUAUUUCGAGUGGGAGUAUGAAGUAUGUGAAUGAUGACCAGGUUUGCAUGGUUCCCAUGCACGCGAAUGAGUGCAGUUGGGACCUUAAUGAAGGCUAGGGAUGAAUUUUGGGGGCCAUGCGUGGUGCAAGAAACGGGCUAUGGGUUGGUGGAAUGAGUGGUGAAGGCUUAUGAGGGGAAAUGGGUGGUAACGGGUGUGAUGAGUGCUGACUAUGUGCAUGGGGUUGGUGGAAUAGGUCUCAUGGGUAUUUAAAGAGCGGGUAUGUGGUGUAGAGAGAUAAGUGAACAUGGAGGGCAUGAAACGAGUGGAUUAGUGAGAAGUGAGGGUGGCCGCGUGCAUGGGCAUGAGGAAAACGGGUAUGGAAUGGAGGUGGCCAUGUAUUGGGGCUUCACGCGUGCAUGUAUGAAAUGGACGAGGGGGUUAGGGAGAGAAAUGAACACUAUAAUGGACAUGAUGACGGGUUUUGACAGGUAUGAAGUAAUGAAGGUAGAGUAGUGAGGAAUAGAAAUGGCCAUGCAUAGGUGAGAAUGAAUACAUCAAAUACAACUAUUGGCAUGACUGGGGAAUAUUUCACAGUAAAAGCAUGGCAUAGUAAGAUUAACAACCUCAAAAACAUGAGUUUAGGAUCACAUCUUCAACAGACAAUCGGUGGCCUUCAUUAUCCACCCCAAGCAAACGAAUAUCCAAAUAUCAACAAGAGAUAUGGAAGAGAGGUAACAGCUAAAAACAUCAAUAAGUCUGCAGUAACCAUACCUGAGGAAGUUUUUUUCUCCAGCAAAAACCAACAGGACUCCAAGCUUCUUCCUCUAACUCCCAGAACCUCACCUGGACCCCUCUCCACAGUAGCCUAGAAAAAACCGAACCCCUCUUCAACCUCUCUUCUUGCUUUUAAACCUCACCUCCUCCUGUCUUCCUCAGCAAGCCACCGAAAUAUCUCCUCUGUCCCCCAGCAGCCCCAGCUCCUCUGUCCCCUUUGGGCUGCUCAAGAACAGCUCACCCAUCAUCAUCUUUGGCUGCCAGCCUCCUUUUGCUGCCCGAGAAACGGCUCCUGACCAUCAUGUCGAGCGGCUCCGGAAGAAAAGUGGGAAAAGGAAAAGAAAAAAUAAAUCAAAAUAAAAAAAUCUCUGCCUCCGGGGGGGGGGGGGGGGGGGGGCUUAAUUUUUUUUUAAAACAAUAAUAUAUUGACAUCAUAAAUAUGAUAUAAGUUUUUUUUUAUUAACACCAUAAACUUUUUUAAUAAAUUGCCCAAAACAUACAUAUUUUUACUAAAACUUAAAAAAAGAACUUUUAAUUUCUUGCAAUAAAAGUCAUAAAAGUAAAACAUUAUUUUUAUGUAACUAGUAAUGAUUUUAAUUUAUCAAAAAGGAAUGCCAUAACGUGUAUUUCUCAAAAUUAAUAAUAAGUAUUUGUUAAAAAAUAAAAGCAUUAAGAAAAAUGAUAAGAUAAUAAAAUAGAAUAUUUUAAGAAAAAUAUAAUAUUAUUUUAUUAUUAUCCCUUCAAAUAUAUCGAGAUCAAUAUGAAUAUUAAUUCAUAAGUUCCUAUAAAUUCUCGUAUUUUCAUUUUUAUAACACUUUGGCUUAAAGGAUUAUAAAAAAAAAAUUGAUUUGUUAAAGCCUUAUUAAGAAAAACUUAGGAAAAAACUCUACUAAAAGAAAAAGAGUAGAAUGCGAUUCAAAUAAUUUGACCAUUAUAUUGCCUUGUUAAAAAACUAGUUAAUAAAAUUCAAUGUGACAAAUUGUAUGAAAAAGAAAAAAAAGAAUGCAAUAUAUUGAUUAGAGUAUUCUCCGCCUCGUAUAGAUGUAUGGUUAUGCUUUCUUUAAUAUAUCAAUGGGCAAAUCUCUUCCUCUUUGCAUUCCAACGUAUUCAUAACUUUUAAUCAUGAAUAAUGAAUAAUAAUAAUUAUAUAAUUUAUAACAAUGCAUUAUAUUUUUUAUAAUAAAAUAUUUUUCAUAUAACUUAUGAUUAUAUAAAUUUUAAUAUUUAUUAAUUUAUUAAUCUUUUUCUCUUCGAUGGUAAAUAAUUAAAAUUGAAUAACAAUGUAAAGCAUAAUCAAUUAUAAUAAUUACAUAAAAAUAGAAAAGUAAAUCGUAGCGUAACAUCCUAUGAAAUAAAAGUAUUUAGAAUAAACAAUAAAUCUUUUUAUUUAGCUUAAAUCACGAAGUACCCAAAUGAAAAGUCAGUCUUUUACUAUAGAGAGUAGUAAGAGAAGGAAUUGGAAAGAAAACUUUUUUUAACUUUAGAAUCAUAAUCAUGCCACAUAAAAAUAGCAAAUGUGCAUUCAUAAUGUAUUAUAAAAUAAAAGAAUCAAAAGAAAAAACGAGAACAUAAUAAAUAAGAAGGCUAAAAAAAAUAUAAAAUAUCAUUUAUUAAUAAAUCUCCUACUUGAAUAAAAAGCAUGAAAGAUCUAUAAAUUCACAUGUUUUAUAAUAGUUUUAUCCAUAUUUUUUAAAACAAAUUUUCACCAAUUGCAUUGAUAUGUUAUAUAAUUUUCCACAAACCUAGAGAGCACUUAAAGUUUUUUUUUUUUUUUUAAUCAUGGUAUUUUCAUAUAUAUAUAUAUAUAAAGAGACAAAUGACGUAUACAUAAGCUUUGUCCCCCAUCAAUGCAGUGGGGUAUCAUAAUAAAAGAUAAUAAAUAAAAGGUGUAAUGGGCCCCCAUAGUUUAUAAAAGCUCAAAAGUAAAUGUUUUCUGCAUCAUAUAAUAUUGUAGAUUAAAGUAACAUGACAUAUAUAUAUAUAUAUAUAUAUAUAUAUAUAUAUAUGUCAUUUGAUUUGAAUAACAUUUUCUUUCUUGAUUUUAUUCCAAAGAAAAUCAAGAUAAAACCACUAAGGGCCCAAUUGUGAUGGCCAUUAUUGAGAUAUCCCUAAGGGCUUGUUUGGAUGGCUGAUUUUAAACCACAAAUAUGGGGAAUAUUCCAACCAUCAUUAAUAAGAAUAAGAGCCCAAUAGUAAUGUUGAAGACUUAUGGGUCAAAAUAGCCUUCCAUUCAAACAAAAUGCACAUAAUGGCCUGCUUUUGAAACAAAUGUUCAAACUAGCCCUUCUCAGCCCACGUCAACAUACAAAAUAUUUUUUUAUUCUUUUUAUCUUUUACUUUCCCAAACAUCCGCUCUCUUCCCCUGUUCUCUUUUUAUUUUUUACUUUCCCAAACACGGAGCUGCUCUCUUCCCCUGUUAUGCUUCCCCUGUUAUCUGCGUGUAGUUUUUUUUUGUUAAAAACCCUAGGCCCACCAGUGGGCCACUGAGGGAGACAUUGGAGCUACAACUCCAUCCGAUCUGCUCUCUAUUCCCAGCUUUUCCUUAAAAAUCCAAGCCCCACCAGUGGGCCACUGACGUUGGAGGUUGAGGUUAGUGUGAAUUUUUUUCAGAUCUGAGUUUUUUUUAUCAUGUGUUGUUGUGUUGUGUUGUUAGUAUUUUUAUUUUUCCCGUUGGAUGCUGAGAAAAGUGGGAAACGAGAAUGAAAAUAGAAAGAAAAAAAUUCUUGAUUUUUCCCGUUUCUCAGUUUUGAUUUAGGGUUCUUGAAAUUUAAAUCCAAUGGCACAACAGUAAAGAGACCCCUAAAAUGGAUCCAGAAAACACAAAUAGCAAAAGAAAAGCAAUUUUUUUGGUUUUCCUUGGGGGUUUUGCAUGAUUUUCUCGGAAAUCAAACGAGGAUGAAUUUUUGCAAAAAUCGAAUGGGGCAUGGAUUUUCUCGGAAAUCAAACGAGGAUGAAUUUUCCCGGAAAUCGAAUGGGGCAUGGAUUUUAUUGGGAAUCAAAGGGGGGUUGCAAAAAAAAAAUAAUAACAUGAUUAGAUUAGUACCCGGAAGGAUUGAGAGUGGCAGAGUGAGAGAAUGGCUUUUUUAGGGAUUCUCCGGCUGGAAGGCAACUUCAAAAAAGGGGUUCUUCAUGCAACAGCGUUCAGCCAGUGGGUAGCAUUUUGAUUUUUAGAUUUAAUAGAGAUAAAAAAAAAAAAAAACAAAUCAUGAGAACAAUUUUAUCUCAUCUUAAUAGAAUAUAUUAUAAUUUUUAAUAAAAUUAAAGAUUAAAUAAAAAAGAUAUUAAUAAAAAUAAUUUUAUCAUAUUAUUAUUAUGAAAUUUUCCUGUGGAAUUAUUAUUAUGGGUUUGCUCUGGUAUUAAGUACAUCAGCUUAUCACUUUUCCUAUGGAAUUAACUGAAUUUACUAAAUUUAUAUUAAUAUUACUAAAUUUUCCUAUUGAUAUUAAGUAAAUGACUAAAUUUAUAAAAUAUUUAUAUAUUUGAAUAUUUAAAUGAAUAAAUGAAUAUAAAAAUUAAUUUUUGAAGGUGUAGUAGAGUCAUUUUUAUAAAUAUAUCAUAUUUAAAUACUUCACUUUUAAAUAAAUUUUAUAAAAUAUAGUGUUAUUUAUUUUUAUUUUCAUAUUUUCAAUUGCUAAUUUACUUAAUAUCUUGUUUUUGUUAAAAAAUAUUAUUUAAUUUCAUAACAAGUCAACAUAAUACCACAAUUAUGCGUGAUGUUCAUUAAUCAAUUAUCAAAUUUCAAUUAGAAAAAUUUCUCUUUAUUUAUAAAAAAAAAAAUUCAAUUAGAUAAUUGUUGGCUUUUGAAUAACACAAGGGGACCCACCCUAGUAAUUGUUAAUUAUUCAAAUCAAAAGGGUAGUUGGUUGGUUUGAAAUUUGAAACUUUGGAAUAAGACUAGGACUUUAGUCUUUUGAGAUUUAAGGAUAAGAAAGAUAAAAUUAUAAUAGUAGGGAAAAAAUAAAAUAAAAAAUAGGAAAAAAAAAAAAGAUAAAGAAGCAAUCUUACAAACUUACAUAGGCCCUAGGAGUCUCACUUAGAAGUAAAAUAAUUAAGUCCUACCAUGAAAAUUGCAAAAUUUGCACCCAUAAAAAAAUAAAAAUUAAAAUCUUUGGAUCAUCAAUCAUCAUCCCCUUUUACAUCCAUUAGCUUUAUUUAUAAAGUUUUAGAACCCUUAAAACUAAAAAAAAUUAUGGAAAGCAAACCUAACCUAUGUAGCAACUUGUUAGGACUAUUGUUCAUUUUUGAGAACUCCUAAAUCUUUGAAAAAUAAAAAAUAAAAAUAAAAAAAUAAAAAAACUCCAUUUGUAGAAUUAACAUCCUACUUUAUAGAAACACCUUCGGAUAAAAUUUCUAAUAACAAAGACUUCAAAAUUCUGAAGACUCAAACUAGAAACUUAAGAGAAAAGAAAUUAAUUUAUAAAAUAGAAAGUUUAGAAAUAUUGACACUUCUUUUAAGAAGAAAGUUUCAAUAAAAAAACUUUUCAAAUUAUGAAUACAAUUGAAGUACCAAUUUUUUACUAAUAACAUUAAAAAACGCCAAAUCUGCAAAAUUACCUAAAUGCACUUUAUUGAGUAAUUUAGGAUUUCAUUUAAUUCCUUUCUUUAGUAGGUAUUGUCAAUUCAUCCACGUCACUGUUUCACUUUCUUUGUAUUAUUUCUUAUCCUCAACCUAAAUUUCAGAAUAUUUGUAUCUUCAUCUUAGGUAGUUCUCGUAUUGGUUGAUUUUUUUUCUCAUUACACAUUUGAUUUUGUGGGGAUCCUAAUCUAUGGUUGAUUGUGUGGUUAGGAGGUACUAGAGUUCACUAUUCAAAAUAUGUGUAUUCUAAAAAUUAUUCCUUAGCUUGUGGACUAGGGUGGAUUUCUUGCAAUUACUAAAAUCUCAUUUUUUAUUUAAAAUAACAUAUUUAACAUAUAUUUAUUUUAAAAAAUAUAUUUAAUAGAUAAUUUUGAGUUGUAAAAGAAUUAACAUAAUUAACACAUAUUUAUUUUAAAAUUUAUUUUUUAAUAUAAAAAUAUUAAUUUCAUUUUAUCAAAAAAAUAUUAAAAGUUAAUCUCAUCCUAAUUAUGAAAUUAGAAAAAUAAAUUAAACGUGUUUGUAACCCAAACACAUGUAAAACAUUUUAUUGGACCACAAAAAUAAUAUUAAUUCAUAAUAUCAUCCUACUCUUUACUUAUAUACUUAUUUGCUUAUACAUUGCUUUCAUUUGAGUUGAACUUGGUAUUUAGACAUGAAGUUUUGUUACAUUCCAAUAUUUAUUAGGUUUAUUAUUGUAUUUUAUGAAUCAUUGACCAUAAAGUAUUAUUUUUUACUUAAAUAAAUAUAAAUUUUUUUUUAUGUAAUAACCUUUUGUUAUUAUUUAUGUGAAGGCCAUUAUGACUGAUUCCACAGUAGAAGUGCUAUGUUAUUGGAAUGGAACAAUUUUGAGGACAGAAACGGACUUGAGAUAUAUUGGAAAUAAUGUAGAGAUUGAGCCUAUAGAUGUGCCCAUUCAUACGACUUUUGUGGAGUUGUUGAAGAUGAUAUAUGAUAUCAUUGGUGUUGACAGAGACGAUCAGUUAGUCUUGAAAUGUCGUCAUCCAACUGAAAUGAACAAAUUUCAACCAUUAGUGGUGAGAAAUGAUCGGACAGUUGCACGUAUGCUACUGGUGCCAUCAAAGUAUGGAAUGUCUUCAGUUCAAUUAUUCAUAGAGCAAACUCCCAACCAUUAUCAUUUGAGUAAUGAAAUGGGUCAUUUGACACGAUUAUCAACAGGUGAUACUGAUGUUGAUGACGAAAAUGAGAGAGAUGAGGAAGAUGAUAGAGAUGAUGCAAUCGACACAGAAGAGAUUCAUUUACCUAAUGAUGAUGAAAAUUGUUGUCAAACAGAAAAUAUUGAUUUGGUGAUGGUCCAACAAGUUGUGGAAUGUGAAAACACAAGAUUUGUGAACCUUGAAGUUGGUGAUAGGUCUAAUAAUCCUGAGGUUGAGUUUGAGGUUGAAAACACAUCACUAGUUGCCUCUCCACAUGGUACCCAAUUUAAUAUCUCUAAUGACAACCUACAGGAAACAUUUGUACCCAUCUCAUACCAUAUGCCACCUACACCACAAUUUUUAAAUAUGGACGCGACAAUUAAUUGUGUUGUAAGUGAUUGGACUCCAUGGAAAAAGCCAACUUUAGGAAAUGUUGAUGGAGAAUUAUCAAUUAGCCAAAUAUUUUCCUCAAAAUCAGAUUUGCAACAUGCUGUGAAGAUGUUUUCCAUAAAGGCGCACCAAGAGUUUACUGUUUAUAGAUCAAAUGCAAGUGUGUUAGUUCUUCAAUGUAAAAAAGCACCACAUUGCCAAUGGCGACUAAGGGCAAUGACAGUGAAAGAUACGGGUAUGUUUAGAAUCACAAAGUACAAAGGUCCUCAUACAUGUGUCAAUCCAUGUAUUAAUCAAGAUCAUUCACAGUUGGAUUCUAGCUUUGUAUCUAAGUAUAUUGAAACAUUGGUGAAGGCAGAAAUGACCGUUACAAUUGGUGCAAUUCAAGUUGUUGUUGCGGAACAAUUUGGUUACCAAAUUUCUUAUCAAAAAGCAAUGAAGGCAAAAAGGAAAGCAAUGACUCGAUUAUUUGGUGAUUGGUACAAGUCUUAUGCAGAGUUGCCUCGUUUCUUCCUUGCCUUAGAGCAGUCAAAUCCUGGAUGCAUUAUGUAUUCCAAAACGGUUCCUGGAAACAAUCCGAAUGAAGAAAUUUUUCAGCGUGUUUUUUGGGCAUUCGCUCCAUCUAUUACAAGGUUUGCACACUGUCGACUAGUUCUCAGUAUUGAUGGGACACAUUUGUAUGGAAAAUAUAAAGGGACUUUGCUGAUUGCUAUGGGAUGUGAUGGUAAUAACCAAUUGUUUCUACUUGCAUUUGCCAUUACAGAAGGAGAGAAUACAGAUAGUUGGAGUUGGUUUUUGGCAUGUAUCCGAGUUGGAGUAACACAAAGGAAAGGGUUGUGUCUGAUUUCUGAUCGUCAUCCUGGCAUUAUAGCUGCUGUCAAUGAAACAUAUUCGGGAUGGACUCAACCAGAUGCUUGUCAUAGAUUUUGCAUGCGUCAUUUAGCGAGUAAUUUCAACACAAAGUUCAAAGAUAAGACUUUAAAAGAUCUCAUGUGUAGGGCUGCCAUGGAGAGUAAAGUUAAAAAAUUUAUUUCUCACAUGGAUACAAUUGGCCGGAUAAAUGCCGAGGCUAGAAAUUGGUUGGAGCAAAUUCCUCUUGAAAAAUGGGCACUUUCAUAAGUUUAAAUAUAAAUAAUUUAUUAUUUAAGUAUAUUUUUAAAAUUUCAAUCAUAAAUUGUGAUUUAAUAGUUUUUAAUUAAAUUGGAAAGUAAAAAAAAAAAAUAUUAUAAUUGAAAUCUCAGUUAUUAACUACUAUAUUAUUAUUUCGAUAAAGAUAAAUUUAUCAUAAUAUAAAUAAAUUAAUAUAUUAAAAAUUAACAAAUUAAAUAUAUUAAAUUAAUAAUUUAUGCAAUUUUAUAUAUUAUUUAUAUGUUAUAUAAGUUUAUUAUUUUAAGAUUAUUAAUUUAUUAAUAAAUCAAAUAUUCAUUUAUAAUAUCUUCUAUUUAUCAAUUUAUGUUUAUUGAAAUAAUACUAGAUUUUUAAGUUUAAAUAUAAAUAAUUUAUUAUUUAAGUAUAUUUUUAAAAUUUCAAUCAUAAAUUGUGAUUAAUAGUUUUUAAUUAAAUUGGAAAGUAAAAAAAAAAUAUUAUAAUUGAUAUCUCAGUUAUUAACUACUAUACUAUUAUUUCGAUAAAGAUAAAUUUAUCAUAAUAUAAAUAAAUUAAUAUCUUAAAAAUUAACAAAUUAAAUAUAUUAAAUUAAUAAAUUAUACAAUUUUAUAUAUUAUUUAUAUGUUAUAUAAGUUUAUUAUUUUAAGAUUAUUAAUUUAUUAAUAAAUCAAAUAUUCAUUUAUAAUAUCUUCUAUUUAUCAAUUUAUGUUUGUUGAAAUAAUACUAGAUUUUUAAGUUUAAAUAUAAAUAAUUUAUUAUUUAAGUAUAUUUUUAAAUAUAAAUAAUUUAUUAUUUUUAAGUAUAUUAAGUAAUUUAAUAAUUUUUUAAUUAAAUUUUAAAUUUAAAUAAAAAUUAACUAAAGCCGCAUUUGGCAAAUGCGGCUUUAGUGCAAAAAUGAAGCCGCAUUUGCCAAAUGCGGCUUUAGUGCAAAAAUGAAGCCGCAUUUGCCAAUUGCGGCUUUAGUGCAAAAAUGAAGCCGCGUUUCCCAACUGCGGCUUUCACUAUAAUGACGAAAAAAAAAAAAUUUUAAUGAUGUGGCGCCUACGUGGCAUCAAAGAGGCCAUUUUGAACAAUAGUUUCAAAAUGUGCCCAUUUUGAACAUUAAGUUUCAAAAAUGGGCCAUUUUGACCCAAAACUCAAUGUUGAAAGCAUUCAAUAUUCCACCACCUAAAUCAGAAAGAAUAAGAAGCCAAUUGACAACUUUCAGACAGAGAGAGACUCCCCUUCACAUUACCAUUAAACUUGAUCCUGCAAUCUCACUGAACAAGAGAUCAAUUCUCCCUCAAGGGAAAGAAAUGAAUGAAGAAAAAGAAGAAGAAAAUCCUCACUUCCUACGGUCAUAUUCAAUAUAACUGCCUUAGCUACAAAGUUUUUGCUCAGGUUCAGAUGCAAAUGAUGCCACAAGGUAUAGAAGCCCAAAAGUGGGGGAAAAUCAACUGCUCCAUUACUACUAACUCUUUAUAGUUUCUGCGUUGAAACGUCUGUCAUUCGUCGUUAGUGGCAUCAUCUAAAAUUGGGGAGGAAGAUGAUACAUAGAGAGUGAGUACCUCUCAUCCAUUUAGCCGGUAACCUCUUCCUCUGAAAGCCACGCCGGCUGCCCGUUCAGGCUGGGCAGGUGCAGUUGUCGGAUAUCCAAUUCUGAAGCGGGCAACCAGUUUAUGCCUGCAUCAUGUAAGUUAAGGAAUUUGUGUAGUGUGCAUAACUUCAUAAACUUCCUCCAAAUAUCUAAGAGUAUUUCUUCACAAAAAUGGAAAACGAAAGCAUGAAACAAUAUCAAAAUAAAAUGCAAGACCAAAGGUGUCUUGGUCUGGCGUUAACAUGGGGACCACUAUGGAGCACACACCUUGAUUCAAUUUCUACCUAGCUACAAAAGAAGAAAAAAAAAUAAAAAUCAUGCACAUAUAUAAGACAUGAAGGAUCCUCCAGUGAGAAAGAGGAAAAUGAGCUUCUGAAACUUGACAUAACCUAGCUAUGAUCACUUGAAAAUGGAACAGAGGAAAGACAAACAUCAUUAUGACCCUGAGACAAGUCUAGCAAUGUCAUAAUCAUGCAGAAACUCUCCAAGAAGAAAAUGGACCAAGAAUUUACUUGUUAUCUCAUUCUGAAAUCUGACCUCAAAAUAAAGAAUAAAUAAUAACAAAACAAUAAUUAUCAUACUAACAAUAAAAAAGUAAGUAUUUGCUCAGUCAAACUAGCUCCAUUUUGCUUAUGGAUAAGAACCCAACAUAGGCCCAUCCAUUCAAAUGGCCAUCUAAAGUAAAAAUAGUAAUAAUAAUAACAACGAGAAAAUAUAUAUACAUACAUAUAUAUAUUUGCUCAGUCAAACUAGCUCCAUCGCUAAGGAUAAGAACCCACAUAAACCCAUUUAUUCAAAUGACCAUGUGGACCCCAUCCAAAAAUCCAGAAGCAAAUGCUAGAGUUCUCUAGGAUAUUAUUUACAAUUAUAAACUUCCAUUUAUUUAACAGGCUAUCUAUAAUUAAGUGACCCUGGUGAAGCCUGCUUAGGCUCCUCAAAGUGAGUAGACAGUGUACAGAUUUAUGAUAGAUUUUAUAGCCAAUACAAGAUGGGACAUCAGUUGUAUUUUGCAUUUUAUUUUUGUUAUUAAUGGUUUGUUAGCCAAGCUGGGGAAUGGAAUUUCAAAAUGAAAACAUAAACAAGGAUACACCCAUCUUGGAGUUUUUAAUAUGUUCUUCCCUGUGGAAAGAGGAUGCAGCACCGUCAAAAAAUAGUAUAGAUGCCCUGCAACAAUUCCCAACAGGUCUGGCAGAAUCUGUGAACCAAAAAUAACAUCCAAAGCAAGCAUUGCCCAAGGGAAAUAAAAUGCCUGCAAGAAAUGAAUGUUUAUUAACAUUAGCAUAGCAGGGUUGGAGCCACAUAAAAAAGUAAUGCAGUUGCAAUAGAGCAACCUAAUUGUGAUGCAGUGGUGGUAACAAAAAUAUAUAAGCCAGCAUACCUUGAGUUGAACAAGUCCAUAUAAGUUAAUUUGGGCAUUCGGAAACUCCCUGCUCCAGACAUAUAGAAGCAUGAAUACCAAUGAAACCCCUAAGAAGGGAGUCCACAACAGAGGGAUUGCUGAUAAUACCUAAGCAUCCAAAGUCCAACAAGACAAGAAUAAAGAUAGUAUUCUAAUGUAUUUUAAUGCACAUGACAAUCUAACAGAAGAACUCUCUGAUGCAUUAGCCAACUUAAAAUGACAGUCUAAAAUGACCAGAUAAAAUAUUAAGAGAAAAAUAGGUUUCAGACAUACCAGCAAUGUCAGAGCUCCAAAUAUCAUCAUCCACAAGAAAUCUGCCGUGCGCCUUUCAAAUACUCCCUUCUCCAGCUGGACCCCAUAUCUGGCUCUGUAACAAUAUAACUUUGCAGUAUGUAAAUGCAGGGUAAAGGUAGGUUCCAUGAAGCAAUUUUUCAAGGUUCCCCUACAAACUCUAGACAAGUUACAUGGAAAUCCACAAAAGUGUGCACACAGACUUCAGGGUGAACUCAAGAGAAGCUUCUGGGAUUUACACAGUUACACUUACAUCAUUAAGAGGCGAAUUCCAAAAUUGAUUGAAAAUUUUCCAAGGAAAAAAAAGUUUGUAACAAGCCUCCACACCUGCGAAAAAAACCAAGGUUCAGUAAGGUAUGUAGGACAUAAUAUGCAAGUAUAACACUUGUAAAUAGAAGAACAAAAUGUAUUGAUUGAUUUUGCAACAAUGUUUCAUAGGUUAUCUAAAAUAUGCAUUUCAAUGAUGAUCAAAUCACCAUCCUCAUACAUGCCACUAGGUGAGGUGAAGUUUUAAUCUCACAUGCAUACUUUGCCAGAGGUAAAGGCAGUGGUAGCACUAACCAAGAACAAAUUGAGACAGUAUUUUUUGCUUUAUUUAUUUUUUAAAUAUAAGACAAGAUGGGGAAAUUUAUUAAGAUUUUCAUGCUUCAAGCGACAAAAAAAAAGGAAAAAAAGGAACCUAGUGAUUGCUCUAUUAAUGAGUGAUUCAUAUCAACUGAUCAAGUUGGAAGAUUCAAGUACUCCAUGACCGAUUUUGCAUUAAGAUGCAGCAUCAUAAGUCAGAUAUAUCAUAUAAGAUGGGUGCAUGGCACAACUGGUUAUGGCAUAUACACUCAAGGCCAUAUACUGCAGCAUCCUAAAGCAUUACAAUGCAGAAGUACCAAGAAAUCCAUAAAUUGCGAUAUUUAACCUAAUAGAAAUUUAAAACUUACAGGCAUGUACUCAACAAAUAGAGAGAUGAAAUUAGCAAAGAAAAAUGGCAUUAAGAUCUGCAUAAAAUGGUGAAGAUAUCCCAUAAUUUAACCUUCCAAUUAUUAUUUUCCCCGAUAAACAGAAAAUAUGUGAAGACAACAAGCAACUAGAAAGAGAACAAAUUUGUUAACAUCUAUAGAACCAAGACACUUGGAUACAACUUUAUAAAAAUGAGAUCAUGAUUAGAAGCAAAUACUUCAUGUUUUAACACGUAAAAUUAAUCAAGACAACCAUUUAAAUAAAUAAGACCUAGCAUAAUAGUAUUUGAUAGCAUAAUUUAUAUGUAUUAUAGAUAGAUGUCAUUCCAUACCUGAAAAUGCUUGAAUACCAAUUCAUAUAUUAAAGCGGUAUACAUAGGCGGAAACAAUCCCAAAUGGAAUGCUGUAGUGGCAACCAAACACAUGGUCCCAUAAGCCUUGCUUAUGGGUGGAAGAGAAUUAUAGAAUCUGAAACAUAGUAAAAUAAUAAAUUUGAGAAAUGGUUACCAUCACCAGCCAUGUCAAGGCAACAACAGUCAAAAGGAAAAUAACACUUCAUAAAGGUUUAACUAAUAAAUGGCCUUGUAAGAAUCAUAUAUAUAAAAAAAUAAAAUAAAAUAAAAUUAAGUGUACCACUUACUAAAUUUGUAAACACUUCAUAGCAAGUGAAAAACAAUACAUGAAACAAUCUUAAUAUCCUCCUGCAAAUUAAUGUGCUAGCUUCCCACAAAAAAACAUAAUUUACAUUUCCAUUCGCGUUUCUACUCCUGUGAAUGUGUCUCAUCAUACUCCAAAAAAAAUGUAAUUUUUCCUAGAGAUAUGACCAAAAUUCCGAAAGAUUUCAAACUCCUUGACUUUUGAAACUUUUCUUUGACAUGCCUUUAUAUGAUCAUAUCUGUAUCAACCAUAAGAAUGAUUUUUCUGCCCAUUCAAAUGUACAAUUAUCCAAACUAAUUUAAUAUCAUUCCUUGAUAGUGAAUUACUUGUCAAUAUCUGCUCAGUGUGAUUGUUGAAGUAGAAUCAGAAGCCUUCAUCAGCAUAUGAGGGCUGCCCUUCCAAAAUCCAGCAAAUCGAAAUAGUCUAAACAUAAAAAGCUACCCUAGAUCCAGCAUACCCACCAAUCUAAACAUAAAAAUCUUUCCAAGUCCUAGUGAGGAAGCUCAUCCUUUACAUCAGACCAUGGGAAUGACCAUGAGGGAUUUGUUUGUGGCAAUUGAGAAAAAUGUGCUCACAAAGAUUCAACUAAUUGACCUUAUAAGAUUACUUAGUAUGAAUUCUAAUACACCAAUUCUAAGAAUGCAACAAGAUGACCACUAGUAGAGGUUGCGGAGAACUGGGUCAAAAUUUUGUCUGCUUUGAAUAGAUUAAUUAUUUGUCAUCCUAGUAAAAUUGUAUUAAAUUAUGAGAAAUUUCAAAUCACAAAAAAAAACACUGCACCUUCACCUUCCACAAGAGGGUUUCAAGUUUUCAACUAGCUUUUGACAAGCAAUGCCCAAUGCCCAAUAAAGCUAUUUUUCUCUUACCAUGCCUUCUACUGUGUAGAAACACGGUAUAAAACCACAAUCAAGGCAAUUCAGAUCAAUAUCACAUUGUUGUAAACACGCAGAAUGCAAUAAUAAGUGAUUUUCACCACCACGAUAUCAACCAACGUGAAAGGCAAGAUUCAAUAUUUCCUAUCCUUCCUCAAAUUUCUCAGAAACCAAAUAGAGAAUCGAAGUACCCGAACACAAGCAACUCAAUAUGCAGAAAAAAGGGUGCAAGUAAGAGAGAUAUAGAACGAAGAUGGAACAAAAUAGGAUUUUGAAAGUUUGGAAUCAAAGACGAACCAAGCAAUUCAAGAACAACAGUAAAAAUUAUGAUCAACAAAAUCUGAAAGCACUCCUGUUUGGCUCCUGGGAAAAAUGAGGGAAAAUAAAGGCAAUUUCUAAACAUUCUCCCCUUCGUCUCAUUUCCCGAGAGCCAAACAGAAAUAGAAGAGAACAUAGAAAUUACUCUGCUGGAGUCGACAUUGAAACUGACAAGAAUCUCCGAUUCAAACCCUCUGCUCUCUUUCUCUCUAAACGCUGAAUCUGAGAGAGACACCGAGUACUUAAAAGGGAAUUUCAAAAGGCUGCUAUGGGUAAUUCCGUCAUUUCAACUGCUUCAAGAAAGUUCCUCUAGGAUCACUGUCUGUUACCGUAGGUUCCAAACCGGACCAAUCCAGUAACGCCAUUAAUGCAAGAUCAAGGUCAACUUUGAAACUGGGCUGCGUUUUUUCAACUGUAAGCUGCGUUCUCAUUGCUUAGAGACAAAGCUAAAGCCUCCUAUUAGGCAACCGACGUGGGCUUCAGAUGAUGAAAAUGACAGCGAGCUCAUCCAAUGGAGAGAAGCCACAUGGCAGAAAUCGAUUGAGGCGUUAAUAGUUUCGAUAAAAAAUUAAAUGAUAUUUAAAACUAAAUAAUAUUUUUAAAAAUUAUAACAUCUAAUUUCAAGUAUUCAUGAGUAAUUUAGGUUCACAAGCAUAUGGCAAAAAAUUAAAGAAAAGGGGUUGAUUGAGAACAAGUCCUGAAUAAAUUCUUAGGGUUUGUUUGGUUGUUGUUUUUGAAAAAUAAUUUUUUAUGUUUUUAGAAAAAAAAAAAUUAUGUUUGGGAAUUAAAUUAUGAGAAACAGUUUUUUUUCUAAAAAAAAAAUAUUUGAUUGAGUUAAUAAAAAAGUUUUUUAGAAUAAGUAAAAUAAAAAACAUGUUUUAAAGUUAUUAUUUUUUUAAUUAAUAAAAUAUUUUAUUAAAUUAAUUUGAUAUUAUAAAUAUAUGAAUAAUUUUUCAUAUGUAUAAUUCAUUUAAAUUAUAAAAAAUUAUUUUAUUUUGAAAUUUUCACAUCAAUUAUAAUUAUUUUAAACAAAUGAUGACUUUCUCAUUAUGUGUAAAUAUAUUAAUUUCAAUAAUUUAAUGAAUAAGAAAUGAUUUGCGGAUGAGAUGUGGUGGUUAGGUGGAGUUCACCUUUGUAGAAACACAAAAAAUAGUUAAGAAAAUACGAAAAAUAUCAAGAGAAAAUACAAAAAACAAUUUAUCAUUUGAACAAUAAAAAAAUAAUGAAAAUAUAUUUAUAUUGUUCUAAAAAAAAUGGUUUUUGAUAACAUAGAAAACACAAAAACCAAAAACACACUCCCUUCUCCAAACAAGUUUUUUGUGAUUUUUGUUUUCAAGAAUAGUAAACAUGCUCUUAAGUUUCAUCAAAAUUCAUUUUAUUAAAAUUAUUAAUAAAAAAUAUUCAUUUAUAUUACUUAAAUAAAAUAAAACACUUCAUAUCACUUUAUUUCUCUCACUUAAAUAAAUUUUAUGGCGGCGCUCCUAAAUUCCUAAUACUAUAUUUAAAGAAAGCCCCUAGGAGGAUGAAAAAAAAUCUACUAAAAAUUGAAAAAAAAAAUAGCAAAAAAAAAAAAAAAAAAGAAAGGAAGAAAAGUAAAAAAAAAAACAGGGAAAAAAAAUGAAUAUUUACUAUUAAUAAUUUAUUUCUUAAUUUUUUUAAUUAUUUUUAUUAAUUGAAAAUCAUCUUCAGUUUGAUAGUAACCUUAUCUACCAGUAGCCUUUUGGCUCCACCACGAUAAACAUAUUUUUUUAUUUUAUUUUGAUAUAUUAAUUUUCAAAAAUUACAUAAAAAAAUUAACGGAAAAAUGAAACUACCAAAAGCUAAAAUUAAGAAUAAUUUGAUUAUUUUCAUGGUUUUUGUUUAUUUUUUACACAUGUUAAUAUAAGGGUUUGUUACACUAGUGACAAUCACAUGUUUUCUUUUCUUGCAUGCGUGGGCAAUGAAAAAUGUUGUAGAAAUAGGGGAUUUUGAAAAAUAAAAAAGACAAUACAAUUGGAAAUAAAAUUUAAAAAUUUAAAAAUUUUAAAAAUAUUUUCAAACUUACAAUACAUUUUGGAAGAAUUCAAUUAAAAAUUGAUUUUUGAAACAAUCCAACCAAAAUUGUUUUUUGAAGAAAUAAUUUUAAUUAAAUUUUGAAGUUCUUUUUGAAAAAACAAUUUCUAUAGUUGUUUCUCCUUCAAUGUCAUAUAAAUUGGUAUAAAUGUAGAAAUAGUUUCAAAUCUUUGCCACUUCAAUAAAUAUAAAAGAAAACAUGAUAUUUUUGUCAAAAAUCGUAAAAGUUGGGGAAUAAUGUAAUUACCAAUUUACCAUAGACAGUGAUUGCGUCGCUUGUCGGUAAAAGUCAGUAAAAUGGAAGGUUCAGAUUGAUUCCUUGUGGUGACGUGGUCCUAUGUGGCAGAGCCUUGCCACGUAGUGAGCUCGAGAUCGCCAAUAGUUAAUCAAAACCGCAGGGAAAAGUCACCGUACGAAGUAGAGCGGCGCCACUUGUUUUUGAUUCCGGCAAAACCAUUGCCAGACACUGUUCCACUCCUGCCAAUCCAAUCAACCGGAAACCACCCAACCAAAACCAUCAAAAGCCCCUGGAACCAGUAGAACCCAAAACUUCCAAAAACACACAACCUCGGAUCCAAACGAGUCGGCAUUGCUCUCCACUGCGCGCGCGACACGCCUCUCGACAUUCCUCUUCGUCUCGAGAGAUCCAUCUCUCUCUCCAAUUCUCUGUGGAGAAGAAAAAGUAAAAAGGAAAAAGAGAAGGAGAUUCUGUUCUUUUGUGAGUUCUACUCCGGUUUCAGUUGGUAAAGUUUGGUGCUUUUGCAGCAAAUCGAGAAACUGUUCGGUGAGAUUGUGGCGAUGGAAUCUUCCAAUAAUGCUUCGACGACGAAAGUGAUUACCGGCGACGCCGGAUAUGUACUUGAAGAUGUUCCUCAUUUGAAUGAUUACAUCCAAGGGCUUCCCGUAUUUUCUCUUCCUCAAAUCUCUUUCUCGCUCUACUUAUUUAUGUUUUUUACGUGUUUGUGUUUGAUUGGUUUUGUUUGGGGAUGAAUUUGAUUUUUGUGAUUUGUCUGUUGUUAAUUGAGUGAUUGGAUGAGUACUGAGAUGAACUUCAUCUUGUUUUUGUUGAUUGAUUUGAUCCAUUUUUUUGCGUGGUUUUGCUACUGUUUGGUGAAUUUUAGCUAUUGCAAGUUUGCUGGUUUGUUUUUUGAAGUUUUAGAAUCUGAUGCUGUUGCGUUGUGAAAUUAAAUUAUUAAAGCAUCUGUUUUCAGGCUUUAGAAUAUUAGACAGUAGGGGAGAUGUCGUUUGAAUACACUUUCAUUUUUCUCUUCUUUAUUCUCGAGAGGACAAAUAAUUUUAUUUUAUUUGAAAAGUUUAUAUUUUUUACUUUUUGAAAAUUGAAAAUAUUUUUACAAGGAAAUGCACAAAUUAUUUCCUAUUAUGCUUUUGCUUCCAAAAAUUAUAAAUGGAAUGCAUCCUGAUGAUAUCUUCUCUCAAUUAAGUAUCAAUAGAAAAUUUUGUAUUUUUUUAAAAAUUUACUAGGCUUCCAGUGUUGCACGAACACUCGGGUCAACUGCACGAAUCUUUGCCUAUCUAUUAGCUCUAUUUAAGCUUUUGUCUCCGUUAGAUUAAAGACCGUCAGAUUUUUAUUUUUAUUUUUUAUUUUACUGCAUUGAGUUGUACAUUUUGAUUUCUGGUGAUAUUUCUCAUGUUUUUAAAUCUUAUUUAUUUAUUAUUUUUGACUCAAAGACUAUUCUGAUUUUGGAAAAUGGUUCUACCUGAAGUAGUUUAGUGCAUAUGAACAAGGAAUUGAUUGUAAUGUACAUUGUGAAUAAAAUCUUAGUUACUUACUUUUGGUGCUUGGUCGUGUUGCAGACUUAUCCCAAUCAGUUGCAGACGAACCCCGCAUAUUCAGUUGUUAAGUAAGUUGAUAUUUACCUUCUUGGCUACUUCCGGCUGAUACAAUCUUUAGUUGUUGCACAUGCUUGUGGGUGAACUUUGAAAAAUAUGAUGAUUCCUUGCAUGGAUUUUUGCAUUCAGGCAGUACUUUGUUAAUGUAGACGAUUCUGUGGCUCAAAAGGUGAGUUCUACCAUGUACUGUUUUUUGGUGCCUCUUAGGCAUGAAAAGUUUGGUCCCAAGGCAAAGAAUUUCUUUUGCAUGUUUUAGAGGGGCUAUACUUUUAACCGGAUUUUGGAAUUAUUGACCAUAUCUUCAAAUGUGUUUAUGUUAACCAUUUGUAGAUCGUUUGUCACAAGAAUAGUCCAAGAGGGACACAUUUCCGACGGGCAGGGCCUCGCCAAAAGGUACGUCUUCUUCUUUUCUCGCAGUGCAAGUGGAAUGAUGAUGUAUCAUGCAUAUUUACUAUGUAACUUUUAAUGGUGCUCAGGUGUAUUUUGAGUCAGAUGAAGUGCACGCAUGUAUUGUAACAUGUGGUGGUCUGUGCCCUGGGCUCAACACAGUCAUCAGGGAAAUUGUGUGUGGCCUUUCCCACAUGUAUGGCGUCACAAGGAUCCUUGGGAUAGAUGUGAGUGAUUAUUCUGACAUAACUUUCCAAGAACGCCUAUUCUUUAGAGGUUGUUGUCAGCUUACAUUUUGAUCAAAAUCAGGGUUGUAGUUACAAUUUCUCCCUCUCAGCUGCUUGUAUUUUCCUACUAAGCAUCCUAUAGGUGAAUCUGUAAAUAAUGAUGAUUGAUAAUUCCAUUACCCUGGAUCUAAAAUUCACUUGCCUAUGACUUUUAGCUUUUGUAAAUGUGCAUUGCAUUGCUUUUUAUGAUUUUCAUAUUUUGUUUUCAUCAUUCAAGUGAACACAUUAACUUCCAAAGAUGUGGCAAGAGGACAUGGCAAUGUUAAGAAAUUGAAAAAUUAAAUCACAUUUUUAAAGUUUGAAGAUACAAUAAAUAAGAAAUCAUUUUUUAAUGUGUACUACUGUAAAUGUCAGCAUAGGUGUGAAACAUAUUCUAGAUAAAAUAUCAUUGUGGAAGUAUUUUUUUUUAAUCAUAUAGAAACAUCAUUUAUAGGAUUACUUGCAUCAGAUUUAUUUUGUCUUCCAAUUCCUCUCUCCCACUUCACAGCUAGGUAUUAUCAAUGAAAACAAUUUGGCCUUUGCAGCAGGUAAUUUCCAUUUAACAUUUGGAUACUAUUUGAAGAUAAUUUUGCUUCAACAAUGGAAAUAUUGGCAGAAAACCUAUACCCAUCUCUGAAAAAAUGAGGGUAUGAACAUGACAACCACAGUUGUUGUUAGAGCUUAUUAGAUGAAAUACGCUAUUAUGUCCAGAUAGAGAUAUAAGCACACACAACCUUUGAAAGAAAAUUGGCUUUAAAAAGAAAAUGAAAAAACAAUAUGUAUUAGGGAAUUGCAAAUUGAAGAAAACUUAUUAAUUAAGAUUUAGCUAUUACUUGUAUUAAUAGACAACAGCAUUUGAAAAUAAAAGAAAAUGUUUCACCAAAAUGCAUAAUAUUUUGCAGUAUCAUCACAAGCAUAAAUCAUUAUUUGUUAGUUGUUAAUUUAGUAUUGUCAUUUUCUUUCCUUUUUAAUGUAAUCAAUAUGUUUAUCCAAUGCCUGUGACUGAUGGAUUGUAUGCAUAAAAAAAUAUUUAAAUCACAAUGUUUGAGAUUUUGUUGUACAUGGUUCAGUGGUCUUACCAGAAAAUGAUAUUUGAGGCAUUUGUAGGGAGGAUACAAAGGAUUCUAUUCUCGAAAUACCAUUCCUUUAACUCCCAAGGUUGUGAAUGACAUCCAUAAACGUGGUGGUACUGUCCUUGGCACAUCAAGAGGAGGCCAUGAUACCUCAAAGAUAGUUGACAGCAUUCAGGAUCGUGGGAUUAAUCAGGUGCCUAAAGGAUUAAUUUUUCAUUGUGUUCCUUAAAUGAUGGUUAUUAUGAUUUCUGAAAUUGGAAUUCUAUGUGCAGCUGUAACUGCCAGGGCAUGCAAUUUCCAUGCAUGAUGUUGAUUCAUUUUCUUUUGAUGUUCCAGGUUUAUAUAAUUGGAGGUGAUGGAACACAGAAAGGAGCAUCUGUGAUUUUUGAGGUCAUUUUGUAAAUCAUUUAAUCAUAAAUCUGUGCUGAGCUUGUAUUUGUAGCAUUGUUCACUUAUCCUCUGGUCAGCAUCAUGUCUACCUGUUCUUAACCAUUUCCAUCUGUAAAUAGCAUUCCAUCUUCUACAAGUUCUGAACAGUUAAAAGAAAACACCUUUCUCUCUUAUCCUCAAUGGGAUCAGGUUCUUGAACCUUACCUGCUACUUUGAUUUUCCAAUCCUAAAAGCACUUGGAAAAUAGCACAUCAAACUAUACACAAAGUAUACAAUUAGGGCCAAAAGGCAAAAGAGAGAGAAAGGAAAAGCAAAUACUAACAACCCAAACAAAAACCAAACUCCCUACACCCCUAGAAAGCUGGACUGCCCCCAGAAGGUACUCCCAAAACCAGGAAAUACCCCAAACCUAGGCCAACUUUAACGCCUUAAAACCUGAAAAGAACACAAUCUGCCCCCUGAGCAAGUCUGCAACCAGAUUCCCUCAGCCAAACUAUCAUGAUUCAUCAACCUAUCCUAUAUCUAAACCAAAGAUCACAACCUAAGGGUGUGCAAGGGAUUUCUUGACAAAUCUCAGAUGAAUACUGUCAUUUGUGAUGUCAUAUAUGCACUCAAAUGUUCGUACACAACUAAAUCACACAUUUCAUUGCUCCACAAGGGCUUAUGCAUCGUGUGUGCAUGGGUGUGUGUGUGUAUGUGUAAUUGACUGCUAAAUCUGAUUCUAGAACAAUGUAAUUGAUCAUUGUUCUUUGUGCUAGCUAUACUCAAAUGAUCUAAUCUGAUCAUGCAGGAAAUUAGACGCCGUGGUCUCAAAGUUGCAGUUGCUGGAAUCCCCAAAACAAUUGAUAAUGACAUUCCAGUACUUCUUGCCUAUUGCACCUGAAUUAAUUUUGUUCUUUUCUCCAUCUUUUUCAAUAAACCUUGCAUUAGCCUGUAAUGUGUCUUCACCUUAGACUGCCUUCUCUUGAUUCAGGUUAUUGACAAAUCGUUUGGUUUUGAUACUGCUGUUGAAGAAGCACAGCGUGCCAUUAAUGCGGCACAUGUUGAAUCUGAAAGUAUUGAGAAUGGUAUUGGCAUGGUGAAGCUAAUGGGACGCUACAGUGGUAACUUUUACAUUUAUAUUUGAUAUUCAGAUUUACUUAAAAGUUUUUAACUGUGUAAGUGAAGUGAGGAACGUUGAAUUAUUGGAUUUGUUGUGCAAGCCUCUUCCAAGUAAUCUUGAUUUCCAAUUUUUCCUACAAAGUAUUUGGAUUUGAUGUGCAGGAUUCAUUGCGAUGUAUGCUACACUUGCCAGUCGAGAUGUAGACUGUUGUUUGAUUCCAGAGUCACCAUUCUAUCUUGAAGGGAAAGGUGGACUUUUUGAAUUUAUAGAAAGACGUCUCAAAGAAAAUGGACACAUGGUUAUUGUGAUGGCUGAAGGAGCAGGACAGGAGCUUCUGUCAGAGAGCUUACUUUCCAUGGGGCAAGAUGCUUCAGGAAACAAUCUGCUCCAAGACGUUGGACUCUGGAUGUCUCAUAGAAUCAAGGUAUCUCUCAUGCUCCAAACUAAUUUCACUAGAUUUGACACCUUAUGACCAUUUUAAGUUUUGGUUAUGUGAUUGCAUUUUUGUUCUUGAUUGCACACACAUUAUUCAUUUCAAUACAUGUGCAUCUAUAUGUUCAUCAGGAUUUAAACUCAGUGCAUUUUUCAUGGUUAUUUUUCAGUAUUUAGUGAUCCUUGAAAUAUCCUGGAGUGGUCAAUGCUGUAUUAAACCAAUAUCUCAGUUAUCUUUCUGGUGUUUUUUUUCCCUUCUUAUCAAGCUUCUCUUAUGGAUGUUCACUGAUGUAGCAGUCCCGUUCCUUUUACAUAGGGGAAGCAAUAAAAAAUAGCAGCCCACUGUUCUAAGGCGAAGGUUUUGUGGGAUCUGUUGUUCUCCUUAUUUGGUGUUAAUUGGGUCCUCCCAUUUUCAGUUAGAGACACACUUUUAGGUUGGCUUGCUCCCUUAAAGGAUAAGAAGCGUAGUAAGGUUUGGCGGGCAGCUCCUCUUUGCUUAUUUUGGAUGGUUUGGAAGGAAAGAAAUAGGAUAGUUUUUGAAAAUGAGGUCCUAUCAAUUCAAAGAUUGAAAAAUUCAUUCAUUUGUAAUCUCUUAUCUUGGGCUAAUUCUUCCAUAGUUGAAGGCCCCCUUUCCUUGUUUAUUUUUUUGGACUGGUUGGGUUCUUGUUGAGGGCUGGUAAGGGUUUGUCCUUUUUGUUUCCGGUUUUUUGUAGGUGAUGCUUGUAUACUCCCUGUAUACUCUGGGUCGCCUUUCAUGCCCCUUUUUUAAUAUAUUUCUGUGCGUUUAUCUAUCAAAAAAAAAAUUAAAAAAAAUAGCAGCCCACAUGGUGACUUGAUUUUGUCAGUUUUCACCUGACUGCAAGAAGGAGAUUUUGUUAGCAGGAAAUGUAUUUUGUGCUAUUCAUUCAUUUUUCCUGAUUUCAUAGCAAUUUUCUCUUCUGCUAUUGACGUGUUAUACCUGACGAAUGGUCCUGUAGGCUAUAAGUCCAUAAAAAGAAAUUUUUGUCAGGUAACUUGGAGGGUGUUUGGUAAAUCAACUUAAUGACUUAAUAUAUGUUAAUAAUUUAAUUUAAGUCAUUAAGUAGAUUAAGCAUUUUUGGUAAAAUAACUUGAUAUCACAACUUAAAGUAAAAAAUAACUUUAAGUAUUAAGUUAAAAUAAUAAACUUAUUCUUAAUCUCAAAUCUCUUCGUCUCAUUUGCCCAUAUUUAGUGAGUGUAUAUUUCACAAUCAUGACGUUACAUUCACAAUUCAUCUCUUAUAGUAAAUAUUUUUGUAGUUAUUUUAUGCAUCUAUAAUACUUUAAAUGUGGAUAUUUUAACAAAUAAAUUUAUUGCUUAAUGAUUAUUGAAAAUAUAAAUAUUAGUUAAAAUUAAUGAGGAUAAAUGUCAAUUUUAAUGAUUUAGAAUAAAUUUUAAAUAACUUUAACAAACAACUUUAAUACUUAAAAUAAAAAUUAUGUAAUAAGUAUUAAAUUUUACUAAACACCCUUCAACAGUUUCUUUUUUUGGGUGUUGCAGGAUCAUUUUGCAAGACAGCGUAAGAUUGCCAUUAAUCUGAAGUAUAUAGGUCAGUGACUUCAGAUUUGUGUUUGUUUAUUUAUUUUUCCUUUUAGAUUUGGCUUAGUAACAAUAGAUUCUAAGCUAUCCUGAGUUGUCUUGCAGAUCCUACAUACAUGAUCCGUGCUAUUCCAGGCAAUGCAUCUGACAAUGUGUACUGCACACUCCUUGCUCAAAGUGCUGUUCAUGGAGCAAUGGCAGGUUACACUGGCUUCACGAUUGGGAUUGUCAAUGGAAGACAUGCAUACAUUCCUUUCCAUGUACGUUCUUCACUGACCUAAAAUGAGUUAUAUUUUUAUGCAGUAGAUAAUGGUAUUAAUUGUUCACUAGUCCACAUGCAUUUCCCAAACAUAUUUUCAAGUGACUCCAAACUCGAUAAUUCCAUAAUUCAUGUUAUUCAAUACUAAAUGAUGCAUAUAGGCCUUCCUUGUUCAUAUUUUACAUCUAUAUCAAUUUUCAUAGGUUUAAUUUAGAAGAAUUGCAUGUUUGCUUUGUGAUUAUUUGAAUAAAAGAAUCAUGUCAAACCUCCUGGUUAUUCAUAAGAAUCUACUUGUAUCUAAGCUUCACACCCAAUCAUGGGUUGACAUACCUGGGAAAUCACAUGGCAUGUAACUUAAAAAGAAUGCAUUCCUUUUGACUUCCCAGAAUGCCUGUACUUUCUUCAAUGAAUCACUUAAAUUUGUUGACAAAACAUAUGAACUUGAGUUGAAUUUCUAUAUAUUUAAUUAGUGGCCUCACAAGCACAACCAAAAAGAAUUCAUGGUGUCCUCUCUUGAAUGAAUGAUUUUGCUCUUAGGUUUUGACACAGAACAGUUGAGGUUACAAAACUUUUGUAUUUGACUGAUGUGCAGCGCAUCAAUGAGAGUCGGAACAAGGUUGUGAUAACCGACAGGAUGUGGGCAAGGCUCCUUUCGUCAACAAACCAGCCAAGCUUCCAGAACCCCAAAGAUGUUGCUGAAGUCAAAAAAGAGGAAGCACCUGCCACUGGGUUGCUGGAUGGGGAUAACUCUAAAGAUGACCACAAGCCAGUUGACCAAAAAGCAUAACAGCAUGACAUACAAGGGAGUAUAGCAGUCACCUUUACUUUCAUUUCGUCGCAUCCUAAAUGUUGAGGGGUUCACAGGUGAUCUACCCUUUUUAGUUUAUGAUAUUACUAGCUUAGAAGCAAUGUGUGCCACCGAGAUAUAUUUGUUUGAACUUAAAAACAUUUUGGUGAUAAAAGCAGUGUUGAAUGUUGAGGGGUUCACAGGUGAUCUACCCCAUUUUAGUUUAUGAUAUUGAGAGGCUGUAUGCCGCUAGCUUAGAAGCAGUGUGUGCCACUUGAGAUAUAUUUUUUUGACUCAAAAACAUUUUGGUGAUAAAAGCAGUGUAAUAUUGAUUCAGUUCAUGGGGUUUGAAUAUUUGAACAUCUGAACAUCUUUAAGUAUUUGAAAGUACAAAAAUCACAAAGACUUUUUACCUGUGGUCUCAAUUUAGGUCACUGAGAUAUGCCCAAAUGUCAAAUAGGUCAUUUUGUUAAUAUUUUUCAUAAAAAAUGGAUAGAGAGAAAAUCAUAUGUUUGGACAUACCAAACAUAUUAUAAAAGUGAUUUUUGUAAUUUACCUGAAAGUUGAUCACUAUCUUAUUUGAGAGCAAGAAAGAACACUGUAUGAUAAAUUCAAGAUACUUUUGAAAUCAAAUGAACUUAAGGUACAAAAGAAUAUGGUUUUAUUUAUACAGAAGAGCUUCUUGCAGGUACACAAAAUGCGAUGAACUUGAACAGAAGUGAGAAACUGAAAUGAUAUGAGUGAAGAUACCACCAUUUUUCGUAAAGACUCAAAUUUUUUUCCAUCACAAUUCACCCAAAAACUCAACCAGAACUUGUUGAAUCGCUACAAUCAGAGGCCUGUUGAAAAAUGACCAACAUACAAUUUGAAUCAAGCCCUAUAGACACCAGAGGGAUCUGCAUUCUGAACGAUCCAGGGAUGCUCAAGGAGCUUGUGUAGUGGGAGCCGCUGCGAAGAAUCCUUCACCAGCAUCUAUUAUUAAAAGAAAAAAAUCAGCAUUGCAAAUAACUGAAACUUGAAGCUGUUCAAGUGGUGUAGAUAAUGAAAUCCUUUUCUGAAAAUGUAACGAGAGUAGAACCUGACUGAUGAGGUCCUUCGCUGUAGAAGAGACUAUUGGUUUUGGGGGGAACUUUAAAUCAACUUGCACAAUCCUGGAAAAAUAUUGGUAUAAACCAUGAGAAAGUGAAGGAGCAUAUCCCAUUAACAGUUUCAAAAUCAUAAAUAUAUAUUUUCUUGGAUCAGAUUUUGAUCAUCUCAUCUGAAAAUUAACUGGUGUUCAAUGAACGAUAUUUUUGCAUCCCAACACCUUUGGCAUUAAGACACACACUUGAUGCAUGUUCCUUACUCUUCUCUUACAGUGAAAGUAUAAGAAAGGCAUCUCAAAGACAUAAAUGCCAUGGUUUUUUAUAAUAUCCGAAUGUUACCUUCUGUAGGUGUCUGAGUGUUCCUUAGCCUCAAAAGGAGGAACCCCAUAAAGAAACUCAUAGCAAAGUACACCAAGGCUCCAUAUGUCCACACUAGCAUCAUGCUCCACACUCUCCACUGUUCAAGAAAAGUCAGUUAUCAUCUUAAAAACACAAGAAAGAUGAAAUUUGGCAGGGGUUUUCAAAAGAACUGGUUCUGAACAACUAUAGAAAUUUGUUCUUUGACACAAAGAACUGAGUUUUGAGCCUGAAAAAUCUAUCUUGGACUGGGAAUUGCUUCACAGAUACAACCAAAUUCAUUGUAGAACCAAGUCAGGAAAGAACAUAAAGAAGCUUAUAUACAUACCCAUCUCAGGUGGAAGGUAGUCCAGUGUGCCACACAUGGUCCUUCUGCGGUUAAAUGUGUGCACUGACCAUCCAAAAUCUGCAAUCUUAAGUUCACCCUGAGAAAAGGAACCCAAUCAAUAUUAGAAGGUGCAUGAUAUGUCUCAUGAUCAACUAAAAACAAGCAGGGGCUCAAAAAGUCACCUGUGCCCCAACUAACAGGUUCUCAGGUUUGAUGUCUCUGUGUAUUACAUGCUUCCCAUGGCAAUAUAUGAGAGCCCGAGCUAAUGAAGCAACGUACUAUUCAAUCCACCAUGAACACACCAUUACUUGUAGUUAGUUUUCUAUAGAUAAAUAAUGAAGGGACAUUGUAUCGUUAACCAUUACAUAUACAGAGCGGCCCAGAUAUGGGGCAUGUGCUUUAUGUAUAUUUUGGAAUACUGUUUGGCCUUGCAGGAAAAGGAGAAUGGGAACUUAGAAGUUUUCCCUUCUCCAAAAUUCCACAUGGAAAAAAAGGCCAAAAUGAAGUUCUUAGUAGAUGAGGGCCAAAAAAUACUCACAGUAGCAGCACGCCUUUCACUGAAGUAUUUACACUUCUGUAGUUCCUUGUAGAGUUCACCUUUGGCCGCAUAUUCUAAUAUCAAAUACACUCGUUUCUGCAAAAUAUCAAACAUUAAAGGAAAAAUAAUGUUUGGUCAAUUGUCAGUAUAUUUCCCCCUUGAGACGUGUUUUAAGUGCUGUAAAAUUCGAAGAGCUUUUUACCUGAUCAUAAAAGUACCCAUAAAGGCGCAAGAUAUUGGGGUGUCGAAGAUGACUUUGUAUUUCAACUUCCCGGCGAAGCUGAUGCUCAACCUGAGACUGUUGCAGUUGGCUCUUGAAGAGCACUUUUAGGGCCACAAUAUGAUUGCUCUGUUUCAGAAACAAUGCAUUAGAUUGAGUACAUUGAUUGAUAUCCCACUUCAAAUUAGUAACAAAAAUUUGGAGUCUGCACAAUUCCCACUCCAAAUAGCUGUGAGAUGUGGUUGAAAUUUUCUUUUCUUCUCACCAUGGAAAAUAAAUAGAGAAUAGAGCAGAAUGAAAACAAGUACUUAUAGGCCACAUGAUAGAGUGAAACAGAAAAAUCCCACUGAUAGAAGAUAGAAAACUGCAACCUCUCUGUUUGGUCUUCGAGAAAAUAUGUUUCAACAACUGUUUGAGUCUUCUGCUUUUCACUAUUUGAAUCAGGCUUUCCAGUUUUUGAAAAUAGACACACAAAAAUUCAAAAUUAUAUUUUUCUACUCUUUUCUUCUCUUUGAAAAGAACAAAGGGAAACAGGAAAAAAAACACCUAAAAGUGGAAAUAGAAAAGCAGCCAAAACCAACAAGCACCCAAAAAGGAACAAACCCAACAAACCCUAGAACAUGCAAUUGAAUAGAGAUUACUCACUCUCUUUUCCCUCGCCAAAUAGACAUGACCGAACUUUCCUCGCCCCAGGGGCUUUCCAAUGUCAAAGUCAUUUAGGGUCCACCUUUUUUUCUCCACUGCUGGAACAUCUGAAGAAGCCUAUACAAAUGAAAUCACAAUUAGAAGCCUAACUACAUUUAGAACAUUAUUACCAGCCACACAAAGAAUCCAAAAAGUAUUCCAGAUAUUGUAGCAGCCCAGCUUUGCCUGUAUAGAAGCAAUUUCAGACCCCGAAAAACCAAAAUUUGGAAAACCAACUCUUAAAUUUGCUUCCCUGAAGCUCUGUUUGGUUGCUGAGGAAAUCGAUAUGUUCAAAAUUUUCCCAUUUGAGCAGCCAAGAAGACAAAAAGCCUGGAAUCACCAACCCGAACCCUUUGCUUCGGUAAAACUUUCAUUCUGGAAACCAAAACAAUAUGAACCAAAAGAUUCAAAACUUUCUUUCUCUCUUUACCCAUUUUUCUCUCAGCAACCAGCCCUAGGAUAAGACAUUAUCCACAGAAGAUCCCUAAACCUAUAUUCUAAAAAUCCAAACUUUCAAAUCAAAACGCCACACUAAAAGCCUAAAAUUUCCAAUCAAACAAACCCACACUCGAAAACUCAUCGAUGCGUUUCCAUGAUGCACUGAUCUGCACUACAAACGAGCCGUGAAACCACAAUUUUUACAUUCCAAAAUGAAACCCGCCGUUUGGUUUCCCAGACCAGAAAAGGCAAGAAAAUCAAAGAAAUUUCUGAAUCCGAGAUUAACUAUUGAAAACCCAAAACAACAUAAGCACAACACUAUGAAUUUCAAACCCUAGAUUUCAAAAUCUCACAAAACAAACCAAAAAUAAAUUUAAAAAAUUAAAAAUCCUAACCAAAUUCAAGAACCUAGAGAGAGAAAGGUGAGCGUGGUUUUCUUCAGUUACCUUCUCCUGAGGUUGAGUCUCUGCGGCGAUCGCCAUGAGAGGGAAAGAACCUACAGAGAGGAAGUAGAGAGCGGAAAUCUAGAGAGAGAUUGAUGGAGGAAGAAGAGGAGAGACGGGGAGGAAAUGACCGUAGAUUGUUGUUUGAAUAACACCAUUGCAACGGUCAUAAGUUGUACGGUAUGACACGUGGCCCAAUUACAUUUGACCAUAUUUUCAAAUAUUUUUUUCUUUCUUAUUUUAUUAUUUCUUUCAAGUUCAGGAGCGUCUUGAGAAUCUUGACAGGAGUUAGUGAUAGAGUCACUAACGGCAACACCUUUAUCGGUGACAGUCGCAAUAUUUUUACCGUUGAUAUGAGUGGAUCGCUUGGAGGUGGGGAUCUACGGUAGACCGAGAAGUAAUUAAGGACUGUUUGGAUUGGUUUUCAAGAAAUAAAAAGCCUUUUUUAAAAAUUAAAUAAGAGAUUUUGAGGGAUAAAAAUGUUUAUAUUAAUUUUUUUUUCAUAUUUAUCAUAAAAAUAAUUAUACAAACAUAUAUAAUAAUUAUAAAUAAAAUUAUAAACAUAAAAAAUAUUUUUAAAAAUAUUAAAAACAUGUUAUAUUCUUAAAUAUAAUUUUAUUUUAUAAAACAUCGUAAAGUAAUUUUUAAAAAUUGUUUUUAAAAAUUAUUUUUUAUAAUUAUUUUAAAAAAUAAUUAUCAAGACGUAAAGGGGUGUUUUCUAACUAUUUGUCUUAUAACCCAAACCCAUGCUACAAAAUUGAAAAAAUAAAAAAGAGAUCCAAAUUCUCUUAUUCGACUUACGGCUUACCCUGGAAUCCUGUUGAAUGCCACUUGCCAAACCCAACAAAACACCCAUCCAACUCAUUUCAUUCACAAGUAAUAAUUAAUAUUAUAUUCAAUGCAAAAUUUCUAUUUUAUAGUCAUUUUUAAAGAAGGUUAUGUUUGCUUUUCAAGGCUCAAGCCAAAAUAAUUUUUUUUUACAAAAUUAUAAAAAGUUUCUCCGAAUUAAAAUAUCAGAAAAUAUAAUCUUUAAUCCAACCCCAUUUUUUUAUUAUGUAGUGUUAAUUAAUUAAAAAAAAAGUAGAAUAUUAUUGAAAAAUAAUAAAUCUUGAAAAAAAAAAAUAGAAAUCCUAUAAUUUAAAGACUAUACUCAGACGUAAUUUUCAAGAAAAUUUCAUACAAACAAAUAGUAGUAGAUUAUAUAAAAAAAUUUCAAUUAUUUGUCUUAUAAAUCAUACAAAAUUUUGAAAAAAAUAAAAAGAUAUCCAAAUUUUGGUAUUCCACUUAUCCAUGAAAUCUUAUCAAUUAAUCUUUUACUCUUUUCUUGAAAAAUAAAAAAGAAAAAAAAAUGAUUUCAAGAUUAGGGAGAACUUGAAUCUAGAAAGCUAAAAAAAAAAAACAACAAAGAACCUUAUGGUUGAUGUAUGAAUUAAAGCUUCAACAAAGAAUUAGAAAUAAAUUGGAAAUAUGCAAAAUUUUUAGAUUCAAGAAAAACUAAAAAUCUAAACAUAAUUUGUAGAACAAAAUAAAAUAUGCAAAAGAAAAUAAAAAAAAGAACGAAAAAAAUCUCAAUCUUACUCACCGAUUCAAAUGAAUUAUGAUCGAUAGAUUUUGCGAGGAAGAACAAAAAAGUACAUAUUAAAUAAUUCAUCAAUGAAUUACUCAAUAUGUGCUUCCCUUUUCAAAUAAAAAUAUUUUUAAAAAUAAAAAUAAAAAUGAGUUUUUUUUCUAACUUUUUGUCUUACAACCCAAACCCACCAAAACACCCAUCAACUCAUUUCAUUAGUAAGUGAUAAUUAAUAUUAUAUUCAAUGCAAAAUUUCUAUUUUAUAGUAAUUUUUGAAGAAGAUUAUGUUUGCUUUUCAAGGCUCAAGCCAAAAUAAUUUUUUUUACAAAAUUAUAAAAAGUUUCCCCUACAGAAAAUAUAAUCUUUAAUACAACCCCAUUUUUCUAUUAUGUAGUGUUAAUUAAUUAAAAAAAAGAGUAGAAUAUUGUUGAAAAAUAAUAAAUCUUGAAAAAAAAAAAGAAUUAGAAAUCCUAUAAUUUAAAGACUGCCGUAAUUUUCAAGAAAAUUUCAUACAAACAAAUAAUAGGAGAUUAUAUAAAAAAAAAAAUCUUCAAUUAUUUGUCUUAUAAAUCAUAAAAAAAUUUCAAAAAAAUAAAAAUAUAUCAAAAUUCUUGUAUUCGAUUUACCCAUGAAAUUUUAUCAAUUAAUCUUUUACUAUUUUCUUGAAAAAAAUGAAAGAAAAAAAAAAGGAAAAACAAAAAAGUUGUGAUUUCAAGAUUGGGGAUAACUUGAAUCUAAAAAGUUAAAAAAUUAAAAGAAAACACACACACACACAAAGAACCUCAUGGUUGAUGUAUCAAUGGAAUUAAAGCUUCAAUUUUCUAAAUUCAAGAAAAACUAAAAAUCUAAACAUAAUUUGCGAACAAAUAAAAAUAUGCAAAAGAAAAAAAAAUAUAAAUGAAAAGAAAUCUCAAUCUUACUCACCAAUUCAAAUAAAUUCCGAUAGGCAGAUUUUGCGAGGAAGAAUGGAAGAGAAGCACAUGUUGAAUAUUUCGUCAAUGAAUUACUCAAUAUGCGCUUCCCUUUCGAUCUUACUCACAAAUUUAUAAUUUUGAAAAUUACAAUAAUAACAAAUAAAAUAAAUAUGCAAUGCUCCUAUUUAUAAAGAAUAUGUAGUUGGGGUGGUUUAAUAAUUCCAAAUCCACCAAAAUACCCACCCAACUCAUCCUCUUAUUCAUUAUAAAUAAAUUAUUUUUUCGCCUUAAUUUUUAGGAUUUUGUUGUACUACAAUAAAUAUAUAUAUAUAUUCCUGAAAAUAAUAUAUAUAAUAAAGAAAUAAUAUUCAUUAGUUAAAUGCUUUUUAAAAUGUAAUUUUUUAUUUGUAGCUUUUCUUAUUAUUUUAAUAAUAAAUAAAUAAAAAUUAUGGAUUAGAAGAUUAAUUAUAAAAGAGUUUAUAUUUAUAUUUAAUAUAAGAAGUAAUACAUUUUAUGCCUAAAAAAUAAUAAAUAUUAAAUAUAACAUCCAAUUACUCUAAUUAUUUACUAUUUAUUUUUAUGAAUUUAUAUACAUGUAGCCUAUUAGAAACAAAAAUAAAAUUUAAAAGGGGAAGGAAAGUGUGCUUUAAUCACUUCAAUUCCGUUACCUUCAUUUUAAAAUAACCCUUCUCCUUUUAUAUAGUUUUAAGAAAAUUAAAUUUAUAAUUAAAAAAAUUAACAACAUUUAAAAAACUAAUUAAAAAAUUAGUAGUAUCAAGCACGCAUAUAAAAUUUAUUUUUUCGUACAAAAUUUAUUGUCUUAAUUUACCAGGCAUCCACCUAUUAAUUUAUCAAAUAAAUUUAAAAUGAUAAAUAUUCCGAACGAAUUUAAUUUUAAUAUCCACUUAUGACUACCCUCUUAUUCAUUAAUAAAAAAUUAAAAUUAAUUAAUUAUUUAUUAAAUUUCGAAUCCAAAGCCUCAACUGAACACAUUUUUAUUAACAACAAAAUGCUAGGUUCCCUACAAACACCUUUCAAAAACCCAAAUCACCACACAAUUCACGUUCAUGCUUCCAUGCAUGCAUGCAUGCGUACGAUACACCGCCACCGCCGCCGCCACCGCCACCUCCACCUCCACCUCCCCGGAUCACAUAACACAAACAAAAAUUGAAAUCCUACGAAUCAUAGAAACAUUCAUUCUAAGAUCCUUGAGUUGCCUCCUGAGCCUUGUGAUGGACGUACUGUCCGUACUCCUUGGCUCUCUCCUUCAUAUCCCUAGCCUUAUUCGCUAUCCUCAUCCUAGCGUAGUCCAGCUGAUCCGCCCCCGGCGGGUGUUUUCCGGCUACGUACUCGUAUAACCACGACAAUGCCAUCAGCGCUGUCACGCCGCAGCAGCCAGAGAACAAGAACCCGGUUGUCGCCAGGAAUAUGACUGUCCCCGCCGGGACUAGGAUGGGGCUGAACACGACCAGAGCUGGGGUGGCGAUGAUCAGAGCUAUCACCGUUCCGGUUAAGGUUAAUCCGGACAGGACCAGGAGGAUGGUGCCGAUGGUGGCUGCCGUCAAGAACUUGACGGCCUGGCGUGAGGAUGGAGCCGAGUCGUAGAGCUUCGGGGUCACCGGCUUGGGUUGAUCAGACAUGAUGGACGGCUGUGAACGAGGGAGAGGCUUUGAAUAGAGGGUGUGAUGAGCACUGAUGAGAAAGAGAGGUGUGAGGUGGGGUUAUAAAGGAGGAGUGGGGGUACACGUGGAGGCAUGGGAGGCGUCAUCCUCUCGUGAUGCGUGCUGGGUAGGAUGUCUAGGUGGUGGCGUGGCGGGUGCUGGCCUUUGGGAGGCUUUGCACGGGCUUUCGUUGAUGAGGCUGUGCCACGUGCAAUGCACCUACCCUCGCAUGUGCAUUAACGGCUGUCAAUGGGGUUCACGGCCGUUAGUGGGGUUUAAUGAUGAGAAUAUCGAUUUUUAUCAUCCAUGAUUAUAUUCGAAAUUCUAUGCUAUAUAAAACUUAUGCAAAGGUAUCCAUAAAUAAUAUUUCACAAGAUAUAUCAUAAAUAUCACGAAACCUUGACGUGGGGCUUAAAUUGUAUUUUGUUAUUUUAAAUAGAAAAGACAUGAAAUUACCACAAUAUCCUCAUCUUCUUUUCUUAUUUAUUUUACUAUUUUUAAUAAUAAAAAAGGCAUGAGAAUAUUAUUAAUCUCACAUCCCCCUAUUUUUUUCUCAUUUAAAAAUAAAUAAAUAAAGGGUAAAAGGAGGAACUAUCAAAUAAAACCCCUCUUCUUGUGUACAAUACCAAAAUUACUAUUCAUUACACUUUAUGACUUCGCUUCACAUUUGAAGCUAAAAGACAAGGGCAAUUGUCUGCAAUAUGAUCCUUUUUUUUUCUUAUGUAUAAAUACGAAAUACGCGUCAUCUCUUAAUUCUCUUAAGAUGUGAAUGGGCUCAAGGAAAUAGUUAUGGGCUAUGUAAAUAUUAGACUAUCUUACAAAACAAGCAGAUUUUAAUCUGAGAAACCACAAAACAGUGUGCUUCAAAUUGCACUCUAAUCCUACAAAAUUACAUGGAAUUAUCUAUUCAACUAGUUUCAGAAGCCAUUGGAGCAAUCCGAAAAAAUUUGCCUUAAAUUGCCUAAUCUAACAAUGGGGUUGGACCGUAAAACUUGAAUAAGUGAAGAUCAGGAUAGGAGAUCAAUUAGAGCGGCCAGAAGCAAGAAGAUGAUGAGAUUCGUGUAAGCUGCUGCAGCAUUGUGUGAUUAGCAACAAUUUCAGUAUUGGUAUCACAACUAGGAUAAAGGAGACAAUCUUUACCAGUAAUUCAAGAUCACGCUCAAGAAUCCUUCAAAAGCACCUGAUUAGCCGACUGUGGACCGUGAUUCUUCUGAAGCAGAUAUGGUGGAAGAAAGUGUGGAAUGAUUAAUGCCAAUCCCAAACAAAGCAAUAUUAAGAAUCCAACCCACCAAGCUUUGUGCGGUAUGCCUAGCAGUAACUCAUCACAAACUGUCAAGAAAACAAAACAUAUCAGAACUCCUGUGCCAACAAUGUGUGAUAAUGGAAAUGGAAUAUGUAAUUAGUCAUACAUGGCAAAGUAAAAAAUUUAAACAAGGCAAAAGAAAGAGAAGGGGAUGCCAAAGGAAUCAGGGGUACUUGCAGCAAGAAGAGGAAAAAAAAAAAGAGCACCAAUAGAUGCAAUCACAUGAGCUUCUCAACCCUCGUCUGUCUUGCUGAUGAUUGGUUUUCUCUUGGUACUAAGAGUAUCUAUGGAGAACACAUUGAAUAGAAGAAAGUACCAUCUUCUCAAACAGUAGGCAUAUGCUAUAAGCGCUUGGGGUCGAUUGUGUUGUACCAUGAAAAGAUUAGUGGUUUCAUUAUAUUCUGUUGUCAUCAGAUUGAUCAAAAAAAAAAAAAAAAAAAAAUUUCUGUUGUGUCAUGAGUUUUCAUUAUAUUCUCAUGUCAAGAGUGCUUAUAUAUCAUUACAAAAUUUUUUAGAGAUCCAACAGAGAUCCAAUAUCCAAGUUCUUUAUUCCAAAUAUGGACAGAAUUAAAUUCACAGAUUAUUUCAGAGCAUUCACAUUUACUAGAUGAUUACAUCAACAAGCAUCCACUAAUAUGUUGUGAAGUUCCUUAAACAUGCAGUCAAAACACUAGCAAACUUUUGUUAACUUAAGGCUUGAUUUGUUUUGAACGAAAAUGGUCCCUAGAAUAUCUUUCUUGUGACAGUUUCUUCAAGUUUCAAUUUAUAGACUUCUAUUUUAAAGCUUGGAAAAUUUUUGCAUGUUUUUCCAGUUCACUUUGGAAACUUUUGUUAACUUCAAGGCUUGAUAUGCAUUGUUUGUCUACUACCUAAUAACUUAAGUUUUUGGGUCAUUUGGUAGCUUGGCAUUUUUCACAUCUAAAUGCACUGCACCAGUCUGUGUAUGACAGACAUUUUCCAAACACAUUUGGACAGAAAAUCAUGGUUCAUUUCUAGUUAAGUUUAGCAGGAAAUUACUGUCAAGGUACUUCAACGAUAUCUUUUUAGUAAUUUCUCCAAAUAUUACAUGCUUUUCAGAAGUGAUAACUUCCAAGUACCAAUUAUAUUGUUACAUUUCAAUUGUAAUCAUGUCUAAGUUAAGGACUUUACAUGAAGCAAUUUCAAAAGCAGGUAGAAAUGGCAACAAAUUGUAUUAUAGCAACUCAAGACCAUAGUUGUGAAAGGCGUGCCAACACCACCCUCCGGCGCCUCGCCUGAAGGCAAGCGACGCCCCUUUAGGAAGGCGCCACGUAGGCACGCAAGGCGCGACACGGUCGCCUAACUUGCCUCCGGCCAGGUACGCCCUCCUUCUCCUUCUUCUCCUUCUCUUCUUCAGUCGCCGUCGGGCUGCAAAGGGUUGGGGCUAGGGCUGAGAAGCCCUAAUUUUUUAUUUUUUUUAUAUUUUUUGGGUCCAAAAUGACAUCGUUUUAGCCCUUUUUAUUUUAAAAGGAACAUGCCAAAAUGACGUUGUUUUGGAGCUUGUUCCUUUUUUUUAAAAAAAAGGGGGCCAAAACGGCGUCGUUUUGGAGCCUGUUCCUUUAAAAAAAAAACAGACCAAAACGAUGCUGUUUUGGCCUUAUUUCCCUUCCAGCCCCCUUUUUCUGGUAUUUUUGAACUUGACACCACUCCCAAUCAUGCCCUAGCCUCAGCCGUGCAAUGGAAAAGUGAAGAAGAAGAAGAAGAUGAGGAAAAAUAGAGGAAAAAUAGGAGAAAAAUAGAGGAAAAUUAGUCACGUACCUUCCGGGACCCCAUCAUGUUCAUUAAAUUGAAGUUUUGGAUGAUAUUUAAUAAUUUAUGUGUUUAGGACAAAUAAAUGAUUAUUAUAUUUGAUUAUAUUAUAUAAAAAUAUAUAUGUAAAUUAGGGUGCGCCUCACUUCACUAAAGCCCGUGCCUUAGGUGCACCUUGCGCCUCAGGCUCCAGGACUAUUUUGCGCCUUGGUGCGCCUUGAGCCUUUUAAAACUAUGCUCAAGACUUGUUCAAGACUCCAUUCACCCAACCGAAGGUUUGCAAAGAAACUGAAGAGAAGUGUCAUAACCUUCUGCCAGAUAUCUAAAUGAACUGACUUCAUUACAGAUCCCACUAUGGGGCAACGAUUUGCACAUUUUAUGUUAAAACAUAACAAACAGUCCUGCUUCCCAAAUCUUUAAAGCCCUAAAACCCUAGCUCUAACUCUUAUCCUGAAUCCAGCAACUUCUGGACUUCAAAAAAUUAACCUUAUUCUAAUAUACUUCAUCUAUAAAGCCUAGUUAGUCAUUUCCAACAUUAACAACCUUAAACUCACAAGCCAGCCAAUGACUUAGACCUGAUUGUAGAAAACAUUAUUCUAAGAGUUGGAAUGUAAGUUUGGCAUUGCUUUACAGCAGUAAAUCUGUGAUGCUAAUAACUGAUAGGUGUCAUACAUUGUAUGAAGAGUUCCUGAAUUACCUAUAUUGAAAAUGACCAGUUCCCUCUCCCUUGUGUGUGGUAUUGCCACAACUCCAGCAGGCUCCACAGUGACCAGAACAUACAUUCCAUCCUGAGCAGAAUUCUAAAUUCAGCUUCUUAAAAUGGUGAAAACUGAAAACAUUCAAAAGCUUGGUAUCAUAAUCUAACCUGAAUGCUAAAUAAGUCAAGAUUAUCAGUUUUGAAAAUUAACUUUUCAGUAUUAAGUAAUCUCCUCUUCCGGUUCAGCCCCAAAUCUGAAUUGCCUCUCUUCAGUUGUAUAGAAAAGCUGGCAGGUAUCUGUUAUUCAAUAAAAUGAGGUCAGCUUUCACAAAACGGAAGCUGAUAAAGCAACAAUAAGAGGUGUAACAUACAUACAGAAGCUGGAUAUGAUAUCUUCACUUCAUACCACGUAUAUGGUUUGAGCCCUUGCAAUUGAUAAAGGCAAGAACCCAUUUGUAGUUGUAGAGUUUCCUUCCAUAGCUCCUUGCCAACAUUCAAAACUUUGCUAUCAAUCCUGCAAAAGUGUAUGGAAAAAUAUAUUUCUCAGUUCAAGCAAAAGAAAAGGCAUUAAUAAGAUACUACAAUAGAGUGCUGAUAUCAAAGCAAAUCAGAUGCACAAAGAUCGAGUAUACUAACAUGUCUCCAUGACUGGAAGGAAGGCCACUGAAGAUGAGACCAAGAAUAUAGAGAAGAAUAAACAACUUGUUCAUAAAUAAACAACACAUCUAUAUAUUAAUGGAGCACCCUGUCAGCUGCAACUUCUUGUUCCUAGAAAACCAGCACAAACAUAAUUCAGACAACAGAGCCUGUUUCUCAACUGCAGAGAACUCUUUUGCAAAAUUUUAGUAGAUUUAGUGCAGUUUUGUUUAGAUCACAAAAGAAAUUUAAAACAAAAAGAAAAAAAAAAAGGAUAUAUCAGUGUCCUCCAUUCAAGAUCAGCAGGGGAGAACAGCAGUACAAGAAGUCUGUUUUUCCUGCCCCAUGCUGAAUUCAGAGUGGAAGACCCAUGGUAGGUGGUCCAAGAAAUUUUCAGCAGAAUCUACAUGUGUGCAUAUUAAAGUCGUAAACAUCAAAUUACCCCAAAUAACAAAAUCAUAAUGAAGAUAAUGAAUUACAAAAACAAGGCAGUAUGUGGAACAGAGAGGAAAGAACCAAAAUGAAUCAAUUCAUGGCAUCAAAUAGAGCAAAAUAAAAUGUCAUCGUGUUUUUGUUCCAAGGAAUAUAACUAGAACUUGACAAUUUGGAUCCAGAAAUGCCUUAUCCAAAUAUUUUUGGGCUCGGCACAAUGAAACACAAUCAAAUUUAUGAGAUCCUUAAUUUGCUCAUUCAGCACAUAAUUUGAGUGCCCAUUAAAUCAAACACGAUCAAACUGUGGACAAAAAACAAGCCAUUUUCAAGUAAAUAUACGAGUGUGAACUAUUCAAUCCAUUUUUUUUUUAAAUAUUGUGCUGCUUCUGCUCUCCAUCCAUGUGAUUCAUCUUUUAUUUAUUGUGGUAUGGCACCAUCAUAACUUUGCAAACCGUCUAGUUGCUAAGAAGAAUGAGGAAAAAUGGAAAUUACACACUAACUAAGAUCUGCACUCAAUGUAACCUAAGAUGAUUGCCUUAUUUAUAUAGAUGCUUAAAACUUCAGUGACAAGGGGAAAACAAAAAUUUGAAUCCAUCUUUCAAAUGUUUAAGUUACAAAUAUGUGAAAGCUCACCUGAACUAAGUAAUUGGCUUGGAUGGUUGUUUUGAUGCAAGGUCGGAUUACACAAAACCCCACAAAUAAUAAACAAAACUAUUGAAACACAAACACAAAGUAAAAACUAUAAUUCCUAAAUUUUAAUGUUGUUGAUUCUUUCAGCACUCAAAACAAAGGAAACAAAAACAUAUAAUUAUAUGACCAAAUUUAAAACCUUGUCAUCCACUUGAGAUUAACCCAUUAACUUUUAACCAGCUUGCCAUACACCGUUUAAGCUUUCAGUGCAAAUGGUAUUUUAAUGUGAUAACGGAACUUCCGUUUCUAUCUGAUUAUUCCCCAUUUAUGGAACUCCUGAGGAGGCUGCAGGUGAGCCCCUUUAACCUUUUCCUCUAGGGCUAAGCAGCAAUUUAAGACGACUCCAAUAUCAGUAUAAAUAGUGUAAAAAAACUUGAAUACAUCAAAAUUCACUAAUCAACAAAGAUUUUGCCAACGAGAAUCAGCAAUGAAGCGGAAGACACCCAACCGAUUCCACAACAAUUAUUCCAUCUCUUUCCUCAAAUAAUUUUUUGCCCAAAUCCAUACAACCAUGACCCUGAUUCAAUUCACUUCCAAGUUCUACUCGUAUCAUAGAAAUUACCUAAAAACUUCCUCAAUUCCGAUCUAGCAUCCUGAAAAAACCCAGUCAAAUAUUUCCGGACUGUUUAACAAUCAAAACAUUCCCUAAAUCCACAAAAUCAGAAUUCUUCAGAAUCAAACCCGAACACAUUCUCCAAAAGCAACAAUAAUUACAAACCGUCAAUAAAACCACACUCUUCAUUAUUAUGAUAGUACUUCCUUCGAGAAAUCAAAACCCUAAUACAGAGUCGUCAGGCGAGAAGUCAUCGAUUGGGAGAAAGAAGUUGAAGAAAAGAUGGAUCGGAAAGAGAAAGAGAGAAACACUGACCUGAGUCGAUCACACAGAAACGCCCCUCAUUUUUCAAAAUCCUUAAAAAAUCAGUCUUUAGCAAAAAUUAAAUUUUUUCAUAAACUUUAUUUAAAAAAAAGAAGUUUGUUUUUACUUCUUAUUUUGAUCAUAAAAAAUAUAUAUAUAUUUAUUAAUUUUUUUAGAGCAUUUAUUAUUCCACGGAGUUGUGUGAUUUGUGUCUACGAAUACCCGUACCGUACGCGUGUGCUGCUGCUACUACAAAAGGCCAAAGGCAACAUGCGUAAAACGCUGCGUUUUACUAAAAACGACGGCGUAUUGAGGCUUCCAGUGGAAAAAGUGACCAAAACCAAAACCGUAACCCCCGCUCAAACCGAAGCCAAGAGCGAAAACCCAAAUGCCACAGACUGCAAAGUUUCAUUCCAAGAAUCGAAGAUAGCAAAAUGGUUAGAAAUCGAUUCUGGGUUUUCUCCCUUUACUCUUCUGAUUAUCUUCAAUAACUGUAAAUCAAGUUUGAUGAAUUGUGUCUUCUUCUUUCUUUCUUUCUCCGUUUCAGUUCUCAAUUGCAGCCAUUAAUGAUACAGAUUCCAAAGGUCAAUGGGAACCCCUAGCGCCCACCAAGGAAGCCCAGGCAUCUCUCUCCGUCUCUAUCUCUCAUAUAUAUGUAUAUGAUUUUGGGACAAUUGUUUUGAAUUAUUAGAAAUUCCUCGUGAAUUUUUGCCAUUUCUGAGCUAAAUUGGAACUCUAUUGUGUGUUUUUAUAUCAUGCAUGAAAGUAUAUUUCUCUCCUUUCUUUAAUGUGGGUAUGGGGGUUCAGCUGUUUUAUUGGUUGCAUUGAGGAGAAAAUUGAUUACUUGCAUUAGACUAGAAAAUAACUAGUGGGACAGUUAGUGGGUGUUGGGAUAUCUCGCUUUUGAACUCACCAAAACCCUAAAGUGGCUUGUUUGGUUGCUGAGAAAAGUGCGGAGAAGUAACGAGGAGAAAAUUUUGAUCCUGUGUGCCAGGGUUCAGCCCCUUUAUUUGCUAGGUGCUUUUUAUUAUGAAUUCUUGUCUGCCCAUUAGAAGUCGCUUACUUGACAAUAUUGCACUGUCACUCUGUGUUUUUUUUUUUUGAAAAUCAAUUAAAUCUUAUUUUAUUUAUGUGCCCCAUAAGCUGUUAUUUAUAUUUGGUCAUUUCAUGAAUUUUAUCUUUCAAACUUAUCAUGAAGGGCUUUGUAAAUUGCAAACUAAAGAAUAGAAGCGUAUUUUUUCUCCUUUUUUUUGUUUUUUUUUUUUUUUUUUCUCGGUGGGGAUUUAGCUAUUUUCCUGGUUGCAUUGAGGAGGAAAUUGGUUAUUUGCAUUAGACUAGAUAAUAAUUAGUGGGACAGUUAGUGGAUGUUGGGAUGGUUUGCUUUUCAUCUUAGAAAAACCCUAAUCUGGGUUCUUUUGGUUUCUGAGAAAACUGAGGAAAAAAAAGAAAAGAAAGUUUUGAUACUGUGUGCUAGGGUUACACCCCCUCUCUCUUUGCUAGGUGUUUUUUAUUAUAAUUUCUUGUUUAUCCAUAAAAUCUAUCAUGUUUACUGUUCUUUUUGAAAAUCAAUACUUAUUUUAUUUAUGUGCUUUGUAUGUUGUCAUUUGUCUUUGACCAUUUCAGGAAUUUCAUCUUUCACAAACUUAUCAUGAAGGACUUCGUAAAUUACAAGCUAAAGAAUAUGAGAAGGCUCGAGAACUUUUAGAAGCUGUCCUCAAAGAUCCUCUGAUAUCAAAGGCUCAAGUACUACUAGCUCUAAAGGGUCUUCCUGUAUAAAAUUCUGCUCUUGAGUUGAGCCAUUCUUUUCUGAACCUUUUUUUUCCUGUCUUUCAGGUGGAUAGCAAUGCGACUGAUGGGCAUCUGUUACAGCUCAGGUUUUGUGUUUAUGGUCCAUUUUUAUUGCUGACAUGUAGUUUAUAUAUUUUAUUUUAUUUUUCCUUCCAACUUUCCUAUGGUUCCCCAGAGUUUGAAACUUCAAGUUUAUCAUUCUAUUUGUUCACUACCACCAUCACCAUCGUCAUUGUUAAUUUCCUCCCUUAACCAAUUAGGGGUUAGCUCAGUCUUUACAUCCACAUUGUCCAGAAAUAUUUUUCUUGGUUUUCUCGAGGAGCUAGUGUUGUGCUGUAUGAGUUAAUAUUAUAUCCCCUCUCCUGAAGAGUUAAUAAUAUAUCUUUGAAGAGUAAUUUAAAGUGGUAUGCAUAAUCAACAUCAUCAGUGCAGCAAUUGCAGCUUGUCAUCUCUCCCAGUGUGUCUGUAGAAGCUGUAAGGGUCUUAAGAUAUUCUGCAACAGCAUAAUUUUCUUCCAUUAAAAGUUAAAAGCUAUCUCAAAUUGGAUUCUAAUUCGCAUUAGGGAUACGAUGCCUGGGUUGCAUUUUAUGCUGGUAUUUGGAUCAUCAAAAUCCUAAAAUAUUAUUAUCAAUUGUAUCAUUGGGGCUCUGAGAUUUGACUGGCUCCUUUUGAUGGUAUUAUUUAAGGAAGCAUGCUGUCUAUUGUUUUUGUUUCCCUCUCUGAUGGUACCAAAAAAGGAGUUGGCUUAUGAAAAAUGGUCCUUUCAACAUUCUGAUGAGACAAGCAAAUUCCUGAGAUAAAAACACAUGUGGAGCUCCAUUUGGUUGUGGGGCAGGGGGUGGUGUUCAUGAGUGGUUUUCAUUCACUUUAGAAAAAAAAAAAAUACAAAGAUGAAAAAUAAUAUUUGGGUUUAAUAUUAAGUUAUUUGGUGAACCCAAAAUAUCAACUCCAGCAUCUAGUUAGUAAUCAUGCAUGUGCAAGAAAUGCAGUAGUGUAUUUAAUCAUCACAAGUUGAAGCUCUAUUUUAAACUGCCUAAUCAAUAAAAUUGAACCUGUAAAUCAUCUUGAAAACUUUUUAUCAAUUCUUCUUGCUGCAUUUUAGAAGAAUUCUGCCAUGCCAGCUAAUUAAAUCUUACACAUUUCUAAAGAGUGUGGGAGAAUCAGUUCUUUUCUGUGCAAUGUUGUUCAGAGUCCAAUGUUUGCUUUAUUCUUCGGCUGAUUUUUCUACAGGUGAUUAUGUCAAUCAAACUAUCUAUUUACCUGGGAAACUUUGUUAUGUACAUGUUCCUAUAGAUAUGCUCACAUAGUCUUUUUGCAGAUUUUUGGUGCUGAAGAAUCUUGCCACUGUUUUCCUUCAACAAGGUUCUGACCAUUAUGAGAGGGCUUUAAGCUGCUACCUUCAAGCUGUAGAAAUUGACACCAAGGACUCUGUUGUCUGGAACCAGCUAGGAACCUUAUCAUGCUCAAUGGGAUUAUUGAGCAUUUCACGUUGGGCAUUUGAGCAGGGGCUUUUUUGCAGCCCUAACAAUUGUAAGUUUUUGUGGUCCUUUUGGAUAGGUUAUGUUUGUUAUUCUCUAAAUGGAGGCUCUUUUGAGUUUGUAAUUCUAUUGGUAUUUUCUCUGUGGAAAAUCAUAGUCAUCUAGAUUAUUUUUUCUUUCAGUCUACCUUGACAAGUGUAUUUGUUUUCCAUGGAACAUUACAAUUGUGAUAUUUUUUCUCCUGUUCUGGAUUGUGUGUUCAGGGAAUUGCAUGGAGAAACUCUUGGAAAUUCUUAUUGCUAUUGGCGAUGAGGUUGCCUGUCUUUCUGUUGCAGAAUUGAUCUUGAGGCACUGGCCAUCACAUGCUCGUGCAUUGCAUGUCAAAAAUACCAUUGAAGAGUCGGACCCAGUUCCAUUUGCUCCACGAGGUAUAGAUAAACUGGAACCUAAACAUGUUCGACUUAAAUUCCCUGAAAAGAGAAAGGCAGAAGAUGAAAAUAUAGGUGAGGGUAUUUCAUUGAAAAAGCAGAACCAGAAUAUAGAUCUCCACCUGGCAGAAGCCUCAUGGGCGGCCCUCACUGAUGCACUGCUGGCAAUCUUACAUCCACUGAAUGGAUGUGGUUCUGAGCUGGGAGCUGAAAAAAUGUGCACAUCACCCAAUAUCAGAUUAAGUAUACACUUGCCUUCUAGUGCAGAAAAUAUUGUGCCGCCUGGUGAAAGGAAAGGGCUCAAGUUUAAUCCAGUUGGUGAAAAUAUGUGUCUGGGUGAUUGUAAGUCUGAAAGAGCAAGUACUCUAAAAGAAAAAGAAGCAAAUGCUUUUGAAGAACAACCUCAGGAGAGGCGGAGUACCCGUCUUGAAAGGCUUCGGAGUCGUAAACCUGAGAAAGAAGAAGUAGAUUUUGCCUCUGGUAAGGAUCUGCCGAAAGCAGUAAUUCAGUUUCUGGAACCUUUUAUUGUUGGUGGACCAGGACUUAGAAAUUCUGAUCAUUCUGCUAGUUCGUCUGCUUCUUGUCCUGAAAGUCAAGCUAAUCUAUCAGAGAAUGAAUGUAGUGAUGUUGCUAAAUUUGUGAAGGAAACUUCAAAAAAUUAUGGUGCUCACCAUAUGGGUCACUUGCUUUUAGAAGAGGUUGCAAAUAGAGACCUUUUAUAUCAGGAUUAUUUUAUCAAAUUCCUGGAGUUGGAGAAAUUGACUAGACAUGGGGGCCUGGAUAGAACACCUGAAUGUAGUCUUUUUCUUGCUGAGCUGUACUAUGACCUUGGUUCAUCUUCUGAGGCAUCCAGUCUGUCAGACUACAUGGAGGAUGUAACAUACCAUCUUUGUAAGAUCAUUGAAUCAGUAGCUUUGGAAUAUCCUUUCCACUCAAGUGGAGUAGCCGGAAAUGCAAAUUGUUCUUUAACUGAUAGUGGUCAAGGUGCUGGUAGAAUAUCACUGGACAACUCUGUUAGCCAGAAUUCACUUUUAGACAGCUCAUUCUUGAGCAAUAAACAGUUUUUUUGGGUUCGGUUUUUCUGGUUAAGCGGGCGAUUAUCUAUUUUGGAAGGUAACAGGGCAAAAGCUCAGAAUGAAUUUUUGAUUUCCUUGUCACUUUUGUCUAAGAAGGAAGAUACGAAAGACACUCUUGGUUCUGUCCACCUGCCAUACUGCAAGUUUACUAAAGAGCUAACCAUUGAUAGAGUUCUCCAUGAAAUUAAUCUAUUAAAGAUUGAUUUCCUCCUGAAGCAGACUGUGGGUGAGAUGAUCGAGAAAGAAAUGUAUUUGGAAUGUGUAAACUUAAUUGCUCCACUUCUGUUCUCUACAAAAGAUGCUCACCUUGACAUGUUGCCUGCUAAAGAAGCUGAGGGGGUUACAUCAGUUGAACUUUCUGCUAUAGAUGUUUUGAUAAAAGCAUGUGAAAAGGCAAAGCUAGUAGACACCGAGUUGUAUUUGCUUUGUCACAGGAGGAAGCUGCAAAUACUCACUGCCGCAGCUGGUAUGGAAGAGUAUCUUACUUCACACAAACCCUUCCAUGAGAGGUCAGGGUCAAAAACACUUUCUGCUUCUGAAAUAGAAUCACAAGAAAGUUCAAGCAAGCACUGGAAUUCCUUGGUGGCAGAGGAAGUGAAGGCAAUUUCCCAGUGUGCAUCACAAGUGAAGAGCUUCAAUGAUCAAUGCGGAGAAUCUGUAAGUUAACUUCUUCUUCAGAAGUUGAUGUGUUGUAGGAACGUGGUUUUACACAUAAUCCAGAUGUGGUAGAUAGACAAUUGCAUAUAAUAAUAUUAGAGAAGCAACCUUGUCACGGAGACAUAACUUAUCACAAUUGUUCCUGGGCAUAGUUGCUAUGUUUGCUCAUAUUUCAAACUUCAUUUAUUAGACUUGUAGGUAAUAUUGAAAUUGAUAUUUUAUGGAGACCAAUUCUGUAAUAGCAGAAACAUUUCUUUUGUGUUCAGAACAUACGGUUCAUACAAGCUUAGAGAUGAAAAAGGAAAAUAGGAACAUUUCCUUCUAAGAACUUAUACUUUUACAAGUUCUUUGAAUUUGGAACAUGUUCGAACCUCCAAACUCCAAAGAUUGAAGCACUGGUGAGGAAUGUUUUAAAAGGUCAUUGAGGAUUAUGCCCUGAGGCUCACUUCAAGGCAAGAUGCUGUGAAUUAGUCUUGAGGCUAUAGCUUCAAUACAGGGUAAUUGAUGCUUAAGCCUCGCCUUGUUGGGGCUUGCAGCAUUGAGGCUAUGGUCUUGAGGUUGAUGAGGUUUAAGCCCUGAAAUUUCAAUUAGUUUUAAUGGGUUUUGGGCCUUUGUAGGCUUUUGAUAUACAUUUUAAAAGAAGUUGAUGCCUCAAAUAUUCAAUCAGUUUUAAUGGAUUUUGAGCUUUUGUGAAGUUCUGGUAUAUAUUUUAUAAGUCUUGAGUCUUAUUUCUAGGGUUUUGGUUAAACCUUGACAAAAAUAAGGCUUAGCUUGCUUCUAUUAAACCUUUUACAAAAGUAAGGCUUAGCUGGCUUCUAUUAAGCCUUUUGUAAAGAAACAAAAAAAGGGAAAAAAAAAGAGAGAUUGAGAAGAAGAAAGAGAGUUGUUGAUUAUUGUAGUGGUUUGGCAAAUGUGCAAUCAGUAUCUUGCAAUUGAUAGAUAAAUGAACAAAACCAAUGGGGGAUGAGGAAGAAGAAUUGAUGGAUAACAUUGAUGAGGAAGAUGAUAGAUCUGGAAGAUCCUGUUAGUGAUAGUAAUGGUGUUGCUGAAGAUUAUUUCAUGGAACCAUUAGAGAAAAUUGGACCUUGAAAUAGAGAAAGAGAAACUAAACUAGAAAUAAUUGAAAAUUCCAAAUAAUGAAUUCUCUUAUUAUGAAUUUAAUGGUUUUCUUAUUGUUAUACUUUUAUGUGAACUUAUUAGUAUUUUUCUGAUUUUUUAUUUAUUAUUUAUUUCUUGUUUAAGUUUUCUCCCUUGAGGCUUAUUCCUCAUCCCAUUUAGGCAAAAUGCCUCAAGGCCACCUUUAGGCUUUUAAAACACAUGUUGCUGAGUGUUAGGUCCUCCAAAAUUUCAAAUCAAACCUCACUGAAUAUUAACUGCCACAGGCCAUCUAGCCUUUUCCAUAGUACUACAGACACAAUAGUAGAUACUGCUUUUGAUUUAUUGCUUAGCCUUACUAUCAACCUCAUCUUGCUCUUGUUUGGAGAAUCUUUUAAAGGAAAUAUUACACAUGUUCAACAUGUGUAGCUAUGUUUCAAGAUUACAAUUAAAAAAAAAUUGUUGUUGCAUGUAUCACUUAAACGAUUAAGUCCCUCGAUAAUAUCAUAUCCCUUAAUGAUUCUUAGUGUUAAUAAUUACUAACCAUGAAAAAACUGCCUGAAAAUUCAUUAAGUCAUGGACACUAAAAGAGAAAAUACCAAAAAUAUCUUUUCAAGUUUGAAUGACACUAAAUAUGAAUAUAGAUGAACAGAUUGAUUGAAAUAUUGUUGAAAACUUCCCAAAUUUGAACAUGAGGUGCCCAUAUUAGCUUGGAUCUAAUUUGGAUACUUUAUUUCAAAUUAUGAUAGUGAGUUGCAUAUGGUUUUCUUGAAAUGUUUUUUUUGUGAUUGACUUCUCGUGGUGAGCAUUAGAGUUUUCUAGGCAAAUUGCCAAUUUCCGUUAAGUCCAUGCUUGUUUAGGGUGGUUACCACGUGCUACAUCCAAUUUCUGAUAAUUGGUUCUGGUAAGAUUCCAAAGCAAAGUCAUGUUACUUCCAAAAAUUGUUGAAAAAUUCCCAAAUUUGAAUGUUAGGUGCCCAAAUUAGCUUGGAUCUAAUUUGGAUACUUUAUUUUAAAUUAUGAUGGUAAGAUGCAUAUGGUUUGCUUGAAAUGGUUUUUUGCGAUUGACAUCUUGUGGUGAGCAUUAGAGUUUUCCAGGCCAAAUUUCCAGUUUCCGUUAAGUACAUGCUGGUUUAGGGUGGUUACUACAUGUUACAUCCAAUUUCUAAUAAUUGGUUAUGGUUGAUUUAUUUUUAUGAUUCCAAAGCAAGGUUCUAAUUUACAGAGAAUGCAAUAUAUUUUUAUAAUCUAAUUCAAUUGGUUGCUAAUCUGCCACUUGUCUCAAAAGAUUAAACUGUAGGGAUGAGGACAACAAUGUUAUCAAACUACCUAUCAAGCCUCAACCACCCCCCCCACCCCCUGAAAGGCGAUACUUGCACUCAAGGCGUAAACACCCAUGGAAUAUAGGUGCAAAGUGCAGCCCAAGAUGUGGGCCUGAGGCACAACCUAAUGGAGACAUGCAAUUUUGUAUAAUCCAAAAUGCAAUUAUAUAGAAACAAAUAUUGCUUACUUUCACAUGCAAUAAUGCAAUUAUAGAAGUUAACACGCUGGCAUUUAUCAUAGAUGACCAAAAAUGAGUUUUUUUUUCCAGCAUAAGGUACAUAAUGCAAACAUAGUUUUAAGUACCAUGAUUAAACUGAGCUGUGAGCCAUAAAGGCGGUAAAAUGAGUCGUGAUAGUGAAUCUUCUCCUAGAAAAGCUCUAAAUUUUGGCUUCAGAAUGAGAGGUGGGGGUUCCAAUUUUUUGGAAUGUGAGAGAGGAUAAAUUGGGUGUUUAGGGCUUAGAUUUAUUGGGGAGCAGAAACAAGACAGCGUUGUUUUGUCUUAUGAAUUAAAGGGAAAAAAAAAGCAGAGACAAAACACGUCAUUUUGUCAUAUUCUAUCAAAAAAAUGAUGAAGCGGCAUUGUAAACAUCUGGAAAGAAAGAGGGCUCAGGUACACGUUUAGCAUACCUAAGCUUUCCAUACAAAGUGCGCUCCAUUUGCCAUUUUUCGUACAUGAUUGAAUGUAUCUUGUCUGAGGCUGAGCAAGGUGCCAAGCCUGGUGGUUAGAUGUGCCUUAAGUGUGCUUUUUACAACUAUGUUCAUUGAGGCAGAAAAACAUAUGUCAGGUAGGAGACAACCAAAGGGGAAUAAAUUGAUUGGGAGGCUUGAACGCAAGUCUGUUUUUGAACUCUCACUUGACUCAAAAGCUUUAGCUCUCAGGGAAUAUGCCAACAAUGUAUAUCAAGCUAUAUAUCAAGCUGAGAUUAAUACAUUUUCUGCAUAAAUUUAGAAUGCUACAUUUCAAGUCCAAUGUAUGAUAGUUUUCAUGCUUGCAGAAUGCCAUUAUUGUUCCGAUGAGCAUCAUUGGUGACAUUCAAACUUUGCUGCUGGCAGUCAUGUGCAAUUUUGCAAACACAUUCCUCAAAAAGAAAUCUUCUGGGCUAGUAACUGUGGAUCAAUCUGAGCAAAAGCAGAGAUGCUGCUUUGUUGACAUAGCCAUUGCAUUCUGCAAACUUCAACAUCUCAAUCCAUCUACACCUGUUAAAGCUCAUGUAAGUCUUAUCUUCUGAUUGUGAGGAAAUGAACCUCAUAUAUAAGUUGGUCAUCCAAAGACAGUAUUAUUAUUAUUAUUAUUAUUAUUAUUAUUCUUGUUGUAGUUAUUAAAUUUUUUUCCCUAUCUUUUAUGUUAGAUUGAAUUAGUUGUGGCAAUCCAUGACUUGCUUGCUGAGUAUGGUCUCUGCUGUGCGGGUGACAGUGGCGAAGGGGAGGAAGGAACAUUUCUCAAACUUGCAAUAAAGCAUCUACUAGCCUUGGAUAUGAAGCUGAAAUCCAACUGUCAGUCUUCAAACAGGGAAACAACUCAAUGUGAUGAACAGAUUUCUCAUAAUAAUAAUGUUAAAACAUCUCUAAAUGAAUUAAAAUCAGAUGCAUUAAAUAUGGAAUCAGGUCGAAUGGAACUAGACGAAGAUCAUGCUGUAGAGAAGGAUGUUCUUGAACGGAUGGCUACCAAAGGCAUUUUAUGUAAAGGUCUAGCAAAAGACACUGCAGGAGCAACAUUUGGGGAACAUGGCAGUGUUGGUCCUGAUGGAAAGUUCAAUAAAGUUGAAAAAAUAAGUGAUGAAUUUGUUGAAUGUGGAAAAGAACUUACCGAAGAUGAAAGGGAGGAGCUUGAGUUAGGAAUUGAUAAUGCUUUGGAUCAAUGUUUUUUCUGCUUAUAUGGUUUAAACCUUAGAUCUGAUUCUUCCUAUGAUGAUGAUCUAGCCUUGCACAAAAAUACUAGCCGUGGAGAUUAUCAGACCAAGGAACAGUGUUCUGAUGUCUUUCAAUAUAUACUGCCCUAUGCAAAGGCCUCAUCUGUGAGUAUUUUCUCUCCCACUUCUUUUCAUUUGGUUUAUUUUCUUGUACAAAGUUCUUAUGUUUCCUUAAGGAAGAUAUCAUUGACAAUCUUAUUUUUUUUCCUAUGUUUGUUUUGGCUGCAUGACAUAUGUAUUAGAGGACUGGGUUGAUUAAACUACGGAGAGUAUUGAGAGCUAUACGCAAACACUUUCCACAACCUCCAGAAGAUGUUUUGGUUGGAAAUCCAAUAGAUAAAUUUUUAGAUGAUCCUGAUUUAUGUGAAGAUAAACUUUCAGAGGAGGCUGGAUCUGAUGGCUUUGUUGAAUCCAUAAUGAAAACAUUUCCUGAUGCAGGAGGCAUUAAACAAUACAAGGCUCCAUCAGUGGGGAGGUAUACAUGUGCAAAUUCUUUUGUAUGGGUCAUUUUUCUUAUAAUUAAUGAGUCAAACCAUGAAGUCCUUUAAUGCUCAUAAAGAACUAUGUGUUUGUGUUAAUACCAACUGCAGCUCACAGCCCUAUUUGGAGGUUUAUUGCAACUUGUAUUAUCUCUUAGCUCAGUCUGAGGAAACGAAUGCAACCGAUAAAUGGCCUGGUUUUGUACUCACCAAGGAAGGGGAAGAAUUCGUACAGCAAAAUACAAACCUUUUCAAGUAUGAUUUAAUGUAUAACCCUCUACGCUUUGAGAGUUGGCAGCGACUUGCAAAUAUAUAUGAUGAGGUAAAAUUUACUUUUUAUUCGUCAUCUUCACUGGGAAUGCUGGUCAUCUUAGUUGGGAUUUUAAGGCUUCGAUGAGUAUUUUCAUUUGUGAAUCUGCAAAAGCACAAGCCCAAAUUUGUUUUGGUUUUCAUGAUUCCUUCACAGUUUGAUUUGUUGAAGAAAUUUCUUUGGUUCCACUAAAACAGGAGGUGGAUUUGCUGCUAAAUGAUGGAAGUAAGCAUAUAAAUGUUGCUGGAUGGAGGAAGAAUGCUAGUUUACCUCAGAGGGUUGAGACAAGCCGAAGGAGGAGUCGGCGGUGUUUAUUAAUGAGUUUGGCCUUGGCCAAGACAUCAGUUCAGCAGGUUUUACCCUAUAACCAUUGCAUACUUUUAUUGGCAAGGGGUAAAUUUCUUUAUUUUUGGUCCUCUAUGGGAGCUAUUCCCAAUAUUUUAGAUUUUGACACUUGAACAUAGCACUUUGCUCUGUGUAACUGGCUUGCAACAGGAAAGGAUUCAACAAAUAGAGAUCCCAUGAGGAUUUAUCAAUGGUAAAUUGGGACGAUCAGAUGAUUUUUGAUCCAUGAUGCCUGCCACGUCACUUUUUUGGUUGAUUGUUUUAUUAGAAAUGUCAAAUAUAUUCUUCAAUUGAUGGUUUAAAAUAAUGCAAUAAUGAUGAUUUUCACAUUAAAAACUCCUUAAUGGGGCUGAUCUUGUGGCUAAUCCUGCAGGUUGCACCAGUAAAUAUUUACUAUGUAUCCAGUCAAGUUUCUUAAGAACUUUAAAUUUGGAUGAGAAACUUAAAUGCAAGUGGUUCCAUGUUGAUCAUUUAGAAAAUAUUAUUUGUAACAGUUGUGAUGAACUUUUUGUGCUUCCAGUCUGAGAUACACGAGUUAUUGGCAUUGGUAUACUAUGACAGCCUUCAGAAUGUGGUACCAUUUUAUGAUCAACGAUCAGUUGUACCCUCAAAGGAUGCAGCAUGGACAAUGUUCUGUCAGAACUCAAUGAAACAUUUCAAGAAAGCCUUUGCACAUAAGUACAUCUGAUUUCCUUCACCACUAUCCUUGUUUUAUUUCUUAUUUUUGAAAUAUAAGCCCAACCAACCUCUUUAUGCUUUCUCUGAUUACAGGCCAGAUUGGUCACAUGCAUUCUACAUGGGAAAACUCUCUGAGAAGCUUGGAUAUCCACAUGAGCUAUCGUUUUCUUAUUAUGAUAAGGCUAUUAAUUUAAAUCCAUCAGCUGUGGAUCCUUUCUACAGGAUGCACGCUUCUCGUUUAAAGUUACUUUAUACAAGUGGAAAACAGAAUUUUGAGGCUUUGAAGGUUUGUCACUUCCUCUCCCCCAUCUACACAACCUUUUCUGUUUCUUGUUGACAAUCAAAUUCUGGUUCUAGUUUUUUUCUUUUUUAAUUUUAUUAUAUUAUUAUCUUUUCAUUUAAUUUAUAACUCUCUCUAUUGCUUAUUGAUAUAUUUCUUUCUAGUAGCCGCAUGUUUUUUUUUUAUCAUCGAUCACCUUAUGUUUUUGACCUGCACACUUUUCUUCAUUCUAAAUAACAAAAUACUUGCUUGAUGGUCCCUUUAUAUAUUUCAGGUUGUUGCAAGACAUUCCUUUAAUAAGUCAACAGAGGAGAAUGUCAUGAAUAUACUUAGUAGAAUGAGUCCUGAAAUUCUCAACUUACCAGCAGAUGACAUGGAUGGAAACGCUCAAGUUAAUCCUGAGGAGAGAAAGGAUGCAGAAUCCCAUCAAUUGGAAGAGGUGUGGCAUAUGCUUUACAGUGAUUGCCUUUCUUCCCUUCAAAUUUGUGUGGAAGGGGAUCUCAAGCAUUUUCAUAAAGCCAGAUAUGUGCUUGCUCAAGGGCUGUACAGAAGGGGUGAACGUGGUGGUAGUGAGAGGUCAAAGGAUGAACUUUCCUUUUGCUUCAAAUCAUCUCGCUCUUCAUUUACUAUUAAUAUGUGGGAGAUUGAUGGUAUGGUAAAAAAAGGAAGGUAGAACUACAAUUCCUUAUUUCCAUUUCUAUUUUUGGAACUAUCAUUGUAGGAAAUUUGAAAAGCAGUUGAAAUGGAAUCCUUUCAAUUUAUUUCAAAAUUCACCCAAAAUGGUUUGAGGGUGCAGGCAUUUUAGAUAUUUAUCAGUUAGGAGAGGAUAUGACUGUUCAUGAUGAAAAAUGAUUUGUAUAGGUGGCCCCAAGUAUUUGAAUGUAAAGACUUUUUUGAAUUUAGUUGUGGUCAAGUAAUUAUAUAGAAAAAUGUAUGAUUGUCGUUACAUUAAGAUAAGUUUCUUUGCCAAAGGUCAUCUCGAAAAUUUGAAAUGAAUUCAUUUCCUGAAAUCAAAAUAUCCGAUAUAUGCAACAAUAUUCUUUCAAAAUGUUUUGGAAAAAAGUCACCUUCAUCCCAAUUUCCAACUGUUAUUUAAAUGAAAGUGGAUUUAUUUCAUUUUUUGUGGUGGUGCCCUAGGGUUUUAUUAGUAACUUUUUCAGUUUGUUCUCUUUGGUGCAGUUAUGUUGCUUUUUAGAGGUUUUGAGUGACAAUACAGUAUGCAUCCAACUCAAUUUGUCUUUUCUGGAUUUCAGACGCAAAACAAUGGGUCUUGCUGGAAACAAGAAGGCAUUGGAAGUCAACUUGCCGGAAAGUUCCCGAAAAUUUAUUACCUGCAUUCGGAAGUACAUGUUGUUCUAUUUGAAACUAUUGGAAGAGACUGGAGACAUCUCUACCCUUGACAGGGCUUAUAUAUCUCUUCGGGCAGAUAAGAGGGUAAUAAAUCAAUCCUCUAGAACAUUUGCUUAAUUCAAGAUGUGAUAAAGAACAUCACUAACAGCUUCAGUUGGAAAAAAACAUUAAAGGGAAAGAAAAUAGAGAGGAAAAAUGUAAGGAAAUAAAAAGGUGAGGAAUAUUUAUAAGAUUUUUCUCUUUUUUGGUCAUUCAUGGGAAAGUGGAGGGAAAGAAAAUUAAAUUGUUGAAGAAUAAACCUUCCUUGGGUUCUUAAGGAAAAUGGGAAGAAAAUAUUUUAACAUUUUCUCUCUUCUUUUCCUUAGCAUUUUUUUCCUCAACUUUUUUCUAUGACAUCUAAAUAUAAGAAAAUUAUUUUCCUUAACAUUUUUCCUCUUUCCUCGGUACUUUCCAUGAACCAAACGUAACCUAAGACUAGUAGAUCUAGAAAAUGGUUCUAGAUUCUUUCUUCUCCUACAUUUGGAGCUGAAAAAUGAUAAUUCAUUCAAGAAAAUUCUAUAAAUAUCUAAAAUAAAGGAUCAGAAAUAGAAAUUCUUUUGGGCUCUUAUGUUUUCAUGUGAGUCAUUUCCUAGAAAAAUGUUUAGGUUUGUUUAGGAGCAUUUUCGAAAAUUGUUUUCAAAAAAUAGUGUUAGAGAACGGUUUUCAAAAAUAGUUCUUUAAUAUUUUCUAGAACAAAAGUCUGUUUGAAAACUUGAAAGGUUUUCAACUUGUUUUUUAUAUUUUUAAAAAUAAAUUUUAUAUGUAGUUCUUUAUUUUCAAUUAUUCUUCAUAUUUGUCAUAUUAUUUUUUAAAACAAUCAUCAGAAAACAAGUGAAAACAACUAAAAUAUGUUUUUUUUUUAAAACAAAAAAUUAUUUUCUGUUCUUUGGUUGUCAAACAUGUUUUCCUAUUUUUUUAUUUUAAAAAACAAAAAACAGUUUUUGAGAACAGUUAAAAAACAGGUCCUUUGACUUUCAUUUAUAAGCAAAUUCUGGCUCCAUGUUGAUGGCAGCUUUAACCUUUUCAUUUGUAACAUUUUCUGCAACAUUUAAUCUUCUUUUAUUUUAGGGCAUCUUCCAGGAACUGGUGCUGUAGCAAAACAACAAGAGCUUUUGUGCGCCUUCCCUAAAAAACAAGUUGUCUAUGUGUGCCUUAUUCAUAUCAUCUUGUACAAUAUUUUUAUGAUAACUCCAGAUAAUUACCAUCAUGAUGCCUCAUCCCACUAUUCUGAUACUGUUCUUUUCCUGAUAUUAAGUCCAUUGAGUAAGGUAGUUAGUAUCUAACUUCAAUUUCUGAACCCAGUUCUCACUGUGCCUUGAAGAUCUUGUUCCAGUAGCUCUUGGAAGAUACAUUAAAGCCCUAAUUUCAUCCAUGAGGCAAGCUGAGACGGUUGGCUCUACUGCUGCAAGCAGAUCUGAGCAUAUGCUGGAGAAAAUGUUCACGUUAUUUAUGGAACAGGGAAGCUUAUGGCCAGAUUUAUGCAGUUUGCCCGAGAUGAGGAGCACAGAGUUAUCAGAGAGUAGCUUAUAUGGGUAAUUUAUUUUUAAUAAACUUAUCUGACUUUUUGUUGACAAAAUUCUAAAUUCCUGACAUAAUUCCAGAAUGAUAACACAUGAUGCUUCUCCACCUAACUUGUAUUCAUGCUCCCUCUCCCCAAUAUAUUUAUUUUUCAUUUGCUUCUAAAGUUAUUAGUGAUAACUUCCUGAUUGAAUUCCCAAAUAUUGGAUUCUUCUAAGCUCCUAAAUGUAGUCUUAUUAAUGUGCUGAUUCCAAUGAAUGCAAUGACCUUUUGCCUUUGUUGCAUGUGUUAUAACAAUUUGUCAUUGGAUUGAUUAUGUUGAAUGCAAUGCAAUUCUCCUGUAGUUAUAUAUGUGACCGAUAUUUCAAACCCUUGUUGCAGAUACCUCUACCAAUACAUCCAGUUAUUGGAAAGAAAUGUCAGGCUGGAAACACUAGAAGCAAUAAAUGAGAAGAUUCGGAAGCGCUUUAAGAAUCCAAAGUUGGCUAAUAGUAAUUGUGCUAAAGUUUGCAAGCAUGCUUCAGUUGCUUGGUGUCGAUCUCUUAUAAUUAGCUUGGCCUUGAUCACACCAUUACAUGCUGAAAGCGUGGUCCAAGCCCUUCAUAUGUCAGAUGGUGGUUUUGAAAACACCCAGCUGCUUUGUCUUGAUCUGCAAACAAAUGAAUUGUGGAAUUCUUCAUUUGAGGAUCUGACCCAUGUGAAAAACCUUGAAACAAAAUGGGUCCCACUGUUGUCUAAAAUUAAGAAUCUCAUUAUUAGGAAAGCCUCAGAUGAAAAUUUGGAGACUGCCAAUACUUUGCUAAGAUGUUGUUACAAUUUCUAUCGUGAGAGCUCCAGCAUAAUGCUCCCAUCUGGGAUCAACCUUUAUUCAGUGCCAUCCCGGUUAGCAACAGACACACAAAUUCACCUAGGAAUGAAUGGGGUUGAAAUCGUCGAUUUGAGUGUUCCUCGGAAGCUUCUUUUGUGGGCCUAUACACUACUGCAUGGCCGUUGCACAAGCAUAUCAGUGGUUGUAAAGCAUUGUGAAGAAAAUGCUAAGGUAUGUAAACUAACAUCCUCUCUAUUGAUGUUUGGUUGGCAUUCUUAGUGAUGUUUGAAAUUAAUGGAUAAUGGGGUGUAAGUGUGGGUAAUGUUUGUUGGUGUCAGUUACAUUUCUGUCCAGAAUUUUUUUGCCUCUGUAAAAGCCAAGUGAGUGAUUAACAAUUGAAAUAUGCUUUCUCUGAACCUCCACUUUUGCUAGAAAACAUAUACUUAAAUGAAAAGAAAAAUUAAGAUGAAAACACUUCCUGUAUUGCACUAAGAAAAACUAAACAAGAAUUCAAAGCUGACUGAUGAAGUAUCUAUCACUGGGCUCUUGGUUGUGUUUGCAGUCGAGGAUGAAAAAAGGAGCAGGCACCUCUUCCACACUCCCAAAUACAAGCAUAACCAGUGCCACCACUACUCACACAGGUUCUUUCUUUGUUGCUUUUCAUUUUUUGUUUCUUUUCUUCCUCCUGCUCCUCCUUAUAAUCGUCUUUGGUCCUUUGCCCAAAUGGUUUGCAGGUACCGGGAAAGAUGGAGGUGGUGAAGCUGAGGCUGCUGCAUUAGCCACAGCAGCAGCUGUUUCUUUGCCAGAAGGCGACAGCAUACGUGGCCUCAAUUGCUCUGGUGAGACUCAAAAGAGCUUGCUUGCUGCUCCCCAUUUGCACCAGUGUACCAGCAGCAGUGCAGAAAAGAGUAAUGUGAGUGUGCAUGAAGCAGGAGAUCCUGAGAAGGCCUAAUUAGACGAUUGAUGGCCUUUGUAUAUUUUCUUUGAUCAUGCUACUCCGAAAAAAUGUGUUAGCUUUGUUGAGUUUCACAAGGAAAUGUAUCCCUAUCGAGUUAGUUCAUUAAGAAUGUGCCAUUUUCAAGAGGAAAUGUAUAUUUCUAGCGACCCAUUUUUAUGAGUAGAAGAGGGUAAUGUGUUACACAUAAUACUUGAGAAUCUACACAAGUUUUUUCUGGAUACAAAAGAGAUAUAAUAUGGAAUUGGCAAAUGUAGAUAAGUGAGGUCGUACCAUGCUUAUAUUUAUUUAGGUUCCAUUAUUUUGCAUCAAGUUUGAUCACAUUAAUGAUUGAGAUUGAGAGUUUGCAGUGUUGAAAGAUAGAAAGAAUAAACCUAAAAUUUGGGGGAAAGAAAAUAGAAAUAAGAAAAGAUAAAGAUAUGAUUUGUUUUUUUGGGCAGCAUGUAUGUUUAGAGUGUGUUUGGUAUAUUUCUACUUAUAAAGUGUUUCUAAGAAAAAUAACUUAUCCUAUAAAUGAUUUUUCAAAAUUUUAAAAGUGUUUUCUAAAUCUUGUUCAAUACUUGAUUUUUUUUAUAAAUAUUUUUUAAGCUAAAAGUGUUUUUUAAAAACAUUAGCAUGGACUCUUAGUCCAAAAAAACCAUAUUUAAGCCCACAUCAAUCCCCUCCAUUUUAAAUUUUUAGACUUCUAAUUUAUAUUAUAAUUAAAUUUCUUAGUUUAUCUUAUGGUUUUUCUGACAUUUUAAUUAUAAAAUUUAUAAUUAACAUUUAACAUUUGAAAAAUUAAUCAAAGCCCGGUACAAGAAUUGGCCCGGGCUUCAGGGCUUUGAUUGGGGAAAACGGCUAGGGCCGGAUUUGCUUUUGAAGCCAGAAUUUUAGACUUGGCCCGGGCAGGUGGCCCAAAUUGAGGCGCCUAUCUGGAAGACUGGAACCAACAAAAUCAUCCCUCCAUCCAUUGAAACCUCACCACUCAAAGUCUCAGAAAAUGGGAAGCAGAGCUCUGCUUCUGCUAAAAGCAACAACGGCAGAGACUCUUCUCUUCACUUCCAAAAGCACUUUUUCCAAAGCGCUUAUUCGAAAUUCAACCCGAAGCUUUUCAACCCGAUCCGCUCUUCUCCCUCCGGACCUGCCUCGUCUGGCUGAAACUGCUCGCAUCUCUCUCACCCCACACGAGGUACCCAAGGUUUUAGUUUUGGAAGUGCUUUUCUUGUUUCUCAAAACCCAAAAAAAAAAAAAAAGGAGAAAUUUUCAAUUCUUUAGCUUUUUUUUUUCCUUGGCUUUUGCUGAAAUUUUGGUUAUUUGUUUGUUUGUAGGUUGAGGAAUUUGCUCCGAAAAUUCGACAAGUGAUAGACUGGUAUUUUCUUCUUAGUGACACAUUCACAUUCUUUUUUCUUUUUUUAAAUAUGUAUCUCUAUAUUUCAUGAUUUGAUUUUGAUGAUAAUGGUUGGUUAUUUGUGAUUACAGGUUUGGGCAACUUCAAGCUGUUGAUCUUCAGAGUAUUGAGCCGUCAAUCAGAGCAGGUUCUUCAGGACUAUUAUAAGAAUUCGUUUUAGUUGAUAAAUUUGUCAUCUGUUGGUUUUGUUUUACCUUGCUAUAUGAAAUUGGAUGGAAAAUCAAAAUGGUUUGUUUGGUUGCAAAGGAAAAUAGGAAAGAAAAGAAAAUGAGAUAGAAAUUGGGUGGGUAAUUUAUUCAUUAUGGGUCAAAGGGCAAAAAUUAGUGAGGAAAUUUGGGAAACUGUGGAAGAAGAUUUUAAUGGGAUCAAACUUGUAAUUUUAUUGUCCCUACUCUUUUAUCCUUUGCCUCAAGGUCUCCAGGAUAGUGUGAAAAAUGAAAUAAGGGAAUUUGAUUCAUUUGCGUAUGCUUCAUGAGAUGAAGCAUUAGGGGUUUGCCUUUUAAUUUUUUUUAUAAGCAAGUAAAAUAUAUAUUAACACCACCUAUAAAAGGGGCACACCAGAGUAUAUGGCUCAUGAGCAAGGAAGCAAAAAGCAAAAGAAAAAAAAAAGAGAGAGAAAGGUAUACAAAGAACCCAACCAAUCAACCAAGUCUACCAUAGACAUUGUCACCUCAUUUAAGCCCACCCUUACUCCUAAAAGAUAUACAAAAUGGUUUAUCCAUUUGUUCCACAUCUUCAAAAGACCUAUGCUUUCUCUCCUUCCAAGCAGUUCAACAUAAGCAAAGAGGUUUAGUCUUCCAUAAUUUCUUUCUCUUCUUCCUAACAAAGGAUCUAUGCCAACUUAAGGGGGUCCUCAUAAUUGAAGACGACAUCAUUUAAACCAACCCAAAAACUGGCUGCCACUGAAUUCUUGUGUUGGUGCAUUAAAACAGGAGGUAGGGUACUGAUGCUUCUUCAUCUUUUCACAAAAAAAAAAUCUAUUCACUGAGUCCAACCCCCUUUUUUAACUAAUUACUGGUAAGGAUCUUACCGCAAGUUGCUUCCCAUGCAAUGAAUCUCACUUUCAUUGGUGCCCAAACAUUUCAAACAAUGGCCUUUGGAGAAUGUUCAAAUCUCCCUGACAAAAAAAAAAUAAAAAAUUAAGGGAUUCAACUUAGAAUUUAUACACAUUGUUUCUAGCCAGACCAACCUAUCCUUACUGUCCACACUUACUGGUUUUUGAUGCAAUCUUAAAAGAAAUUCCUCCUAAUUUUUUAGCUUCCGUCAUAAAGUUGUCUUAUAAAAUAGGGGCUGCAACAUCUCUGUUCGCUUGACUACUCCCACAAAUCUGCCACCUAAGACUCCUUUGAGAUAUUUAUAGCAAACAAAGAGGAGAAAAAAAUCACUCAAAACUUUACCCUCCUUUGAUCUUUGAUCUCCCACAAUGAUUAGACCUACUUUUAACAACAUCCUGUCCUCUUUUGAUUGUCUUCCAUAGCCUCACUCCAUAAUUAUCCCUCACAUUGCAAGAUUAGGAGUCCCUUUCUUCUUUCCUAAACUUUCCUACUAUGCCUUAUUUCCACAGCCUCCCCCUCUAAGGGGAAUCUCCAACUCUACUUGCCAAGUAAGAUUGUGUUGAAACAAACAAACUCUUGAUACCAAGGCCUUCCAUUUUUCUUAUUUGUGCAAACAAUUGACCAAUUUACUGGGUGAAAUCUUUUCUCUAGAGCUCCCACCCCUGCAACAGAAAGUUUCUUUGAAUAUUUUCAAGCCUUAAAUUCACUGUUCUUGGAAUGAUGAACUAGGAAUGAAGUAUAUUCGCAGACCGGACAAAGUACCUUUAACUAUAGUGGGUCUCCCCCCUUUUUGAAAGAUAUUGUCUCUUCCAUAAUGCUAUCCUUUUUUGAAUCCUCUUUUCCACCACUUCUCACAUUGAUGACAAUUUAUAGAAGGCAUCCAAAGGGUGACCCAAGUAUGCAGUGGGGAUCUCCCCCACCUGACAACCUAACAUAGAAGCCAGUUCCUCCACAUUAGCUACACCCUAAUUGAGAUUAACUAACUCUUCUCAAAAUUUAUUUUUACCUAAGAAAGUGCCUCAAACCACAUGAAAGUCUCGCUUAGAUAUGCUAGUUGUUCUUGGCUAGCAUCACAGAAUAUGAGAGUAUCAUCAGCAAAGAGGAGAUGAGACACCUCUUCCCCCUCUUGGCCUCUCCCUCCCACCUUGAAUCCUGAGACAAAACCCCCAUCUCUUGCCUUCUUCGAAAAACAACUAAGAGCCUCCAUAGGGAAGAUGAAUAAAUAGGGAGAGAGAGAAUCCCCUUGGCUCAAGCCCCUUAAGCUCUCAAAGAAUCCAACAAGAGUCUCACUUAAUAGAACUAAGAAUCUAGUUGAGGAAAUGUACCAUUUUAUCCAGCUUAUCCACUUCUGGCCAAAACCCAUAUUUUCCAUAAUAGCAAGAAUGAAACCCCAAUGACCAUAGUUAUUGGCCUUCUCAAUGUCAAAUUUAUAAAGAAUACCACUAGUAGAGCUCUUCAUUCUUGAAUCUAUGGUCUCAUGUGCAAUGAGAACCACAUUCAAGAUCUGCCUAUCAUAUACAAAGGCAUAUUGAGAGUGACAACAACUUUUCCCACAACUUUCUUAAUUCUAUUGGCCAGCUCCUGUUCUAGGAACUUAUAUAGACCUACAACCAAGCUUGAGUCUAAAAGUUUUCAAGUCCUUUGCAUCCUGUUUCUUAGGAAUUACAAUAAAUGUAGCAUUUAGACUUCUUUCAAAAGAGCAUUGCUCAUAGAAUUCUCCAAAGAAACCCAAACGAUCCCAGCAAUGCUGCCAAAAGGCCAAAGUAAAUGCAUGCUGUCCUGGAGCUUUGCCCCCACACAAACUGGAAAGAGCAGACAAGACUUCCUCUACUGAAAAGGGGGCAUCCAAGCUUCUGAAUUUCCACUUCCCAACAAGGAGAAAGAGAAGCUGCAUAUACUCAACAAUAUUGUGAAUGAUUUUUUGUACCAUUGCUAUUUUGGAGAGCAAUUCUAACAUAAAAUUCAUGAGUUGUUAAACAAUUAGCCCUGAAACUAUUCAGCUAUACCUGAAAACCCUAGCUUUGGUUUGCUAGAAGUGCUAACCUUCAAAUCACAUGGGAGGAAAAAAAAAAAAAAAAAUUCCCCAUUUGAAGCUGAAAUUUUAUUAAAAGAUAACUAUUCCUGGUUUCUCAGCCCCUACCUUGAGCUGGUUUCUUGAAAUAUUGCUGGUAAGGAGUAGGAAAAAUGGUGUCAUUACAUCUAAAGUGGAGGGCAGUGACCCUCAACCUUAUUCUGUAUUGCUCUGCAAUAGACACCUCAGUGCUUAUUUCAUGGUCAUAUUUCUUGGUCAACUCAGUGAGUCAUCAUAUCUAACACAUCAAUCAACUGUCUCUAGGUGGUUACAGAAUAAAAUAUGUUUCUAUAUUUAAAAUAAUUAUUUAACAUGUGCUAGUUUAGUACUGAUAUUUUCCUUAUCAAAGGUUGCUUGAUAUAUGGUUUUGAUGACUGCUUCCCAACAUUCUCUAUGACAUUUUCAGAUACUGAAGGUGACAAUUUGCGUGAUGAUUCUCCUGAAACAUUUGAGAAUAGGUAGGAAGGCUUCUUGUCUCUUCUUUUCUGAAUUGUUGUACGUGCAGCUCGAAAAUUUCUUGAAUAAUGCUAUAUUCAGUUGACCUAAGUUCAACUUUCUUCGUCAAUAGGGAGGCAAUAAUAGCUGCUAUCCCAAGCUAUGAGGAGCCAUAUCUCAAAGUUCCCAAGGUCUUAAACAAGGACUAACACACGGUUUAGGUAACUUGGUUCAUCUCUCUUGGGCUCCUACUGUGAGUGAAAUUUUGAUCAUUCUAUUUUUAUAUUUUUUCACCAGUUUGUGUGCACCUAAAAUGUGGUAAUUUCCCGAUUGAAGAAAUCAUCACUAAUCAUUAGUUUGUCGUUUAUUCAAUAUGAUUACUAUUUGGCAACAACUACAUUUAUAUGUAAACUUUUCUCUCAAAGAUGUGAACUAGAAACCUCAUGGAAAUCAAGGGUUUUUAUGUGGCAACUGAAAGUAGCCCAUUGGGUUUUCAAUAACAUGCGAAAUGAGGGGAAAGUAUAGAGGUUGUUAUUAGGGUUUCAUGAAUCAACAUGUUUUAAUAUGGGAAAUGAGUUUUUCAAAUCAAUAUAUUUUCAUGGAGGUGGCAAUCAUGCUUAACAGUAAAUGUGAUAUUGAGGAUAUGUCAAGACUGCAUUGCUUUAACCCAAAACGAAUUAUCUUCAUUGGUUUUUCCUUAUGUGAAGCUGUCCACAUUUUUGCUUAAUGAUUCCAUCACUAGUACAGGCCUGGACAUUAGCUGGUUACCAAAAUUUUAGAGUUUGACCAUCAUUGCCAUUCUGUUUUAACUCGAUUCUAUUCUAUGCAGCUUGAAGGAGUUUAUGUGCUGGGCAGAAAGAUUUAUCAUCUGAAAGAGAUGGAAAACUUAUUCUUUUGAGGUGAGGAUCAUCUUGUAGGAGUGAAGUUAUUACUGUAAGCGCCUGUGAUGUUGGCUUGACACUCAUUGAUAACUCUGAAAGGUUUAUUUACCCAGAAGAUAAAUGUAGGUAGUUUUUCACUUGUGAUAGCUUUCUGAUCAGAGGGAUUGAAAUGGUGACUGUUGGUUCAGUGUUGUACAGUGGAUGUGUUGGAUCCUGUAUUGUAUGACUGGGAGACUCUCAGUGUUUCCGCCCACCUCAAUUAUUUUCUUUAAACAUUGGGAAAAGAGUUUCAUUGUGCCUUUUCAUUGUAAAAAUAACAUAAGAAAUAAGGGAAUAUUUUGCCAAUGUUUAGCAAAGCAGUGUUUCAGAGCAUUUGGACACUGUUCUAAAAUAAUAUUUUAAUUCAAAAAACAACAAAUCGUGAGAAUAGUUUUUUAUUCUUUAAAACAGAAUGUUUUUUUAAUUUAAAAAUACAGGAUGUGUUGGAUCCUGUAUUGUAUGACUGGGAGACUGUCAGUGUUUCCGCCCAUCUCAAUUAUUUUCUUUAAACAUUGGGAAAAGAGUUUCAUUGUGCCUUUUCAUAGAAUUUUUAUUGUAAAAAUAACAUAGAAAUAAGGGAAUAUUUUGCCAAUGUUUAGCAAAACAGUGUUUCAGAGCAUUUGGACACUGUUCUUCAGAGCAUAAAAUAAUAUUUUAAUUUUAAAAAACAACAAAUUGUGAGAACAGUUUUUUAUUCUUUAAAACAGAAUAAUUUUAAAAUUUAAAAAAUAAUUUUUUUGUUAUCAAAAAUAGUUUUUUUUUAGAAUUUUUCUUGAAAAUACUUUUAAAAACCUGUGACCCGUACAACCGAUUUUUUAAUAAGAGUGGCAAACGUCUCAGAAUAACAACAAAACUGAUUUUUAAAAUUAACGCAGAAAAUAAAUUGUUCAAGAACAAAUUUGAGAUGAUUUCAAUAGUAGUGUUUAAUGGUACUCUGUGCUAUAAUCGAAAAGAUGCAAAAUACUUUUAAAACUUAAAACACUAAACAUUAAUGUAAAGAGGGUAAUCAUGAAAACCAUUGUUUACAUUUAUAUCCAAACUGAAAACAAUAAAAAAGCUGUUUACAAGAACGCCGUCAUAACCAAACCAACCUGCAUUCUCAUACAUAAGAACAUGGUCAUUUGUAUUAUUAACGUUAGAGAGAGCAGCAAGGGUAAACAAAAACUAACUGAAAUCUGGAAAACAUAAAAGAGUGGUAUGUUAAUAUACCACAGUAUUUACAUUAGAGGAAACAACUCUUACUGCACAUUGCAUGGAUCAAAAAAGAUUACAUCUCAUCAAUCAAUAAUGCUCUCUCACUCUAAUUUUCUUUUCCUUCUUUUCUUUUCUUUUCUUUUUUUUCUUUUUUGGGGGUUUUUUUUCCCUGUUCUCUUUCUGUGCUUCUGUGUCAGUCACUCUCCUACUUUGGAACAAAACAUACAAAAGGGAAAACAUAUGAGAAGGAAGAAAAAGAUGACGGGAUCGUUAAUGUAGGAGUAGGUAUCUGGGUUGAUAAAUUGAGAAAAAACUUUUUAUCAUGAUUGCCAGAACAGCUCGAAGUCGUUACUAUACAGUGAGCGAUCUUGAAUCUCCAGAUUUGCAAUAUGCCAGUUGAUGAGCCGGGACUGGAUGAAUUUACAAACCACGAGCCCGGUUGGUAUAAUCCACCAUUCACUAUCAUCCCUGAAACAAACACCAACCACCAACCCCAAACCCGAAAACCCAUGUCAGUUUCAUAGAAUAUAAUCGUCUUAACUGGAUGAUUGAAAAGGGUAAAUCUCCUCACAUGUUAAUAUUCCAUGGCUGAAAGUUCGGGAGCUUUUUACUGGGUGACUGGGUGUUAUAGUGAACAUAUCCACAAAUGAAUGCAACCAUCUGAUAAAUCGGAUCACAAAGGAGUAAGUAACCUUAAAUGAGCAAUAGGGCUAAUGAUCCAUUUGGUUGCCCAGAUCAUGGAAACUUAAAAAUCGGCCCCAACCAGAAACAAACUAGAGAUAUUCUGAAUUUUACGAUAUUUUUGUCUCAUCUCAGCAAAUGAGGCUUUGGAGAAAGUGGAAUGUUUGAGACCACUUAAUCCAAUCUACUAUGGAUGGGUAAUAGGGAACUUACAACAUUAAUCAAGGAUGUAAUGUUCCACAAAGCGUAGACACGAGCCAGGCCCGCUGAGCGUCUAGGUCCAUGACUGAAUAGGGCGUUGAUUCCAGCAGGGAAGGGGAGUAGAAUGCCAAGCGGGAGAACAAACAGAACAAGAAAAACGUCUGCCAAUGAAAUUGAAUAUAACUGGAGCAAAGUAAGUAAUACUAAGCUAAUAUCUGCUAGAAGUAGCAUUGAGAUGACCAAUCCAACGAGGUCCUGCAGUUAGAUAUAUGAUAGUCAGGUUGAGAGGGGAGAGAUUUUCAAGUUUGCAUCCAAUGAAUUCAACUCAAAGUAAGAGAGCCUUACAUGCUGGCCAACAGGUUUGGUGUUGUGAAUGAUAAAAGACAAGGGAUAAAAUAUAUCUUUCUUCUCUUCAAGCAUGUGUAAGCUGUUAGUAUCUAAAAUAUACCCAUAAGGCUUUUUUCGCUUCAUUAAACUUUCAGUGCUUCUCCGGGCUCCACUUAAAAGCAUCGCUGCUCCAAAAUCCCUGUUCAAACUGCAAACUGUAAGUUAUUUCCCAGGUCGAACUCAAUUCAACUAGCAUCAAAGGCUUAUAUAUCCUCUAUCUACACAGAUAACUUGUUGGUCUGGUAUUUUUAUUUAUCAUCUUCCAGACAUACACUAGACAACAGAUUACUUUGCAUAUCAGAGUAAAUUGGAGGAUCCUUCCAUCCAGCUCACUGGAAUUGACAGCCUAUAAAUAUAAUCAGAAGGGAAGAAAAAUGGCGCCUAACGGAACAAGGGUAUCAUAAUGAUUAUUUAUCUGAUCAGUCUAUUAACCAUAUGCAUCUACUGGUUUAGUACAAUAAUAAACCAUUACCGUGACUGAUGCUCAUUUUGUAUUGCUCCGUCAACACCAUCAACAGGUGUAGACUCAGUUUCAUCUUCAACAGCAUAUACCAAAAGUCCAUACUGGCAAUAACCACAGGCCGUAGACUGAAACCAAGCCAGAUCAACUUGUACACCAUGGACCCUCAAAGCAGGACUAGCAUGAGUUUCAAGCCAUCUCAGGACAGGUCGAAAUGUUACUCUGAGGCGUCCACGACGAACUAAGCGCAACUGUGCAUUCAAACCAGCCACCAGUCGAUACCAAGUAGUUGGUGGGAUCGCCUGCAGGAAUGAAGUAAAAUAAUUAACAGAAUUCCAUAAGAGAGACUCUAUAAAUGAAGAAAUUUGUCUAAGGAAGAAAAAAAAAAUCACUUUUGAGUUCUUCAGUAUCAAAUAACAAACCUGACUCAUGAGGCUAGUAAGAAUAUUGUCGCUGUUAAGUGAAAAAGGAGCCAUGUAACUUCCAUCACCUCCAAAAGGUAAGGACAUUGGAAAUCUUUGCUGAAGACGAAAAGGCAGAUCAGUUCUCUUUUCAUCUCCACCAAGAAAGAAGUCCACAUGUGCUAACAUCAGAUCAGAAGUUGCAGCUACCUGCAGCAAUAUAGGACAACACAUCAACUACUGGAAAGUUCUGAAGGAUUUUCAUUCUGAACAAGUAUUACAUUCCACAUUCACUAGCAGAUGCUGAGAAAAGAAAUGUUGGAGAAUAGCAAGGGAAAGUUUUAACUGCAAAGCAUGUAUUAAGAAGAAAGAAUCUCCAUAUGCAUUUAGAGCACAAAUAUGAUUUAUGAGAAGGGAAGAAAACAGCAUAUUAGAGAAAGAGUCUUGAGAAUGGCAAGGAAAUCAGCCUACUAUAGUUUUAUAACUAAAAUUGAUUAACUACAAAUCUACAAGAGUCAUUAGGUUCCACAUGAGAAACAAUACUUUCAACCAGACACCUAAAGAAACUUACAAACAGAAAACAACUUUAAUGUAAAAGUUGGGAGAAAUCCCCACAAUGAAUUUGGCAGCAGCGCAACUGGUAAAGGGCAUUGCAGGUUGAACCCUAAACUGAGGUUCAAGUUUCCUUUUUGAGCUUGAAUGAACAAAAACUCUUGACAUAUACAUAUCAUGGACAUCUAAAUGCGUACCUUGUGAACAUACUUAAAUCUUCUUAAAUGACCAACAUUAAUUUGAAAUAGAUCUAUAUAAAUUAUGAACAGAAAAAGGAUGACCUCUGCAUAAAGAAUCCACCACUUCACAGGUUCAAUCAAACCAUAAAUUUUAUUCAUCAUUGUUGGACAACAAAUUUGAUUUUUUUUUAUUUAAGAAAAGAACAUGACUACAAACCUUAAGCCCUUCAUAGAGAGCACGUGAGCGGCAAGAGCGCAAGCAAGCAUGGUCAUACCCUGAUCUCACAAAUUCACGUAAUUGCUGCAAUUUUUUUCUCCGACGCCAUUGCUGCCAUGACCAUGCAAGGGGAUAUGCAAGAAUAGAAAGAAUGCUAUGCAUUGAUCCCUCCCACCACUGAUAAGCAGCUAUAGCAUUAAUCUCAUCAACAAAUCCAUUGAAUGCUCCCUCAUAUCUGCCAAGUAAACUAAAUAUCAGCAACAAAAUUUAAAAAGAAAAAAAAAAGGAUAUUGCAAAUUAAAACAAAUGUUUAAAAAGGUAAUAAAAACAACAAAAUAAAAUAAAAUUCUUAACUUCUUGUUAAAAAAACAACAAACAGGACAUCACUAAAGAUGGGGCAUCAUUAUUAGAGAAGUGACCCACAAAAAAAGGAGAAAAAUUAACUUACACAAUCUCUUUUAUUUGCUCUGGAGGGGUGUGAGGGAGAUGCCAAGGUUCACUAAAUGUAUUAGGACCCAUGAAAUACAUUCUGUGCACAUGACUCUGAGACUCCUCAGCUCUGUUUGUUUCCAAAACCUGAAAAGCAAAUAGCACCAUAUCAAAUUCAAUAUUAUAAAAAGUAAAAGAAAGAUAUGGAACCAAGAUAUGAAUGAAAUGUUUCUUAAUUAUACAAAAAUCAUUUGUUGGAAACCUCAUUCAAAGACUCCAAGAAAGGGAAGGAGUGAUCUAUUUGAGAGCCAUGUUGAGUAGGGGCUGGGCCUGGUGAUUCAUCAACUCCAACGAAUUUCAUUCUUGCAACACUAAGCACAAGAGCUAACAGGAUGAGGACACCCAAGAGAAGAAGACAAAAUAACCAAGGCCCACCAAAUGUAUAAAUCAACUCUUCAAGAGCUGUAUAACAGUGUGGCAUGUGAUAUCUGUCUGAAAUGCAUUUGUAAGGACAAGGAGUUUCGGCAAUACCACCUGUUCAACAUAACAAGAUGCCGAUCUAAAGAUUAGCUGAUGACAAAUUACAGGUUUUACAUGAUAACUGAUAACUAGUUUAGAUUACAGUAAAGUAAAAAAUUAAUUACACAAUUAGAUUUAAUAAUUAUAAAGCAUAAGAAACUAAGAAGGAAAAAAAACGUCGUUUGGAAGACAAAAGAGAUUGAAAUCCACAAGGACUGCAAUAUUUCCAAGUAGCAUUAAGCAAAUACUUUGUGACUGAUAACAUAUAAAACAAGUUGAAUAACAUUAAUAUAGAGAUACCUCGGACAGAAAUAUAAAUAGCACGACGCGGAAGCUCAUGAUAUGGGCAAUGACGACAAAGGGAUCUAUCAGAUCCAGUAACAUUCUUAUAAGUGCCAGCUGGACAUUCCUGUACAAAUACAGAACAUAGAAACAUAAUGUUCAACAACAAAAACAUUCUUGGACCAUGCAAUUCUUUGAAUUAAUAAUAUUCAGAAAGCAUGGACCAGAGACUAAAAACUGCAAAGUCUCAAGACAUCUUAAAAUGAAGGAAAUGGUUUAAGACUAAAAACCAAAUAAAAGUUCACAGAGCAAUAAACUUGUGAACCUACCUCACAAAAUAUUCCAUAAAGCCCUCUCGGGCAAGCUUUUCCAGUCACUGUUCCAUUUUCCCCCAUACCACUCUGGUCCCUAGCCAACCCUCCCCUACAAUAACAGGCAUCCAAAGGUUACCAGACAAUCCAAGACCACAGGAAUGAACAAUUAGCAUGCACAACAUAUUACCCAUGCCCAACAGUAGUUUGAUAACAAAAGAUUCCACCUGCAUUACUUUGGAGAAGUGUAUAAAUUUCCUUGCCAUUAAAUCUACUGUAAAGCCAUUAUUCUAAUCACUAUUUUCAUCCUAAAGUUCUUCCAUAUACACACCAAAAAUAAAUAUAAAAAGAUAAAAGAAUAUAUUUUGUAUAAUUAAUUCAUACAGACAGAUACAACACUGUGUCAUGGUGUCUAGAUAUCUGGAACGUCACAAGAUGAUGCUCAUCUGCGUCCACAAACACCAGAAAUUUGACAUUUGCAAAUGAUGAGCAUAUGGAUUUAGUAGGUAACUCCACCUGAUAGGACACCUUGCCGACUUUCCCAAGUACAGGGAAGGGGCCUUCAUAUCUCCACACAAGGCCUUUGUGCUCUGGCCUUUACAAAAGCAAGAAGUAUUUUUAGGUCUCUUCUGGAGAGCUUAUUGAAGUACCAUACAGAAACCUCUAGGUUGGUGAUCCUGUGGUGGAGAAUUUGUGGCAUUUGGAUGAGAAAGUUUAAGGAUUCUAGAAGAUAAAAUUCAAUAAGUAAAGGUAUAAGAAUUUGCUGAGAAGGUUUGAGUUUCAUAAGAACUAAGUUAAAACAGCAAAAUAUGAAGAAAUUACCACUAGCUAAAUAGAAAACCUGAACCAGAUAUUCUAGAAUUCUUUUUUCUUUGUUGACAGUUAGCCUGAUACACAUUGUUAAUCCCUUUGAUAACAGCUUAAUCAUUUUGGACAAGUAGUCUAUCACGGUAGUAGGGAGCUGUCUCUUUUAGAGAUCUUGGAUCCAAACCACUUCCAAAGUAUUUGUUGGUUCCACAAGUUGUCUGUCAACAGCCUGUUUGUUUAACCCUCCAAAUGAGGGAUCAAGGCACAUUUGAGGGUUAAUUACAGCUUGAUAACCCAAUUCCUAACAAUUCUAGCUUUUGGGGAAGUGGUAGUCUAUUGUUGCCUACAGGAGUUGGAUUUUCCGUGUACCCAUCCUUUUAAGGUAUGAUAGAUGCCCCGCCCUUUCUUUUUCUCAUCAAUAUCUGCUAACAACUACAGUACAUUGUUGAGAAAAUGAACAAGUUGAAGAAAUGCAAUAUCAUAUAAAUUACCUAAGGAAAAAGAAAUAAAAAGAAAAGGAUUGCUUUGCAAGGGAGUCUGGUAAUGCACAUGUAAUGAACCAAUGUUAAGCACAAAAGAACCAAUGAAAUCCACUUUAAAGAGAAACUCAAAAUCCAUAAGCAGAUGCACUUUUCGGAUCAAAACUACAUAACAGUGUCCAUUGACAGAAACGUUUUAAUUGAAAACAUGAAUAACAGAUAAUAGGCAACCCUUCAUAUAUUGUGCUAGUACAUGACAAACUGACUAAUGAUUUUCUCAAUCGAACAGUUAUGAUCAAUAGUAAAGCCACAAGAUUCAUAAGGACUUUCAGAAAUACAAGAUGCAUAUAAAUAAAUAAAUGAAUAAAGCAGACUAUAUACAAACCUAGAGUGGAUGCUUCCUUUUACACUAGCUAUGGGUUGGUACACAUCCCCUGUGGGAAUGUCUGACCAAUGGAAAUGAAUCCUCCCACCACCUCCUCCACCACCACCAUGGAGACUGCCGUGCCCUCCUAUGCUUGAAAGAACAGCAGCCUCGCCAAGAGCAAGGGAACGUAAAAACAAAAGAAUAGUCCCACCAGAGCCACCCCCAGGAUUCACAUUGGAACCAUUAUUCAUAGAAUAAUAAUUAUUUCUUGUACUUUCUCUGGAACUUUCUCCAUCAGCCUUAACAGAACCUUCAAUAGACAAACUUGACAGUGGAUGCUCCAAUGAACCCAUUACUGAUCAGUGCAACAAUGCAUGAACAAAAAUAAAUAAAUAAAUGGGAAAAAAAAAAAAACUAUCAGCUGAAAAUAAAUGUGGAUAGCAAUAUAGAAGAAAUAAGUGCGGCACACGCUCACUUGGCCAGCUUCCUACAAACAUAAUGGCAAUUAAUAUAAAAUUAAAUUUUAAUGAAAUUGUAAAUUCACUGGACAUGACUACAUACAACCUUUUAAAAACCAGCUAAAAUGGACCUCAGAAGUGUAAUGACAAAAGCAAAGUUUCUCGUAAUAGGUUCCUUGAUACAUCUUUUUUUUCCAUCUAUCUCUCCUUUGACCAAAUUUAAAAUUACAGUGUGAUGGGAAAAGUUUUUUUUUUUUGAUAAGUAGUGUGAUGGGAAAAGUUCAAAUUCCCUAACUAAAAACUAACCAUUUGAACUCAUGAAAGCAGAAAAAUUGACAGUUGGAAGUUUGGAACAGGUGCAUUCAGCAUCUACCAUAAUAUUUAAGUCAUUAGCAAGACAACACAAAUCAACCAAUUUAUUCCUAUAUGGAUGACCGACAUCAUGUGGAGACAAGGCCUUUUAAUGCCAAUCACAAUAUUGUCUACUAAUUGCCAUCCUAUUGGAUGCAUGCCACAAUGAUAUUAAAUUACAUGUUCCUCAAAACCCUCAUUGAUUAAUAGUAUCCCAUCCUCUUAUGUGGUCCAACUUUGAGAACAAAAAGAAAACAGAGAGUUCAAUUAACCCAACCAUAAGCUUACCUAUGACACCACCACCAGCAGUUGAACCAUCUAAAGUGUCAUUUCCACUACCACUACCACUACCAAGUUCGCAAGGCAGAUCAGCAUUUCCAUAUGAAAUACCACCCUCAACACAGCUGCCUUUGUAACACCCAUCCCCACCCUUACCACCAUGCCCACCACCACUGCCAAGACCAGAACUUAAAAAUUUUCCUCUACCCACACCACCGGUGCAGCCUGUAGAAACACCAAAAUCAUGUAUGAGAACUCAUCCUAGAUGUGCCCUAAAUUUUGAGGGAGGAGGGGAGAAAUAGGAGAGAGAGAAACCAUACCCAUCCUAGAUGUGCUUAUUUUACCAGAAGAUUGGACAGCUAUAGUUCUUGCCCUGUGGAAAUGGACAACGGACCCUUUUAUAAGGCCUUGAACAGUAAUAUCUUCAACUCGACAGAUCUGAAUAAGAAAAAUUAAGAAGACCAUUAAAGAAACACUAGAUGUGUAAAUAUCCAGUUCUAUUACUCUGCAAUCUCUAUUCAAUCAGCACCUGAAGGGUGAAGGACAGUGAAGAGUUCACAUUGCAAUCUUCAGGUGGAUGAAGUAGUUCAGUGGGACAAUCUUGAAGUUCACAAUAUAGCCUAGGUGUCCUACAAUAAAUCAUAAUAAAAACAUUUAGUCAAGUCAAAUGAUGCAGUAUAAAAGUAAAGUACAGCAGGAGGAUUGACUAAACAAAAACUUACACAGCAUCUGUUGUUGCAUUUUCUAAGGGGCCACGCAAUACAGAUCCAGGUCCAACCUUGAAGGGGAAGAAAAGGAGAAAGAUCAAAAUAUGUACUACCAUCCUUUCUACAGUAAAUCAAGAAGAUCUGGAGUAUGAGGAUAAUUUGCUUCAAUUUUCCAAUGACAAAAUUGCUUUUUCAUCCCAUUGAUAAAUGAUGAAUAAAGCCACUAUAUAGAAUGAAGCAUCAUCCAGUAUUACGUGUUAUUUUUUAAUCAGAAACAAAACACAUUCAUUAAAAUGUAGACAAGUACAAUUGAAGGAUCAGAAAUUCUUCCCAGAUUUACAAAGCCUGAUAAAAAACAGAGGUGGAGAAACCUACUCAAUAGACAUCAAAUUGGUAUAAUGGGAGACGAUACGAAGAAAAACGACUCAAACAUUCCUUGGACGUUCAUGCAACUCCUACAGAAAGGUACCUUACCAGUAUUACAUGUCAUUGCAAGAUUUUACUGAUAACCUAACGAGAGCAAGGUGGGGCAUAAUGUACUAAAUGAAAAGGGAGUGUUAAGAGAGAGAGAGAGAGAAGAAAACCUUGAUUCUCAUUCAUGUAGUCUCAACUUACAAUUGAGAGAUAUAUAUAUACAAGGCUAGGAGUCCUAACUACCAUACAUGUGACCUAUAUUAACAAGGAAAGAUAAUAUACUAUAAAUACAUUAUAUUCAACACUCCCCCUCAAGCUGGAGCAUAUACGUCAUAUGCACCAAGCUUGUUACAAAUAUAUUUAAUCCUAGGACCUCUGAGAGAUUUAGUGAAGAUGUCUGCUAGUUGAUCAUUUGAAUUAACAAAACUUGUAGCAACACAUCCUGAUGCGAUCUUCUCUCUAAUGAAAUGACAGUCAACUUCAAUAUGCUUGGUCCUUUCAUGAAAGAUUGGAUUGGAUGCAAUAUGUAAUGCGGCCUGGUUAUCACAGAUGAGUUUCAUCUGUUCAUCCUUUCCAAAUCUCAACUCCCGAAGAAGAUGUCUCAACCAUAUGAGUUCAGAUGUUGCCAAAGCCAUAGCUCGAUACUCGGCUUCAGCGCUAGAUCUGGCCACUACAUCUUGUUUCUUACUCUUCCAAGAUAUUAGAUUACCUCCAAUAAAAACACAGUACCCUGAAGUGGAACGUCUAUCUGUGGGUGAGCCAGCCCAAUCUGCAUCUGUAUAACCAACAACCUGAGUAUGACCUCUGUUCUCGUACAAUACACCUUGGCCUGGUGUACUUUUGAUAUAUUGAAGAAUGCGGAUUACGGCAUCCCAAUGGUUAUCACAUGGUGACUGUAGGAAUUGACUAACAACACUCACAGGAAAAGAAAUGUCUGGACGAGUAAUGGUGAGAUAGUUCAAUUUACCUACGAGCCGUCGAUAUCUCCCGGGGUCUCCUAAAGGCUCCCCCUGUCCUGGUACAAGUUUGACAUUCGGAUCCAUAGGUGUGUCUACCGGUUUACAGUCUAACAUACCGGUUUCUUCCAGGAUGUCUAAAGCAUACUUCCUUUGGGAAAGGACCACACCAGAACUGGAUUGAGCUAUCUCAAUUCCCAAGAAAUACUUGAGUUUCCCCAAGUCUUUGAUCUGAAAGUGGGUAAAAAGAUGUUGCUUUAGUUUCUGAAUACCAUCCUGAUCACUGCCUGUAAUGAGGAUGUCGUCCACAUAAACAACCAGAUAAAUACACUGCCCCAAGGAGUUAUGAUGAUAGAAAACUGAAUGGUCUGUUGUACUGCGAAGCAUGCCAAACUCUUGAACAACAGAACUAAAACGGCUAAACCAUGCUCGAGGAGAUUGUUUCAAGCCAUAUAGAGAACGACGUAACCUGCACACUAAACCAGACUCCCCCUGAGCAACAAAACCAGGAGGUUGCUCCAUAUAAACUUCCUCGGCAAGAUCCCCAUGAAGGAAGACAUUUUUAAUAUCCAAUUGAUAAAGAGGCCAAGAACACAUAGCAGCCAUGGAGAGAAGCAAGCGGACAGAAGCAAUCUUGGCAACAGGGGAGAAUGUGUCACCAUAAUCAGAACCAUAAACCUGAGUAUAGCCUUUAGCAACUAAGCGGGCCUUAAGGCGAUCAACCUGACCAUCAGGACCAACCUUAACUGCAUAGACCCAACGACAACCAACUGUAGAUUUACCAGAGGGUAAAACAACAAGAUUCCAAGUGUCAUUAGAGUGCAGAGCAGCCAUUUCAUCCACCAUUGCCUGUCGCCAGCCUGGAUGGGAAAGAGCUUCAUGGGUGCUCUUUGGAAGAGAAACAGAGGAUAUAGCAGAAACAAAAGCAGAAUAGGGUGAAGAUAAUCGAUGAUAACUCAAAAAAUUGUAAAUAGGAUGAGGAUUACGAGUAGAGCGAGUACCUUUUCGAACAGCAAUGGGUAAGUCAUUAGGAGAAGGCAGAGCCGGGGCAGGUGAAGCCGAAGGGAUAAGAAGUGAGUCAGCAGGUGCCUCAGCAAAAGUGAGAGGAGCAACGACAGGAGGGCGACGAUGAUAAACCUGAAGUGGUCGAGGAGGCAUAGCAUCAGGUGGGGAGACAAUGGGAAUGGGCAAGACUUCAGAAACAGGAAGAGACUCAGAAGUGGUGGAAAAGAAUGGUGAGUCCUCAAAGAAGGUGACAUCAGCGGAGAUAAAGUAUCGAUGAGUCUCAAGGGAAUAACAACGAUAACCCUUCUGAAGUCUGGAAUAUCCCAAGAAGAGGCACUUCAUGGCUUUGGCGGAAAGCUUGUCCUAUCCAGGAGUGAGAAUAUGAACAAAGCAAGUACAACCAAAGACACGAGGAGGAAGGAAAUAAAGUGGUUGGUCAGGGAAGAGAAGGGAGUGAGGAAUCUGAUCGUGUAAGACAGAGGAGGGCAUAUGAUUAAUCAAAUAACAAGCGGUAAGAACAGCGUCCCCCCAAAAACGAAAAGGAACAUUACUAUGGAGGAGGAUAGUACGAGCUGUCUCAACAAGAUGUCGAUUCUUGCGUUCAGCUACCCCAUUUUGUUGAGGAGUAUGAGCACAAGAAGACUGAUGAAGAAUCCCAUGAUGAGACAUAAACGAAGUAAAUGGGGCUGAAAAAUAUUCCCUGGCAUUGCCACUGCGUAACACACGAAUAGAAAUAUUGAACUGGGUUUGGAUUUCAGCAUAAAAUUUCUGGAAAAUAGAGAAUAACUCAGCUCGAUUUUUCAUUAAAAAUAACCAAGUACAUCGAGAAUAGUCAUCAAUGAAAGUGACAAAAUACUGAAAUCCUAAAGUAGACGCAGUCCGACAAGAACCCCAAACAUCAGUGUGGACAAGCUCAAAAGGAGACUUUGCCCGAUUAUUCAAACGCUUUGGGAACGAAACACGAGUAUGUUUCCCAAGCUGACAUGACUCACACGGAAGCGACGACAAAGUGGAAAAACGAGGGACCAUCUUUUGGAACUUAGAGAGACUAGGAUGACCGAGACGAUUGUGAAUGAGGAGAGGGGCAUCAGUGGAAAUGCAAACUGCAGCAGAUGAAUCCGAGGUGAGGUGAUAGAGGCCUUGAGACUCACGUCCUAUGCCAAUCGUCUUCCCCGUACUCCGGUCCUGCAAGGUCACAAAUUUAUCAGAAAAGGUAAUAGAGCAAUUAAGAGUACGAAUGAGUUUGCUGAUGGAAAUAAGAUUAAAAGGACAUUCAGGAGUAUAAAGGACAGAAGUGAGAGGUAGAGAAGGCAGAGGAAGGGCCAAACCAAUACCUUUAGCCACAGUUUGAGAACCAUUAGCUAAGGUAACAGUAUGUAAAGCAGAGGUAGUAGUAAUAGAGGAGAAAAGAUCCUUAUUACCAGAUAGGUGAUCAGAAGCUCCAGAAUCUAGAAUCCAGGGUCCAAGAGAAGAUGUGUGGGUAAGGCAGGCAGAGGCAUUACCAGGCUGGGCAACAGAGGCAAUAGAAGCUGAGAUGCAGAGGAGCUCGGAGGCUGAGGCAGCGGAGAAUCAGAGGACUGGGUCAUAUCCACUUAUCUGGAGAAUGAAGUAUGUUUGGAUCGAAGAGAGCCCUAAUACGGCUUCAGAUUGCGGCGUGGCACCACCGACAAAGGGAGACGGCCUCAGAUCGCAGCGUGGUACCACCAGAAAGGUAGAAGAACACUGCCCAAGGCCCGUGCAGGGAUUGGGGUGGAGAAAAAGUAGCCAGAGCUUCGCCGGAAAGACUGUUUGGAGGGCCGACGGAGACAAAAAUCCCCAAAAGAGGUACGUGCAGGGCUCGGAUGGGAAAACCAAGGAGGUAGGGAGGCUGGUCGGUGUCAGGCGAAGCUGGAGGAGGAGGCGCAUCGCCGGAAAAUGCCUCACGCGCCCUCACACGCCGGCGCGUGAGAUGCAGCCGCCGACCGGAAAAUGGCGCGUGGCCGGCGCGUGGAUGCUCUUUUGGUGCCGGUGCCUUCACAAAAGUUGGAGAUCUCCUCCAGGCGCUCCUUCUGGUAUGGUCGGUGUCGGAAAAAUAGGUCGCCGGAAAAGUUCGCCGGAAAAUUUCGCCGGCGGUGAGUGGUUUCUAACGACGUUCCGACUGACCGGAAAGUAUUGGGAGAUGGGGAAGGUGACCGGAAUGAAACACGGUCACCGAAAGGUUUCCCGGAGUUGAUGACACGGGAAACAGGAAAGAAUUAGGUUUUCUUCCCUGGCUCUGAUACCAUGUUAAGAGAAAGAGAGAGAAGAAAACCUUGAUUCUCAUUCAUGUAGUCUCAACUUACAAUUGAGAGAUAUAUAUAUACAAGGCUAGGAGUCCUAACUACCAUACAUGUGACCUAUAUUAACAAGGAAAGAUAAUAUACUAUAAAUACAUUAUAUUCAACAGGGAGAAAAAGAAAAGAAAAGAAAAACCUUCUUAACUAGCAGUCAAUCAUAAGAUAAAGAAACCGAUUGAAGGAAGGACAAGUAGUAUCCCUUCAACUCCCAAUUUAGAAACUCUCUUCAGCUACCAACAAAAAGAGUAAAGAGGUGAUUGGAUAUGGAUAAUUCUUUCCCUCCUAAAGCUACAUGCACACCAGCCUAUGAACAUUUAGGGGGAAUCUCGAUCACUUUGGAGCCUUGGGACCCUCUGGAAAGAGAAGGACAAAUACCAGUCCCAGGAAUUUCCAUGAGUCAGGCCAUCCACAGAGACAAUACGAGUAACAGCAACAGUGAAAACUUUGGCAGUCUGCUCUAUCAUUAUUACCAAGAAAAAUCUCAACUUGAUUGACAUGAGAAAUCCAUUGGAUCAGUAACUCAGAAAAUGAAUCAAAUGGGUGACAACUAACACACAAUCAAGAAGAGAGGGCCAUGUAAAUAUGGGGUAAUGUGCAAGGGCCAAGUUAAUAAGGAGUUAAGUAGGGGUCAAGUUGAUACAGAGUUAAGGAACUCCAUACCAAAAUCAGAUGAAUAAGAAAAGAAAGAUAGUUGAUUGCAGAUAGUGUGAAUUAAAAGAAAAACCUUAGUGGCCACAGUAGUGAACCAAUCCACAUAAGAUAACAGCAUAAAGGAAAUGCCAAAGCAAGAUACAAUGCAACUGGUCUGGUACCAUUAGGAUACCAGAGUUCAAUGGUCAAAAGGGAAAGGUUUGCAAAAUCUAAAAAUUGUCCUCAAUUAAAAUUAAAUGUUUGAGGAAAUAUGAUCAGACCCAAUACUGCCAAUGGGAUUUCAUGUAGAUUCAAGGAAAACCAAUAUUUUCAAGCAGAUUCCGAGUGGUACAGGUUUGAAAUUGAUUUAAGACAGUAAUAUAACUUCAAAUCCUUAAGUAGGUUAAUAAAUAGGAUAUAUCCAAACACUCUGCACAUAUUAAGCAAUAAGGCCUCCCACAUAUCACAAACACUUGCAAUACAAAUGAUGAGGUCUCAGUAGAAGUCAAAACAAAGAUCAGGAGAGAUGAAUGAGAAAUAUUUCAUAUAUAUCUACACAGGAUUCCAUAUUUUGCCUUUAGUUAAACUAAUAACUGAUGAGGCACUCUCACACAGUAAGAUAAAAAUAUGAAUAAAUCCAGAACAACUAAUCACGCUUUUUUAAGACUGGAUUAUUGAAUAACCCACAACCAAACAAGUUUUAGCAGCCAACAUAGCAUCAGUCAUUAAUAGCUAUAGUCAAACAUCCGCUUACAUGGAUACUGUAAAAUAGUGACAGAACCAGACGUUGUGCUUCAAUCCAGUCUCCUGGUCCUGAUAAAUUUAAUAAACCUUGUCCAUGAACUCCCAGAUUGGCAUUAGAGUGUAUAACAGAUGAUUCCUGAUAAAGAAAAAUAGCAAAGCAUGUUAUAAAUGAAUGCCUUAUGAGCAACUUACUCUUGAAAAUGGCAAACAGAUGAUGUGUGGAAUACCUUGAGAACAACCAAAUUGCUAGCCUCGAGCAAAGAUGUUGCAACAUUGGCAUCACCUCCACCAUCUAUAAGUAAUUUGGAAUUCCACAUCAGGAACAUUUUUACAGACAUGCGUAGAGCCCCAUAUACCUGAAGUUAAUCAAACCCAGUGAUAACACAGCAUUCAGUAACAUAUAAUGAAGUUAAAACAUAUGAAGAAUUAAAGACCAAACUGCAUCACAUAAGGUAAAAAUACAUUCCAGUGUAUGUGGCACAAAGAAAGAAGUGAAACUAAGAACAUAAAAUAGUCCCAUUAAAUAAUACUCCCUAAAUAUUAUGUCAUUUGGUUAUGCAUCUGAAAAAAUAAUGAUAUACAUGAAAGAUGUUAUCAAAAUGAUGCACAGUAAAAUUGUAAAGAAAAAGCAGGGAAGAAGAUGGGUUUUCUCCUAAUAAUUUCCCUCUUAUAGAAACUAUUCUCCCUUAUUUACUGAAUACUUGGUGUAAAUGACACCAAUUUAAGGUAUGUCAUUUAUUUGAAUUAAUUGCAUUCCAUGUAAGACUCCUACCAAUAACAACAGCUGUUGGCUUCCCAACAAGUUAAAUGUGAAGUGACUCCUCAAUAGUGAACUAUACCUAAAGUUUAAGAAUCACUAGGAUAUGCUAUAUCAGCACAAAAUGGUUUUUUUUUUUAAUCAGAAAAAAAAAAAGUAUAUUAAGCAUACAAAAAACUAGCCUGCUUGGAUUAGUUUUAGAUGCCUUUUAGAAAUUAAAAGCAGUUUUUCAAGCCCACAAUUGCUUCUAUUUAUGUAUGGUGAUUUUAGCAAAACUAUUUCUGGAUUUAAAAAGAGCUUAAUGUGAAAGUCAGCAUAAGACUGUAGCCAUGUAGGCUUUUUUUUAGCUUAUGCAGGAAGUUUUUUUAUGUUUAAUGAAACUUUCAUAAUACCAAAAUUAUACCUUUGAAGUCAUAACUUCGGCUUCAGCCUCAGAUUGGCUAAAACAAUAAUAAAAACCUAUAUCAAAUGAGUCUUCACUCAUCUAGCUUGCACAAAUUAUAGAAAAUCAGUCCUAGUCCUAAACAGCCUUUUGUCUCCUGUCUGACACAGGUUGGCAUGCAGUGAUACUUGAUUGGCUCAAAAUCUAUAGUUAUAGAAAGAAUAUAAAGAAAACAAGCACAAUUUCUCUUGUUUAUAAAUUUACCAAAGACUCUAUGACUUGCAAAGUCAUGAGACCAGGGUCAAGCUACAACCUGUGGAUUGUCAAAAAAUUCCUUUUCCUGGCAGAAAGCCCUUUUCAACUAUUGGCUUUAUGAAGGCAAGAGACUAUCUGCUUUAUAAACACCCUAAGAUAAUGUUAUGAAAGAGAGCCUGCAGCAAUUCUAUUCUGGUUGGAAGGGCAGCAGAAUUGAUGAUCCAUUUGAUUCUAUAUUUCACUGUUCCUACCCCAACAAUUGGCCUGGCAUUUGUACCAUCCCUCACUCUUUACACCAAGACCCAUACCUGAAGAACCAGAAUGAAAACUCUCACCUGAAAAAAAGAAAGUGAUCAUAGAACAAUUCCAUUCCUGGAAAAUCCAGGACUACACCAUUCUGACAGUCAACCAUUCCAUUCCUGGAAAAUCCAGGACACCACCAUUCUGACAGUCAACAAACAAAAUUUCCUCUACAUGGAUAUCCUCACCAGACAUCCUUAUUGAUCUCAAAUGUUUUAUACCAAAAAGAAAAAAAAAAAAGGAAUUAUAUUGAAAUAGAGACUGAAACUAUCAAAUCCUGAAUGACUUUUUUAUAUGUGAACUACUAAAAGAGGCCACCACCAUACAGAGUGUUCCAAUCCCUUUAUUAUCCUGAUAUGAUGAUAAGGAAGCAUCACCAAGAACAUACAACAAGUGAAUGAUAUGCAUCCCUCAGCAUGUAGCCUUGUAUACAUAUUCCAGUAAUUAACAUGGCACUUAAUAAACAAAAGAUAAUACAUUGCUUGGCAAAAUGGUAACUUCUUAGGCUCAAGUAUGAUAAUAAAUGUUCAAGUUUGGAAGUCACAUCAUGCAAAAAUGUGAGGUUAGGUCUAUUUAGAUCCACGUCCCUCCAAACCACAGAAAUGGGAGCUGCAACGUGUAAGGACCUUCCGAACAUAUAUUUUUUUCCAAAUGUUUGCAUGUGCACAUGAGCACAUGCAUGCAUGUAUGGGUGCAAGUGCAAGUGGACAUGAGAGAGGGCGAGAGAGAGAGAGAGAGUGUGUAUGAGCAUCAAUAAGAAGCAACAGAUAUGCAGAGGGACAUAGAAUUAUCCAAAAGUAAAAACAGCAUAAGAUGUAUUACCAUAUAGGAGACACGUUUGAUCUUUUUUAACCAACCAUGACACCAAAUUACAAUAGGAAACUUAUGAAGUCCCCACUUACCUUAAUUAUGGAGUCACUCAUUAAAAGUUCUUCUGCCAAUAGUUCAAACUCUGAUAAAGCAUAAUGUGCUAACCCAAAGCUCAACACUCCACCACAGUACAGACUGAUUUGUCCUUGGACCUACAUAAGGCAACCUCAUGUACUCAACUCUAUCUCCAGGAAAAAAAGGGGGAAAAACAAUAUCAAAUUGGAAUACAACUGCAUGAAUAUACUGCCUUUGAUGCAAAUAAAGCAAUAUGGAAGUAAAUUAACCAGUGUACUCAAUAUUUGUAAAGAACCAGAAAGCACCUUCCAAGCUCCAUAAACGGUUGCAUCAAAAACAGAAAAUUCAAAAGGAAAAAGGUAAUACGAUGAUGGUUGUCCCACAUUCUAGCAUCAAUCACAUAAAGAAGUGACUGAGAGUUAUCCACUUGUUAGAAACUACAAAGUAGUAGCAACUAUGGUUCAGCAUUUUGUUUUUUGGAAUGAAUUAAAACAAUGUCAAAUUUUGAAAUAAGUUCAGAAACACUUGAAAGCCUCUUUAAAACUUAUUCAUAUGGAAAAAUUAGCCUAAAAAAUAUUGAUCAUGUGAAAAACAUACAUCCACUGGACAGAAUAAGAACUGCCAGGAGGGUGCAAGGAAUUUCACUGACCUGCACACGACUCCAGAGUAAAGGAACAGUAGCCUUGGCAUGAUCUCGAACAUAAACAUUUGUCCAGAGCGGUUGAUAAGGGAACUCCAAAAGAAGGGUGUCUGUAUCUGUUGACCUGUUGUUGUUGCUAACAAUAAGGCUUCGGGGAACAGCAUCAUAAAAAGUCCCAGCAGCACCUGAGUUUUCUGGGCAGCCAAAACUACUUCCUCCUGCAAAUAAGGCAUCAUUAGCUCACAUUAGCUCAAUAUUUACAUUAAAAAGUGCAAGUGAAUAAACUUAUCAAAAAAAAAAAAGUGCAAGUGAAUAAAAGCAUAUUUAAAGGUGAUAAAGUUCUCUUGGAGACAACGAAAGAUUUUCAGAAUAGUCUCACCAUGAACAAAGAUCUUUGGGUCAUCAUGCCUACUGAAAACGUCGACAGAAAUUCUUCCUCCACCACCACCACCAAAACCAUUACCUCCACAAGCACUUAUCCUGCCACUUCCUGUCCUGCGCUUCAGAGAACAUUUAAAUUAAAAAUACAUUAAAUAUGCAUUUGCACAAUUUGAUUAAUGCAGAAAUCUAAGAGCACAUAACUUGAAGAGGACACAAUCAAAAGGUCAAACCAACAUCCAUAAGUAUUUGGAUUAUACAAAGUUAAAUAACAAUGGAUGUACCUCUUACACAAACAAAAGCUAUUAUAGGUACCACUCUUAAUCUCCAAGGCUCCAUCUAGCUUGCACUAAGUGUAAGAGGAAGAAGGAUUUGGAAAAAGGAAGAAAAUGAAGGAAAAAUUUUUACCUCAAAAAAAAUUAUUAUUAUUAUUAUUUUUUUUGAUAGGCAAACACACAAAAAGUACAUAUUAGAAAAGGGCACCUUGAGGCUGACCCAAAAGCAUACAGGGAGUAUACAAGAGGCGCCAUAAGGCACAAAAAAGAAGAGGAAAUACAAAACCAGCCCUCAACUAGCACCUAGCCAAUCAAAAAAACUGAGCAAAGGAAGAGGACCAUCGUUUACAACCGACUUAGUCCACAACCAAAGGUUACAUACAAAAGAAUUUUUCAACCUAUGAAUCGAAAGCUUCUCAUUAUCAAAAGCAAUCCUGUUUCUUUCCUUCCAAACCGCCCAAAAAAUAAACAAAGGGGUUGUCUUCCACACCUUUCUACGCUUCUUGCCCAAGUUAAAGCCACACCAACCACUAAGGGUAUAUCUAACCGAAAAAGGAAGGACCCAAAUAACACCAAAAAGAGCAAACAAUAACUCCCAUAACACUCUUGCCCUGGAGCACUGAAUAAGAAUAUGAUCAAUUGACUCUUCUUCCUCACAGCAAAGGAAGCAUCUGUUAGCUAGAAACCGGCCCCUCUUUUUAAGUUGAUCCAAAGUUAGCACCUUACCCCAAGAUGCUUCCCAAGCAAAGAAACACACUUUGGUAGGCACACAAGGACUCCAAAUAAUGCUAUUAGGGAACUUAACAACUCUUCUUGAAGCUAGAGUACUAUAAAGAGAUUUAACUAAGAAAAUCUCAUCCUUAGUCUCUUUCCAUAGCAUUCUAUCUUCCAAAAGAGGAUUAAGCCUCCUACCCCAGAUUGUCAAAAGUAAUCUCUCCACCUCCCAAUCAUUAAAGGGCCUAGAGAAGCUAGGACUCAAAAAAAUUUUCUUUAAUCUCCACUUUUCUCAAAAUGGUCCAACUAUUGGUGAAGCCAGCCUCUAGGUGAUAUGGGUCCACCACACUACGCUACAAUACUUAAUCAUCAGCGAGGCUUGAACUCAGGAUCUUUGAUUCACUAGCAACGGGCACUACCAUUGAGCUACACCCCAAGAGGCUUUUAAUCUUUUCCAGUUAUUACGCUUUCACAUUAGAAAAAAAUAAACAAUUUGAAAAUAUAUAAGUUUUAAAACAAUCUGUACAUUUAAUUUUCUUCCAUUUAUUUCAUAAUGAAUCAAACAAGAAAUUUUGAGCUUCCUUCUUUUUUCUUUCUUUUUCCUUAUAGUACUUUCCAAGAUCCAAAAAACAGUGCAAUAGUGGCGUAUAAUCAAAUAUACUAAGACCUCCUUAAAUACUGCCCUGAACCCGAACAUAAGCUAGAAAGCAUAAAAACAGAAUUCACUUCACUGAUCCCUAAAAUUCGGGUUAAGAUAGAUACUCACUUCCACAUAGGUUAAAUAAAUGGGAAAUAAACAAUGGUGAUGUUUGAACAGCAAAAAUUCUAUGUUGGGGGCACUCACUUCCAAGGAUUGAAUAAAUGGAAAAUAAACAACAGCUAGGUCUGAACUCGUGGGUGGGUUACAUAAAUGGGAAACAAACAAACAUUUAGGUUUGAACUUGUGACCUCCAAAAAAAAGGAGGGUCUAAUACCAUGUGAAACCACCAACUAAUCCAAAAGCUUAAGGUUUUUAUAAUGGGUCACUAAUGUGUAUCAAGCCAAGUUAGGAUAAAGCCUUAAUGAGAUGAUUUCUAUUGUUAAAACCCAGGUAAAGCUACCAAGCUGAAUGAGAAGCAACAAAUCACAUAGCAGGGGCAAAAAAAAUCAAUGUUCCUAUAUCUAUGUAUACUGUUCAAACCUAUUUUUAGAGCUUUUUCUUCUUUUUCAUAAAGUUUCAACUAGCUAAAAACAUAGUAAUUCCAUGCCCGAUAGCAAUUUGCAAUGGGCAUCAAUAUGGAACCAUGGAAAUAGACUUCUAACAAGAGUAUCAUUGCACCACUACGUCUAAACUGAUGACAAGUUGAACUUACCUAGUUCCCUAUUCAAUAACCAUUAAUGCUCUAUCUUCUUUAUUUGGACUUUGAUUCAUUCCAUACUUCAUGUAUAUUAAUCUUCUAUCUUCAUUCCUUUUAGCGUUGUCAGGGUACAUGAAAAGUGAAAAAAAAAAAAAAAAAGAGGAAUCCUUGCACAAAAUCCUUACACUUCCUCUAAGUUUUUGUCUUUAUGACCGAUCACAAGUUAUUUGAUGUUUCAAUUACCAUUCAUUUCCUAACUCUGGCAGCAGAUCAAAAUAUAGGAAAAGAAAAAGGUAAACAUCAAGAAAUCACCAUACAUUUAUUUUCCCAUCACUCCUCUCCAAAAAGAAUGCCUUUUACCACUGAAACUAGUUACUCCCUUUUUUAUACAUGCUUCUGGAAGUCCCUUUAACACUCCAAAAGUUGUGAGCUGGUCAUUGUUAAAAACUCAUCUUUUUUUGUGCUUGUUUGGUUUCUGGAAAUGACUUGUAAAAAACUGUUUUUACAAACAAAAGUCUUUUGAUGAUGUCAAGAGUGCAAUAUAAGUCCAAAACUGAAGAAAUCAAAAGCACAACCAAUUUUAGUCUUUUUCAUCUUCUUUUAACAAGUUUGCUUUUAACGUUGAUAUGAUUAUUUCUGUUCUUAACUUAUUUUUUUUAUGCAUAGAUAUAAGAAACUUGUUCUUUUUUGCCCCAAAUUCUUGCAUCAUUUAGUUAGUAGGAUGCAAUAUAGGGAAAAUAGUUAUGUCAAUUGGUUGAUGCUGUUAAGGAAAUUUUGAUUACUUUCAGUGACUUCAAAGGAAGAUCUUUUCCUGACAUUUUCCAGAAAUAAACUUCUUUCCAAAAUUGUUCUCUUACAAAAAAAAAUGUGCAAUUUGCUUUCCAUAAACAUGGAUGUAUGUUCAAUUUUUUCUACUAUUUGAAAUUAUUAAACGCUUCUACCAUUAAUUAUUUUUGAAACAUAGAACUGCAAAAAUAAUGAACAGCUCCAACUAGGAGUUUUUUCGAUGCUAGUUUCCUCUUACCCAUCUCCAUCUUGGAAUUUAAACUUUUGUGGCAACCUCUUUAAGCAUGAAAUUGAGGAACUAGCUCUUCUUAUGUUUGCUUUAGUCCAUGUGUAUUUGUCACUCACUUUUCCUAAUGCUAGAGUUUGGUUGUUGAUAUCCUCAAGGUUAUUCUCAGUUAGUUGCUUCUUUAAUGUUAUAUCUGCUUCUACCAACUUAAUUUAUUUUAUUCCUGCAAACUUCAUUUGAAAAUCCAAAGCUCGAUCAAAAGUGAACAUCUUUGCAUGGCUGGUGACAAAUAAGAAGGUCAAUGCUAACGAUUUGCUCUAAUGAAGAAGACUACACAAUGUUCUUAAUCUAGGUAUACAAAGGACACUAAUAGAUGAAAAAACAAGACCCACAAAGCCCAAAACACCAAGAAGUUCCCAACCAACCUAUGAAAUCAAACAAGCUUAAGUGGCCAACAUCUAUGAACUCGUGACACCCAAGGAACAUGAUGUAGAACUAUAAGCUAUAAAAGUUUUCUUUGUUAUAUAAUGAGAUGAAAGAUCAAAAAGGACAAGAAAAUGAAAAAAGAAAAAGGAAAAAUAGAUCCUUGGCAAUGAUACCAUGGUUCCUAGGCAAUAAGCAAUCCCAUAGAGAUGGUAAAGUGUGGGAGGGGGGGGGGGGAGGGGGGGUGGUGGGGGAGAGGAAUGAUGAUCCUUGACAAUCACAUGAACAUUUGACACAUGAAGGUUCCUAAGCAAUUACACUUAAGGAAGGAAAUCACACCUUUAAGAAGCUUUGUAGCAACUAAAUUCACAAAAAAUUCUAUUAAUAAAAUUGAAAACUUACAUAAGUUUGUAUAGACUUAUAAAACUAGAACAAAUAGAAAUUUGACUAAAAAUAACAAUUAGAAUCAAUUCUAAUAAAAUAAAACUAAAAAAUACAGACUCUGCCUAAAUCUAUGAAAUGCUAUAAUUAGUGAAUUACCCUUAUGCUUGUUAACACACUCACUAGCCACAUGGAUAGUUCAAUAAUAUGUUCCAAGCCAAAGCAAACAGCAAAAGGAAGGUGCUAUCUGGUAGUGAUUUCAUAAAAACUACAAGCAGCACAGCACUAAGGUCCAAUAGAACCAGUCGCUUUGGGAAUUAAGAAGUGCUGGUAGAAUUAGUCCACCCAUAGAUUCUCUUUAGAGACUCCAAAACAAACCAACUUGUUCCAAACUUUGGGUUUAGAAGUAAUGUCUACUAAAACAUGAAUCCAUCAAUUCUGCAGCAAGCUGGAACAUCUUGAAAAUUUGAGCAUGCCUAAAACUGAGUUUGUUAAAUCCCCCCAUUCUGUCACUAAUUAUACUUCCUAAUUUCCUCUCAUGGUAAAGUAUAUUACAUAAAAACAACCUCAUUGCACCAAGGGCAACCUAGGAUAAGGAAAUGAUUUGUAAGAUAAGUCCCACAACUCAUUUCUACAUCAAGGAUUAGGGCCAUAAAUAGAACUAAAUCCUUACAAGAACAUUGAUAACAACCCUAAGCUUGACAAAAAUGAUAAAAGGCUACCAUCCAAUUUCUAAGAAUAACAUCUGGUAAAAUUGUUCAUUUUGUAUCCGGACCGAAUAACAUCUGGUAAAAUAUUUCUUAUUCUAGCCCUCCCAUCGAUCUGACUCGAUUUGAUAUCUUAAACCAUAGUAAUGUCACAACUGUUUAGGUGAUAAGUCAUCUAACAUCUUCCUUUUCUUAGGACAAACCAAACCUGUAAAAUUCCAAGUUUACAGUAUAAGGACAAGAGAAUAUUCCAAACUAAUCAGUGAGGCAAUAAGACAAACACACCACAUAAGAUACUAUUUCCUCUUAAUGAAAGCACCAUCAUCACUGACAACAUUUGUAAGUCCAUUUUUCCCAUGGAAAUCCACAUUUAGUAAAAUGAAGAAAGAACCCAUAAAUAUAGCAUUUUUUAUGCCAUCAAUGAACAUCACAACAUCCAAAUGUUGAGUCAACGGAAGUAUAUAGGAAACUUUUGGGGUUCAAACAUUGAAGCAUCUGGAAAUUGCAGGAAGAGGCAGAAUCUAUCCAAGAGGUUUAUUUUGAAAAUUUUUAGUGAUUAUGGGCUUCAAGUUAUCUACCAAUUUAUCCAAGAUUUUUUUUUAUUUUAACUUUGUUCAGUCUAGAUAUGGAAUGCUUUUCUGGAAAAGUUUCAUCAGAAACAUGGUCUUCCACGUACACAUGCACAACGGACAGAACUAUUACAGUAUGGAAAAAAACAAUGAUCUCACAUACUUUAUUCAAUAAUCAAUAUAAAAAUUAAAAAAAAAAACUCACAAGAAAUAAAUAGUCUAUUAACUUGCACUUCCAAAAAAACCCAGGUGAUCAUCACAGCAAAAGGUAAUUGGUUACCACAAUAACAUUUCAAAGCAAUACUAAAUCAUCAACUAUCUAGAGCUAAAAUUAACCAAAAGGCAAAGAGAUUACAUCUUAUAAGCCUUGAUGUAGAUGCUGCCACCAGACCCACCUCCACCUUUGCUCCCCCCAUGACCCCCAUCAGCCAAAAUACUCCCAUCAACCACAAGAAACCCUGCAAUCUCCAUCUUUACCCGCCCACCACCGUGGCCACCAUAAUCUUCCUCCUUAGUUGUCGUACCCCCCUUGCUCCCAAAACUCACCGGCUUCUGUAAACUAGACCACGAGUACGCGUCCCCGCCCCAAACAUCCUCCGGAAGCUUCUUCUUGUCAACCAAACAACACGCCCCCCUUCCCCCAUGUCCCCCGCCCGCCCCAUCGACCCCUUGAGGUGUCCCACUAGUCUGCGGCGGGGCGGUCCCCGCUAACGCCGUGGUAUUCACCACAGACCCAUUGUGAAGACUUGAAUUAUAUGCCGAGAGCUCGAAUGCCCCGGUCACAAUCGACGCAUUCUCGCCCAAACUAAAAUUCCCACUAAUGUUAACAGUAAUUGAACACCCAGAAGCCAAACAAUCCAAUCUCACGCCAGAACCUAUAUAGAAAUUGCCUUUCCCUUCUAUAUACACAUCAUCUGUGAGUUGCAAAUUGGAAACUAAUUGACAAGUGGUGUCCAGAGACCCAAUACCGUGGAGAUCCUCGGAGCAAGAAACGGAGGGCGGGAGAGGCGGUGGCGGCGGUGGUGCCGGCGGGGAGUAGUCCUGGUAGAAGAUGUCGUCGACGGCGAAAGAAUCUUCUCCGGCGAGAAUGGAGCUAGGGUUUACGAUGAGGAUUGAGAGGGUGUACAGAAUGGUGAUAAGGAGAUGAUUCAGCGAUGGAGAGAGAGUCAUUACAGAGACAAGUUGAUAAGAAAAUGAUGCAUUUGAAGGUAAGGAAAAAAAGAGGUGGGAUAUGGAUGUUUGGAUUGGGGGAAAAUUUGGGAAAAGUCAAAACCCUCAAACUGGAAAAAUCAAAAUGCGUGCUUUGUGAAGCAGAAUAUUAAUUUUCCAGCCAAAGUUAUGAUUUUUAAGACAGAUUGUGAAGAGAAAAUGAGAGAAAGUCUGGGGAAGAAGCUGAACUGCUUUUAAUUUUUUUUUUCCCCCUUUUUCAUUUUUUUUAUUUCCUCACUACCGCUUUCUGCACUUCUAACCACUAAAACCUCGACACGUUGUCUUUUCACUGAACCCGACUACACCCGAUCACAACUCACCGGUUGGGGAGACGAUAGUUCCACGCUCGCCUCGAGAGCGUGCAAACACUAUGACCAGCUUUGCAAUAUUUUCAAUUAUUCUCCAUUUUCUCAAUUAUUAAUUAAAAACUUUAAAAACAAAAUAACUGGAAAAAAAAUUACUUUUUAAUACAAAAUCUGAAAUUUUAGUUUCCAUAAAAACAGUUACCAAAUCGUUUUUAUGAACAGGCCUAGAUCAAACACUCUAAGGUGGUGUUUAUUUUUUUACUUAAUUCUAAAUAGUAUUUUAAUACUUAAUAGUGUUAAAUAUUAGAUGAUUUGUUUUUAUAAUAUUUUAUUUUUAUUAAAUAUUAAAAAAUAAAAAACUUAAUAUGUUAUUUUUUGAUUUAGAAAAAGUUAUAUAUUUUCGUUUUUUCUAUUUAAUAAAAGGUUUUAUAGUGAGUAAUGAAAAAGUAAAAAAUAAACAACCUAAAUUCUGAAAAUAAAUUGCUUUAACUAAAAAAAUGAAAAAAAACAAACACGAACUAAAUACCAAUUCGCUUCAAUUUUUUAAUCCAGUGGAUGCACGCUCCCAUGUAGCGCGUGGAAUGGGUUUCACGGGAAAUGAUCAGAUUACAUGCAUGUAACAUAGCCGCAUCACAGUAAAUUAUUAUUGGGAGAGGGCUAUAUGAUUUUCCACGUAGAACUGAGGUGGCAUUGGUUGACGACUGUAGCGUGGGUGAGGAAGUCGGUUUCUUAAAAGUGAAGAUUGGUAUUUAAUUAAUAAUAAAAAUGGAGGACGCGUGUGGGAAAAUAACUAAACCAGAUCAGUGCAUGCUUUGUCACCAAACCGAUGAUAAGGCCCUGCUUGGCUAUGAAAGAAGUUUUUGGCUGUGUUUUUUUUUUUUUUUUCCAAUUUUUAAUUAUUUUUAUUUUAGAAAAUUCCAAAAAAUAUAUUAAUAAAUAAUAAAACAUUUUGGGUUUUUUUAUAAUUACUUGUGUCUUCUAAUUGCACAUGUCUGUUUGGAUUCUGAGAAGUCAUAAACCUUCUUUGAUUGAUCUUUCAGACACGCAUUUGGAUAGUUUUAUAUAAACACAUGCAUAUGAACAUCAAGAAAAUAUUAUCUUUAAUGGAAAUUAUCCUCUAGCUUAUAUAAAAAAUUAUUUAAUAUUCAAUAAUAUUUCUAUAGAUAUCAAUAUUGCCUCUUUAAAUUCUAACUUUGGUUUCAUGUUGACUCCAAUAUAAAGUCAAAAAUAGAAUUGAAGUUCUGUUUGCCAAAGUUGAUAAAAACAAUUCUAAAAAAAAAUUUAAAAACACCUCAAAUUCAUUCUUAAAAAAUAUUUUAUUUUCAAGAGUUUGGAAAGGUAUCUUCAAAAUUAGUAAACUAUUUUCUAUUUAACAGUUGCCAAACAGUCCUAGGCCUAGGCCUACCUCCAUGAUUUUUCUCAAUACUGCCUAUAAGUUUUUAUGACUUGAUGGGCUGCUAAAACCAAAAGACGAGCUCAAAUGCAAACUUCCUAAUCAAUUAUUGAAACAACCUUGUUUGCUUGAUGCAUGGUUUCCAAUUGAGAUGGACAAAUAUAAACCAACCCCACAGGGGGGGAAAGAAAAGGGAAAAGAAAAUGAUAAUGGUAAUGGUUAGAAUGUAUGUAUCGAUAGUCUUCCUUAGGGUUUUCUUCAAAACCUGUAUUUCCCAUCUGUUCACUUUUUAACCCAAUAUAAAAAAAGGGAAAAAAACCUAGUUUGGAUGGGAUGAUAUUUUGCUUGAUUCCCAAGUUUAGGUAAAAGUGAGGGGUCCCCAUUUCUCAUGAGGCCUUGCAUUUCCCUCCCCCUUGCUCUCCUCUCAAGCUACAAAGGCUUGGAAAGCAUCUCCUUGAAUGCUACUUCUAAUUGGUAUUCUCUGUAUCAGAGAAUAAACCCUAUACAUGUCAUCCAUCAGUGUUCAAUUUAAUGAAUUUGGUGAACAUUAAUGCUGAAAUCAAACCUCCAAGAAGCAUUUUCCAUCCCACCCUUAACCCUAGAAAUCCACUUCAGUAGGGAGGCAUAUAUGUCGACUGCAUGCAAAGCAAACUUCAAGUGAUAUGAACCACCCCUCCAUCCUAUAGCACUUAAAUAUCAAGAAAGCUUGAAUUUGAGACUUUUGGUUUAUCGGUCCAGACAGCUGAAGAACUUUGUCUCUCCACUGUAUUCCACCUAAACAUCAGGAAAAAUGCAAGCUCAGAACCUUUGGAUUCCUUCUCAAGUUUGAGAAAGAUGGGUGACAGAUACCAAUAGUUAAAACUUCAAGCUAAGGACCCAACAUCUACUCUCCAACUUUGGUUUCCUAAUUUGGACCUGCCCCCCUCCCCCAGGUUUUGUUACUUCAGUGAAUAAAAAACAAAUCUGCUGUUUUAAGUACAAAAAUGUGUCUAACAAGAACUAAAAUUUGCCCCUCGAUUUGUCAACAGAGGGGUAGAUGGUAAUGGAUGAAGAUAGAACUAAACCUGAAGGAAGAUCAGUUCAGAAUGACAAAAUGACAGUGCUAUUUCAAAAAUUCACCUACCGUCAGGGAAAUAUGGACAUGGGAAUUCUCAAUAUACAAACAAUCAAUUGAUAUUUCAUAGCAUACAACAUACAUUAUUACAAAUCUAUUUCAGAAGAAGAGUUCAAUGAAUCAUACAAUCCAAACGUUAUAAGAGAUGGAUAUAAAAAUUUUAGAUAUUUUGUAAAUGGGGAAAAAAAAUGGCACUGUAGAGUCAAUGUCAUUAGUGGGUGGAAUAUGAGUCUAGGAAGAAAAUGCACUGAUUUAAACUAAUCACAGAACAAUACCUUUCAGACUCCAGCUUUCGAAGUGCCAUUCAGUUUAAAACUUGUGGCAGUUCACAUCUUUCAGUUUUUUCUCUUGGAAGUCUUCUGGAAAGUCUGGUUAGUGUUAUGAUGUGCAUUCAUCCAGCCUGCUUUGAAUUCAGAAUGUGAAGUUGAUAUGAACAACUACUCUCAGCUAGAGCUUUUCAAACUAAUUUGACACUACACAUCCACAUAAUGUCUCAAAUUUUGGCAGAUUUCUUCAUCCCUUAGAUUUGCCAGUGCUGUUUUCUCUAACUUCCUUAUCCACUCUUUGCUAACAUUGAAACGUCUCCCAAUCUCUUCUAGUGACUUGCGCUGUUGCUCCCCAAAACCAUAUCUUAACACCAAAAUUUGCCUCUCUCUUGGGUCUAAACCUUUCAGAAGAUUGUGAAUGUCUUUUCUCUUGCAUUGCUGCAUGAAACCUUCUUCAGGGCUCUUUAUUGAUGUAUCUGGUGUAAACUCCUGCAUUGCAAAAACAUGCAGUAUACUCAAAAAUCCAUCUGAAGAAGAAUUCUAAACAAUUAAGGCCAUUUCUGUAAGUUUCCUUGUCUUGCAAUAUACGCUCAAGAGCAAAUGCAUGUUAUUUUAUCCCCAAAGUUCUGGCAACCCAUAAAGAAACCUACAAAUCUUUCAGGAUUUAAACAACUCAAUUGUAUAAUCUUAUGGACCACAAAUAUCAUCAUCCAUUCCAGAAUUAAGUAUCACCACUUAUGGACCACUUGCUGAUACUCUCUUGCCAGUGACCUAUUAUAAGUGAGCAUAUGAUCUACUGGUUUUGGAUCCAAAGGGAAGUGCACUAAGCAAGUGGAAUGAUCUAUCAAAACCUCAUCCUGCAUUUGUGUAAUCCUGAGUGCACAGAAGAUGGCUUAUUUCAGAGCCAGUAGAUCCAAAGGGAAGUGCACUAAGCAAGUGGAAUGAUCUAUCAAAACCUCAUCCAGCAUUUGUGUAAUCCUGAGUACAGAAGUUGGGCUUAUCCCAUAUUACAUCUGAAUUAUUUAUAGGUAAUGGGCUUUCACUCGGCAAGAAAACAAUUAUAUAAAUUCUUAAUUAAUUGAUCUUAUUCAGCAGAAGCAAUUACAAAUUCUUAAACUUCAUAGACACAAGCUGAACCACAACAAAGCAAUCAUGGCCUUUUAAAGUGCAGAACAAGCAGUAAAAAUGGCCUACAAGGAAAAAGUGUAAUCUUUCUCAAUUUAUCAGUAAGUUUCUAUGUGCCAACGACAUUAGAGUGGAAUUCACAAAGUAAAUGCAGAUAAUUUAGAAUUUUAACUCGUACCAGAAUUGUUGCACCCCAACAAUCUUGGAAACUUUGAUCAGUUGAACCCACAACCCUUAGGCAAUUUCCAGCUGAUCUAAUUUUAGCAAGAGAUAGACCAGUGAACUUUGCAAUUUCAUUAUCAUCUGGAUAUCUUCCAUGGCUUUUGUAAAGGGCCUUUCGAGCUUUCUGUAUCUGACCUAUUGCCCUGUUUAAUGUAAACUAUAGAAAAAAUUGAACAGAAAACCAACAUAAUGAACAGAUUUGAGCUUUCAAAAGAAGAAAAAUAUAUUUAGGAAGUAAAACUCUAAUUGCAAAUUUCAUGUUAGAAAUUUGAUGUCAUCAACUCAUACUAACAUGGAAUUUUGUAGUAAGAAACAAUCUCUUAAAAGAAGAACAGUGCAUACAGGAAUUUUGACCCCUCUAGCAUGCCGUGCCACCAAAGUUGACAUUGAUUUUCUUAUCCAGUACUGAACAUAGGUCGAGAAUCUGUAUCCCUUUGUGUGGUCAAACCGUUCUGCACCUUGCAGGACACCUAAAUUCCCUGCCUGUGAAAUGAGGAACGUGAUAAUUAUGCUUAGACAGGGUGGGUAAUCAAUUUCAGGAGGGAAAAGACAUCAUUAUCAUAACAAUUAGUCAUUGCAAUUAUAAAUAUAAAAAAUAAAAUAAAAUAAAAUUGUUUGAGAUAUAUGAAGACAGACACAUGCAUAACAAAAUUGUCUAUUUCAAACCUUGCAGAAAAGGUGAAGCUUAAAGACAGAAAACUCAUACAUUUCUUAUUAUUUAAUGGGAGACACUUUUGCCAACAUUCAACAGUUAACACCACUUGUUAACACCACUUCUUAGGUGUUAACAAAAUCCAAGGUGUCUGGCAGGAAUUGUACUCCAGGAUGAAGUCCAUACUAUAGAUUAGUUAAGUAGUAUGUCGUCUUCACUGCUACAAAAAUCAAAUUUGACAAGUUUUCAACAAUGUAAAAUGGGUGAGAGGGUUGGAAUGGAACUUGUAUACUGUCAAAAAUCUAUGGAUGCACAUUUCUGGUGCCUAAUGCAAAGAGAACCCCUAAAAAAUGAAAGAAGAAAUGCUACUGAGAUAUAGCAUGGUAUAAUAGCUGAUGGUGGUACAAUUAUUGGACCUGUUAAAAGUAGAUUCAGUUUUCAUUAAGAUAAACAUCCUUAUAAAGAAAUUCCAAAUUAAUUGCAAAAUUUAACACUACUUUUUUUUCUCUGAAAAAUUCCAUGGUAACAACCAAGCCAUCUUUCCUGAUCUCUACUGCUUUCCCACUAAAUUCCUAAUCCAAAUUAAUUCCCAAAAAUGAGUUACUAUUGAACCCAGACUGCAACAUAAUUGUCAUAUUUAGCUAAUAAAUAAACUGCAUGCAUGGUAUUUCAGGGGCAAAUCCAUUUAUGAACUUUUCAUCAGCUCAAGGAAACAAAUGACAAAGUAUGAACAAAUCUAAUUGACCUGAAGUAUAUCUUCAAAGGCUACUCCCAUUCCUCUGUAGUUUCUUGCAAUGUAUAAGACUAAGGAGUGUGUACUCCUUAAAAGUUCAUCUCUGCAAUACCAACCAAACUGCAAUUGUUGUUGCAACACCUUCUUGUCGACUCCAGCAGCUUCUGCCCAGUUACUCAAGCUGGCCACAUGCCCAAUUUCUUCUUCUAAAGUUGCUCUGAUUCUCUCCAAGUUGGCAACCAACUGAUGGUAUUCACAAAAUAUGGCAGUUUAGAACAUGCUUGAAGCAUGACUCCAAGAAAAUAAUGAACUUUACAUGACAGAAAAGGAAACAACCUUCACUCCCUUUGACAUUUCUGCCUCGUUCUUAGCAUUCAUCAAUCUUUUCCUUCUAGAGUUCAAUGUUCUCUUUACGGUAGAAACACUAGGUCGGCCAGGACCUUUACGAAUAGUUUUUGAGGGCAAUGGAAAAGCAUAUAUGUUGUCAGCUUUUUCCAAUGCUCUUUCUCUCUUUGAUUUUCUUUCUUCCUUUUUCCCAGAGCGAACAACAACUUUAUCUAAGUGAUCAUCCACUGUGCCAUUUGUUUGACACUCCCUAAUAUGCUCAGUAGGAGCGCUAAACAAAUCAAAAGAUGUAGAUGUUUUGAGGGUCCUGGAUAGACAUAUUUGGAAUAGUUUUAGAGCUCCAAGCCUUCCUAAUUGCACCAUAAUAUCCCUUUCCAACCUUACCAUGUUAGAAUCAGCAAACAUCUCCUCUAAAAUAUCAAGAUUUUCCAAUAACAAACUAAACUGCGAUGCUUUGCUUGCUUGUAAACCUGCAACAGAUGCGGAUAUAUCCUCUCCAAUGGGUGCCUGAGAAGCAUUGACUAUCUUGAAUAAAUCACCAUGUGAACAUUUGCCAAUUUUCAUCUGAAAGACCAAAAGGCUACAAUAAGGUUUCACAUAGCUAGCAAGAUAAUAAAAAAGGCUAACUUGUCUACAAAAUGCUUACUUUCAUCGCCUCCAUUGCUGAGUAAUCAUUCUCAAAGGUUUGUAGAGCUCCUGACGAGCAUGCGAAUGGCUUGAAUGGAUCUUUAUAGAGACUCUCACAGUCCUCAGAAGUAACAGAUGGGAAAGAAAACCUUGUUGAGUCAAAGGAAGCCUCCUUACCUUGGACUGGAUGAUUUAAAAUCAAUGAUCAAUGAUCUAUAACCAGGAAAAUAAACAGAUAAAAAGGACUAACAGUGCAUGUAUAGAGCACCAUAGAAAAGUAAUAAAUCAAUGCUGCAAAAAUGAAGAAAUUGCCACCACCAAUGCAUUUUUUGUUGGCAUAUUGAUUUCUUUCGUAUUACUUAGGUGGCACUAUUAUAGGUUAAAUUUUACUUCAUAAUCAUCAGUUAAUGUUCUUUCCAAUAAACGUGCCAAGCUGAUCAAACCAUAAAGUUCUACUUCAUCUUAGUCAUGUUGGCUCAUAAAUGAACCAAGUAGAUGUGGUCAAGAUGAUUGAUAAAAUCAUAAAACUAGGAAGCUCCAUAAUUCAAGUCAAUUGUUCAUGUUCUAAGACAGAAACACUGAUAUUCUAACAACAAAUAUAAAACUUCAGAGCUUAGUUUUCUUAGAAAGUUGUCUCUGAUGAAUGUAUAGUCAUGCAGAAAUCCUAUAAGCCCUAAACAAAUUUGCCGUACUGGGUAGUUAAAAAAAUUUCAAAACUACUAAGAAGGGAAUUCGCAACAUACCCAACAAAAUCCCACCAACGGAAGAUUUCCAGGAAUAGAAUCAUACCCAACAUACCAAACAAACAUAUACAACCAUGAAUUUCAACAGAGUUCCAUAUUUAAUCCGCAUAAUCAAGGGAAGCCACUAUGUGAAUCUUUUUGCAUGAUAAUAUCAACCCCAAUACUAAAUCAUGUUAAGGCCCAUUUGGGUGUCGCACGCCAACUGAAAUGAACUCAUAAAUUCAAUCAUUUCAGGACCCUUUUGGGUCUGCUCUACAUCACACAAAAAAACAUUAAAAAACAAAAAAAGCAUGUGGAAAUUGAAAUACAGAGAGUUGAUAAGCACACCUGAAGAUGUGCAAAGCCUGGAUGGUGAAUUGGUGAGAGUAGGACAACUGAUUGGAAAAUCCCAUUUCAGGUUUAGCCUGAAACCCAUGCCCAUGAUGUUUCUCAGAGCCCAUCAAAUGUUCAUGAAGAUUGAAUGGUACAAAGUGUGAUGGGAAAAAGUGAACAACAGGGAGUGGAUAAUUUGGGUGUUGUGAGCUCUCCACCACUGGUUCUUUCAUCUCCAAAAGGCUUUAAUCACCUCUUCACAUUAGUGUUCCAAGGUCAGCCACCAGCAGCCACAUAAAAAUAUCUCCAUGGGUUUUUGGAUCCUCUCCAGUGCCCAAUUCUCAAUGGGACAAUAACCGCCGGAUUUUUUAUUUAAUAUAACAUUUUAAAAAAAAUCUAUAAAAUAUUUUUAAAAUAGGAUUUUUAAUAUAAACAUAGUUAUAAAUUUAUAUUAAAUUUGUCAUUUCAAAAAAUGAUAUUAAAGUAAGUUUUUAUUUCAGUAAAUUUGCAAAAAAAAAUUAAAUUGUUUUUUAUUUAAAAUAAAAACACUUUUAAAAUCAUAUAGUUUUUCCUAAACACUACUGAAAGAGGCUCUCCCAGUUCCAGCCCCGCCUAAUUCAACCCAUUUUUGUAGAAACCGGUUGAGUCCAUUUAGACAGGACGAUCAAAUAAAGCUCAGUCCAUUGCUGGAUCCGCAGCCUUGUGGCUCAUCCAAAUUCAAUCCCAAUUUCCAAACUGAAGCCAGGCUAGGCCCAAGAGGUCCCAUUCUGAACCCAUACCCAUAAUGAGAGGUUUGGGCUAGGCAUUGGACCCACUGUAUGGGUCUGUUUCAUGGUUAUCAAUAUGGUAAAGCCCAUUAUGGGAAUAGCCCAAAUAUUUGUACAACACAACCCUGUUCAACAAACCCACCUAACCCAAUAAAAGGAAGGACAAGGCCCAAUUCUAUUACAAUAAGGCCUAAAAUUAUAAGGCUACGGGUUACGGCUAUGGGCUUAAGGUGAUGAAGACAUCUACUACCCAGAUAAGGUUUAUGGAAUACAUCUCUUACUAACAUAUAAACCUUUUUAAAUAAUUUUUUUUAAGUUAUCACUAUUAUUGCAUUAGUUUACAUUAUCUAAAAAUGUUAUCAGGGUUUUGAUUUUUUAUUAUAAAAAUAAAUAAUAUUAUUUUUUAUACGAAAGUUAUGGUGUGAUAUCUUACCUCGAAUAUAAGAGAAAGUUAUUGCAGUAUGGGUCCAAUUAAUUAUAUAAAUACGUUUUAAAAUUGUGAGAAUUAUUUUGAUUUAGAGCAGACAAAUAUCCAUACAGUUGGAACAUUUUCUAUCAUCCUUUAAUUUGUUAUUAUUUUUAUAAAAUUUGUCUCAAAAUUUUAUUAGGAGAUAAUAAUUACUAUAAUCGAAUGAUAAAAAUAUCGAUAAUCAUAAAUAUAUCCGUAGUUUGAUUUUAUAGAUAUAUCGAACAUAAUAAAAUAUCGAUCGACUGAAAAUUGAUUUAUAUAACAAAAUUCUUAUAAAUGAAAUUAAAAGUAUAAUAGGUAUUUUAAAAUUGUUUUGUUGAAUAAAUUAAUAUAUAUAAGUGUACAUUGAUUAUUAAAUUAUAUAAAAUAUUAUUCAAUAAUAAAUUAAUAAUAUUAUGAUAUUUGAUUAUAAUAUAUUUAAUUUUAAAAUAUAUUUAAUAUUAAAAUUAUAAUAUAUUUAAUUUAAUUGAAUUAAAUGAUAAUAAAUGUAUAUAAUUUUUUAUAUUUAAUUAAUGUAUUAAUGAUAUUAAAAAGAAAAUUGCUACUUAAUUAAAUGAUAAUAAAUUAACUAGUCUCAACCUUUUGUUGGGGUUCAACUCCUGGGAGCAGCAAUGCACCCUAUUUUGAGCAGCAGCCCAUUUUUGAGCUUUGACUCGGUCAACGCCGAUAUUUCGGUUGAAAUUUCUCAGAUCAGGGCCCACGGUGUGAGCAUUCGCACCCAAGAAUCUCCUUGUGUGGAUAAACAUGGAGGAGUGGGAGUGAAAAUAAAGGCAACGCCAAAAAACUUAAAAAGAAAGAGUCAAAAUCAUGGGGAUCUCGAGAUCGAAAGCAAACCAUAUCCGUUGCCACGCGUGUCACCGGCAGCUGAAAGCUCCACCCACCACGUGUGCCCCUUUUACUGUUAUUCACGUGACGAUCUGACACGUGUCGAGUAGUACGGGAUUCCAUGCGCAUUGAUACUUUGUACGGAUAUGGAUUGUUUUGUCGCAUUGUGAGUUGAGAGAUGGAUGACGUGGCAGGUUGGGUGCUCCAAAGAUGAGGGAGCUAAGUUGCCGCCGGCAUUCAUGAGAUGCGGCGACUACAUUUUUACCAUUUAUUUGUUGAAUUAAUUUAUUUUCCUUUUAAAUUAAAUUACCUCAUUCUAAUGAAUUAUAUUUCAUAUUUUAAUCAAAUAAUUCGUACUCCUCGGUCACAUUUUUUCUAUUAUUAAUUAUAAAUAUGAAUUAUUUUUACCUUAAUUGUAUUUUUUAAUAUAAUUUUUCUUGAGAAAAUGCAUUUCAAUCGAUGUAUUUAUAAAAAAAUAAACAAAAUAUUUUCUCCAAGUCAAAUUUGAUUUUAUUAUAUUUUUUAUAAUUCGUGCGUAACCAUCCAUGAAUUACUAUAUAUAAUAUAUUUUAUUUUAUGGAAAUAUGGUAAUUACUUUUCCUUUAAUACCUAAAGCAUUCUUGAUAAAAUAACUGUCAUUUGCUUCCUUGAGAUUGUGCUUUUAUAAAAUAAAAUAAAAAUUAUGAUUGAAUAAAAUGUUAUAGAUGUAAUUUUUGGUAAUUCGAUAUGUUUUAAUUUUUAAUUAGAAAAAUGAAAAUUAUUCUCUUUUCUUUCCACAUAUUUUCAAAUUUUCAUUAUACUCUAUCUUUUUUUUUAAUUAUUAUAAUAAAUAUUAUUAAAAAUUUACAUUUAUUUCAUCUAAGUACAUUUACCAUUUUUCAUGUAAUUCGUUUGCUUUGAGGGUCUUUUAUUUUUAUUUUAGAAAGAAAAUAUGUUUUCACAUAUUUAUAUAUAUAUAAUAAUUAUAAAAUAAAAAUUCUUUUAAAAUAAUUUAAAUUUUAUGCACUUAUUGUAUUUAAAUGAUAAAAAAUAAUGCAUUUGAUUAAAAAAAUAUAUAUGAAAUAUUAAUUAUUUUUAAAUAAUUAUUUAUAUUUUAUAAAUUUAAUUUUUUAAAUUUAUAUUUUUUUUUUCAAUGAGUAUAUGAAAAUGUAUUUUUUCCCUUUUGGAUUAAAGAGGUAAAAAAACUAUGCAUAUUUUUUAAUAGCUUGAUCAUAUUACAUCUUUAUCCAAUUUUUCAGAAAUAAAAGCAAUAAAUUUGUUUAUUUUUAGCAUUGUUUCCACUUGUUUAACUUAAAAGAAAAUUUACAACCAAAAAUUCCAAUUACAAGUGGAUGGAUUUUAAAUAUAGAAGGGAAAUUCUCUUCAUUUUUUUUUUUCUUUUAAAAUACAAUUUUUUUAAGGCUGUUCCGCAAUACACACUUACCAAAAGUAAUUUAUUUACGUUUCAAAAAAACUAAAAAAAAGGUCAUACUCCUUGUCUGACGUAGCAUUCUACCAUCGGAGUAUCUGUGUCGCAACACGGUGGUGCACCACCACGGCCUCUUACAGCCACCGGUCCUUUAAUAUGCGUACGUUAGCAGCGGCCACCACCAACUACCGUCAGAUAGUACAAAAUAUAGCCUUGCUCUAAAACCACCAAACGUCAAAGUACUGGGAAUGGUAAUUUCACACUGAAUAUUGUUAUUAUUAUUAUUAUUAUUAGCAGUAAUAAAUGUACUUGUCAGGGGUAUUUAUGUCAUUCCCUGUUAUUAAAUGAUGGUCAGUGGUUUAAAGAGCGAAAUUCCAGUGGAGUAACUGGCAUUUAAGUUAAAUGCUCCCUAUUCGUACUCCCACCACAGUCCAAGGAUCCCUACGACGUCGUUUUGUUGUUGAAAUUCUUAAAGUGGUGACGUGGGGCUCGCCGCUCCGUUUAGCGGCUUACAAACCGCCAGGUGUAGCGCGGUAGGUGUGAAAUUCCUUUUAUGACCUCGUGUAAAGGCGUGUAUGCUUUGAAUACGUGUCCUUGGGCAGUAAUUUCCACCGUACCCGCACUGUGCAUGACUGCCACUCGCUGCCCUCCCUCCACGCGUCCCACUACUCCCUCUCACUUCCCGCCAAAACCGCACAAUUUCUCGUGUACUACUCGCUAAAAUAUCGAUAUUUUAAACGGAAAUUAUCGCGAUAUAUGCUGCUUUUACCGACUAUAAAUCCUGUGGAUGAUGCCACGUCAGCUCCAAGAGUUACAUCCUGUGAUGCUCGAUGGUGACAGCCUCUCUAAUCAAAAUCAAGAAAAAAAAUCAACAGCAAGAUUGCAGAGGUAAAAUUCGAUUUAAUAUUACCCACUUUUUAAAGAUAUUCAUCUAACCUGAAGUUGAAAUCUAGUUAUGUAGGUCAGCAGAUCGAUGGUGGAGAUGCGGCUGUGAGCAUCGAUGGUCACAGGAGACAAUGCAGUAGUUCAAUUUAUAUUUUAAUUUUUAACGGUGAUAGUAGAAGUGGAGGCGGUGGCGUGGUAGAUUUUUUUUCUAAACCUAACUAUAGUUAGGUUAAGUAAACCAUGGUUAGUAAACUUGAGUCCCACUCCGUCUGGCAGUUUAUAUUUGAGAGAGCAUGGCUUCACUGAUUUGAUGUCCGCAGCCUAACGACGAUGAUGAUCGGAGAGCCAACUCGAUCCAAUCCGACGGUGCAGGUUCCUCCGUGGGACCCUUACGAUGAUCCAACGGCUGGGAUGGGUUCUCCGUUCCCAGUUAGUGGAGUUAAUUUCAACGGCAAUGCCGCUAGUCCCACCGGCGGUGAUUAUAACCCGUUUAUAAUCAGCGAGGCCUUCUCUUCACUGCAGCGUUACCUGCCAUCAAACGAGUUCGGGACCGAGUCCGGCGAUGAGUCGGAGACGGUGGUGGACGCGUUCUCAUGCGAUCAGUUUCGUAUGUUUGAGUUUAAAGUGCGGAGGUGCGCACGUGGGAGGUCACAUGACUGGACAGAGUGUCCGUACGCGCAUCCUGGGGAAAAGGCUCGCCGGAGGGACCCCCGGAAGUUUCACUACUCUGGCACGGCGUGCCCGGAGUUUCGGAAAGGAAACUGCAAGAAGGGCGAUUCAUGCGAGUUUGCUCAUGGCGUGUUCGAGUGCUGGCUCCACCCUGCUCGUUACCGGACUCAGCCUUGCAAGGAUGGGUCCGGUUGCCGCCGGCGAGUAUGUUUCUUUGCUCACACGCCGGAGCAGCUCCGGGUUCUUCCUCAGCAGAGUCCUAGGAAUCAUGGGUCGGCCGAGUCAUACGACGGCUCACCUCUCCGACUCGCUUUUGACCCGUAUCUGUCCAAGGGUUCAUUUAUUUCAUCUCCGACUUCGACUCUGAUAUCGCCGCCGGUGUCGCCACCCUCUGACUCGCCACCCAUGUCGCCGAAUAGCCCAUCCUUUACUGGCUCAUUCAACUCGAUGAGCGAACUCGUGGCGUCCAUGAGAAAUCUACAAGUUGGGAAGGCGAAAAUGAGCCCUCAAUCAUGGGGAGUCCAAAUGGGAUCCGGUUUCGGAUCUCCUCGCGGCUCAACCCUGCGCCCAGGGUUCUGUAGCCUCCCUUCCACCCCCACUCGAACUCCGGCUCGCUCCGGACUCGGUGGCCUCGACGUCUGGGACAAGACUUGCGAGGAAGAGCCAGCAAUGGAGAGGGUUGAGUCUGGAAGAGACUUGCGUGCAAGAAUAUACGCUAAAAUCAGCAAAGAAAACUCACUGGAUCGAGACUCGUCCCCCUCUGCCCCUGACUUUGGCUGGGUCUCAGAGCUGGUGAAGUGAAAAGAAAGAAACCUAAUCCGACUUUUGGUACUGAGUGGGGAGUUCCGAUUAUAUCAUUAUUUUUUGGGUUUGAAUCGAUGACCUUUGAUUCUUCUGACGGUGUGGAUAUUCAGAUUUCUCUGUAAAUACUCUAGUUGGGAAGGAAGAGAUCAAAGUCUCUAUUUUGUGGUGCUUUUCUAUCUUUUUUUUUUCUGCAAUGAAAAAUGCAGACUUUUGUAUAGACAAGAUGAAUUUCUUAGGACCGGCGAAGAUGCGUGGCGGUUGGUUUGGCCAUUUGUCUAUGAUUUGUAUUUCCCUUUCGAUUUUGUUAAGAAAUUUUUCUGUAAGCUCCCAUGUUUACUUCUAAUCAAUGUAAUAUAUUCUUCUUCUUCUUCUUCAACUCUCCACCUUCUGAACAUAAUCAUAAAAAGUUGGUAGAAUGAAUCCUUGGUUUGUUUUAUCAUUUCCUGGGAAUAUAAUCAUAAUCAUAUGUAUAAAGAAAAGUGGUGGUUUGUCUCGAAGCUUUCAACCUCGUGAAGAUGGGGCUCAAAUGGGAUGUUUUUGAUCCUUUAAGAUUGAUCUAUACUUUCAUUUGUAUGUGUUGUUGGAUUGUCUGGAUCAUUCCCCUUCUCGGCCACUCUCACUGUUUUCCUCAUCUUACAUCUCUGUUUUACACUUUUACCUAGGCCUCGUUUGGAUUUUGGAUUUGUAAGUUGGAUUCUUAGAACCACAAAAUAAAUUUUUAAUUUAAAUUUUUUUUUUUAUCUAAAUUUGAUGAAAAAUUGGUAUGACAAUUCCCCAAAAAAAUAAAAAAUAAGACAAACAAAGAAAACAAUGGGUGAUGAAAACGAAGGAGAGUUGAAAAUGUGAGUGGAGUUAAAGGAAGCAAAUAAAUAAUAAAGAAGAUGUCCACUCCAACCCACCUUUAUAUAAAGUAGUAGUAAUAAUCUUUUAGGGUUUAUCCAAUUGAGAUUUAGAUGAUAAUGUGACAUGGAUGUUGGAACUGAUAAACCAGUCCUUAUCCUCAUCCCCACCAUUUUCUAUUUAUUUUUUUAAAUAAAUUAUAAAAAUAUAUAUUAUAUUCUCAUUCACCCCCAAAUCCAAUUUCAUAGUCAUGCACUAUCACUUCUUCUCAUUUGUGGAUGUGGGAGGGUUUAGGAGACAGGAUAUGGUCAAUGUGGGCCCACUUUUAUUAUCCUAAUCAAAUGAAAUAUAACCAAAAAAAAAAUUCAAAGAGAUUGGGUUUUGGAUUUGGACACAAAAAUUAAAAUAAUGAUGGAAAGGGCCAAGGGGGGAGAGCAAGUGGAGAUGGUGAUUCCAUGGUUUGGUUGGGUCAUGGUUUGAACCCAACAAGUCCCUUGAAAGGCUCAAGGGUGUGAGAGGUUCUCCGCUUGUGUACCCUUGGAGGCUUUGGUGUGGUGGGGAUCAGGUCUCCUCCAACCCAUGAAACAACUCCUUAUCUCAUCUCUAUCCUAUCAAUACCCAAAAUUAUUUUUAUUUUUCUUUUAAAAAAUUUGAAAAUUACAAUUCUCAAAAUGAAAAUAUUAAAUUAUAUAAUAAUAGUACUUACUUUUGCAAUCCUGUCAGAUCAAGAUGUUUAUUUUCAUGCAAAUGUACAAAAAAUCCAAUAAAAACAUCUAAGGGAAAUAAUUUUGUCAAUAGUCCAAAAUUAUCAUUUAGCGUAGCUUUAUUUCAAAUACCUUUAGUAAAAAUGCUUCCUUUACCAAAGUCAUUUAUUGAAAAUAAUCCCUAUUUAUUGGAAAUAGGGAUAAGGUUCAAUCCCUCUAAAUGAAGCAUGGUAACUUAUACACAUAUUAUGUUUGGUUAAUAAGAAAUGUUCUUUUUGUGAGACCAUGGAUUAAAAGUGUAUUUGAUAGUGAUUUUAAAAAAUAUUUAUAAUAUUUUCAAAAUUUUAAAAAUAUUAUAAACGUUUUUUAAUAUUACUGUCAAAUACACUUUAAAAUGGUACUUUUUUUUUUAAUGAAUAAAAAAAUUUAAAUUAUUUAACUUUUUCUAUUCAACUAAAAAACAAAUAUCAUCUAAAUCUUUUGUUCCAAAGGGUUUUAAAAAGUCUACUAUGAUUAAAAAAGAAUCGUAGAGAACUAAAGCUAUCAUAUUUUAGUUUGGGUAUGAUAUCAUGCUUUGAGAUGGAGGACAAAAUGGUAUAAACAAAUGAGAAAGACGAUGAGAAAUAAGAUUCUCGUUCCAUUUAAGAUGAUUACUUCAAAUUGAAGAUAGAAAGAUGAAACCCUAACUGAUACCAUGGUUUCCAAAUAAAGAUGUUAAAAGAGGAAAGUUUUCUUAGUUUUCCUUUUCAUCUUCUCAUAUAUGGAAAGAGAGGGGACCCAAGAAUGAUGGAUUAAGAAGAAUUGUUCCCUUCAUGGCGGUGAUAGGGAUUCCUAGGCCAAUGUUUUCGACCCUACUCACCCCUAUCUCUUAUGUUAUCUGCUUAGGUACUAUGUGCCAUCAACCCGUCGUUUGGAUAUUGGAUAAAUCUAAAGCUGACUCAUGCUUGAAGCAACAUAUUUUGACUUCAUUUAUUUGUUCUCCUUUAGGGGCAAAAUUUGAUUGAUGGUUCCAAAUUGCUAAGUGGGUAUUCCACAUUUUAUUAUAUAAUAAAAAUUUAAUGUGGUUUAUAUAUUUUUAUUUUUUCUAUUUAUAAAAAGUUUAUAUUUUUAAUUAUAUUCUCUCUCUCUUUUUUUUUUUUUUUUUUCAUAUUCAUAGUUCUUAUUAGAUCUGAAAACUAAAUUAAAAAAAUUAGGACAUGGGAACAUUUUCAAAAAUGAUUUUUAUAAAAUAGUUUUGGAGAAUAACUUUUAAAAACAUUUCUCAAUUAUUUUCAAAAACAAAAUUUUGUUUACAAUUUAAAUAUGAAAAAUAAUUUUACCGGUUUACUUUUUAGGUAAGAAAUAAGUACUUUUAUAUAAUAUAAAAGUUUUUAAAGUAUUAUUCAUACUUUAAAUUAUUGCUCAAAAUAUUAUGAAAAAUAAUUUAAAAUAUUUUUUUAAAAAAAGCCUAUUUUUAAAAAGUUACUUUUAUAAAAAAAAAUUUUAAAACAUAUUUUUUGAAUUAGAAAACCAUUUUCAAAAAUUAUUUUAAGAUAUUUCAAUGUUUUUAAAAUUACUUACAACUUUUAUAAUACGGUUGAUAGUGAUUCUUAAUAGUGAUUUUAAGUAGUGUUUAUAUUCUUUUUAAUAAAACAGAUUAUAAUUACUUCCUAAAAUCACGGUUAAACAUACUUUUAAUUUUGAAUUUAAAUAUUAAAAAAACAAAGUGGCAAGUGAGAAUAAGGACCAACAUCAAAUGCAAUGAAUGGAGACAAAUAAAAGACACAAGGAGGCUUAGAUAUGCCCACCUUUACGUAGAAAAUCUAAGGCCACUUUUUAGCUUAUGCAGAAAGAAUUGCACCCUUUAGCUUUCAAUUUUUCUUUUUUUCCUUUUGGAAAACAAGAGUAAGAUUCUUCUAUAAAGUAAUUACCACCCGAAUCGAGAAAUUUGAGCACUCUCUUACAUUAGUCGUAAGAAAUUAGCUCAGUGAAAGUAAAAAGUCAAUAAUUAUGAUUGACUUUCUCCAAUAAUGAAUGAACUUUCUACGAUAAUUUCUUAAUAUCGUGAUUGUAUUUUUGAGUAACAAAUUCAAUGAUUCCGACUCAUAAUUUGAAAAACCUCUACCAAAUUUUUUAUUGAAAAUAGUCAAUUAAAAACUAUUUCAAAAAUUAUUAUAAAAAAGUAAUUAUUGUUGGUCCAGACAUACCCAUUUGAAACUUAAGUUAGAUGAGGAUAAUUUUAACUAUUUUUUGUGGAAAAUAAUGAGUGUGUACCUUAUUUGUGUUUCUUGAAGGGUUUAUAUAAAGCUGAGAACACCGUCGUUAUAGUGUUGAUUAUGCAUUAUUACCCUUCUUGUAAUGAUGAUUGUCCUUAAGGCAUAAAUCAAGCCUUGAUAGGAUAGUCAACGUCAUUAUGGAUUGGACAAUCACAUUAAGUAAGGGCUGCUAACUGGUGUCAUUUGCUAACUAGCGUGCCAAAAUAUCGGACCAUAUAACUGACUAUCCAUUUAGCUUGCUAAUGUCUGAGAUUGCGUAUAAUAAUUGAUUAACAUCGACUUUUGGAUGUAAAUGAUAUCUAGUCCACUGCUCAGACAUCAGACAUGGUUAAUCACGCAUAUCAGAAAUUUUGAGGACUUGAUUAGAUUGAUUUGUCCGUCUGAUAGGUCUAAUCGAUUUGAUCUGUUCAUUUCAUCUAGCAUUGAGGGCUCAUUUGAAAUGUCAGUCAACUUAUCUUUCUAUUCCGUCUGAUAUUAUAGAAAAAUGAAAACUUCUCACUUCUGAUGCUGGAUGGAGCUUAUCUUGGUUCCAAAUGAAGCGAUCUCAAAUAAGCUAAAGGGUCUUGAGUCUAGAAAGGACACGUGGAGGAAAGCUCCCCACAAUUACCAUUCAAAUCCAUAAAUAUGAACACUUUAUUUAAUCCUUCUGGAUUAGUAAAUGGAGUUUGCGCUACACGCGUGAAUAAUGAUUGACUUUAUGAAUGAGCUCUCCACUUAGUCCACUGUAAUUUUUCAAAACCCUAACUGUAAUUUUGAAUGACGAAUUGGAUUAUUAUUAUUUUUAAAAGAAAAUGUAAGAUGAGUUGAUGGUAUACAAUCAAUUAAGAUCUACAUUUUGGAAACUCAUUAACAAAAAGCAACUUUGAGUGUUGUUUUUUUUAAAAAUAAAAAUAAAAAUUCAAACAUACAUCAGUCACUUCAAUUUAUACAAGUAAAUCACAACAAUAAUAAUUGAUUUUAGUGUAUAAAAAAAUCACAACAAUGAUAAUUGAUUUUAUGAAUUAAUUCUCUAAAAUAGUUUCCACUAAUUGAUUCUGCAUUUGAAUUGGCUUUUGAUCUCGAAUUAGUUGUUGGAUAUUUUAGGUUGAUAAUUGUUUUUUUAAAGAUUUAGAGAAUAUUUGACAGUAUUUUUGUUGAAAAUAUUUUAUUGAUAUUUUUUUAUGUGUUUUUAUGUGUUUCUUCAAAAAAAUAUUACAAAUAAUUUUUUAAAAAAAUUAAAAUAUUUUUAAAAUUUUAUCAAAUACACAAAAAUACUUUUUAAGUAAAGUAUUUUUAAAAAAACAUUGUGAAAUAAAUUCUUACAACAUAAACCAUAAAAAUUUCAUUUCUUAUAAAAGCUAUUUAUGACUUAUGAAGAAGUUAUCAAGUGUUGAAUAUAUUAUUAUUAUUAUUUUGCAUCAAUAUUACUUUAGUUUAGGGGAAGGGGAAUUCUCAAUGUAUGAUUCCAAUGACAAAAUGUGCAUCUCUUUUCCCAUUGCUUUUUUUUUUUUUUUUUAUUUAAUAAAAGGGGCAUGUGAAGAGACUGCAUUACUCUCUUCUUCAACAUUCUUUAUCUCAUCUAAAAACCUUAACCUAAUUUCUUUUCUCCUUCCCUUUUCUUUUCCCAUUUUCUUUCCUUUGAAACCAUACUUAAUAUUAUCUUCCCAUUUUUAAUACAAAAAAAAAAAAAAAAAGAAAGGAAAACCAAAAAUUUCUCCAUGGAUGACACCAUUUCGAUCCUAUCCUUCUAUGAAAUCAUAUCUUUUUAUCUUUAUCCACAAUGUUAAAAGUGGGCGAGGUAAGUGUCCAAAAAAACUCCUUCCAUUAUCAUCCCUAAAAUUUCCUUUCUAAAAUCAAAAGUAUGGGUGAAAUUUUAAAAUUUUAUUUCAAUUUUUUUCUUUCAUAUAUCAAAGAAAAAAUCCAAAAAAUUUAUCAAUUAACAGAACUCCUUUCAAAACUUACCUCUUUCAUAUUUGAUAUUAUAUUAACAAAAACUUUAAAGACAUAAAGAUAAACAAUACAUAUAUAAAAACACAUAAGGUUUUAAUGUCAUUUGAUCAAUCAUAUUUAUAUCCACAGAUAAAUAGAUCAGUGAGACCUUUUCUUUAGAGGGAGAUGUGUUUAAUGUUAGUCAUUUUCUCUCUUUUCAUCUUUUUAACUUUCUGGUGAUUUUAUUUUCUUUUGUUUAUUCACCCGAAAAGAAAUUGGAAAAAAAGAAAAGUAAUAAAGUAAGCAUCAUGUUAGAGCAUGGUUGUUGCAACUAGAACAAUCAUGGUGGCCCUUUCUUUUUUGGUCUUUUUUCUUGAAAUCUAAAAUGGGAAUUGUCAUGUAGUCUUUGUUAGGGAAAUAUGCAUAGAGCUCUUCAAAAUUAUUUUAUAUUCAAUGAAUCUUUUAUAACAAUGGUAUUAUUGUUUUGAAAUUAGGAUUCUUGGCUUCCAUUUCAGCUUAUAACCAAAGCCAAACUGCAGAAGCAGGGGAUGAAGGGACUUUAAUGUCUGCAAAAUGUGCCCUACACUUGACACCCAUAAGAAUUUGUCUCCAAAAAAAUGGUCCUCACAUCGUUUGGUGGUGUACAUGCCCCAACUCAUUCAAUGUCCUCUAAUUCAUUGAACCCAUUCAACAAAUUUUCCCUAUCUUUAUCUCUUAUCUUUAUGUGGAACAUUUGUCUCCCAAUGCCAUUCUUCUUGAUUGAGAAGUUGAAGCCUUGGCCUGGGUGUUUCCGGACAGAUAUGUCUCUUUUGGAAUCUCAACAAAAUUUAAAAUAAUGAAAAUGGGCAUAUGAUUUGGGCCCAUGAGCACCGAGUGAAAUCAACAUUCCACCUAUAAAGAUAUACGCUACAUGGGAAUCAUCACUAUCAAUGCCUUGUCUCCUCAUCUUCUAAAUUCAUGAACUAUCCCAUUUCUUUUUCAAUUGCAUUGGAUUCAAUAAUAAUAAUAAUAAUAAAAAAUUAUAUUUCUUUUAUUAAAAUAAAAUUUCAUAAGAAUCGGUCUAGAUGAGGUUAGGAGUAUAAACUAGUCAUUAAAAUUUUAAAGGAUGAUAGCAACCUUUUAUAACGUGACUCAAUGAUAAUGUCCUCUAUGUUGAAUUCGAGUCGACCCUCUUGAUAUAAUGCUGGUGUUUGUUUUUUUACUUAAUUUUAAACAAAACUUUAAGACUUAAUAGUAUUAAAUAUUAGGUUGUUUGCUUUUGUAGUAUUUUAUUUCUAUUAAGUUUUUUUUUUUAAAAAAAAAAAACCAAUAUAUUAUUUUUUUUAUUUAGAAAAAGUUAUAUAUUUUGACUUUUUCUAUUUAGUAAAAAAUUUAUAAUAAAUUAUGAAAAAGUAGAAAAACAAAUAACCUAAAUUCUGAAAACAAAUUGCUUUCAACAAAAAGUAAAAAAAAAAAACAAACACCACCACCUAAACCUAGUUUGCUUUUUCGAUAGUUGGAUUAAUACCUCCUUAUCAGGGUGGAUUUUCAUUCUUGGAGACAAGGAUCGAUAUUAACUAUUAAGCUCUUUUUUGGCGGGUAUUAGGCUGUAGAAGCCCAAUUAAUGAGACAUGGGUCAGGAGUCCAUUCCUUCAGUGAAAUGCCGUGUGGCCCAAAGUCAAAUGUGGAUUGUUGGAGUAGUCCAUAUGGUUUGACUUGGGCUUUUAGGGCCAUAUGGUUUUUGGGCUAGCGCGAGUUCAUUGGACCAAGCUGAACCGGCUUUAGCCCUCUUUAGAUAUAAAACCCAAAACUCAAAAGCCCGAAAUAAAAAAUGUAUAUCUUCUCGGUCCAUCGAAUAACAAUAACAUGUGAUAUAAUCGAAUUUAAAGAAAAUAAUUCAAGCUCGAUUUGAAAAUAAUUUCUCUAUUCUUUAAAGUAAAGAAUGUGUUUGAUUGAAAUAGUCUUUUGAGAAUUUAGGUUUAUUUUUAGAAUAAAUUUAAAAUAUUUUUUAACAAUUAAAAAAAUAUAUAUUUAAGAUUAAAUUUAAUAUAAUUUCAUUAAUAUUUUAGAAUCUAGGUCUGUGACAUGAACAGUUGAAUAGUUCAAGCUUUGAAAAGGUUUCCUCCAUGGAACUUGCGUGGCAAGGUACAUUUCACAGAGAUUACCCUCAACCAUUUGCACCUCUAGGCACGUGCACCACACGCACCAAUCAACUACCCAUGCACGUCAGCACUUAAGCCCACUGUUUGUAUACAGCAAUGAAAGGUCUAUUUUAAUAUACUGAUAUGAAUUACCCUGUUCAUCAUAAAGGCAACUUCAACCCUAGACUUUGCCAUUUUCAGAGCCUUUUGAUCUUAUGACCAAAGUUAGUGGUUCAAUGCCAUCAUGAUCAUUUAAGGAAUGGAAAUUAAAUGUCAAGUGGCAGAAUUAAUUGUUGAAAUUGGUUUUUUCUACAUAUAAAUAUUUGGGUUUUCGUAUUUGAAGGUUAAAGAAAUUUUUAUUCUUAAAAAUAACCUCCUAAAUAUAAUUAUUGUAAAAAUCAAUUAACUUUAAGAAUUAUUUUUAAAAACAUUCUCGAUAAAAUACUAAUAAUAACGACCCCUUUUAAGUAUUAUCAUAAAUAUUAUUCACUUUGAGUUCACGGAUGCAAUUCAUUUUUAGAACGGUUAAAAAUUUGUCAUUGAGUGGUACGAGACAUCACGAAAAAAAAAAAAAAAAAAUUAGUAAGAUAGAUGGUUAAAGUCAUUAAGCAAGCCAAUAAUAUUUUAAGAACAAGAAAUGAUGAUAUUGGUUGAUUGUUGACGGGGUCCCUCUACGCAACCAACGAGAAGUAACAAAAAUAAGAUAAAAAUUAAAUAAAGAAAUACUAAAUGAAAGGGUCAUACAAAGUCAAGCUUUAUAAAAGAGCCAUGAUCACCCUUACAAACCCCACACCAGAAGCCCACUUAUUAAGCUUUUUCUCUAAAUUUUCUUCUUCUUCUUCUUCUUCUUCUUCUCUUUCUAUCUGUAUUUGUUUUUUUGUAGGUUGGGUGUUUGUAGGGUUUAUAAAUGGGAAGAGCACCUUGCUGUGACAAAGCAAACGUGAAGAGAGGGCCAUGGUCUCCUGAAGAAGAUGCUACUCUCAGAAACUAUGUUCAGACUCAUGGCAUUGGUGGAAAUUGGAUUGCUUUGCCAAGGAAAGCUGGUAUUUUCUCUCAUUUUUCUCUCUCAUUUCUCAAUUUUCUUAUCAUAGAGGAAAAUCAUGCACAAGGGUUGUUCUUGAAAAACAGAAUUAUUUCUCGAAUAUGUCACUGUACGGAAAACAUUUUCCUUGUUUUCAAGCCAGAAUUUUCAGUACCUGUUCUUCACAGCUGUGCUCUUUCUUUAAUUCCAAACAAACAAAAGGAAAACUGGAAGAAGGGUUUCUUCCAUAACUCGAAUUAAAGCCCAAUUUCUUAUUAUUCAAGUAAAAUUUGAUUUCUUGUUACAGGCCUGAGGCGUUGCGGCAAGAGUUGCAGAUUGAGGUGGCUCAACUAUCUCAGGCCAGACAUCAAACAUGGUGGUUUUACUGAGGAGGAAGACAAAGUCAUAUGUGCCAUCUAUAAUCAAAUGGGAAGCAGGCAAGAUCACUUAAUUUUAUUUUCAUCUUUCGGAUCAUAUACUACAUUGAUUAUUUUCCUGAUAUUUUUUUCAUCAAUUUUGUUAGCUUAAUAUAUAUAUAUAUAUAUAUAUAUAUAGUUCUGAUUAUUAAUUUUGGUUUCAUCUUGGUUAGAUGGUCUGUCAUAGCUUCUCAACUUCCAGGAAGAACAGACAAUGAUGUCAAGAACUACUGGAACACCAAACUGAAGAAGAAACUAGCCAAAUUUCACAGCAAUGGCAAUGCUGCUAACAACCCUAAUCCUUUCAGCUCGGCUCCACCGCCUACCGCUGCUCCUAUGCCGGUAACCGAAGCCUACCGUCAUGGUUUUCCGCCAUUGCUGACUCAAGGUUAUACUGGUACAAGUAAUAAUAUGGGAGUAUCAGAAUUUGGUGCAAGUUCUAAUAAUGGUCACAAUGUUUUCAUAUCUGAUCAAGGUGGUUUGAGUACCGAUCAUGCUACUGGUAUAUCUUAUGUGAGCUACUUGCCCGGUACCCGAGGCGGGGAAGAUGAUGGGGUUUUGAUGGAUUUUGGGAUGGGAAAUCUUCCAUAUGAUAUCAUCAGUGGCUUCUGGUUUCAGGAGAAGGACAGUACUGAAGUUACUCCAGGUUCAGCAAGUUUGGAUGAGUUUCCCCAUCUCAACAUUAAGCCACAAGGAUUGUGACAAAGUAGUACCAGUAACCAGUAUUAAUGAAAGAAAAAGGGUGAGAGGGCAUGAUCAAAGUAGGUUUUUGUUGAUAGAUGGAAAUUAAGAUGUUAUAAUGUAAAUGAAAUUUAAGAGACUAUAUAUCAAAGUAGAUGAAUUUAGCCAUGUACUCAAUUUUAUUUUUUGUGGUGUGAAUGAAUGUGAGGGGGAGGAGAUGGCAUUGGCAUCAGCAGAUUUGGUAGUUCCUUCCUGAUGAGUGGUCAUAAUAUAAUGGUUGCAUCAUGCAUGUGGGGUGGUCUGAACUCAAAGAUGAAGAAAGAGAACUUCCUCAAUUAGCAUUCAUCACUACAAAAGAUUCUCACACACUGUUUUGGAAUGGAAUUUGUGCAGAAGAAAUGGUCUUUGAAUGGUCACAAUUGUGCAUCUCCUCAUGAAACUUCGGACCUGUUUCAAGGCUCGGGAAAAUAUUACAGAGCAUGUCAUUAUAUGUAUUUAAAUUAAAAUCUUGUUAUCUUAAAUGAAGUGGGGUUAAUGGAUGUUAAAUUUUUUUUACCCCUUAAUGGACAAUAUCUCUUCACAAAUGCUUCCACAAGCAUGAGAAAAAAGGGUUAUUUUCUAGGAGAAAAAAACUCUUGAAAUUUUGAUGCAAGAGUCACUUUUUUUCAGAAAACCAUUAAUUUUCUAAGGCCCAUUUUGAAAAAAAUGAAAAGUAACCUUAGCUUUACUCAUCUAGCUAAAAUUUUCAAAAAAAAAAAAGGAAAAUUGCAUUAUAGAGGCUUCUAAUCAAGUCAUGGUCAUAGUUUUGAAUUUUUCGAUAUUUCAAUCAAAACUUCAUAAUCACGUGGGUAGAAUUUGUACCCUAAUUGAUUAAUCAAAUAUCGUGGGGCCAAUUUAACUUGAAUUUUGUGGUACCUGGGAAAAGAAAAUUUGAACUUCUGUACAAAUUUUACUUGGACUCACACAUGAUAUAAAGACAAAAGCGUACCACUAAAAUUACCACUAGCAUGCUUUAACUACAUGUCUAUGAACUUUCCCAAAGUCACAUGAGUUGCACUAUUAUUAGGGUUAUUAGCAUUUAUUUUUAGGGCAGAUCCCAUAUCCCAUUGACAGGUCAGUUAUUACACAUUCUAAAGUUGGCCAAGCAUGGCCUGGCUUUAUUGACUAUAUGGGAUUCAAUCUUUAAUCCUUUACCUCUAGGUUCCACGGAGAAUUCAAAAUUAGGGUUAGGGUUUCUUAAAUGAGGGGUGGCCAGGCAUUUUGUUCCCUUUCAUGCUUGCAUAUUGGACUUUUAGGCCAUGAACCAUGAUGUCUUUUAUCAACUACUUGGUGGCAUUACUUGGAGAUGAAUAUUCCUUCUUUCAUGUGGCUUUGGGAAUAUUUGUAUAUAUUAUUAGGGAAGGCCAUUGCCUAAGUGCCCUAAGUUUUUAUAGUCAUUGGGGACAUUAGAAAAACAAAACUGGAUACAAAACACUUUUAAAAAAAAUAUAAAUCAAAAUUAACCUAGUUAUUCAACUUGUAAACAGUACCAAACCCUAAAAAGUUUUUGGAAGUAACGAUCGGAAAUUAAUAUGAUUUGUAGUAUUCACUCUCGUACAAAAACAUUUAUCCAUUUUUUGUUCUAUAAAUUUAGUAGCAUAUUAUGUAAUAUUUAAGGACGCUUUUCUUAGAAGUUUUUCAAGGAAAAACAAGCUAAUAAUUGAAACCCAUUAUUAAUUAUAUGCAAAAAGUAUGCAUUAUUAAUGAUUAAGUAUAUGCCAAUUUUGUACUCAUUUAUUUAUUGCAUAGCAUGGGCAAUGCAACUCCCAAACGUAAAAGCUUAUUAAAAAAAAAAAAAAAAAAGGACAAGUUGAGAUAGCAUUCUUGGAGGAAGUUUUUAUAUUGCUAACUUGUGAUUCAAGAGGGUAUAAAUUCCCUGCAAAUGUCAUCAUUAUUAUUGACUCUUGAAUUAGCCUUCUUCAAUAUACGAGGAAUAUCAAAUGGAAAAUCAUUUUUUAAAUGAGGAAUAGUUCCAAUCUUUUGAUUAAUAAAACACCCAUGCAAUUACAACAUGUUUUUGUUUUAUACGUUGAUUGAAUCCCUCAACUCCUUUGGAACCAUUGUGAGAACAUGAGGGGACCAUCCUAUAAUGUUUGUUAAUACUUGUUUUUUUAUUAAUCAAACAUGAGGGGACCUUCCUAUCAUGUUUAUUAAUACUUGUUUUUUUAUUUAAUCUUUUGAUAAUUAUAUGGAGAAAUCUCAAUCAUCUCCAAUUUACAAUAACAUUAUUCAUAGUCAACUAAUAGAUAAUAUUUUUUAAAAAACAAAAUUACGACAUCUAAUCUUGUCGAAUCAAUAGCCAUCCCUCUAAUAAUUUAAUUUAAUUUCUCGAGACCCAUAAUUUUCUUAAAAAUUUGUAUUAAUUAUAUUUUAUGACUUUGUUUUCUUUCGGCCCUUCCUUCGAUUAUAUUUUUUUCCUUCAAAUUAUUUUUAGGAAGGGAAUCCUAUCAACUUGUUGGGAACUCUUCAUAUUUUAUCUCUUUGGGUGCCACCCAAUUUCUUUAUUAUUAAUUGUAGUUUUUGACAUUGAACCCUUCAAUGUUUUUCUACUUUUUUUGUCAUAAUUAUUAUUAUCAUGAUUUGCAUGGAUGUUAUUCAAGUCAAUAACUCUAGCCAUUUCUUAGGGUAUUAUAAAUGAUAAAGAUGGGUUCAUGACUUAAAUUUUAGUCUAAUAGUGUGUGUGGACUAUUGUAAAGUCUAUGAAAGUUGUAGCUUCCUCUCAAUUUCCUCUCGUGUGUGACAAGUCUUCUUCAAGAUUUAUUUGCUUUGAAUGCUCGAGGCAUUGGCACAAUGUCAAAGGCUGUAAGUGUAGGUAGGUAGGUAGGUAGGUAGACUAGGGUUAUGGCCCAUCCUAUAUGUGAACUCCCAUUCUUCUCAUUUAUAACUUUCAUAUUUUUGACUUUGAAUUUUUAAAUUUAGCAUUUUGGCAAAUUAUUAUCUAUGAUACACCAUUUUAACAUUAACCUUUUUUCUAAGAUUGGUGUGAUCUUAUCUGAAUAAGAAGUAAAAACCUCUUUUUAAAAAAUAAAUAAAUAAAUAAGAAAUUUUUUACUUGUUUGGAUCAUUUUAUUAGCAAAAAAUUAAUAUAAUAUUAAAAAAAAUAAUGUUUAAAAGUCAAUUUUUUAGCUUAUGCAAAAAUUUUCAUAAUAUAAAUAUUACUUUUUAAAAUUAUGAUUUUAACUUUGACUUUUUAUUAAUAAAGCGAAAAAAUAAAAAAUUAUUCAAAAUAAAAUUUAAGGGGUUUUGCAAAGUAAUUUUAUUAAAAUAGUUUAUAAUCUUAAAAAAGAAUUGAAGUGCUCCUUCAUAGAAACUUCUUUUGAAUUAUAUUAGAAAGUCUAUUGCAUAAGAAUUUUGUAGAUUUUAUAGCAUCUAAAUCAACAUUAUAAAUUAUUGAUUUUCGCUUAAGCUUCUAGUUGAAUUAUUCUCUCUCUUGUAAAAGUCUUCUGAUAUUUUACUACUAUCAUUUAUUUGGAUCAUCCCCUCAUUUUCCAACUUCUCUAACUAUUUUUUCCACAUUGAGAUUCUGAAUUUCAUUGUCAAUGACGACUAUUCAAAUGAAGUGUCUGAACAAUGUCAUUUAUUGUGCAUUAAAUCAUUUGAAAAAUUGAGACAAUCAUAAUGGAAAUUUUUUCCAAAUUCAAAAUUAGGCUUUUGGAGUUUUGAAAUUCUAUUUUCUGGUAUUAAAAAUAUAACAUAUAAAAAAUAGAAACUCUUAUUUUUUUUGUUAUUAGAAGUAAAAAUAUUAGAAUCUCUUAUUUAAAAAAAUUUAUAGAUCUUUCAAAAUCUCUUUUAAAAAAUUUUAAAUUUGUAGUAAAACAUUUUUAUAUCAUAGUUUUUAAAAUCAUUAUCUAUUCGAAUAUUUUAUAUAACAAAUUAGUACAAUUUUCAAAUUUUAAAUAGGAAAUGUAUUCGAACAAACUCUUAAUAAUUUAAACUUCUUCUUUUUUUUCAGCUUUUAUGUAUACAACCAAAUAAAAGAAAAUUUUAAAUAGAUUCUCCUAAAUUUUUUAUAUACUUUUCCUCUAUUUUCUUUCCCUUAAACUUUUCAGGACCAAACACCAAUCAUUUUCAACCAAAUUGGAGCAUGAAAUAUUUAGGUAAUUCACUGCAAGGCCUUAAAAAUGCCCAAGUAAUAAAACUAAAUAACAAUAACAGACUAGUAAAUAGGAAAAGAAAAACUUUUUUCUCUGAUUUCUUUGUAGUGUCAGAGAAAAAUAGCAAAAUGUAAAUAAAAAUAGCCAUAAAUGUCCUUCGUACUCCCAGUUCGGCUCAGUCCCAAGACAAAUCAAAGAUCUGUUUGGGGCAAAAAGAGGCCUCAGGGCAACACAGGCACAUGGGUUCUGGACAAAAUGCUUGGGCAGUUCGAGAAGGUAGGGUUAAAACAAGGAUGAAAAAGUUCAAAACCCUAGGCCUGGGUGAAGGAAUUCAACCAGAAUAUUUGCUAUAUAAAUACCCUUUUCCUUUCAAAUCUUUUACCAAACAAAUCCUAUCCGGGGAGUUUAAAGAGGAGAUUAUUACAGAACAAUGAAAAGAUAGUCCACACAAGGCAAACAGACAAACAGAAUAAGUUCAAGAAAUAAUGAUAAUGCUUGAAGGGUGAUGUGCAUACACAUGCAUGCAAUGUCAUGGGAAGAUUAUUCAUCGAUAUUAAUCAUUUUCCAUUAUUCUAAUCAGUUCUAAGCAUCACUUAGGUUUGAUUGAAGACAAAUUCAUAGGAAAGGGAAAACUCAUAAGGAGCCAAUCCCCACCCCCUAUUAAUUCCAUCUUUCUAUUUUUGUUCAAUAUCUAUCUGCCAAUCAAGUGAAAACUCUUACGAGGAAAAAUUAGGGAAUCUCAUCACACUGAUACGAAAUAGAUAUAUCAGAUGUCCACAACCAAUCCUGGCCAACUCGUUUAGGAAACCACAGAAGCAGGGUACAGAUUUUAGAUAGAACGUAAUUUUACUUGGAAUGUAAUUUACUUGAAGCCAUCUAUACAAAUGCUUCCUUACCAGUGAAUGCACGCUGAAGAAUAAAUACGGAAAUGGAGGGUCCAGGGAGUGAAGUAACAGGCUGUCAGGCUCCAUCAAUCAUAGAGUACAACCAGUCUUUACAUGGUCUUUGCUUGGAAUUGGUAACUGCCAAGACACUCAGUAAAACUCAAUCAGAUCUUUUCAAAUUGCCAAAACAUAAGUGUAAUUCAUUCAGGUGAUGAAAGAUUUAAAAUGCAAGACCGACUCCUAAAUGGAAGAAAAUGCUUGCAUCCAGAUCCAGGCACAGGCUCUUCUCUUAAUAAAGGGCAAAAAAUAGUUCAACAAUGCAUUUUGAGACCAAAUCCAAAAAAUAGAACAUUGAAUAAUUCAGACUUGUUUUAUGCAGAACUUCAGAUCGAUAUAGUUUCCUGGCACAUGGAUGUGAGAUGGAAAUGAACGAGACAUAUUGAGUUUUACAGAUUGGAAACACUAGUUGGAAGUGCAAUAUGAAGAGAACACUGUAAUUGGCCAAGUAAAAAGGAAACCCAGUUGAUGUUUUAUGCAUGCUAUAAAAAAUGUCUCAAAAUCACACUUUACUUGUCUAACAAACACAGACAUUUCCAUAGCACAUCCAAAUGUCCCUUAAUUCAUAGCAUUUCAUGAGUUUUCAUAGCAGGACUAGGCUCAAUUUCAGAAACUAAUGAAUUGGCAUCAAUUUUUUAUCACCGCUUUUCUUUAUAGUAACUCCCAUCCUUUUAUUUGAUAAUGGUUCCAUUUUGAAGUAUGCACAUGUGCUUUCACAUGGUAUUAUUUUCAUGUGGUAUGUGAAUUCCCUGAUUCAGCAGCAUCUGAAUAAUCAAAGACAGUUGGAACAUGAAGUAGAGCAAAGUAUUGCUUGCUACUGUACUAGUAUAUGAAGGGGUAUAAAAGAUCGGGUUGAACAUAGGGAUAGGAGCAAAUUACCUUCUUAAAGUGCCAUCUCUGCCUGUAAUGCAGCAAGCUCAUCAUCCUCAGCAGUGUUCCUCUGAGGAGCUGGGCGGGCUGGUACUCUGCCUGCAGGGAUUGGUGCUGCUGGGGCAGUUGUGGCAGGCUGGAGAAGCUGUUCCUCCAAUUCAGCUCCUUCUAAUUCUUCAAGCUCUGCUUCCAAUUCAUCCUGUAAUGACAGAAACAUUUGAUUUAACUCUUCAAUGGAAGAAGUGUAUAAAAGAGAUUGUUUACAAUUUCUAGAGGCAAUACUUCAUCAAAAUCAGCUGCUGCACCAAUGGGUGUGGCUAAUGCCUCCUGAAUCUGUUUCAUGUUCUCUGUCUGCUCAUUAAUCUCAUCCAUUGUUUUGUCAACAUCAUCAAUAUUCCUGUAUAAGAACAUGCCAUUUAAAAUAUAUGAGAAAUUUUCUCUAACAUAGUAGUCCAUUUAAAUGCAAAGGAUUACUUUAAAUUGCAACCUCGUUUCUCACUGCUAUCAGGAUGUUGAAAAUAUGCAGUUUGAGCUAACACCAACCCCAAGGCAGGAUAGGAGAUUCAUGCAAUUGUCAUUCUCACAGUAUUAUUUUUUAACCCAAAAAGGAAAAGGUCACAUUAGUGACCUUGGCAUGCUAUAUGCAUAAAAGAGUGUAUUGACAAAUCCUAUAUUCAUCCCAUUGUCUUUUCUACAGCAUUUAAAAUGUGUCUGUUUUUGUCUUCUCAGCAUUUGAAACAAAACUAUUCUGAUUGCUUGUUGAAGAUCAUAUCUAACAUUUCAUGACAACAUGUAGUUUUCAGCUUUUUACUAUCUUCCACAAUGAUGGCUCUAGUUUCAGGAGAUGAUGAGAUGAAUUGUCCUCUAAAUGCUAGGGAAAGAGUAAUGUCCAAAUGAAAAAGAUUCCAGUUCAUCAAGGUGUCUUAACAAUGUCCUGAACAAAUCACUAAAAUUAAAUUCCAAUAUCCAUUAAUUUAAUAGUAGUAAGGGCCAGCAAAAGAAUGCAGCUUCAUGGAAACAAAAUAUACUAAAAUGCCACUCACGUCGCCUUUUGCAUUGCCUUCAUCGCAGAAGCUCCAGUCCUCAAUGCAUCAACAGUCUCUGUUGUAGCUUUGGCACCUUCUAGCAAUAUCAUCUAAAAACCCAACCCAAAACAUAUGGAAUCUAAAGUGAGGUUAUCAUGAAUUAUUUAUUUUGGCAUAACAUUACAAGAAUACCUGAUCAUGAAUGCGCAAUUGGAAAUUUCCAAGUUGUUCAAUUUGCUGUUCAUAGAGCCUCUUCCUCUUUAAACAUUGUAUUGCCGCUGCAUAAUGGAAAUAAAUGAAAUUGAUAGGUAAAAUGUUUCAAUAAAGCAUCUUUAAAUUUUGGGUGUACAUACAUAUAUAUAUAUAUAAGAAAAACCUAAUCAUGCAAUGAAAUAAUAUCAUAAAUUAUAUUCUUCUUGUCUCUCUAAUUUAUUUAUUUAUUCUGCUUAGGAAAAUCAAAAUAUCAAAAUUACAGAUCCAAAAUCAUGACAUCAUUGCAUACAUGGAUCAUGAUCAUGACUUAAUGACAUAAUCAUGAUCAAAUAAUCAGGACUGUGACCAACAGGAGAUCUGGAAGGGAGAAAGCAAGUGCAACAUCAUCAGCAUAAGAUCCUAAAAAAGAAUUUACUAUGCAGAGAAGCUCUAUGAUUGCUUUCUCAUAUACCAUCUACAGUGAAACUACUUCUAAUGCUAUAUGAAAAGAAGACAUAAAAAUAGUAAAUAUUAUGAAUUCAGCCCACAUGUGAAGUCACAUAGUUUCUCAUAACAUUUGAAGUCACAUAUUCAUCCCUUUCAAAUGGGAUCCUUACUAUAUGUCUAUACCAUAUUUAAAUUGUUGAAAAACUAGGCGAUACAAAAAUUGAAUGGCAAAAAAAUGCAAAUUGUAAUAUUAUUUUUUUUAUUAGAGCAAAUUAUAUUAUUCUUGAAACCAAAAAUGAUACAAUGCAAAACAUGGAAUAAACUCACUUCAUAUGCUAUGGGAAAAAGCUUCUCUGUCCGAAUAUUAUAUAAAACAUAAAGCAAAUACAUUAUUUUCAUAAAAUAUCCAAAUGCACAUAAGAAAACAGCAGAUGAGACAUAUAUAUGUAAGAGGCAUACAUCAUACAACAUGAAGAUCAAACUAUUGAAAUCAAAACCAGCUGAGAAAAAUGGAGCAUUGCUUCAGGAAACAAGAAGACCAAAACCUAAUGUUCUUUUCACUAGUGACAAUUCGUAUAUAUAGCUAUCAUACCCCUUUUGUUCUUUGCUCUAGUAAAUUCCUUAGCCUUUUCAACCUCUGCAGCGGCCUUCUUCAAAAGGACACCUUCUUUUUUCUCUAGCAUUUCAAGUGUCUGAAUAUAAUAACAACAAAAAAGGAAAAAUUAGCAGAUAAAAUCUGGCAUAACAUGGACAAUGAUAAAUUCUGCUGUUAUGAGAAAGAAAAAUCAGCCGCUCUGCAAGAGAAAGAAUACAUUCUUUCCUGCAGAAAUAGCAAAUUAAUAAUCCAUUUCCAGUCCAGAUACACCCACAAGUAAUGCAGUAACAAGGAUGCCUUCACAAUAGCUGGUAAGCAACAUUCAUAACCACAUGUAACUUGGAUACAGUACAGACUGUAUGGUGUGUGAGGCUUCCAGAGAAAAACCCAUGUCACACAAGGAAAAUGAAAUUAACCUUACACUUGAUAGCUAUAUUUAGUAGAGCAAAUCCAUCAAAACUCAUUUUAUUUUAAUAAUUUUGUAAUUCCUUUUCAUUAAAAGAGGAAUGUUGAGAGAGAAUGGUCGAAACUUUUGAAAAAAUUCUGCAAGAGGAGGACGUUCAAAUUGGAUAAUUAAAACUCAUCAAAUGAUGCUCAUUUGGUGCACACUUUGACUACAAAAUGAAAAUUAUCACAUGGUGGCCCAAUUUUUCUUGAUAGGCAAACAGAAAUUCAUACAGAAAGCACCUAAUAAAAGGGGGCACAACCUACAUACACAAGGCAUGUACAAGAGAUGUCAAAGAAAAAGAAGACACCCCUCCAGAAAACAACAAAAAUAUGACCUUUUUAUCCACAACUUAGACUACCUAUAAAGUUUAAUAAUGUUCAAUUAGCCAACCCAAGCAAGACCCUAGACCACUGCAAAAGGAACUUAAUGAGAGUCUGUAUGAGCUUUUGAGGAUCACAGGGCUGCCCAAUCUUUUUGUUCCUUUUUUUAUUUUUGGUGCAGCACUGAUCUUAUUGGAAGGAUACCAAAUUGUAAAAUGAUCCAAAGCUCAGCCAGAAAAAAUGAUCUCUUAACAACAUGACAUGUGAACAGGAAAUAAAAGCUCCUAUGGACACAGAAACAACUAAUUUUUCAUUUUUCUCGACAUUAUGAAAAGCAUUGAGGACUGGUUAACAUGACAAGUGUAAUAAAGCUCCAACAAUAAAUUAUUAAGCACCACAAAAUAGAAAGAAAAGGGAGAAUUUAAAACAUUAAAUAUAUUUUUCAGCAGUCAGCACUUUAUGUAUGGUCCAUUAAGCUAUAUAGGCUACCCAGCUACUAACAAGGUGCCAUGGAGGACCACUCCAACAGGGUCACCAUGUGGUCCUACAGGACCUACUAUAGCAUGACAUACAAGGAUGAACUGCAAACUCCAGUCCUAAUACUUUGUUUCAUUGGAAAAUACUUUGAGGUAAAAAAAAAUCUUCCACCCCCCCAAAAAAAAUUAAAAGAUGAACUCCAGCGUAAAAAGUUCGGGUUCAAUUUUUUUAUCAAACUCUUAUAAAGUGAAUAAAGAUCAGCAACUCCCUUAGUUUAUUACAAGUAUUGAUUUUACAAAUAGCUUAUAAAUAAUAAACACAAGUGUGUGAAAUAACUUGAAAAGGAUAAACGAAACUCUCAAAAUUCUUGCUCUCUUAUCCCUAUGUAUCUUUCGUAAUGUUUUGGUCAUUUGCACAUGCAUCAAUGUGUAGCCUUCUCUCGUAAUAUAUUAGAGGAGAAUGUAAGUGUGAUUUUGGCCUCUCACCCUUUUGCACUACUUUAAAAUAUUUAAAAUAACUGCAAUAUUUAGAAUAAAUAACAACAGCCUAGAACUUGUAUCCAAGUCAACCAUACAUCAUGCAUUCAUUUCACAUGUCAUCACCUUUAGUUUUUGUCAAAAUGCAUGAGAGCCCAAGGAUGGGUACCCAAAAGAGUUAUGCAUGAUUAAAAUUUGACCUAAUUGCCUAUCACCAUUGAUGAUCUUGAGAUGGAUGAGCAUGAAUACUACAGCAUAAAACAUUCUAAAGGAAUUGCAUUCAAGAAAAUCUGGGAAUAGACCCAGUACACACUUAAGAAAAACUAUCUGCCAAACAUGUUUUGGUAAAUCUAUAGAGCUUCCUGUAACAACUGAUUGUGCAAUUUGGCAAACUUUUAAAAUUUAUCAGGUUCAUAGAGUUACUUUCUAAUAACUUAUUUCUUUGCACCAAAAAAAAUAAAAAAAAUCCUUUUUCCUUGGAAAUUGUUUCCUGAAAACGUUUUCCAUCAAAAAAAGAAAGGGAACACUAGUUACCAUUGUGGAAUUUCAAUUUCACAUCAAAACAAUGCUUCUCAAAAACAACAAACAAUCAAUAUACAUGUGUGAGCAUCAUCACUAUGAUAAAUCUCCCAAUACACCACCCAUUUCAAGACAAUCUAUAUUUUCCCCGAGAAAAAAAAAAUUGGAAGCUUACAGAAUAGAAAGAAAAUUCCACCAUACCUCGUUUAACUUGUCCAAUGUUGUUAGGGCAUUGGCCUCCUGCUUAGGUUUCCCGAACAAACGCGUAAACAUGAUUGAUUUCGAUAGAACAAGAAAAUCAAAGAAUCUGAUAAACGCUGCAACAAAAUCGAAUCCGUUAAUCAGUACAUCAAAGCGAUCUGUUUUCGAAACACAAAAAACAAAAUCACUAGACAGAUUUCAAACCAAAUAAGAGGGAAAAAGAAAACAAAGACAACAACAUACCUUCAACAAAUCGAAAUCGUUGCUAGCGUUUUAAGGAAAAACGCUUUGAACCAUGAUCGAAUUGAUAGGUUCGAGGAUUUGGGAGAGUACGAAGAAGAAGGAUCGCUAUAGGUGGAAGACUCCGAUUAGAGUUUGGUUGGAGAGAUGGAGCCCGGUGCCUGCCUGUCACUCAAGUUUCCUGUCUGACUCACCUUUUUCGUUCAAAAUCUAAACUUUGAUUGGUCCGUCGCUCUGUUGAUACGUGACAGACGGUUACAUUUUUCUUAAUAGAAGAUUUUAUGGUAGACGAAAUUAAAUGAAAUGAAUUUCGAGGAUUUUAGUGAUAAGGUUUUUUUUAAUGGGAGAAUUAUGUUUUGGGGAUAGAUGGGCCCCAAAUUAACAGAAGGUCCAUGUAACUCUUCAAAUUGAGCCCAAGACCCAAUGAAAGUAUGGAAAUUGAGUUGAAGGAUAUCAUCCUUCAGUAUUUCCAAAAAUGCCCUUUAUUGAUUUUGAGAAAAAAAAAUUAAUAUUUUUGAAAAAUACUUUUAUUUAAUUUAAUAUUUUUUAUUUAAUUUAAUAUUUAAAAAAAAUACUUUUAUGUAAUUUAAUAUUUUUUAAAAUACUUUUAUUUAAUUUAAUAUUUUUUAAAAAUAAAUUUAUUUAAUUUAAUAUUUUUUUUAAAUAAAAUUAUUUAAUUUAAUAUUUAAAAAAAUAUUUAAUUUAAUAUUUUUUUAAAUACUUUUAUUUAAUUUAGUAUUUUUGAAAAAAAAAAUAUUGAAAAAAAAUUAUUUAACUUAAUUUUAUAAAAUAUUUUAUAUGUGUUUUUAAAGGAUAUAUUUGUCCGUUACUAUUUCAUAUCCUUCAACUCAAUUUAAAGAGUUACAUAGACCUUUUGUUAAUUUGAAGGCCCAUCUACCUCCAAAAUAUAAUUCUCCCUUUUUUAAAUCCAAAACACAUCAAAAUAUUUUAAGAAAUAUUAAAAAUAUAAUAAAAAUUGAAUUACUUUCUCCAUGUAAUCAUUUUCAUCCAAAUUAAUUAGGAAAUAAGAUAAAUAAAAUAUUAGUUUUAUUUUUAUAAUUCUUCCCGCACAUAUAGAAAGUUUUCAAUAAAUUGUGUAUGAAAGAGAGAAAAUUAUUUUACAUUAUAUUAUAAAAAAUGAAAAAAAAAAUUGUUAUUUGAAAGUGUUGUGCCAACUAGAUACCGAUUCAUCUAGCUUUAUUAGAGUCAGACGAACUUCUUUCGGAUGUUCAGACAGGUGGUUUGGAUACGACCCUUCGAAGUUUAAGUCAUAAUCUAUUAAGAACGAAUCCAACUAUUUUGAAUGGUUAUAUAUGUACAUACCGUACUUUUUUCAUACUUCUCGAAAGUUUUUAUAGAACAAAUGUCAUCAUAGUUAUAACGUUGAUUGUACAUUCAUGCCUUUAUGAUGAUUGUCAUCAAGGCGAAUAACAAGUUUUAAUAAGACAAUCAAUGUCAUCAUCUCAGCGCAGACUGAGCAAUCAUACCAAACAAGAGCUAUUGACUGGUGUCAUUUGUUGGUUGUUAUGUAAGAAUCUUGGACCAUAUAUUUAACUGUUCAUUUACGUUUGCCAAUGUUGCUAAUUGCGUGUAACGACUAAUUGACAUUGAUUUUUGGAUGUAAAUGUUGUCUAAUCCGUCGGUCAAGCAUCGGAUGUGAUUAGUCAUUUGUUCAAUGCUCGGAAACUUUAAUUGGGUUGGUUUGUUUGUCUGGAAGUCCCAAUUGAUCCAUUUCAUCUAGCAUUGAAGAAGAAGGAAAUCUCUCACCUUUUGCACUAGACGGAGUUAAUCUUGGUCUAGAUGGAUUAUCUACUUACUUUCAACAGUCAAAAGUUUGGGAAUGACAGGUGGAGGGAAGCUCCCCACAUUAUUGAGUCUCAAAAGUAUAAUUUUUUUUUUAAUUUAUUAUUCAUGUGUAAAUGUAAAAUUUUUAAAAAUAUUUUUUAUAUUUUCAACUAUUAUUUAUAAUAUUCCACAAAAAAUAAUUAAAAACAUCUUAAAUUUGUUAUUAAAAAAAUCGCAUUUUCCAUAAUAACUAUUUUUUAUAAUAAAAAAUUGUCAAAUUUAUUUUCUAAAUUAUACAACCAUUUCCAAAUUGUCUCAUCUUAAAUAGUAGACUCAUUCUCUACUUGAAUUCAUUGGGUUUUUUUACUUGAUUAAUGAAAUUAUUAUGAUAAAAUUAUCUUUCAAAAAUAUUACUUUAACUCGGUAUUUGAUAAACCAACUUAAUAAUUUAAAGUUACUUAAUAACUUAAUUUAAGUUAUUAAGUAAAUUAAGUAUAUUUGGUAAAAUAACUUAAUAAUAUAACUUAAAAUAAAAAAACAACUUUAAGUAAUAAGUAAAAAUAAUUAACAUAUUCUUAAAUAUAUGUCUUCAUUUUAUCUUUUUACUUUUAUUUGUUUUUAUUACUUCCACGGUCUCUUUUACUAUUCCACAACCUUUAUUAUUAUUCGACUUCUUUUGCCAUAAUUUUAAUUUAUGAGGAUAAAUAUAUCAAUUUGAUGAUUUAUAAUAAAUUUUAAGUUAAUUUUUUUAAACAACAUUAAUAUUUAAAAUAAUAAAUUAAAUAAUAAUUUUUAAAUCAACAAUUUAAGUAUAAUUUAAUUUAAAGUUAAUUUAAUAUAAUAUGAUAAGAGAUGUUAUCUUGUAUUUUUUUUUUCCAUAAUUAAUAGAUGAAAAAUAACAUUAUUAAAAACCACAAAAUUAGUGACAGUAUUUUUAUAAAGCAUUUAAUUAUUUAUUUAUUUAUCAUAAACAAAAAUAUAUUUAAUUGACUUUUGUUUUUUUAACUGUUUUGUGUAUAUUGUGUGUGAUUAAAAAAUAAGUUAUAUAUUCGUAAUAACAUAAAAUUAUUUUUAAAAAUUCAUAUUUUGUUUUAAAAAAUUCAUAACAUCAACUAUCCAUAUUUUGUUUUCAAAAAUUCAUAACACCUAUCAUUCAUAUUUUGUUUUUAAAAAACCCAUAAGAGAGAUAGAUCAUUAUUCUAUGCUUCCAAUUUAAAAAAAAAAUGAAAAAGAUAAUAGUUUUUAGAGAAUAAAUAAAAGUUGUUUACUUAUUAUUUAUUUUUUUUACAUAUAAUUAUAUCUUUAUAAAUUUUCUCAUGGUAUAAAUAAACUUCAAAUCAAACGACACUUUGUAUUAAAUUUAUUAAUAAGUUUAAUAAUUUUUAAAAAUAAUUUGGAACUCAAAAAAAUAUAUCUAAUCACUAAAAAAAAAUAAUAGUCCAAAAUUGAUAUAUUAUGAGUCAUGAUUUUAUUAUUUCUCUUACACACAUAAUAAAUGACAAUUAUAACAACCAUGUAACAAAUAUAAUGAAAAAGUAAUUUGCAUAUAAAAUAUAGUAGGAAAGAGAACUUGCAAACACUUGUUUUUAUUGCGGUUUGAUGCAACCCAACCUAUGUUUACACUCCUCAAGCUUAUAAUCGAGUGAGGGUUCCUCUAACAAGAUUUGCAACCCGAGUCUUCAAACUUUACCAUUAGAUUAUGGUUCUAAUUAACCCUUUUGAACUUAUGGUUUUAAACACCCUCUUGGAUUAUAGUUUUAAAUGACCUUUACAUUGAGAAUUCUCAAAAUAAAGUCUCUAGAUUAUUCCCUUUGGAUCAUGGUUCCACAGCACCCUCACAAGAUAUAAAAAUGAAGAAAAAAUUCUCAAUUUACAAUAUAUACUUAAGUGGAAUACAAAGAAACUAUGGCUGAAUGGUCACUAAAAUGAUAUACAAGUUUGUAAGUUAAUACAUUCUAAAAACACUCCUCACGGGCUCGAAUAAUAUUCAAUAAUGAUUUAAAACUCUUUUUCUAACCAUAUAAGAAGUUGGAAGCCUUUAAAUAGAAGUUGAACAUACAAAUUAGCCAUUAAAUAUACUUUAAGGUUGACUUUUCGAUCAAUCGAUCAAACCAAUUGCUAGCCAUUGAGGUUACCAUUACCUAACCAACUCAAUGAGUGUUCAACUAGUUAAGAUUUAACCUUGACCGAUUGAAUAUAUGCUACUAGAAGAGAAAGAGUACAAGUGUACCUCUACUAGUCAAGCCUAUAAAGUGCACAAAAGACCUUGACUUGAGGCUUUGAACUUUUGGUAACUUGUAAUUAACUUUACAAUAAUAAUAAUAAUAAUAAUAAUAAUAAAACAUAAAACCAUCCAAAAUUUUAAAAUAAUAAUAAGAUUGAUUUAUGCACUUUGAUGAUUUUAGGUAUUUAAGUAAAAAUGAAAUGUAUGAUCUCAGUAUAUCAACUCUUACAAAGAGUUUCACGACUAAUACUCUUAAUUGAUUUUUUUUCUUUUAAAGUCUUCUCAUUCUUAUUGAUUUGUCUUUAGCUUUAUACAUAUUUGAUUGUUUAUUUAUAAAUAUUCUUAAAAUACAUUUAGUAUGAGUUAUUAGUUUAAAACCUUCUUUUACUAUCAUUAAAACAAAAAUUAACCAACCUUGGUUUUACAAAAUCUUUUAAUUUUUAAGAAUAAUCUAGAAUUCAAAAAACUAAUCAAAUUAAUUGUAUGUUAAAUCAAAAUAUUAUAGAAUAUUAUGUUUGUAAUUAAGUAUUAAAUAUGUAUAUAUAAUAAAAAAACUUCCCUUAUUUACAUUUUAAAAAAGUUAAACUUUAUUCAUUAUCCAUUUUAAAUAAAAUAUUGUUAACAUUUAUUAUUUUUAAAUCAUUAUUAUUCUUUUUUAACAAAAAAAAGAAAUCAAUUAUGCUUCUACCAAUAUGCUAAUAUUCAUAUUUUUCUAACAUAAACUAAAACAAUGUUUUUUAUAUAAAAUAUAAUUUAUGAUAUUAUAAUAUUACUAUUCAUGUUUGAAUGAAAAAACUAUUUAUUUUUAGAUUUAUUUGUAAUUACAAAACUGUUUUUGUUUGUAAUAAGAUGUUACUUUAAUUUAAUUAAACUAUAUAAAUUAAAUUUACAAUGUUUUAAGAAAAUUAAAAUAGCAAAAUAUUUUUAAACACAAUUUAUUCAAAUAAUUUUAUAUAUAUUUAAAACAACUUUCCAAAUAAUAUUAUAAAACAAGGCUAAUUACAUUAAAUAAAAAUACAUAAGAAAGAGGGUGAAUUGAGUUCAAAAACUUUUUUUUAUAAACACCUUUAAUUAAAUAAUUAAUAACUCAAUAAAAGUAAAGAGAGAGAUAGAGAAAUGCAAGCUCUAUUUUUGUUGUGAUUCGACAAAUCCAACCUACAUCUACUUUCCUCAAACUCAUUUAAGAGAGAGGGUCCCAUUAAACUAAAGUUUUCAAUCCAAGCUUCCAAAUGAUAAAAUUGGAAUUGAGACUCCAAUAUGUUAGAUAUGUGAGUCCUUGCAAAUGUAGUCAUGGGUCUCACAUGGAUCCUAUUUUAUGGCAUAGUUUAAUAAAAAAUAAAUAAAUAAAUAAAAAUCGUAUGGGUCUCAGAGUACUAUUCAGAAUGUACAGUCGAUAACAAAAAUUCAAGACAUACCUGAAGUUCCUCCUGCUCAAGUUAUGGAACCGAUUCAAGUUCAUGAAGCGGUAACUCAACAACCUCAAGAACCUCAAGUACAAGUGCCACUGAGGAGAUCCACUAGAGAACAGAGAAGUACAAUUUCAGAUGAUUAUGUUGUACAUCUCCAAAAACAUGAGUUUGACAUGGGUUUGGAAGACGAUCCAAUUUCAGUUAGUCAAGUCAAACAAAGUUCUAACUCUGAAAAGUGGAUAGAAGCCAUGAAGGAAGAAAUGAAAUCAAUGAAAGACAAUGGUGUUUGGGACCUAGUAGAGUUGCCUGAAGGUGUAAAACCGAUUGGUUGUAAAUGGAUUUUUAAGACUAAACGGGAUUCAAAAGGCAAUAUUGUUAGGUAUAAGGCGCGCCUAGUCGCAAAGGGUUUCACUCAAAAGGAAGACAUUGAUUAUAAGGAGACCUUUUCAUCGUUUUCGCCAAAGGACUCCUUUAGAAUCAUCAUGACACUUGUAGCUCGUUAUGAUUUAGAGCUGCAUCAAAUGAACGUUAAAACUGCGUUUCUUAAUGGUAACAUUGAUGAAACAAUAUAUAUGGUGCAACCAGAGAACUUUAAGUCUAAUGAUUCAAAGCAACUUGUAUGCAGAUUAAAAAGGUCCAUAUAUGGUUUAAAGUAAGCAUCCCGACAAUGGUACCGAAAGUUUGAUCAAGUGAUCACUUCGCUUGGUUUUAAGGAGAACACCGUUGAUCAAUGAAUAUACCUCAAGUUCAGUGGGAGCAAAUUCAUUAUCUUGGUGCUAUAUGUUGAUGAUAUUCUAUUGCAAGUAGUGAUGUGAGACUUUUGCAUGAAACCAAGCGAUUUCUGUCUAGUAAAUUUGAUAUGAAAGAUAUUGGUGAUGCAUCUUUUGUGUUGGGUAUACAGAUCUAUAGGGAUCGUUCAAGAGGUAUACUUAGGCUAUCACAAAAGGCCUACAUCGAUAAAGUUUUAAGUAGAUUUGGCAUGAGCAAUUGUGCACCAGGAGACACGCCUAUGGCAAAAGGCGAUAAAUUUAGUUUGCACCAAUGUCCGAAAAAUGAACUUGAAAAGAAGGAUAUGGAAAAGUUUCCCUAUGCCUCGGCAAUAAGAAGUCUCAUGUAUGUACAAGUUUGUACGCGUUCGGAUAUUGUGUACAUUGUUGGAAUGUUAGGCAGAUAUUUGAGUAACCCAAGUAUGGAUCAUUGGAAAAAGGCAAAAUGGGUUAUGCGAUUUUUACAAAGAACUAAAGAUUAUAUGCUCACAUACCGUAGAUCCAGUCAUUUAGAGAUCGUGGGAUAUUCAGACUCCAAUUUCACGGGAUGUCUUGACAGCAGGAGAUCCACUUCAGGCUAUAUCUUCAUGUUGGCUAGAGGAGUAGUUUCAUGAAAAAGUGUUAAACAAACACUUAUUGCUUCUUCCACCAUGGAGGCAAAAUUCAUAGCUUGCUAUGAGGCAUCAAACCAUGGGAUAUGGCUGCAAAAUUUUAUCACUCGGUUGUGAAUUGUUGAUGGGAUUGAGAAACUAUUGAGAAACUAUUGAGAAUCAACUGUGAUAAUAAAGCCGCAUAAUUGUAUUCUAAGAACAAUCGAAGUUCGUCAAAGUCCAAACACAUUGACAUCAAGUUCUUGGUUGUGAAAGAAAGAGUUCAGAGUCUUCAAGUAUCGAUUGAACACAUAAGCAUAAACUCCAUGAUUGCGGAUCCACUCACUAAGGGUUUGCCACCCAAAGUAUAUCAUGAGCAUGUCACACAUAUGGGUGUUGUACACAUUGAUGAUGUGCUAGUAUAGUGGGAGUUUGUAUUUAGAUUUUGUGUUUGUUUUCUUGAUGUGAUAUUAUGUUAUGUUAUCUGUACACACUUUGUUUUUAAAAGACUAUUGUGUUUGAAUACUCUGAAUUAAAAUGAUGACUUUUAGAAGCAAUUUAGCAUCAAGUGUUGAAAGUGGAAUUUGAUUAUUUUUAGUCAUAAAUUAGGACCAAUUGGAAAUAGACAUAUUAAAUAUCACAUUCUGUGUAAUUUCCAUGCUACACAUCCAUACUUGAUCCGUGUUGCUAAUUUUUGUUAAUGUUGUGAUCAUUGAUGGGUCUAGUUAAAUUAUGAUUAAUGAAGACCGUUUUAAUCCUAUGUUAACAUAAUUAGUAGACCGGAUUGUUUAAGGAUAUUAAGAUAGAAUAGCAAGAUGAGCUCAAUAAAGUACUAUCAUGAACAUUGUUUUGUAAUAUAUGUGGUCCAAGUGGGAGAUUGUUAAGAUAUGGACUCACAUAUCUAACAAUAAUUCACGACUAAGCUAUUCACCUCUUUCUAUUUGUUUUCUGUUUGUUCAAGAGUAUGGGCCACCUAUGUGUAGAGCCCAAACGCCAUCACGAGCCUUAGAUGAUGGACCUAAGACUCGUGAGGCCCAAUAGCCCAAUGGGUAUGGUCCCUAAGGCAGGAGGGUAUAAAAGGUCAAUGGUCUGUUCAUUUUGUAAUAUCACAUCUUUGAAUAGAACAGAACCCUAAUCUCUCCCGCUUCCCAUUUCCAGAGAGAAUCCAGUGACGAUGGUUCCCCUCCUCAGCCUUAGAAGAUCCAUACAUCUUCAACCAAAAAUUAGAAAUGGAUUCGGGUAUGUUCCAUGUGAAUAAAUGCAUGUUCUAAAUGAAUUGAUAAAUAUAUAUUGCAUAUGUUUUGGUGAUAAUGGAGAUCAAAGAUAUAUAACACAAUAGACUUUUACAACCACUCUUUAAAGUUCAAUUCCAACUAGAAGUUUUGACACUCAAUUUUUCUCAAUAUAAUGAAGGUUAAACCUCACUCAUUCCUGCCUAAAUAAGUGAACAAGUACAAAAAAAAUUAUGAUGAAUAUAAGGGAUGUACUAAGACCGAUUUGCACAUGAAUGAUUAAUGUACAAACAAAUAAGAGCUUUGAAUAAGAGAAAAUGAUGGAUAAGGAAUUCAAUACAAAUUUUCUUUUAUCAAUAAAUGUAUAAGAGCUUUCCAUUUAUAAAAUUUCAACCUCUAAUAUCUAAAAAAAAAAAUAUAAACUAGCUUCAAUCAAUCGAGUUUCUAUUUGAUCAGUUCAUUAACCAUCAAACAAUAAAUACACAAGAAGUGAUUAUUUGUCCUUCCUAAAAUUCAACUAGCCCUCCAUCGAAAGGGUAAUCAAUUGAACCUUUUAGGCUCAAAAACCAUAUUUUUCCUUUCAAAAGUUUUUUUUUAACACUUAGACAUAGUCUUUAGGAGCAUGUGUAACUCAAUUUUGGAGAGUUUUGCCUAAGAUCUUUGGAUCUAUGCUCAUAUUCAGAUAAAAAUAUGACUGUUUAAGUAAGCUAAUAAAAAAAAUUGAGUACGAAGAAACGCGUGAACAAGUUUAAAUCCUAAGUACACCUAAAGUAUUCAUCUUAAGUUUAAUAAGUAUUCAUGCAUCAUUGAUUUAAUUUUCCUUGAAACUUUUAAGUGAAUUUGUCAUUUUCUUUUGAUUUUCUCGUUAUAACCUUAAAACUUAACUUGAUUUAAAAUCAUUAGUACACUUAAUUAUGUUUUAUUAUUAUCAAAACUUAAUUAGAAUAACUCUUAUGUACAAACAUUAUUUUCACAAAAUACUUAAAAAUAAUUUUUAAGUAUUAAAAAAAGGAAAAAAUUAUUUAAAAAAAACGUUAUCAUGUUUUGUUUUAUUUAAAAAAAUAUGAAAAAAGUCAAAUAUAAUUAAAAUUAAUAAAAAUUUAUAUACAUUUAAAUUAUUUUAUUUUUAUAUUAAAUAAUUAAAUAAGAAAAAUGAUUUGAAGGAGGGUAUAAAAAUAAUUUAUUAAUUUUAAAUUUAUUUUUUAUUUUAUUAAUAAUAAAACCUUCUAUAGUAUUUUAAAUAAUAUGUUAUAACAAAGUGAUUAGAAACAAUCAUUUCCCAAAUAAUUGUCGUUUGUCGAUUUUGAAAGCGAUUUUCAAAAGAUUGUUAAAUAACUUACUUGCUUCCAAAUAUUUCAAAACACUCCUAACAUUCUGAAAUCAUUCCCAAACACGGUCUUGACAGAACUACACCGAAUUAUAGGUAUGUCUGGAAAAUUUGGUUGUCAAUAUUUUUAAAAUAAGGAUAAAGAUAAAUACGCGCAACAAUGAAAGCAAUUUUAGAAAACAAUUUCAAAAAGUGUUUUUUCACGAGCGUGUAUAGUUGUAUAGUAGUAUCUUCUCUCUCAUAUUAAAUCCACACCAGCCAUUGAUUCACAGCCUUUCUGUGGAUCUACACUUCUCCGUUUCUCUACUGGAAGCCUCCUUCUCUGCUUCUCCAGGUUCUCCUCUUGGUUUUUCUCAAUGAAUUUCCUUAUCCUACAUUUCUAAACCCUACAAUUCGUGCAGAUCCAUCAUCAAUUCCACCAAUUCGAUCCACUCCGUUGCAGAUCCGCCAUGGAUUUCAUGAAAGUCUUCGAUCAGACGGUCCGAGAAAUGUGAGCUCCGAAUGCGAUUUUCAUUUUCUUAGAUUUAGCAAUGUGCUCUUUCGAGUGAAUAAGAUUUUAAUUUGAUUCGAUUCAAUUUGAUUUAAUCUCUAUUCUCUUGGGGCAGAAAGAGGGAGGUGAAUCUGAAGGUUUUGAAGGUUCCAGAGAUCGAGCAGAAGGUAAAAUUUUAUUUUUCUAUUUGUCCGUUUGGUUGCCGGGAAAACUGAAGGAAUGGAAAAGAAAAUUGAGUUUUAAAUCUGAUUGUGUUGAUUUGGUUUCUAAAUAAUUUGACAGUCCUCCUCAAUUACAGCAAAUGAGGUGUAUUACGCUUAGUUGAUAAAUCUAACAUUCAAAGUUGUCUUUUCUCUCUUCAAUCAAACGAAGUCUAGGUGUGUGUUUUCCCUCGUAAUUGGUUGAUUUUUGUCUCUCUCUUUUUUUUUUUCUUUUUUUUUUCUUGGUUUUUGAGAGGAGGGGGAUUGGGUGGGUGGUGCGAGGAAUACGGGAUAGUGACAUUUGAUGCUUGCCGUAUUUAGGUGCAUGUGUGGAACGUGAAACCUUUUUUCACUGCUUGUUUGCUCAAUAGAAGUUUUAAUUCCUUGUUUUACAGUCAAAUAAUUGAAGGACAUUUUGAUAUUUCUUUCAAAUAGAUUGUUCAAGAGUGUCGGCUGGUUUGCUAGUAAAGGAUUAGGAUUGUGUUGAAUGGGUGGCUGCCUUCAUCAAGAUUGGGUUUGUACAUGGGUAUGAGUGUGUAGAGUUUGAAUAGGGGAUUUAGGUAAGAAAAUGUAAUCAUCCAUUGAUUUGCAUAGAGACCAUCUACAAAAUUGAUGUAAUAGGAACAGUGUAGGAAUUAAUGGCAGUUUGACAAUCACCUCAUUUUCUUCUUAUUUAAUUUUCAUUUAAAAUUGGGGGGAGACUCUUGAGUUACUGGUAUGUUACUCUGAAUAGCGUUUUUAAAUGGCAUAGAAUUGUUUUAGUGGCUAGAGCGCAAUAUGAAUGCAGUUCUAUCAAUGAUCUGCUGAGACAGGAGGAAUGGCAAAGAGGUAUCAGUUGAGGUGGUGGGAAGAGACAUUCAAAUGCAAAUUUAAGAGGAUUCCAAUUAUAUAACCCUCAAAUUUGUGUUAGUUCAUUAUUUUGUGAAAGAUAACAUGGGGUCCUUCAUCAAGUUCAUAGGAUGAAUUGAGGGAAUGUUCAAAACCAAUCUAGUAUAUUGCUUAUAACCACUUCCCUUUCAUUGGUGUAUCGCUAGAGUGUGUGUAUUCCAGACUGUAUUUUUCCAUGUAGCUAACACGCCUCAUACACCUUAACGGCCAGGAAGAGGAUAGUAGUAAAAAGGUAUUAGAUGAUGACCAUGUCCUGAUGUCCUCUGAUCUGGGGUUUAGCUGUAGGCUUUAACAUCAUAAUAUAAGUGCAUUUUGUGUGGAUGCUUUACAUAACUCGUGUAGAUCAGACCUGUUGAAUAUAUUCAAUCGGUAACUUUAUCAAUUUGACCCUCAAACAGGUACUGGAUGCAACCGACAAUGAACCUUGGGGCCCUCAUGGCUCUGCCCUGGCAGAAAUAGCUCAGGCCACUAAAAAAUUGUAAUUUCUAACCUAUUGCAUACUUUCUUUCUCAUUUUAUUCUCUUUUUUUUUUCUCCCAAUAUUAUUCUCAGAAAGAAAAAAUGUUUUGCUUUUUGUUUGCAUACCUGAAAUGUUGUAUGUUCCAGCACUGAAUGUCAGAUGGUUAUGAAUGUUCUGUGGACAAGAUUAAGUGAUUCUGGCCGAGACUGGCGCCAUGUCUAUAAGGUAUAUCUGCUGUUAUUUUCAAAAUAUCCAUUUUCAUUUAGAAGCUUCGCCAUCAUUCCCCACCUUAUAGGGUUAUAUUGUGUUUGGCCUCUUCCAUGCCCUCAAUUUAUGAUAUCAUUUUCUGUCUCAGUCACUGGCUGUUAUAGAGUAUUUGGUGGCUAAUGGAUCUGAACGUGCUGUUGAUGAUAUAAUUGAACACACUUUCCAAAUCUCAGUAUGAAUUCUUCUCUACUAUUCUGUGAACUUUGCCCAUACAAUUCUUAGCAAUGACUAAAAUAAGGUUGAAAAAUUGUUUCCAACAUGUUUCCUCUGUUCUUCUUGUGAAGUCACUUUCAGGAUUUGAGUAUGUUGAACCAAAUGGGAAGGAUGUUGGAAUCAAUGUGAGGAAGAAGGCUGAAACCAUUGUGGCUCUUUUGAAUAACAAAGAAAAAAUACAAGAAGUUAGAAAUAAAGCUGCUGCAAACCGCGACAAGUAAGUUUGUGCUUCAAGAAUUCAGAUUAUCUGUUUAGUUAAACUUCUUCGCAUUCUGUUUUUGGAUUAUUUGUCCAUGAAUAAACUGUCGAAUGAUGCUAUCUUUAGGUUCUUUGGACUUUCCUCAUCUGGAGUGACAUACAAGUCUAGUUCAGCCCCAUAUGGCAGCAGCAGCUUUCAGAGUGCUGAUCAGCAUGGAGGUAUGAGUAGCAAACGAGAAAAUGAUUCAUUUAGGGAUAGUUAUAAAGACAGGGAUCGGUUUGAUGAAGAAAAGGUCGACGAGGAUACUUCUGCUAAGUCACGUCAAGGGGUUACCAGUGAGAAUGAAGGGAACACCUUUAAAAAGGGAUCUGCACGCUAUAGCAGGUUAGGGUUUUUCUUUCAUGCAUAUAGGUCACAGAUUGUAAAUUUCACCACAUGUAUAUUAUGAAAUUUGAACAUGCUGUUCAUAGUUGGUAAACACUGGUUAAAUUUACUUGUUGACGCCAAAAAGAGUUGCAGGAACGGGUUCAUUUUCUUGUUAAUAUAGAUAAUAUAGCAUUACCUCUGUUAUCUUUCAAUUUCUUGCUAUUUUCCUAGUUUAUGAAUAUUCUUUGUUCAGCAAGGAUAAAGAUACUUUGUCAACAAAGGCAAAUUACUCUGACAAGUACGGGUCAAUUCCCUCCCACAGUUCAAGUGUGCCUUCAAUUAAUGAUGAAGAUGAUUUUGAUGACUUUGAUCCCCGGGGAACUUCCAGUACCAGUAAGGAUUCUAAAAUGAUGUAUUUUGAAGUUCUAGUAUAUUUAUGUACUUUGUAAAAGAAAAGGUAGUGCACAUAUGCAGAGAUAUUAAUAUUUGUGGAGACAUUAAGUAAAUAAUUUUGUUUUUUUUGUUGCUAUUUGAUAAUUGUCUGCUUUUUAUCUAUUAUAUUUGUAAAACAGAGACCACUGCUGGAAACAUUAACCAACCAGACCUGUUUGGGCAAAGUUUGAUUGGUGACCUCAUGGAUGCACCGGCACCUGUUCCCACAGAAAUGUCUGCCAUCAACAGCAAUUCUGCAGAGCCUGAUCUGUUUGCAGAUGCAACUUUUGUUUCAGCGCCACCUCAUGUAGAAGAAGGUUCUAGUUCUCAGGUUGAGGUAGAUGCUUCUUCACCUCAGUUUCUGAAAGUUCUGUAAAAAAUGUGCUAAUUUAAAAUCUCUACCAGUCUGGGAAUGGAGAUUUCUAUUCUGCAUUCUACUAGUUUGGUGAGAAGAUUGGCAUUCCCUUCACAGUCCUGCGCAAACAUGUGGACAUGUGCAUGCAUGAUAAAGAUUAUUGUUCACUAUUUUUAUAUGGUUUCGGUUUUUCAGCAAUGGGUGACUGAGUACAUAAUUUAUAUGAAUUCUACAAUGUCCUGGAAAUAUUUUUCUCAUUUUUAGGAGCAAAUAUUAAUGCUGUUUUUGCAUAAUUAAGAAAUGUUUCUCCAAAGUGUUUGUUAAUGAUGCCUAUCUAAUUAAACAAUGAGAAAUGAUAAAAUGUUUCUCCAAAGGAAUUGCAGACUCUCCCUCUCUCUCUCUCUUUCUCUCUCUCUUUCUCUCUCUCUCUCUCUCUCUCUCUCACUCACUCUUUCUCUCAGUAGAAAUGGUUCUAUGUUUUUUCCCAUUUGUCAAAAAGGCAUUACUUAAAAUGUUAUGGUUUGCAGUCAGUUUUCUUAUCAAAUGCUCGCUCUCUCUCUAGAAAUGGUUCUUUGUUAUUUCCCAUAUGUCAAAAUGGCAUUGCUUUGAAAGUUUAUGACUUUCCUUCUAUUUUCAUAUCCAACAUGUAUUGCACUAUGAAAUAUCUACUUCCAACACCAUUGGCAUUUCUCUGUGUCUCAAAUCAGUUAAUAGAAUGAUUCUUUGUUGUUUCCCAAAUGUCGAAGGGCAUUACUUAAAAUUUUUAGAAUUUUCCAUCUAUUUUCCUAUGCAAUAUGCAUUAUACUAUAAAAUAGCUACUUAGAAAACCAUUGCCCAUCAUUUUGAAUUUCCGGGGGCAUCUAAUAAUCAUCAUUUAAAACUUAUAUGGAUUCAGUUUAUAUUUUUUCCACGGUAUGUGCUCAAUUUUUGUCCUUCUGUGCUAAUAAUUUAUCAUGGCUAAUUGAGCAGGCGAAGGUUGAUCUAUUUGGGUCUCAACCUGCUGGUCCUUCUGCGAAUCCUCCAGCAUUUGACUUUUUUGCUGCCCCUGAUCCAGUUGUGCAAUCAGAAACCAAGUCUCAAAAAUCUGACACAGCCAGCCCCGACAUUGUUGAUCCAUUUGCUGCAGUUCCACUAAACAGUUUUGAUGGAUCAGAUCUUUUUGGUUCAUUCACUUCCCAUACCAACUCUGCAUCUACAGAGCCUACACAAAGUCCUGCAAAUGAUGGCAACCUUAACAAUUUGAAUGGAAAAUCCUCUGCAGAAUUUCAACCUCCACCCAAGAAGGAUGCUUUCCAGGUUAAAUCUGGAAUUUGGGCAGAUUCACUGAGCCGUGGACUGAUUGAUCUUAAUAUAUCCGCACGUAAGUCCUUAUCUCUGAAUUUCUAUAAUCCCUUUUCUGUACCAUAAUUCAUUUGCAUGUUUUACAUCUUCACAUUUAUCAUACUGUUUUAGUUUUUAUUUGAUGCAUGAGUUUGGGACUCCAUAUGUGAUGAGGGGAAAUCAAAGUCUAUUCAAGAAGGAAAGGAAAGACAUAAAUAAACUUUAAGUAGGAUUAAGAUUACUUGGAAUUAAAUUAGAAUUAGUAUCAAUUGGAAUUAAAUUAGGAUUAGUAUUUGUUGGAGUCAAAGUAGGAUUAGCUAAUUAGGUUAUAAGAUAAUUAGAAUUAAAGUCAUAACAGGUUAUUAGAAUCCUAGUAAACUUUGGAUUUCUUAGAGAAGCUUAUAAAUAAGGUUAAUCGAUGUAAAUCAAAGUAAUGAAUUGAUUGAUACAAAUAAUAUUAUGUUUUUUUUAUUACAAGUAUUACAAUUCUCAAUGGUGAGACUCUAUUGAUUUUCUUUUACUAGGUGAGACUCCUUCCUAGAAGACUUUAGUGAGACUCUAAGACUCUAAGGUUUCCAUCUCUUCUUCAUUGUAUCUUCUUUUUCUCAAUUUUUUUAUAUUUUAUUUUUCUCUUCCAUAAACUUUAUUCCUUAUUCCUCUAUUUACACCCUAAAAAAUAAAAACCCUAAUCCACCUACUUGAGUAUAGGCAACCAUCCUAGAGUUGUCCUACAUCAAGAUGCCUUGUAUGGUUAAAGAUGCUUGGAUUUCUGAUGUGUUUUCAUGUAGUGCUAGACUCUUCUUUUGGUCUUAUCCAUUUGUUUUCUUUUGUCACGUCUUUUGAGGAUGGCUUCUCAAGGACCAAUAUGUUUGAGCAAUAUAGGAUCCACCACAAAUGAGGCCUUAAUCAGGUCUUAAUUUAGAAAUUCAUUGGCCUCAAAUUAGUUUGGGCAUCUCAUUGGGAACAUCUCCAUUGCAUUUGGGCAUCCAAUUAGGUGACAAUGACAUCUCUGAUGCUCUCUCUCUCUCUCUCUUUUUUUUUUUCCUUUCAAUUUUCCACCAUGUACAAUAUCAUAUGUUGAAACAUGAUUUCCAAUAAAAAUUGAACCAUAUAGUCUAUGACACCCAGAUCCUUCAAUUUCACUCAAUGUACCCAUGUCAACAUGACAUGACAUUCGUGUGGGUAUGGGAUGCUUGUUGGAUACUCCUAUUUUACUUUGGGUAUGGUUAUUUGAUCUUUCUCAUUGAUAUCCUUUUAUUCUUUCAACUUAGUAAUAAUUACAUUAGAGAGGGAAAAAAAAGAGUAAGCUGAAAAGUGCAUUUUUGUAAGAAUAUUUAGGGAUAAAAGGAGAAAAAAAAGGGUUAAAGGGAAAAGAGGGAACUUUUAAAAAUGAUACCUUCACUUCUAAUUUAUUUUUAGUUGAAUUUUCUUUUAUUAUGCUAUAUCCCAAUACCUGUAGCCCUUUUUUGGACCAUUUUUAGCUGAGUACCCCCGUAUUUCAGAAUUUGAGUUGUGAAGGAUUAGAUACUUAGACACAUACUCACACCCAACACUCAUACCUAAGGACCCGUGCAUCAUGGCAUAUAGUCACAUCUAAGGUGGCAACGAUUUAUUUGUUAGAUUUUAGUUCUCUUUCAUUAUAGAAUGUUGUUAUUUUUAAGGAGGAUAGGACUGAUAGGUCUGCAUGCCCAUAUGUAUGUACUUGUAUGUGGGACCUUGGUACACACACUGUUUAUAUUGUAUCUUGUAUUCUAUCAUCCUCUUUGUGAAACAAAUUUAGGAAGUAUUAUGGUUAGAUUUAUUUAUCUGCUUCGAAUGUAUAAUAGAUGAAAGGCUUCCAUCAGUUGCUUAAAUGACAAUGAAAACAAAACCAUUUCCAAAAGUAUUCCUACCCUAAAUAUCCUUGCCAUCACCUGUGAGGGAUUGCAUUGAAACACCUGCCUGUCAUUCUGACUGUACAAAUCUAUUGUGUGUGGAUCUUUUCAAGAAUCUGCCUAAAUGCCACCCUCUUUUACCCAAAAAAUUUAAUCACAUUUAACCCUGAGGGGUAGCUCAGUUGGUCCGGCCUUGGGUUUGCUCCCCAAUGGUCACCAGUUCGAGUCCCCUCAGGGCCAUUGAAGGUUUACCCGGUUGUUAACAAGCUGGCCCGAACAUCCACGGUUAUAAAAUAAAAAAUAAAAAAUUAAUCACAUUUAAAAUAAAUGAUGGCCCUUCAGAUUCCACCAACAUGAGCUCACAUGAAUAAAUUAGACUUAGAUUGCUUUUUAUUUAUUUAAUUUUUUAUAUUUCCUCCUCUUUUAAUUGUGGUCAUUUGAACCCUACUUGCAGCCAAGAAGAUAAAUCUAGCAGAUGUUGGCAUUGUGGGAGGAUUGAGUGAUGGAUCGGAUGAAAGGGAGAAGGGACCCCAAACUUCGUUUUCCAUGGGACAAGCCAUGGGUAUUGGCUCCGGUCUUGGUAAAUCUGGGUUUACAUCUCCACCAACAGGUGGAGUUGGUGGAGAUGACAUCUUCUCAAGUCUCGGCAGCCAGCAAUACCAAUUCGGAGGCUUCAAGAAAUAAUAAUAUAUUUUUUUUUUCAUUUAUCCUAUUUCAAUCUGAUUUUUCCUUAUAUUCAUUUUCUCAUUCGAAGUCUUGAGCAGAUUGGAAUGCUUCUUUGUUGUCAAUAUAUGCACCUAUACAAUAUGGAGAUCUGAAAAUUGUCUUGUUUUGCCUGGUUUCCCAUGAAAAGAUUGCAUUUAUUUCCAUUUAGCUUUGAACAAAUCUGCGAUUUGAUGUGUGACCAAAAUUUUAUCAUGAAACCACAGAAGUUGAAAUGCAUAAAUUCAGUCUUAUAUUGAAACCAAAUGGAUUUACAGGUAGGUAGAUGAUGAUCGAUCCAUGAAGGUCUCUUUCAAGUUUCAGAGUAAGCCAAAAGGCUCAAGACCUCUUAUGCUAGAGUUGGUUUGGAGUGUUUUCCAAAGAUUUCAAGUCAUCAACCUUCAAUAGAAACGUAAUGGUAGGUAACAGGGAUACGAAGUAGCAGCUCAUCAACCUGACUGGUUCAUCAUUUCUGUACAAAUGGAUAGUAAAUGAUGGCAGGGAAGUUUGCACAGCUGGCUAUUUGUCAAGUCUUUCUGUUUAUUAUUUUUAGAGUGUUAUAAUUUAAGACACAAGCACUACAAGUUUUUCCUCAAUACAUUUCCAGCAUUCGUCCCCUUAAUAUGGCUUCUGCUUUCCUCACCUGCUUCACCGGUCCGAUGAUGAACACCUGCACCAACAUAAUAUAUAAUGCCUAUUUAGGAAUUACGAAUGGAAGGGUUAGAUGUCAAAUUGGGAAAGUUGGGACACAUGGGAACUCAAAAAUUUGCAGAGAAUUUGAGUUAUUUGUGCCUCUCCUCAUAAUCAAGUUUGUGUAAAGUCACAUAGAAGAAAGAAUGUCCUUCUGCAAAUUUGUGUAGAUUUAACAGACUAACCUUGUCAGGUGGGCCCUUGGCACCUCCAAUGAGAAUCUCCGCACUGCAAAAAAGCAUGCUUGUCAGGUCAAGAAGCUCCAAAAAUAUCAACUCAGGCUCACAUUAGAUGGAGAGAGAGAGAGAGAAAGAGGAACAACUCAGGCUUAGAUUGGGUGGGGGAGAAAAAGAGAGGGAGAGAGGGAGAGAGGGGGGGGGAGAGAGAGAGAUUACUUGCAAGAUUCCUUGACUGACAAAAUGGAAGCUCCUCGUCUUCCAAUAACACGACCCAUUUUUCCAGGGGGAACAUGAAGAACCGAGAGGAUUUCUUCCUCUGGAGCAUUUCCUUCUACAAUCAGGUUAUCUAUAAGGAUAAAUCACAGCUAAAUUAGUAUACAACUGAUGUAUACACUGUACAGCCACUUUUACAUGUAUUCACAGUUCAUCUCUGAUACACAAUUCAAAGCCAAAACAUAAAAACCUGGAAUGGGAGGGAGAGGUGGCCAAUCAGCAUAAUCAUUAUCAUUGAUGCAGAAACAUCGGCAAUACAGUGCACCACGAACAGCAAGAUACCAUAAGGAUCGUUCAUUCAAUUUUUCCAUCAUCUUGUGAUAGAUGUAAAGAAGGAAACGUACAUCGUCUGCAGCUGCCCGGACCAUCAGGUCAGAUAAGGGUCUGUGCGUCCAAAAAUCAGGGUUCUGGGAUGACAGAUAAGAUGGUUAUCAAUUCCUCAGAAACCACUGGUUAGAGGAUCUUGCCAAUAUGAGCAUUUGCUCAAAGUCCAAUUAUUUGUACACACAAAUCUAUAUGGUUCCAUAUAUAGAAGAGACAUUCACAUAAAACAUUUCAUAAAAAAUUGUUGUAAAGCAAUUAUUUAGGAAUGGUUCUAAAUUUCUGUUGUUGGAUUCUGUGGAAAUUGUCUUGAAUGUUCUGCCUCUAGUCUAGCAGCAAUUGGCAACUGCACUGGUUGAAGUAUCAAUUCAAACAAAAAAUUUAAAGAUGCUCUUUAAUGUUCCCAAGCAAUAAUCAGUUGUCAAAUGGUAAAGUCAAGGAAGUUAUCUACCCAGUAAUGCCAAUCAGCGUAUUAAAAAAGAGAUACAGGAACAAACCUGCCUUAAGAGGUCACGAACUUCUUGCUUCUCAAGAUAGGAUACACCUGCAUUCAAAUCUUCAAUGUAAAUAUAAAAGCCAAAAUGGUGGGUGCGACUUGUACAGGUCAAUUGAGUAGUUCAGAGCCUCAUUUAUAGUAAAGAAGCAUAGGUUUUUCCUAUAGGUGUUUAGUAAAGGAGCUCAAGAAAGCAUGAGAAAUAAAGAACAACAUAAGGAGCAUUGAACCAAUGGUAAAUGCAUUAGAGCAGUUGAUGAUAUUAGGGUCCAUUUGAAAACUGUUCUUGGAAACAGUUCUUUAACUCAAAGGACAUGUUUGAUUGACUUUUGAUAGAAAACAGUUUUUUAAGGAUGUGUUCUAAAAACAAGUUUUUUUUAUAACAAAUUUGAGGUGUUUCAGCUGUUCUUUGUAGAGUGUUCUAAGCAACAAUUGAAAAUACGAAGAAUACUUUGAAAACUUUUACACUAUAUAAAAACGUAUGAUAUUCUUCAUGGAGAAUAAGCAGAGAAAACUAUUUUCAUAUUUGGGUUCCCAAAUAGAAUUUUGUUCCUACAAAAAAAUUAAGAAUUAUUCUCAAAAACUAUUUUUUGAUAACUGUUUUCGAAAACAUUGUCAAAUAGGUCCUUAUUAAUCUAGAGCAUGGAUAAGUUAUAGAAGAAAAAUAUACAAUAUAUCUUAUCAUGAGUAUUGGCCUUAUAUCAUGUUUAUAGUUGCUUCCCCCUUUUUGUUUCUUUCAUCAAAAGCAAGUGGUUUCAUCAAUCAAAUCACAGACAUCAAUACUGCAAUUGAAAACUAGAAAAAAAAAUGAUAAAAUCUUUAGCAAGCAUUGAUAAUCUAUAUUCCAGAAAGUGAAGCAAAGCAAGAACCACAAAUAAUUUCAAAUGGAUGCCAAGAAAGAAUUAAUACCACAAUAGCGUGGAUCUGCUAGGAGGCCAACAAAUGAUAUGUAGUCAUCCACCAAUCUUUUCCGUCCUUCCUGCUCCUCUAUUAGAGAAUAGGCAAUCUACAUGCACAAGAAAUUACGAAGUAGUAUCUGAAGUGAUAUACAUCAAUCACGACCAACUGUCCAAAUCAUUAUCAUUUAUUAUAUCAUGGUGUUCCUGUUAAAGAUGCUCACUUGGGUAUCCACAACAUUGUGCAGCUUGAUGCCAAAUUGAAAAUACAAUGCCUACAAAAUAACAAUAAGAUUCAAAGACUGCCACAAUGUAUGUGCUGACAUGCAGAAGUAAAUAAAAUCAAUUAGAGACCUCGCUAUCUCGUUUGCAAUCGUGAAUAACUUUUGUGAUGUAACUAGAUUCAAGUGCAGGCUUACAGGCUUUCAUAAGCAUCUCUCCCCCCUGAAUAGCAUCAACCAGAUAAAUAGCAUCUGGAAAAGCAAUCUGCCAAAGAUAAAAAUCUUUCAUAAUUAUCAAAGUGAAAAUCUCAUGACACAGAAUAGGUAAUAAGGAACUGGAUAAACAUUUGACAAAGAUUUUGAACAGAAGCUGAAAACAGAAAAGCUGUCAACAAGCUAAACUACCACAUACUGUCUUGAAUAAAAAAACAAAAGGAAAAUUUGAAAGUAAAUAAGUGCUAUAUGAAAUUCAGAAAAGGAAACCAUCUUAUACAAAUCAACGACACAAAAUAGGUUAGUGGACGAGAAGUUAAAAACGAACAUGCAUUUAACUUAUUGAUCAGAAACAAAAUAUUCAUUUAUAUGAAUUUAAGAGUGCAAGUAAAGGAUGAGGGAUCCUUCCAAAAUAUGCAAAAUCCCAUCAAAAGAAGAGGUGGAUAAACUUUCUCCGAUAUACUAAGAUGACAUGUACAUCAAUAUAGUACUUCAUGAAACCAUACAAGGAAAAGUGGCUCAACCACUCAUAGGAGUUAAUACACCUCCCACAAAAACAAACUGAAUCAUUGAUCCUAUGUUGCUAUUUUAACCCUUAUGAUCAAUAUACCAAAUUUCAAUCAGACUGAAUAACAUUGAGAGUAGUGCCCUUGAAACUAGUAGUAGUAGAGGCCCAAAAAGAGAAAUAGAAAUAAAUUAUGUCACAUAAUGUCUCUUAAGUCUUUCACUUGUCCUAAAAAGUCCUUACCUUUCUUUCCUAUCAUACCAUCCAAAUUAGUGUGAGACAAGUGAUUUUUCAUAGAAUUUUGCCUCUAAUAGUACUUCCUUAAACCCCUAAAGGAGAUGGUCAUCAUGUCAUAUAUACUCAUGAGGAGUUUAAUCCAAUUUGACUAGUUUGAAUAGCUUUUGUCAUAGCCCUAAGGUCAACAAAUAAUAUGCAAAAAGACCAUCAAUCAAUUCUUCACUCCCUAUACAUACAUAGUACAACAGCCAAGACUAAGGGCUUUCUAAAGUCACCUUGUCAUUAACAAGUCAUUGGUGUUGACCUUAAUGUUAGUUGUUAGCCAAGCAAAGGCCUUGACCUUAAAUGAGGCUUUAGAUUUCCAUAUGAAUUUUGUUAGAGAGAGAUGAAUUGGAGUUGAUAAAUUGAACAUGGCUAAGAAGAAAGAUUUUAUUGUAAAUAAGCUUGAAGAAGAUAAUAACCAAACUCUCAUUAUCUAGGAUAGACUUGACAAGUACACACAAGUGAGAGAGGAUAUAAGUCUUUCAAGGUCAUCUAUCUCCAAGUCAAUGAGGUUACGACGAGAGUAAAGGUUCCAUGAAAAAGGGGAAAAGAUGUCAAGAAUAGAUGAAAUGGAACAAUUUCUAGCUGUCACAACUCUGAAAAUAUUUGGAGAUUGAGAGCAUAGAGAUUGCUUCCCCCACCACAAAUCUUCCCCAAAUGCAAAUCUUUGCCCCAUUCACCCAUUACAAAACAAGUAGGAAUUAGGACAUAUGUUACAUCAGGAUUUGUGACUUAGUAACCAGCUUAUGGAUCAAAGAGUGGAUAGAGAGAAAAAAUGUGUUUAGGAUUUUUUAUUUAUUUAUUUUUGAUAGGUAAAGUAAGCAUAUAUUAAUAAGAGAAACGCCAAAAAAGUGCCCCAAAAAAGUGUAUAUUAAAAGCAUAUUUAGGAAAUUGGAACAAGAGUAUAAGGAAAUCAGAAUAGGGUGGAAAUGAAAUGGAAGGAAUUAGAAUUAGAACCCAAACUAGAAAUGUCAUUGAAGUGCUUAUGAAACUACCAAAAAACUAAAUGAGAAUGGAACAAAUUCUCAUUGAGUCAUCUAUUAACUAUAUGGGAGUUAGAAUAAAUCUACACAUUUAUUAUAGUGUUCUUAUACAAAGGGAUAUAAAAAGAGAUAUUUUCAUGCUACUUUUAAGAAAACUCCACUUUGAUAUUAAUUUUUGGAUAACAUUGGAAAGAUUAAACUAGGACUCAUUAACAUUUUGAUCUUCAUAUCAUGUAGCCUUGAAAUGUCGAGUUUCAAGAUUAGAUUUUCUCUUUUAAUUGAUAACAUAUUUGCUAAUCAAUAUGAAAUGCUUUUUCAAAAAUAAUAUCAACCUUCAUGUGGAUGAAAUAUGCAGACAUCUAAAAUUCAUGUUUGGUUCCAUCUUUGUCGAAUUAGAGUUGAAGUUGAAUGAAUAAACUCCAUAAUUCAAUGGGGAAAAUUCUUCAUGCAGACAGAAUUCUAUCAUCUGAGACUCUGAGCUAACAUGGUCCAAGAAAGUCAAUUACCUGCAUGAUACAAAGUGUUCCAUGGCGACAUAGGUCAACACCUUCACAAUCAAAACCAAUGACCAAUUUCCUUUCAGGAGAGGGCUCCAGGAAUUCAAUUGGAAGUUGAGAUGGAAGGGUGACAAUGUGGAUAGGGACCAGUGGCAAGAGACCUUCAUGAUCUAUGGGUUUGCCACCUGCAAAAUACAAAGAACUCUUACAGAAACAAAAACCACAAAAAAUAAACGCAAAAAAAGUAGCUUUCAAACAAAAGCAAACAAGUCAUACAAGUGAAAUGCAUACUCCCAGAAGAAGAACAAAAAAAAAAAAAACUAUUUAGUUUUUCUGUAUGACAAUAUUAGACAAAACCAUUCAUGACUAAUUGAUUAAUCCCAGUUCCUUUUCACCAGGUGAUGUGUGACCAUGAAUAACAUGAAAUUCAGAAAAAAAAAUCGAGAACUGAGAAGAGAGAGAAAAGAAACAAAGCAUGUGUUUUGGUAUAUUAGGGCAACUUAAGUUUGCCCAUUUCCUCCAUUCUGUUUUCUUACUGUUUUUUAACUAUAUGAACCUGAGGGGACCUGAAGAGCUAACACUUGUACAGCUAAACCUACUACAUUCCAUUUCUUGGCACUAGGAAAAAUGAAGUUGUCAUGUAGGAAAAAUGAAAUUGUCCAGUUAAUUUCUUGGCAUGUGGAGGAAUAGCAACAAGUACCACAUUCCGAAUUACCAAAAUUUCAUGUAGUACAGUAAUUAGUCACUUCUGAGACAAACAAAAACCCUUGGAACUCUUAGUUUUGAAACAGAGGGAGAAACCUCCAUUUAUUACCAAAAAGACUGAAAAUAAUAAAAAGGAAAAGUAAAAAGAUUGACAGUUUGCGCAGGAACCAAAAGCUAACUCGAGAAACCCAAUCAAUUCUCUAGGGCGCCAAACGAUUGAAACUGCAAGUUUCUCGAACUCAGAAUAUGACUUUCGAUCAUUUUUCCCACGGUUUCUCGGCAACCAAACAGCUCCGAAAUGAACAUAAAAUCAAAUUUCAAAGAAGCGUGAACAAACCCAUGUCGAAGAUCAACCACAUUAAUCAAAAUUAUAUGAAAUCACAUGCAUAUAAACCCAAAUCAAAUAUAAAAAUCUCAAAAUAAUAGCAAAACCCAGAAAGGAAAACACCCAGUAAAUUGAAAAUAAAUGAAAAAGGGAAAAAAAGAAAAGACCUGGGUCUGAUGGCAUAGGAAUGUAUGUAGGUUGAGACGGAGAAGGUGAAGCCAUGUGAUCGGACCAUCCAAACAGACCAAUUUUCUUCUGAACCCCCUUUUGGGCAUAUGUAUUUUCAUUUAGGGGCGUGUUUGGCAUGGUUUUAAAAUCGUGUUUUCUCCCUUUUGUUUUAUUUGUUUUAUUUUAUUUUACUAAUUUAUUGUUUUGGUGGUUUCCAGAAUUGAAGAUUGAAAAUAAUUCAAAACAUGGCUUUACAAUCACUACUUACUAUUUCUGAAAAUAUUAGGAUUGGUCUGCACAUAUUUUCUGAAAUUUGUUUUAAAAAAUUAUUUUUUAUUUUUUAACUUAAAAAUAAUUUCAUAAAACAGCUUCUAUUUAUUUUUUAAAAAUUAUUAUUUUUUAUUUAUAAAAAUUAUUUUUAGAGAAUAACGAUUAAAUAAUAUUAAAAAAAUUUAAAAACAGUUUUUUAUUUUUAAAAGCAAAAAACUAUUUUUAAAUCAAAUAACCAAACAAGCUUUUAAUUAUCUUUUUUUUUAUUUUAUUAUUCAUUUCUUUGGAUAAUUAGGAAAAAAUUAACAUCAACAAUUAUCAAAACCUAAUUAAAUUUUAAACGAGAUAAUAAAAUGAUCAAAAAACAAAGUCGCACUUAUUUUUCCACUUCAUCUUAUCUGAAAAUUUUUGUUCAAUUAUUCCGAUAGUAAAAUUUUUUGAAAAUAUUAAAUAUUUUGACAAAAGUAGUUGAAAUUAACUGCUUUAUUCAUUUUAAUAAUAUUCAUUAAAAAAAUUUAAAAAAAAAAUCAAACAUUCGGAGUCCAAGGGCCGAUAACUUGAGUCCUGUGAUUCAAUAUUUAUGAAAUCGGUUCUAAUAUAAUAGACGUUUAUCGAAUCAAAUGAAAAAGACAUUAUCGAGAAAAAGACGAGUUUGGAUUCUAUAAUUGAAAAAUGUUUUUCAAAAUGUGUUUUGUAAAACACUUUGCUUUCCACGAAAGUAAGAUCUUGAGUUUGAAAGUGAAACACGCAUGCCGACUAUAUUGUGCCAACCAUGGUCACGUGGGUCCACGUGACGCUUAAGUGGAGGUCAUGCUCUGAUGUGACGCCAAUUUAUUUUGUAAAAGCGAGAUUACCCAACAUAUAAUUGACUUUCCGUUUUACAAUGAUUUUAAUAAAUAUUUUUAACACUUAAAAAUAUUUUAUCAUUCAAAUAUUAAAAAUAUUUUUAAAAAUUUCUAUUAAAUAUAUUAUAAAUUGAAUUAGAAUGGAAUUAAAUACAUCCCCUAAUACUUUAAAAUUAAAAUUUUGAGGGAAAAUGAAAAUGACAUAAAAUAGAAAGAAAAAUAAGAGGGAAGAAAAAAUAUAUUUAAAUUUAAUAAAUUAUUUUUAUAUAUUAUUUAAAACUCGUUUCACUUAUUUUUAAUAUUUAUGUAUGAUAUUAAAUAAUUUGAAAAUGUAUAAAUUUUUAAUUAAUUUUUAUUUUUUCGUAUCAUAAAAAAAUUAUUUCACUAAAAAAAAAUUACACUUUUUGAAAUUCGUAAUCUUUUUCAAUUUAUUAAUUAUUGAAGGACAAUAAUGUUACUACCUUUAAAAUACAUUUAGAGUCCUUUGAGAUUGCCUAAUAUUGAGAUGUAGCUUUUUGUAGAAUACAAGAUUACCUAACAUGAAGGGACAUUUCAAAAUUAGAGUAAAAUAUGAUGAAAUAGGCUAAAAAAAUAUUAUAAAAUUCACUUAAAACCCCUUUUAAUAGAGAAUAAUUUUUUCCCCCAAAUUUAGCAUAUGAGACUUAUGUUAUUGCUUCCAAAAUACGGUGAAAACCCAUAACCUUGCAAGCUCAUGUCAUUAUUGCAUGUUUUUACUUCAAGUAUUUUUAAUUGAAGUGUUUUCUAUUUGAGUGUUUUUAUAAUAAUUAUUUAUCAAGUGUCUUUUUAGAAUAUUAUAAGUGAAUUUUUAGAUUUUUUAAAAGUGUUUCAUAAAUUUUGUCAAAUACUUUAUUUAUCUUUAAAAGCACUUCUCAACUUAAAUAUGUUUUUUAAAAACAUUACUGUACUCUUAAUAUUAUUGGAUGACUUUUUUUAUAGCAAACAAUGAGAAUACUUAUCAAGAAUAACUUAAAAUUGACAUAUCUUUAAGCAAAAUUAGGUCUUCACAUCAAAUAAGUAAAAUUGACAAUUAAAUAAAUGAUCUAAAGUCAGAUGAAAUAUGCAUUCCAAUUCACACCUACCUCGAUGUUAUGCUAAAAUGUGAGAAGAUGUAUUUGGCAACCACGUGAUUAAAAUUCUUUUAUCAAAGGGUGUUGUAAACAACAUUGUUGGAUAUCUAACCAUCCUUCAUAUGAUAAAAGCAAAUUACAUUUAGGUUUUGAUGGUGAAAUAUUUUAAAAAAUAGUUAUUUUGUUUUAAAAAAUUGUUAUAUAAUAUUUUGUAUAAUAAAAGUCAUUUGCUAACUUGAAAUGGUUUCAACAUAUUUUUUUAUAUUUUAAAAAAUAAGAAUAACUUUUAUAUGAAUAUUUAUUUUCAAUUAUUUUUCAUAUUUUUGUAAUAAAUUUUUUAAAUAAUCAUUAAAAAAUAAACAAAAACAAUCAAGAACAAGUAAAUAUAUGCUUGCCAUAAAUACCUUAUUGUUUGUUUUCUAAUAAUCGAAAUUGUUUUUUUUAUUCUUUUCUUUUAAAAAUAUGAAAUUAUUUUUUAAAACUUCCUAACCUGUCCUUAUAUCAAAACUAUAUUAAAAUAAAAUGAGACGAUUCAAAGAAUACUCCAAAAUACAUUGAAAAAGCUUUACUUUAAGAGCAUCAAAAGCAAGUAUCAUUGCAAAUCUAACUAUGGCUACCUUGAUAAAAGAUAGAAAUUACAAUUAAAAGUCCAUUUGAUCAUGAUUUUAGCAUGUGUUUUUAGUCUAUAAAAUGUUUUUGAAAAAAAAACUAAGUAUUUGAUAAAAUUUAAGAAACAAUUUUAAAAAUCUAAAAAAUCAUUUAUAAUAUUUUUUAAAGAAACACUUGAUAGAUGAUUCUCCUAAAAACACUUUCAUUAAAAAUACUUUUAGAGUGUAUUUAACAAUAAUUUUAUAAAAUAUUUCUAAUAUUUUUAAUAUGUUAAAAUUUUUAUCUCACAAGUAUAAAAAAUGUUAUAAGAAACUUAUUCUUAGUAAAAAUAUUGUCAAUCACGGUUGUGGACCCCGCAUUUUCGGCUCAAUGCGUUUCCCACUCGAUGGUGAGCUCGAUUUUUAUUUUGAAAAUUAUGAUUUUUAUUGAUUAUUUGAAAAUGACUUGGAGUCGCCACUUAUUUUUGUUUUAUUUUUAAAGGGUAAACAAAAUAAGAAAGAAAAACCCUAAGUGUGACUCCUUAGUUUGGAAAAAAUGGUCUGCGAAAAACCGGAUCGGGUUCGGGGUCAGGUUACUUAUCGGGAAGGUACGGUAAAGACCGUAGCACCCCUCUAAGCCCCUAAAGUCGGGUCUCUACUAAUAAAAUGAAGCAAUCAUGGCAGUGGACGAUGAAAUCAAUGGAUACUCAGAGUGAUCAUGCACACGUGAGAAUCUAAACAUGCAUGCAGAAAAUGACCAGAGUGGAUGUGGAUGCGUACCUGGGCAGUGAUCCAUAAAGCGCUAUCAAGAAGUGAGGUUAGUGCACAAUUAAGGAAUAAUUCCGAGCAUGUCAUAGAGCAGAAUAACAUCAAUCACGCAUGACAAUUAAAUCAAAGAAACAAUCAGUCAAUCAUAAGGAAAACAUAUAUGUUGGGCCCCCACCAAAGCCCAUUUAUUUUGCAUGAAUUAAUAUCACAGAUUCCAUUAUUCUGGAAUUAUGAAAAUUGCAUUCACACUUAUGUAAAACCAAGGAAAACAUAAGGUUUGAGAAACGGAAUAGAAUUAAAAUUGUUCACGUGAAAAUCGGAUUUUUGGAAUUUAUUUGAAAAUUGGAGCUUUGGGAAUUAAAUUUGAAAAUUGGAAUUUUGGGAAUUAAAUUUAAGAAUUGGAAUUUUGGGAAUUAAAUUUGAAAUAAAUUAGAAUUUUGGAAAUUGAAAAUUAAGUUUGAAAGUCGAAAAAUUAGAAUUUAAGAAAUUGGGAAUUGGGAAUUGAAUUUGGAAAUCAGAAUUUGUUUGAAAGAUUUAUUUUAAGAUGACAUUUUAGAAAUUAAAUUUGGGUAUUAGAAUUUUUGAAAAAUUAAUUUGAAGAUUGAAGUGAUUAAAAAAACUGAAAUUUUGAAAGUUGUUUUAAGAAUUCAAUUUGUGAAAACGUGUUCGCCAAAAAGCAAAAGAAAGAAAAAUGGACAUAAAUAUUCAAACCCACCAAAAAGUCUUCUGCCAUGUUAUGAUUUCCAUGCAAGAAAGGAAUAAUAAAAAGAUAUAUAUAAAUGGCUUUGAGAGCUUUUCUCAAAGUAAAAAAAUAGGCACGGACCCAAAUGCCUUGCUAGUGAAACAAUUUGAAUUAAAAACUUUUAAAAAGCAUCCCAUUGUCUUAUAAUCCCCCAGCCGCCCAAUUCUUUUCUCUCUCGGAAAGGCUCCUCCCAAGCACAACUUUUUUUUUCGUCUCCCUCAGACUGUCUCUAUCUCCCUUUUCUUUGUUUUUCUCCUCUCCAGAUAUCACCCUCUCCCCUUUCAGCUUUGGUUUUUUUUUCUUUCUAAAAAUCCGGACCUCCACUCUCUUCCUCUGAAAAAAAUCCCUUCUUUUCCAAAACCUCAGAUCCUUAAACGCCAGCCUCAAAACGCCCUCAAAAUAAUCUUCCCCUCUUUCCUUUUCUCUUUUUCCAGAUUUCUUCCUCCUCAAAUCUCCCAACUGCUGCUCGUCUUCAAAAACCCUUUCCCCUUGAGGAUACAAAUGACUAUCGAGAACAGAGUAUAAACGAGAAGGGAGCAAGCAUAAAAAGGAAAAAUAAAACAAAGCAUCCAAUGAACGGGUGGGAAGAAUGAGAUGAAAACGAGAUCCAAGAAUGUGACUCAGACGCAAAUAGGAAAGCUAUGAGGAAUUAAAUCACUCUCAAUCAAGUAGCAUAUGAAGAAAAAAGCAUCGUUCAUUCAUAUCACAAUCACCAUAAUACUAGUGAAAUCAACCACAAUAGAUAUGUAGUCUAGUACGCGCACCUGAAAAAAAAACUUCCCUUCCAACGGGACUUAUGUAUCCAGAUUCUCUACUUCUUCUUCCCCCUCUGUAGCCUCCUUUCCCCUAGAUCACAAUCUCUCUCUGUUCUCCCUUUUUUUUUUUAGCCGUCGCCUGCCCUUCUGCAACCCGCCUAAUGAAAAAAAAACAAUGUUUCCCCCUCAAAACCCAAAAGAACUCCCCCCGAAAACCCACUCUUCUAUCUCUUUUCUAUCUCUUUCUCUCCAGCCGAUUCCUACCUUCUCGGGCAAGCCAUUACCUGCUUCCCUGUUCAUCUCUCAGCAGGUAUGGGUUCCUCAAACUCCAACAUGACAUCCCUUGCAGCUGGUCCCACGCAUGGAGAGGGGUCCCCUACACACCUCUCGGGUGCUGCCAGCCCCUCUAAUAUAUAUAAAAAAACUAAAUACCCCUUGGCUCUUCAAAGGGGUCUACAACGGUAUUAAGUUAAAAAUAUGUUUGGCUCAAAAUUUUGAAAUCAUUCGCAGAAAACCAUGAGGGGUAUUGUUGUAAAUUUAACAAUCCCCUUUCUUAACACGAGGAUCCUAUAACUUUAUCGUUAAUUCCUUUUGUUAGACUGGAUUUAUGACAAGAACUAAACAUUUUUUUUUACGGUAAUCUCCAGGGAUUACGUAGAGGUUUAAAAACUAUUUUUUUUAUUCAAGCUCUUUACUUUUAAAAAUAGAAAGUUAAAGUACACUGAAAUAUCAAAAUAAAAACAACACAAAUAUUUAUAAAUAUUUUGAAUAAUUAUUUCAAAAAUAUAUUUUUAUAAACUACAAAACUAUUGUUUCUCAUGUUUUAAAUAUUUUCAUUUUAAUUUUUUUUAAUCAGACAAGGAGUGAAUUCACGAGAGAAAUAAAAAAUAAAGAAUUUAAAAAAUCCACCUAAGCAGGAACAAAGGUUCUAUGAAACAUUAAAAUAAUAAUAAAAAACGGAAAGUCCAUCUCAGAGUUGAGCUGUCCUGAAUUUUUUAUUGCUGAGUGGAUAAACUUUAAGUGUACUUGUCUGAUGACACGUCUUCAUAGUUUUUACCUUUCUCCACUCUAUUUAAACUUUUGUAAUAAUUUUUAUGAAUUUAAAAAUAUUUGUGUAGUAUUUCUUUUGGUGCGGAAUAUCCAUUGAAAGAGAUUUGGGAAUAGGCGAAUCACUUCUACCAUUAGACACAUCAAACAAGUUGAUUGCGACAAGUGGGGUGAGACCAAUUAGAGGCCCCGAACCAAACCCAUGCUACUAUGGUUGGUGCUCUUCGAGCUGUCCUCUCCAUUAUUUGGCCCCACGGUUCCGAGGGCCAAUAUCACAUGAGUGGAAAAACAAUUAUUGGGUUAAGUAACCCCACAAAAUAUCUACAAUAAUUACCAAAUAUUAAGGGUAUGUUUGCUUACCGUAAAAUUUGAGGGAUAAAGAAAAAUCGCCGAAGUAAAGAAAAAGUGAAUGUAAAUAAAAUAUGAAUUUAAGUUAUACGUAGUUGUCAAAUAAUAUUAAGGAAUGAGAAAAAAUGAUUAUUGAAAAUAAUUUUUUCAUGUGUUGACAAUUUAUGAGAAUUAUUAAAGAAAAUAAGAUGUAAUUAAAAUUAGUUUAAAAUUUAUAUAUUUUUAAAUUAUUUAAUUUUUAUAUUGUUGAGUUAAAAUAAGUAAAAUGCAUUUAAAGUAAUAUAUAAAAAUAAUUUAUUAAUUUUAAAUUUAUAUUUUAUUUUUCUUUCCUUUAUAUUUUCCCUCAAUUUUUUUUGAAAUCAAACAUAAUAUUAAAGUUAAUAAAUUAUUUUUACAGUUAUUUCAAACUCAUUUGAUUUAUUUUAACUUAUUAAUAUAAAGAUGAAAUAAUUUGAAAAUAUAUAAAAUUUUAAUUAAUUUUAAUUAUAUUUAAUUUAUUUUGCAUUUUCACAUGACAACCAAAUAUGAAAAAAUAAUUUUUAAAUAUUUUUUUCUUUAAUUACUUUGUUGGAACGAAGCAUAACGUAAAAUUAUCUUUAAAUGAAUUUAACUCGAUGAAUUUUCCUCCUUUAUUAUGUACUCUAUAUUAAUGUUGCUUUUGAAAUUGAACUUUAAGUAAAAUAUUAUUUUUAGACUUUUUUAAUAUAAACAGUUUUUUUUUUCCUUUUGUUUGAAAUUUAAAGAAUAAAAGCGUGGAUUAGGUUUUUGAUGUAAUUUAAACAUAUUCAAAUUUCAAAUAACAAAAACAAAUAAAUAGUGUUUGAAAAACUAGAUGGUUGCCCAAACUUCACAUUAGAUCCAUAAGUACAUUAAUUGCAUAAUUAUUCAAAAUAAAUUGGUAUUAGUAAUUUGUAAGAAAUUAUUAAAGAAAAAUAGUUUUCCUAGAUUAUUUUCCACCAAGUUAUUUAUGAGCAUGUUUGGAAGUGAUUUUAUAAAGUAUUUUUAGUGUUUUUAGCACUUGAAUGAUAAAAAUUGUUAAGUAUUAGAAAUAUUAAGAACAUGUUUGUUAGUAAUUAUAAAAAAUGCUUUUAAUAUUUAUAAUAUUUGAUUUUUUAAUUAUUUAAGUGUUAAAAAUAUUAGAAAUAUUUUAUAAAAUCAUUUCCAAACGUAUUCUAAAAGUAUUUCCUCAAAUCACUACCAAAUGAAUCUUAUAUUUAUGUAUAAUAAAAAGAUUUUAAAAGUAUUUGUCUUUCUUUUAAUUAUUACUCAAAAUAUUUUGUAAACAAAUAAAUAAAAAUAUUUUAAAUUUAUUUCGAAAAAUAAAUUAUUUUUAAAAUAAAUUAUAAAGAAAUUGUUUUAUACUAUAAGUAUAGCAAAUAUGUGUUUUAAGUUAAAAAAAACUAUUCUUUAUUUUCAGAAAUACUUGUAUCGACAACAUUUUUUUAUUUACGUUUGAUAGAAAAUAGUUUUUGAAAAUUUAUUAGGAAAUUGAAUAAUUUUUAAAAAUUAAUUUAAGGUGAAUUAUUAGUAAGCUGCCAUACUUGCAUGGAGACUAGGUUUAAAAAAAUAUAAUUUAUAUUUCAAUUUUCAAAUAAAAAUUUGAUCCUGAAAAUAAUUUUAAAAAUGAUUUUCUGAUAACUGUUUUUGUAUCAAACAACCUUAUAUUUCCAUCAAGAAAAAACAUACCUAUAUUACAUGCCUAUAUUUUCGUUAAAAAAAAACCUAGAAAAAAAAUUAUUUUUACUCUUAGAAAGGAAAAAAAAAAAAUCUUUAAGACAAAGCACAUGUUGAAAGUGGCCCGCAUGGAGAGGGAAAGGGCAAGAAAGAGUAUGCAGAUCAAAGGGGAUGACUUGGACAAAAAGACCAAAUUCAUGGUUAUUGCCCUUUGUAUUUUGGUCACAGAUCUCCAAAUCUAGCGCAAAAAUUUCUAUGCCAACACGGGUGUUUUCAGUUCUAUCCAAACAUGGCCCACACCGAAGCACUUUUCGCCUUUUUCCCCCUUUUGCAGAUGAGCGUGAAUCAUCUUCUAAGGAAUCCCUAAAUAAGCCACACCAAUACACCGUCUUUUUCUCAUAGAAUCUGUUCUCGUUUCUCUCUCUUUUUCUCCGUUCUUAUUCGUUCUUUUAUUUCUUGCAUCGUCGCUAGUUUUUGUUUCUUUAUCUGUUCUCUUCAUCAUUUCAGCUACAGAGCGCCUUUCCACCCCAAUUAGGUCAACCCGGUUAUUGAGGAAUUGGUGCAAUUUCGAAGGAAAAGGGCCGAUUUUGGUACCUGGGUUUGUGUGUUUCCAGCUUUCUGUAAGUGGGUUUUGGUUUAAUCGUUGUUUUGUUCGUCGAUUUUCUCUCAAUUUCGGAGGUGGAGAAUCGAUUUUGGCUUCUGGGUUUGCGAAAUUCUGGGUAUGUGCAAGUGGGUUUUCGUUUUGGAGGUCUGAUUUAGGUUAAUUUUCGAGAAAGAGAAUUGGUUUUGGUAUCUGAAUUUGUCUAAUUUUUGUUAUCUGCUAGUGGGCUUUGGUUUUGGAGGUUCUUCACAAAUUGCUGGAAUACUCAGGGAAAAGAACCGAAUUUGUUAUGUGGUUUUGUGUAAAUUUUGGGUGUCUGCAGAUGGUUCUAGGUUAUGGGAUUUGGAAGCGAAUUUCAUGGGGAAACUAGCUUUUGUAUUUGGGGUUUUGUGUUGAACUGAGGGUGAUAUAUAAAGAGAAAGAAUGAAGAGAGGGAAAGACGAGGAAAAGAUCAUGGGGCCUAUGUUCCCAAGGCUUCAUGUUAAUGAUACAGAGAAAGGAGGGCCAAGAGCACCUCCAAGAAACAAGAUGGCUCUCUAUGAACAGCUUAGUGUACCAUCUCAGAGGUGCAAUCCUGGUGUCAUGCCUCUCAAGUCUAACAACGCUAGCAACUUGGUGCCUCCGGCGUCAUCGAGUCAGGUAACUUUGAGGAUUUCAUGGUUAUAUCUUCAUAUUCUUUGUCCAUUUUGUUAAGGCUUCUUAACUGGUUUAUGUUAUGAUGCGGUUGUUUUCUGUUUUUGAAGGAGAAGAUUGAGUUUUGUUCUGUCGUUUUGAUUGAUUUCAGUUUUAAUUAAUGGAUCGACAUGUGACCUAGAUUUCAUAUGAGGAUCAGAGGUUGUCUAAAGGGGAAAUUUAGGGAUUGUAUGGUUCUAGCCUUGACAUUUGCUAUAAUAUUGAUUUGCUUGUUCCGAAUAAAUAUUGGAUCUUUAUGUUCAUUCUAGGAUUUUGGGUAUCAAUUUUGCAUUUUUCUCAGGCUCAUUGCUCACUUACAUUGUUAAGCAGCUUCUGUGCAGCACAGUUAACCUUGCUUUUUAUUUGGGACCUCUCCCAAAUGGGACACCUAAAUCCAUACCCAAGAAUCAUUGCUCCUCAACCGAAGGAUAUUACUCCCUUAACUUAGUCUGGAAAAUUGAUCAGCAAUUGAUUUUGGCUUUCUUGUUAUUUAGAGUAUAUUUGGGACUAAUUCAGCUUAGUGUACAAAAUUUUUUAUGUUACAGUAAUUUUUAGUUGGCACUCUUUUUGGAAGUCAAUGGCAAGCAAAGCAACUGUUUUGAGGGGCAAGUUGUUUAUCUGUUUGUAUUUUAAUUUUUUAUUAGUUUGUUGGUGUGGUGGGGUCUGUAAAGCUCUUAACUGGAUUUGUGAUCGGCAAUAGUUGUCAUCUCUGUUGUAGUUCACAGAUGGGGUCUUGUUCUUGUUUUUCCUGCCUGUUCCUAUUUUACAAUAUUCUCUUUUGAUUUUUCUAAAGAAUUUUAUGACGGGACAAGAUCUGUCAGUUAAUGUUUUUAUUCAAAGAAGAAAUCUUAUUGUUGUUCUUGAUUGCUAUAGCAAUUUAUGGUUGCAGGGAAGUGGCCAUGAAAGAGGUGUGUUUUUUCCGCAUCACAUAUCUCCCUCAACUCCAACUCAUCUACCAGAGAAGCUUCAUGCUCGCCAUUCUGAUGCAGUGAUUUUGAACACUCCAUUGGCUCAAUUUGAGCAGAGAAAGAAGCAAGGAGAUGAAGAUGAUUUUAGAGUUCCUAUAUUUGUUCACUCAGGGACAGAAUUUCAUGGUAGAAACCAGAACAGCAUAGAUAGGGAAAUACUUACUCCCAGCAGCUCAACUUGUUUGGGUCAUUCAAUAAAUCUCCAAAAUGCUUGUGAGAAGGAACUAAAACAAACUAGCUCCAAUGGUCUUAGUGUGAGACAAGACAAGAGGAGCCAGGGUGAUGUGAAUCGGAAAGAUUAUGUGUCAAGUAGGGAGUACUCAGAAAAAUCUGCCUCAAAUCUGUCAACUAAAGAAAAAAUUGAUGAAUCUAUGAAGCAAGUCAAUAAACCUUCAAGUGAAGAUUUUCGGGAUCAAUCAUCAGCUAAUUUUAGCAGCUUACAUGAUACUGAUGGUUGUUUACUACAAGGGAAUAGAGCAGGGGCACAAUUAGGAGAACCUGAUCAUGUUGAUUGUGUUUCAGUUGAGACUGCAAGAGAUGCAUGGAACGCUUCUAGGGUAAGAAGUAGUUCAUAUUCAGGAGAUGGUCUUGGUAGUCCUAGUGAACCAGAUAAUGACGGUGCAUGUCGUGGAGACAAGACAUGUGGUACAUUACAAAAGGGAAAUGUAGACACAAAUGAUGACUUAUCUGAGACCUCCAUGGUGGAUUCUAUGUCAGGCUUGGAUAUAACACCUGAUGAUGUGGUAGGAAUAAUAGGUCAGAAACAUUUUUGGAAAGCGAGAAGAGCAAUUGUCAAGUAAGUUUCCAUACCCUUCUAUUAAUGGCUACUUCAUUGUGAUGCUUUUGGCUUAUCAUAAUUGAGGUUGCCUUGUGAAACUUUUCUUGGUAUACUGAAUGACAGUAUUGACUUAGUGAAAAAAAUGUCAUGGCUAGACUUAAGCUUCAGGGUACCUCAUUUUUUUUCCUUGUCAAAAUAUCCAUCUUUGUUAAUAGGUGAUCUUAACCUCUUGAUUUGACUGAUUUUAUUUGAGGUUGCCUUGUUAAAAUUUUCUUAAUAUACUCGAUGAUAAUAUCUACCUACAAAAAAAAUUAUUAUGGCUACAGACUUAAGCCUCGUGAUAUCUCUUUUUCUUUUAAAUAUCCAUGCUUGUCAAUAAGUACUUUGACUUUUUUGGGUUGCCUUGUGAAACUUUUGUGAGUUUACUGAAUAAUAGCAUCUAAUUAUUGAAAAACUUUCAAGGUCUCAGGCUUUAUCUUGAUGAUGCUUCAUUUUUUAAUAAUGGAAUAAUGUAUUAUAAAUGAGAAAAUUGCAGAAAUGUCUCAAUUGCCGCACAAAACAUGCAGAAACAAUUCAACCUUCAUAUUAAACAAGUAACAAAUUUUUUAUUAAUGGCAGGCUUUAGGACUGACAAGUAGUUACAAUCAAAUCAUGGAAAGUUACAUUACGAGCCAAUGCGCUUGCCCCCAAUUAACAGUCAAAUAUUUUUGAAAGAUGAAUGGCUAAUGUGUGUUUGGUACAAGGGUUUGAUGAAAUUAAACAAGUUGAAUAGAAACAGUGUUCUUGGGAAAUAUGAUUAGGUCCUUUUGGGGUAGUGAAAAACAGUUAAGAUAGAUGAUUGUAAGAGGCAUUUGCUAGGAACUUGGAAUAUUUUCUAUGUCUAUAUAGAUUGUAGCGCCAUGAUCCAUUUAGUGUGAAUUUUAGAAAGUGUUAAUUGCCUUGGAGGAACUGUGAUUGUUGUGGUGUAAAUUUUAGAAAGUGUGAUUGCCUUGAAGGAGCUGUGAUUGUUGUACUGGGAAAUGAUUAGGUAAUCUUAAUGAGUCUUUGGGAGCUGCAGAAGGUUUGUAUUUCUUGGGAUUGUUUCUUCCUCCUUUUCUCAGAAUUCAAAGCUGGAUUGGAUUGUUGAACAUCAUAUUAAAUAUUAUUACAAUAGGAGUAUAGAAUAUUUUAUCGUCUUGAGUAUAAGGGUUGUUAGUAUGGCUUGGGAGAGGAGAUCUCACGGUGUGGGGUCCUGCAGUCCCCUCAAAGGUGGCCGUUUUUUAAUUAUUGACAGCCCUUACAAAAUUUUAAUGAUCAAUCAUCUUCUAGCAGGGAGAUGGACUUCCCUUGUUGAGGUGCUUUGUGCUGGCAAACCAUGAGAAGAUGGAUCAUCUCUUCAUUUGGUGUCCUCUGCCCUUUUGGACGAACAAAAAGGGCAACAAAUUGUGAAGGAUAAUCCUUGGAGCUAUUUUUCCUUUUGGGAAGAGGAAUUUUGACAAUUUGAAAUUAUUUGGGGGACAUGGUGGCAAUGAGUAUGGUCUCAAUAGUAUCUUGAUGGCUUCUAAUUUGAGGAUUUUGUGGGGUUGAGAUUCAUACUCUUUUUUAUAUUUGUUCUUUAGAUUAUGAUUUGCCCCACCUGUACUCUACGUGCUGUAAAUUUUCAUAGUCGUUAAUGAAUUGAUUCUUUAAUUUUUUAAAGAAAUCUGUAAAAGACUCUAGAAAUGCAAAAAGAAAAAGAAUUUUGCUUUUAUCUUUCAAUCUGCUUCUUCUUGCAUUUAGCUUCCAUGUUUCCAUAUAAUUUGUUGUACUGAAUAUAACAUUUGAAAUACUUGCAAAAAUGAUUGUGGUUGGGAAAUAUGUCGAAGAUCUGGAUUUGUAAGCCAUAAAUUUUUUUAUGUUCAUCACUAGUGUAAUAGUAUUUCUAUGCCCAUAUUUUACUUUCUUGUGUUUGAUUAAAUCAUUUUCAUUACAAUCCUAAUGACAAUGGAGUGCAAUGACUGUAGCAUGUAGAGUUAGGGAGAGGUUUGAGGACUUGGAGACAUUUGAGAAGAUAGGUUGCUAUUUUGUGCUUUGUAGAUCCUGUUCCCACAUCUUCUUGAUUAGAAAAUGGUUUAGGUUUGCUGUCCGCACUAUUUCACCUGCAACAGAACCAAUAAAACAAAUUUAUUCAUUAGAUCACCCAAACAAGAACCUAAAUAGCUUUAUAAUAGAGGGAGGAUAACCCAAUGGAAGUUGGAGAAUCAAUUCAACCUAUUCAACCAUUUUCGAAGCUUCCGCAUGUGGUAGAUUUGGAUUGUAUGAUAGUCUUGUUAAAAUGAUACCAUAUAACGCCUGAUAGUGCAUGUGCCUGGUUGAUUAUCGCUCUACAUGCAGUUGUAUAUGCAUUGAAUUUACCAAUAUCAUGUGAUUUUUUUAAUUAAUUCCUGUUACUCUGCACAGUCAACAAAGAGUAUUUGCUGUACAAGUGUUCGAGUUGCACAGACUGAUAAAAGUAAGGCAGUUUCUGUCCACAGAUUCUAGAAUGAUCUGGCAUUAUUCCUGUAUAUAUCCUGUAGAUUUUGAAAAAUUCAGUUUGAACUUAAUCCUUCAUAUUCAAACAGGUUCAGAGAUUAAUUGCUGGAUCACCACAUCUUAUGGUCGAUGAGAGUGCUUAUUUGGGCAAACCAUCUUUAAAGAGCUCUCCUGCAAAGAAACUACCAUUGGAAUAUGUUGUAAAACCACCGCCAAAUAUGGUCAUGCACAAAGAUGAUUAUGAGAGGGCAAGCCAUCAAUUGGAAUGUUCUGCGGAAAAUGCAGUUGGGAAGACACAUCUUCCAUCUGUGAAAAAUGGUAAUCCACCUUCAAAUUAUGGGCCUUAUAUAGGAAAUCCACCACCAGCACCUGCGCCCACUGAUAGCAAAAUGGGUCCUUGGUGUUACCCUCAACCUCCUGGGCAUCAAUGGUUGGUUCCUGUAAUGAGCCCUUCUGAAGGACUUGUGUACAAGCCGUAUCCUGGCCCUGGAUUCAUGAGCACAGUUUGUGGAGGAUGUGGACCAAUGGGGUCAGCUCCCAUGACAGGUAGCUUCAUCAAUCCAGCAUAUGGGGUUCCAUCAUCUCAUCAUCAUCAAGGAAUCGGUGUUCAUCCUGGUACUCCUCCCAUUGGUCAUGGUUAUUUUCCCCCAUAUGGCAUGUCAGUGAUGAACCACCCAACCAUCUCAGGUUCAGCUGUUGAACAAAUGAAUCGGUUUGCUGGACAUGGUUCACUCAGUCAAAGUGGUCAGUUAUCAGGUGGAGGAGCCAGCUUUAACAUGCAACAUCAGAACUCAUGUAAUGUGCCAACCCCAAAGAGAGCUAUUCCACAAGGUGUGAAGUUUCCAAUGUCGAAGGACAGUGAGUUCCAAGGAAGCACAGCCAGUAGUCCAAGUGAGAGAGAGCAACAAGUUGGGACAGGUGACACUGCUGAAGGAAGAGACCCGCUUCCUCUUUUUCCUAUGGCUCCUGCUGCCAUUCCAGCAGGAGAUCCCCAGCCUAAUGGUACUGAUCAGCCAACACGAGUGAUCAGAGUUGUACCUCACAACCCUAGAUCUGCAACAGAGUCAGCUGCUAGAAUUUUCCAGUCCAUACAAGACGAGAGAAAACAGUUGGACUCUACUUAGUUCAUAAUGUGGCAUAAAAUUAUGAAUCUCAUUCGGUGAAUCAUCUUGUGCUCAUCUAACUGUUGUAAUGUUUGGUUAUCUUCUCUGUACUCCUUUUUGGCAUGAUAUCUUGUAACGGGAUUUUCAUUUUAUGAUCUGAUUAUAGGUUAUUCAUAUGUAGAUAUGUUUCCUUGAAGAUCAUAUGAAAUCAAUGUUAUAUCAAUAUAUUGUCCUUCCUGUUUUCGGUACCCAGUUGGUUUUAGGCAGAGCGUGCAUUAGUCACUGCUUGAUUUAGGAAAAGGGUUUCUUUUUUCAACACUCGUCUGUUAUCUAUGUAUCUUCAAUUGACCUCUACCAUUUAACAGCGACUCUAACCCCAGUGGGUUGUCAGGUUUUGCAAUGAUGGAAAGAUUGCUGUAUGCUGUAGCCAGUCUCUGUACAAGAAGUUCGAAGGAAAAGGUCUGCAACUCAAGGGAUUGUUCAGGAAGAGACCUUCCACUCCAAAUUGGUUUUUUUGUUUUCUAUGUUUCUUAAAGGAUUCUAGUGGGAGAAUGGAGAGCCAUGAUCAUCUCCCAUUGCUGAUUUUUCUCUGCCUAGUUGGUCGAGAGACCAAGAUUUGCUUCUGGUUGUCCUGGAAUCAAAUCAUUGAUAUCCACUUGACAACCCUCAAUACAUGAUCAUCUCUUUCAAAAUUUCAUCUGAUGUCCUUACUGAGAGUUGUUGUAUGGAUCCACUCCCUUCUCAGAAUGCAUUUUGUUCAUGGAGGUUGAUGCUCUGUCAAUGUAGUGGUCCAUUUUACGGGCUUUUGCCUGGUUCGAAAAGGAAGAUACCACGCCCGGCUGAUUUGGAAUAUGGGUUUGUGACUUUACAUAAGAGGGUCGUCGUACUUCUAGCCUUCUAGGAUUAGGACAUCCUUCUAACAAAACUCCAAAAUUCAGAAUUCUCAAACUCAACCUUCACUUUAUUCAUCAUCACUUUGGAUUUGAUACUGAUGCUAUUCAUUUACAGUCAAGCCACCCUCCAGACCCCGCACAGUAUAAAAACCAGCCCCAGUCAGCAGACACUUCUCCCUCAUUCUCGUCAUAGCAAUUUUUGUUCGUUAUAUUUGGCACCAGAAACCAUAGUAUUCUAGUGAAAAACUUGUCAUCUAUAAAUUGGAUACCUCUGAUGAAACUGGCCCUCAGGUUACCCAUCGUAAGGAAAUGACCGCUACCCAUGUCUGUCUGCGUGUGUUGCCCAUGUGCUCCCAUGUGAGCUGAGUUUAUGACCUUGCCUCCCCAAGCCAACGCCUCGGCCCGGUGACUCAAGCUGGUGAACAGGGUGGUUGUCCAGUAUCCCACUGGCUCUGCUUGCACCAGGAGCCACCAAUUUGUACUCUCCUUGUCCUCAAACAUUCCUCAAAACCCGAAAAAAUGACAAACAUGGUUGCAACAAUUGGAAGCAGAUGAAUACGUGGUACAUUGCCAGAAAUAUGGCGAAGAGAAGGACUUUCUGUUUGUCAAGUCGUUAGUAAACUGAGGCCCCUGUCUCCUUCCCAAUGUAGGUGAACAAAGCCAGGGCAUUGAAAAUUAUAGCAGCCUGCGUUGUUGCCGCCCUGAACACCCACAAACCAUUCCCAAGAAGAAUACAUGGUAGUCCCAACUUACAGUCCAAAAAAGGAAAUUCUUGUAUGAUUGUUUGAUAUCUCGCCCAUUGUAUUUAUAUUUUAAAUUUCUAUCUGAGGCAUAAUCUUCAUGAUGUAGAAUAUUUAUGAAGAUAAUUUUAAAUAGCUGAUUGGAAGGGGAUUCCAAGAGGAUUCUGAGUGGGGUUAAGAAUCAUUUCAAAAUGAUUGGAAGGAUUUCUUUACAAAAAUAAGUCAAGAGAAAACUGAUUUUUAUUUUUGAGUUUCCAAUUGGAUUUUUCAAAACCCGACCUUUCUCGGAUUUCCAUCACAAACAAAUUCCCAAUGAUCAGAAAGGUAAUCCUCAUCGUCAUCUCCAAUUACCAUAUCAUCAUUUUCUAAAAAGUAUUAAAAAAAGGAAAAAUUGUUAAGAAAAAUGAUUUUUAUUUGGUGUACCAAAAUAUUAAAUAAAAUCAUAUACAAUUAAAAUUAUUUAAAAAAAUAAUAUAUUUUUAAAUUAUUUAAUCUAUGAAAUAUGAAAAAUAAGUUAAAUAAAUUUAAAAUCAUAAUUUAAAAUAAUUUAUUAACUUUAAAUCUUUUUUUUUUUUUUUUUUUCUUGUAUUCUUUCUCUUUAUUUAUUUUUUUCACACAUUUUCUUUCAAAUUUUCUAAAAACCAAACAUAAGAUUAACAAAUUAGAAUUUGACUUGUAUUUUAUGGUUUUUAAGGGAGGAAGAUUAAAAGCAGAUUCCUUGUAGAUAUUAACACAAUCAAUAUGCAUCAAAACAAGACUAAUGGAUAUUGAUGUGAAGAAGGUAAUGAAAAUUCCCAUAUAUGUUGACCAUUGAAAAUUCAAAUCACUUCCUAAGUAAAGAAGUUAAAAGUUUUGAUUUUGUUGAUUAUAAAAAUAAUCCUAUAUUUAUUAGUUUAUUAAAUUAGAUUUCUUUUUUUAGAAGUUAAUCAUGUCUAUAAAUGGGAUACAAGAAAGUGUCGAGUGAUAUGCCAAAGUUUUAAUAUUUAAAAAUGAUGAAAUAAAAUGGAAAAACUUUUUAAAAGACUUUUAAAAAUUGAUUGUAAAAGUGAAAAAGUAAUGAUUGGGUUGGUAAAUGGGCAAGCGACUAAUGAUUCAAAUGACUAAUGAUCAAAAAUCCAAAAACCAAAAUGAGAGACAUUGCUUUAUUCAAAGUAGAUGAAAGAGUUCUCAAUACCUUUCAACUGCAAAUACAAUAACAACUAUGAAAUUCAAUCCUCAACAAUGACCAGACCCUCCAAAAAAUAAUCGUGGUUCGUCCCCCGGUCCGCUCAGAGCAUUAAAGGUAUUAUAGCAUUGAAGCUCAGAUACAUAAGUUUCUUUAUCUCCCGGAUACUUCCAUUGAAGAGAAAAAUCCAUGUUCCUAAUGCGAGCAACAUAGGAUGCAAUGCCAUAGAGGCUAGUUGGAAAAGCUCCACUCCCCAUUUGUGUUGUGGUGUGAUUGGCCUGAGAGUUCAACACCCUUGAGCUAUAAACUUCUCCUCCCCAUUCAGCCACUAUGGCACUGAAGUUUAAAUUUUGAAAAAGGGUGCCUGGCCAAUACCCUACUUUGGUCUCGGAUCCGUAGUCUAACCACCAGUUAGAAGUGACCGGAUCCUGCAUUCAAAUAAUUGAUUGUAACCACUCACACCAUAUUAAGCCAAUGAGAACUUAAACUACUGUUGGAUUGGGUUUAAAGAUCAUCCAAACCUUUUAUAACAUUUGACAUUAUACUUCGUGACUAAGUUUAAAGAGCUAUUAUUUGAAUCAUCUCUUUUUAGACUUAAGAGCGACAUUGUUCCACCCUAACAUAUGUCAAGUUAUGAAAAAAGCUAUUACCAUAUAAAUGCUAACACCGAUCUCGUAUUGCGGUCCCGAUGCAACCGACACGGGGUCCAAAGCCGUGCCAAAUGAUAUUUUGUUGUUAGUUUGCACAAACCCUGCACAGGUGAGGUCAAAGCAACCUGUAGUAUGAUAUGCAUCACUCUACAAAAAAAAUUCCAAAACAAGAAAGAAUGGAAUAAGUAGUAAGCACAACUUUAUUGCUUGGAACUUGUUCUUCUCAUUUUGUUAGCAGUAGCUUACAGUCCAGUGUAUGAACGAUCGAGGCUGAUCAUUGCCGUAUAAGGCCGGGUACACCUGAAAAACAAAAAAGAUAUUAGAUUUUUUAUUUUUUUUUCAAUUUUGGUAUUGGAUAUGUAUAUUAAUUUUGACUAACCACCCAUCCUGAUUCCACACUAUCAUAAUUUGACAGGUUGCCGCUCUUCAGCCAAAUUUGACCACUACUGUAAUCAUCAGGUAAAUCAACUGUUGGCUUCCAGACAUUAAUCGCCCCGCUCGCUCCUAAAAAUUGGUAUUCAUAGGAAAGUAGGACCGCUUUCUGAUUCAAGAAAGAUCAUAAAAUGUUCGAAGUUAGAUUAUAUAAACAACCCGGGACCUCUAGUUAAUCAAAGCUCUGAUACCAUGUUGAGUUACCAAUUAAUCUAAAAGCUUAAACUGUGCUUACAGAUCGAUUGGUUUCGGGACCGACUGGGACAUCUGUGCCGUUAGGACCUACUGAUUUGUCCGGUUCAAUAGUAUUUUCUUGGAGAGGAUGGGAAGGGGGCUUCCUCCCAAAGUGUUGAAGAGAAGCAGCUCUCAACAGGUCCUUUUUUUGGAUUCUACGAAUGGGAAUUGUUCCCUCCGGACAACUUCCACUUCUUUGCCAAAUCUGUUUCACCUCAGACCCUCCAGUUUUGGAAGACUCCUUCUUCAUUGCUGGAGACACCCCUUCUGGGACAUAUUUGGGUGCCAUCUACAUUUUCUCAAGAAACAAACAGGUAACAAAUGAGAUUAUCAAGUUAGAAUAAUAAAGCAGGGAAAGGAGCAAUGACAGAGACAAACCUGAAUAAUGUGCUUUUUCAGUGCAGGAUGAUCUAAAGCGGGUUGCUUGUGAAUGUCAACACAGUCGAUAAUAUCUCCAUCUUCACUCUACAACCAACCAUGAAAUUAAUUUUCUAUUCAUACCAUAAACCAGAAAUUUCUCUGUCCGAUUUUCAUGCUAAAUAUCGAAUCUUCUAUUGAAAGCUCCAUAAAAGUUCUGACCAAGAUAUCGUCUUAUGCAGAUUAGAUUGCAACUAUAGUUGAACCGACAUGAUCGGUUAGAUUGCUUGAGGUUGGUUCGAUUUAAUUUAGAUGAUAAAUUGGAUGCAUAUUAAUAUAAGCUUCGACUGCAAUUUAUUUUUAAAAAUAACUUAAAUUUGAAGUUUAAAAUAUGUUUAUAAUUCUUAAUAAAAAAUAUAAAUUUGAUUGAGUUGGAUUGGUUUACCGGACUUUCACUUAUACACGCUAAAGUCAAGUUACUAACUCGGUUGAUGAGAGGAUUGGAAGAUGAUGAUAGAAAAGAUACCUGAAUGCUCUUGACUGCAGGCUUGUUUAGAAGCUUCAAUUUUCUGUCAAUUUCCAUUUCCAUGGAGGCUUUUCUUUCUUUGGACAUCCCGUACACUCCAUUACUAAAAACAAUCAAACCUAUUCCCAACAAAAGAAACACAUUUUCCAUUCCCAACCAAGAAGAAGAAGAAACCCUUUUGCCCAUUCUCUCUCUCUCUCUCUCUCUCUCUCUCUCUCUCAGGCUCAUUAGCAACAAUAUAUACAGUCAACCUGCAUGAAUCUUUCUCUGAAUGCCAAAUGAUAUACUUCCAUUUGCACACGAGCAUAAAAGGAAUAUGAAAAUACUCAGAUAGAAAGUCAAAUUUUUGGUAAAUGAUACAAAAGGAAUACUUAAGGAUAGUUUUCUUGCAAAUCUUCCUUUUGUUUGCACACAUACAUCCUAUGCUCCAUAUUUUCUCAAUUGAGUAAAUCCUUAUUUUCUCUUUCCUUGCAUAUUAUCCUCUGAUGCCUAUGCCAUAUAUUGUCUUUCCAACUGCGUCUGCAAUGUAUACUAAACCAGCACUUUUUUUGGGGUUUCCUUUUAAAAUCUUUGACUAUAUUUCAUAAGGAAAAAAGUUGUUAUAUAAUAAAAGCAAGAAAAAUGUUACAGUAAACAACUCCAUUGAUCAUCUGCAAGUAUCCCUUCAUGGGCACAUGGGGUUCUUACCAGGCCCUCCAUAAUAGAAUUCAGGAUCGUCAAUAUAAUCUCCAACAUAAUAAACAUCAUAACACUCAUACUCGUCAGCAUAAGUAAAAACCCGCUCAGGGAAUUUCAAGGGAGCAAUAUUUUCUCAAACCCGCAUUCUUCUUACGCACCCUGAGCCAAAGAUCGGGCCAGGAAAUUUUCCACUUCCCAUGGCUGUUGCAGUGUGGGGAGGAGGAGAAUUCCCUAUCUUUGAGCUGUACACUUCACCUCCCCAUUCAACAGCUUCUGCCCCAUAACUUAGCAUCUUGAACAGCUUGUGAGGCCAAUACCCUAUGUUGAUUUUCCCUCCAUAUUGCACCCACCAGUUAUUUGUGUAUGGAUCCUAUCACCAAAAACAAGAUGAUAAGAAGAUAGUGUCAGUAAUUUAUGAUCAAACCCUCAAUCUUCAAUCAAGGAGAUUUAUCUUGACCUUAUAGAUAUAAAUUGUUAUUUGAUAAGGGAGCCCUCUGGGGACUGAGAUUGGAUAGAUUGCUGCACCGAGAGCAAUCUCACUACUGGUUUGAAUAAAACCCGGGCAGGUGAGAUCGAAACAACCUGUUGUCUUUGAAGCAUCAGCCUGAUAUAUACACGCAGAAAACAGAUAUCAACAUUUCAUUAUUAGGCCUAAUUUUAAGUUAAAGAUCAAAUUUAGGUGAGUGAUUCUAUGGUUGACAGUAGGCAGCUUACAGUCCAAUACACAAACAAUCGAGUCUUUCUGUCCCCGUAAACACUUGGAUUUACCUGAAAGGUAUUAAAAAAUUGUGAAUCUAGUAUAAGCUUUCAGUGUAAAAGACCACAGACAAAUACGGUCAAGGGGUCGGUUGGGAUAAUUUCCUGCUUUUGGCUUUAUCCAGGAGCAGAAGCUGAAGCCAAAGCCAAAGUCAUAAGUUUCAAAGUUCUAAAAAUUUUAUUAAACAUCAAAUAACUUCUUGCAUAAUGGGUGUAGAAUUAAGAGGAAUUGGAGAUAGGUUGAAGAGACUACUAACCGCCCAUCCGGAUUCAACACUCUCAUAAGCAUAAUAAGGCCCAUGCUUUAGGCAAACUUGAGAAGUACUGUACUCAUCAUCAGACUCAACAUAAGGGUUGAAAACUUGGAUAUCUCCUUUACCGCCUAAAUAAUUGAAGCCUUCUGUAAGCAAUACUGCCUUCUGAUUCAAGUUACAAUGAGUUAGGAACACACAGAAGGAACUGAAAAAGUAGUGAACUUCAUAUAUUGGCUUCUGACUAUAAUAUAUUCACAUGAAAAUGGAAUAACUAGGGUGCAUACCGAGUGAUUUGCUUGUUGAAGAUAUGAAUUUUCACUGUCAUUACCCAGUGUAAGCUCAUUGGUAAAUCCUGGUUGUUUCUUUCUUCCAUAUUCUCCAACUGAAUUUGAUUUUAGUAGGUCUUUCUUUUGGAUCCUUAGGACUGGGAUUGUUCCCUUAGGGCAGCUUCCACUUUUCUGCCAUAGCUGUGAUGUAACAGUCCUGGAAGACUCUCUUUUCCUGCCUCCAAGCUUUGCUGCUAUGGUUUCUGCCCUUGUCUCUGUUGUUGGAUCAUAACUAGGUGUCAUCUGAAUAAGAAAACCAAUGCAUUUGAAUCAAAAGAGGAUGCCAUAUUCAUUUAAAGAAGGAAUAACUAAGAAUUCUUUUAACGCAUACCUGGAUGGUGUGGUUCUUUAGAGCAGGAUGAUCAAAAGCUGGCUGCUUGUAAAUGUCAAUGCAGUCAAUGAUAUCCCCAUCUUCACUCUACAAGUAAUAUACUCUGAGAAUGGUUAGUGAUGCCAAACUCCGUGAACUUGUAUAAUGUAAAAACAGAGUUCUGUAACUUUCUAUCAAACCAAGCGCAUUGGCCCUAUUUCGGUAUUUCCCUCUAUCCCAUAGAUAUUCAAAGCACUACUCAAGUCAAGUCAAGUCAAGUCAAUAAAGUGUCCUGUAUUGCCAUUCCAUUCUAUCUAAACCAACUUUGGUAACUCACACUCUAAGGCAUAUAUGCAUUGCUAAAUUUUACCUUCUCCUUUUGUUUACCCAAAGAAUUCACUUCAUCCAAGCACUUUAGAUGAGAUACAUUCUAAUCUCAGCACCUCCUUUUAUCUGGAAAUGGGGGAGGAGUAUAGAACUAGUUCACCAAAUCCCCAACUUGGCCAGUCAAGUAACAUGUGUAAAACAGUUUUGUGAAAAAGGCGGUCUCGCAGAGGGCCGAUUCCUGGCUUUUAAGUUUUCACAUUAUGAUUGAGUGGUAGAGGCUCCUUAAAACAUUGCACCUUAGAGGCGUUUCAUCUUCUCAAUUCAAGAUUUACUAUGGGCUAUGAAGUAAAAGCAUUUCAGGAAUCAUCAAAUAAUAUUCGAAAAUGUGGCAGGAGAAAUGAUACCUGAAUGGUUUUCACUGCAUGCCUAUUGAGAGUAUCUACAUUCCUUCCAACUUCCAGAGACUUCUGUCCAGCGACUAAGUUACCCUCAACAACCCCAUAACUCACUCCCAUGAAAAUCAUUCCCAACAAAAUGCCCACACCUCUGAAUCCCAGCUCAAAACAACAAACCUUUUUAGCCAUUUCAUACAAUAUAUCUCACACCAAUCAACCCAUUUGAUCAUAAAAGCAUUCUACACAAAGAUGCAGGCAAACAAAUGUUUCUAACCCAGUGAAAAGCUUCUAGGCGCUAGAAUAUAACGAAAGUGAGAAAUGAAAUACACACAAAUUUCAUGAUUUACCUUCUUAUCAUCCAAAUUUCAUUUCCAUCUUAAUCAAAUUGUGUCACAGAUUAAUGAAGAAUACUAGCAGUUACAUGUGGAAAUGAUCAACAACUUACAGCUGGAUGAUAAUGUAGACCGAAGCCUGAAGUAUGAUCAUGCAGAAAACCGCAUCAAUCCUCUGUUCCAACUUCGACAUUCAUGCCUAUAUCAACAUUACCAAAAUGCCUUCUUCAAAAAAUGUGUUUGAUUCUAGCUUUUAUCAACUGAAAGCCUUCAAUACCUGGAAACUGCCCAGUUAAAAAUCGGUCCCCUCGAUUUAGCUUCAAUGACCUCAUUCCCAAAUUCUUGUUAAGCAAAAUAGGGAGAGAGUAAUUGAGAAUGAGGUAAAGGGGUGCUUGCUGUUAGAUUAAUUUUUGUAAUUAAUCUAUAAUUUGGGCCACACAUGUAAAUAAUUAAAAUGUGUGUGCUAUCAUUUAAUUAAGCCUAAAUAUAGUGAUCUAAUUAAUAAUUGAUUAAUUGGCUUAAGGGUAUAAUUGUCAUGAGAUUAUUGUGUAGAUACCAUUAGACAAUUAUUAUUUAUAUGAGGGGCAGAAAUAUAAUUGUGAUAAAAUUAAAACUGCCCUAGCAGUUUAUAAAUAGGGUUAUGGUCCCCAUUCUACGACUACGCAUUCCAAUUUCUGAAAAUCCUCUCAGAGAGAAAUUGACACAGAAUCUAGUGGCUAGAAUUGGAAGACCAUCUCAAAGGGUUUUUUUUUCUAUAAGGUUUCUCCUUCAAUGGAUUCAGGUAUGCUUCCGCUAUUAUUUUUCUACUCAUUGUUUUUAAUCAAUUAAGGUAUUCACCUUGUUAAAUAUUCCAGUACAUAUGUAGUUAGGGUAUUCACCCUAUUAAAUAUUCCAGUACAUAUGUAGUUAGGGUAUUCACCCAGUUAACUAUUCCAGUAUAUAUGAAAUCAGGGUAUUCAUCUUGGUUGAAUACUAACAAGUGGUAUCAGAGCCUACUCCUUGAUUAAUUCUUUGAGUUAUUAUUUUAAUAUAUGUCAAUGGAUUAAGAUUUAUGAAAUAUUGAGUUGAUAAAUUUUUUUUAUAUUAUUAUUACUAUUAUUAUUAUUAUUAUUAUUAUUAUUAUUAUUUAAUAGCAUUUUAUGAUAUUAAUAUUUAAGUUAUUGAUCUAGCAUUUUAAAUAGGCUAAUUAAAGCGGAAAAUCACCAAAGUGACAUCUUCCGUGUAGAUUAGUCUGUUCGGGGUGUUAGAUAUUUGUGUGUAUGUGAUUCAUGCGGGUAUUGACUGGCCCAAAGGAAAGUUAAUAUUUGGUCAAAUUGCAUACAUACUUGUGGUGAUAAAUAUGUGAUGAUUAUAAAGGUAACUUAAUGUGAAUAAUAAAUCAAUCCAAAGAUAGAUUUAUUAUUUGACAUAACUUAUCAUCAAUGUUUGAUCACUACAACAAGAGUACCACUUACAGUUAAUAUUACUAUCCAAAGACUUGAUAUUAAUGUUGUGCUAGGUAUCUUGAAAUGUCAUAAUUUGCUUUUAAAUUUAAAGAUUAUGUGUUUAAUUGCUUAUUUAUGUGAGCAUGAUGUUUAUUUGAUUCAUUUUAUUUNNNNNNNNNNNNNNNNNNNNNNNNNNNNNNNNNNNNNNNNNNNNNNNNNNNNNNNNNNNNNNNNNNNNNNNNNNNNNNNNNNNNNNNNNNNNNNNNNNNNAGUGAUGCUGAAAGAUGCAUCUAUGUCGGAGACGGUCAGUCGGUAGAAGUAGAGGCAAUAGGGCACUUUAGAUUAUUAUUGAAAUCUGGUUAUUUUUUGGAUUUAAUAGAUACUUUUAUUGUACCGUCUUUUAGACGGAAUUUAAUUUCAGUUUCUGUUUUGGACAAAUCAGGUUAUUGUUGUUCAUUUGGAAACAAUAAAUUUACAUUAUCUAUUAAUUCAAAUGCUGUAGGAACCGGUUUACUUAAUGUUUAUGAUAAUCUAUAUUUGUUGGAAACUGUUCCGUCCUAUAAUGAAACCUUGCAUGUGGAAUCACGAGGUACAAAACGUAAAUUGAAUAAAGAUAAUUCGGCCUCAUUGUGGCACAAACGCCUAGGUCAUAUCUCUAAAUCUAGAGUUGAGCGACUUGUGUCCGAUGGGAUUUUGGAUUCACUUGACUUUUCAGAUUUUGAUAUUUGUGUUGAGUGUAUUAAAGGAAAACAGACCAAAACAAAGAAAUUAGGUGUCAAUAGAGCUACAGACGUCUUAGAAUUAAUUCAUACAGAUAUCUGUGGACCAUACCCUACGGCAUCUUGGAAUGGUCAACAGUACUUUAUAACAUUCAUAGACGACUACUCAAGAUAUGGCUACCUAUUUCUUAUACAUGAGAAAUCACAAUCAUUGGAUGUGUUCAAAACAUUUAAAGUAGAAGUUGAGUUACAACUCAACAAAAGAAUAAAGAGCGUCAGAUCUGAUCGUGGUGGUGAAUACUAUGGUAGAUAUGACGGAUCAGGUGAACAACAUCCAGGACCAUUUGCUAAAUACCUAGAGGAAUGUGGGAUCGUCCCUCAAUACACCAUGCCAGGAUCACCUAGCAUGAAUGGUGUAGCAGAAAGACGAAACCGAACCCUUAAGGACAUGGUAAGGAGUAUGAUUAGUCAUUCUACUUUACCCGAAAAAACUCUGGGGUGAAGCACUCAAAACGGCAGCUUAUAUCCUAAAUCGGGUGCCAACUAAAGCAGCUGCUAAAACGCCUUAUGAGCUUUGGACGGGUCGAAAGCCCAGUUUAAAGCAUUUUCAUAUUUGGGGAUGUCCAGCUGAAGCGAGACCUUAUAAGCCUCAUGAAAAGAAAUUGGACUCUAAAACAGUUAGCAGCUACUUUAUUGGCUAUGCAGAGCGAUCAAGGGGUUUUAAAUUUUAUGAUCCUGCUAUUAGGUCAAUUUUUGAGACGGGAACUGCAACAUUUUUUGAGGAUGUUGAGUUUGGGGGGAGAAAUCAGGCUAGGAAUAUUGUCUUUGAGGAGGAAGAGGGAUAUACUAUUGCUUUUGAUAAUGUACAGGUUUCACUACCUAUCAUUGAUCAAGAAGUAAAUUUGGAUCCUCAACCAACAGACAAUAUUGUUCAACCCUUAAUUGCAAAUGAGGACAUUGCUCCUGAAGAACAAACUCAACAACCUCAAGAAAAUAUGACAUUAAGAAGAUCCACUAGAGAGAGGAGAAAUGCAAUUUCGGACGAUUAUAUCGUAUAUCUCCAGGAACGUGAGGUAGAAAGUGGAAUGAUGGAAGAUGAUCCAAUCAACUUCUAGCAAGCCAUGAAAAGUUCCAACUCUCAGAAAUGGAUUGAAGCCAUGAAUGAAGAGUACAAAUCUAUGCAAGACAAUAAAGUUUGGGAACUUGUCCUAUUACCAGUUGGUACGAAACCCAUUGGUUGUAAAUGGAUAUUUAAAACCAAGCGGGAUUCAAAUGGUAAUGUAGAAAGAUAUAAAGCACGUCUUGUAGCUAAAGGCUUUACUCAAAAAGAAGGAAUUGACUUCAAAGAGACCUUCUCUCCAGUUUCUACGAAGGACUCUUUCAGGAUAAUCAUGGCACUAGUUGCACAUUAUGAUCUCGAGUUACAUCAAAUGGAUGUUAAAACAGCGUUUCUCAAUGGUGACAUUGAUGAAACAAUUUAUAUGGUACAACCAGAAAAUUUUGUGUCCGAAGACUCAAAGAAUAUGGUUUGUAAAUUAACUAAAUCCAUUUAUGGGCUCAAGCAAGCUUCUCGUCAGUGGUACUUCAAGUUUCAUCAAAUUAUUGUCUCAUAUGGUUUUGAGGCAAAUCUUAUGGAUGAAUGUGUGUAUCACAAAUUCAGUGGGAGUAAGUAUAUUUUCCUGGUUUUAUAUGUCGAUGACAUAUUGCUAGCCACAAAUGAUAUUGGCAUAUUGCACGACACCAAGAGAUUUUUAUCAAAACAUUUUGAGAUGAAAGAUCUUGGUGAUGCCUCUUUUGUCUUAGGAAUCCAGAUACACCGAGAUCGUUCUAGGGGUAUUUUAGGAUUGUCACAAAGGACCUAUAUUGAUAAAGUCCUCCAAAGGUAUGGCAUGCAAAAUAGCAAACCAGGUGAUACCCCUGUCGCUAAAGGAGACAAAUUCAGUCUUAAUCAAUGCCCUAAAAAUAGUUUAGAAAGUCAAGAAAUGCAGAAGAUUCCUUACGCUUCGGCUGUGGGAGUCUAAUGUAUGCUCAAGUAUGUACACGUCCGGAUAUUGCGUACAUUGUUGGCAUGUUAGGCAGAUAUCUAAGUAACCCUGGAAUGGAUCAUUGGAGAGCAGCCAAGAGGGUUAUGAGAUAUUUACAGAGAACAAAAGAGUACAUGCUUACAUAUAGGAGAUUGGAUCAGUUAGAGUUGAUUGGGUAUUCCGACUCCGACUUUGCUGGAUGCCAAGACAGUAGAAGAUCCACAUCAGGCUAUAUUUAUCUGUUGGCUGGUGGAGCAAUUUCAUGGAGGUCUGCCAAACAGACACUCGUAACUUCAUCCACCAUGGAAGCAGAGUUUGUAGCAUGUUAUGAGGCAUCCAAUCAAGGAAUAUGGCUACGAAAUUUUGUCACUGGGCUGCGUGUUCUGGAUGGUAUUGAAAGACCACUGAAGAUAUUUUGUAACAAUAAAUCAGCAGUUUUAUAUUCCAAUAACAACAGGAGUUCUACAAAAUCAAAAUACAUUGAUAUCAAGUUCCUAGUUGUAAAAGAAAAAGUAUAGAGUGGACAGAUAUCCAUAGAGCAUAUUGGAACAAACUCCAUGAUAGCGGAUCCGCUUACAAAGGGAUUACCACCCAAGGUCUUUCAUGAGCACACUGCUCAUAUGGGUGUUGUCUCAUUUGAGGAUAUCCAAAUUUAGUGGGAGUUUGUAUUAUUUAUUGUAUAUUGCUCUAUGUUAUGUUUAGACUUUAUCUAUACAUUUGGAUUGUGUUCUGCAGAAAUAAAGUAUUCAUUUUAUUGCACUCUGUUAAAUUAUGCUAAAGAUUUGAUCUCAGUAAAGUUAAGUUGGACCAGUUGGAAAUAGGCAUGAAUAGAUCACAUUGCAUGUAAUUUCCAUGCUAUGCACUCAUGAUUGAUCUAUGUCAUUUAGCUAUGCAGAUAUAUGUGACCAUUGAUUGGUCUAGUAACAAUUGAUGUAAUAAAGGCCACCUUGAUCCUAUGUCAGUAUAGUUAAUGGACGAGAUUGUUCGGAUAUACCCUAAGGACAUGAUAGCAAAUUUUGAGCUCAUAAGGUUAAACAUAUUUAUUUGAUUACAUAUGCAUGUGGCCCAGUGGGAGAUUGUUAGAUUAAUUUUUGUAAUUAAUCUAUAAUUUGGGCCACACAUGUAAAUAAUUAAAAUGUGUGUGCUAUCAUUUAAUUAAGCCUAAAUAUAGUGAUCUAAUUAAUAAUUGAUUAAUUGGCUUAAGGGUAUAAUUGUCAUGAGAUUAUUGUGUAGAUACCAUUAGACAAUUAUUAUUUAUAUGAGGGGCAGAAAUAUAAUUGUGAUAAAAUUAAAACUGCCCUAGCAGUUUAUAAAUAGGGUUAUGGUCCCCAUUCUACGACUACGCAUUCCAAUUUCUGAAAAUCCUCUCAGAGAGAAAUUGACACAGAAUCUAGUGGCUAGAAUUGGAAGACCAUCUCAAAGGGUUUUUUUUUCUAUAAGGUUUCUCCUUCAAUGGAUUCAGGUAUGCUUCCGCUAUUAUUUUUCUACUCAUUGUUUUUAAUCAGGAGAUUCCAGUGUAUAUAUAAAUUAAGGUAUUCACCUUGUUAAAUAUUCCAGUACAUAUGUAGUUAGGGUAUUCACCCUAUUAAAUAUUCCAGUACAUAUGUAGUUAGGGUAUUCACCCAGUUAACUAUUCCAGUAUAUAUGAAAUCAGGGUAUUCAUCUUGGUUGAAUACUAACAAUUGCAACCCACCUCCUUCACAGUCCAGAAAGUAAGAAAUUGGUUCAGAGGCUUCACAUUGAGACCUCCAAAAUCUUAAAUCGUCACUACCAUUUGGUUAGGACAUGGGUCCACUGCUUCUGGGCCCAACGAUUUUCAUGCAUAAUUUGCAGGCAAACAUUCAAUGGGACAGUGGAAUCUUUAUUUCCUAGCCAACCAAACAGAACGGGAAAGUUCAUCAUUAGCAAACGUAUGGUUUCUACAUGUUUCCCCAUUUUUGGGAAAAAAGGAAAAAACGUAAAUUUCCUCCUAAUUACCAUCACAAACAAACAAAUGAAAUUGAUUUUCUUCCCCUUUUUUAUUCUUUCCCUCUCGCCAAACGGACCCCAAAUGAAAAACUCACGUCAAAACCCAACUACUGGAGUUGAAAACUUGCAUACUCAAAUCACACCCAUCAAAUACCUUCAUGUAUACAAAUGAAAUUUGUCAAGGAAUGAAGAAUAUACAGACAGAUUGAAAAACCCAGAACAGAACAAUAGAUUGAUGAUAGAAAUUCACCGAAGCCAAAACGGAGGAAGUAGGUUGCUAAACGGUGACGUUUUAAUGGAAAUACAGCGAAGCGGUAAGUUAAUACGACGUCGUUUUAUUGAACGGAGAAGUAUGGGAUUAAGGUGACAAGUAAGGACUUGUUUGGAAAAGGUAUUAUAAUUGAACUUAAAAAUACAGUUGACAAUUUUUUUAAAAAUAAUAAAAAUAUUUUAGAUUUUUUAUAUCAUACAUAAAUGUAUAUUAUCUUCACAUAAAAUAAGUUAAAAUAUCUUUUUCUUUUUAUUUAAGUUUUUAAAUAAAAUUUUGUUUAUAAAAUAAAUUUGUAUGAUCCAAUCGAUUGCAUAAAGCUCGUUGUAACAAUGAAAUCGGGGGAAAGUUAUAAAAAAGACACUUCUUUUUUAUUAUAUUAGUAUUAGUUAGUGAUAUGAUUCUAUGAUUAAUUUCAUUCAUUUCUAUUAAGAUUUCAACUAAAUCUAUCUACUCUCAUAAGUUUAAAUUUUUUUCAAAUACCUUAUUUAAUUUUUUUAUUUUUACUUACCUCCCCUUUCACUCAAAAUUAAAGAGGGAUGUGCACAAAGAAAUUUUAAACCCAUCAAAGCUAAAUAUAUUUAGCUAAAUUAAUCAUUUUAAUUAUUAAAUACAUACUCUAUAAAAGUUAACUAAAAAUAUCUUAAAUUUGUUCUAAAAGAUAUGUUUUUAAAAUAAAUUAUCAAAAAAUUAUGUUGUAUCAAAAAAUUGUAGAAUGUGAGCGGAAAAAAAUGUUUUGUUCCAAAUAAUAAAAAGACACACCCACAUAAAAUCUUUUUAAAAAUAAAUUUUAUAAAUCCAAUAAAUUUACAAGGUGUUAACGGUUGACUAAACCUUACGGGUAUAAUGAAAUUCACCCGAAUAAAAAACCUUUUUAUAUAUAUAUAUCAUUCUUUAUUUAUUUAUUUCUAUUAUUAUUAUUAUUAAAAAAAAAAAAAACUCUCUCACACAACAAUCUUCAGACCUGCCCAUGCGCACAGUUCUCUUAGGGAAAAAAGCCCAAAACCCCAGCAAUCAUUCACUGCUGAGUCUGGAGGCGGACACCAAUCCUCGUGAGGAUCAAGAGGGAUCUUCAUUUCCACGCCAAACAUGGUGAACUACAUGUUGAUGAUCACCGGCGAGCUCGAGAAUCUCACCAAUCUCCAGCCUCAAGGCGGCUGCGACGAUCCUGAUUUCACCUACUACUUCAAGGUCCCUCUCUCAAUUUCUUCUGGGUUUUUUUUUUUUUUUUUUUUCAUUUAUACGUUUGGUUGCCGAGAAAUUGCACGAAAAUGGAUUCAGAAAUGCCAUUUCGAACUUAAUCCCCUGCAGGAAACGGAUCGCUGAAGUUUAGUGUGUUUCUUGUUUUGACUUUAUAUUUAGAUGAUUUUUUUUUUUUUUUUUUUGUGUAAUUUGUAUUUUUGGAUGUGUAGGUGAAAUGUGGAAACUGUGGAGAGGUGAGCCAGAAGGAGACGUGUGUGACAUUGAAUGAAACGGUUCCUCUCCCGAAAAGCAAGGGAACUACUCAUCUGGUUCAGAAGGUCAAAUCUCUCCUAAUAUGUAUACGUUUAACUCUAUUUGGUUGCUGAGAAAAUUGAGGAAAUGGAAAGAAAAAUGUUUUAUAUCUUAGGUUUUAUGUUAUUUCUGCUACCAAGAGACGGAAAAGAAAAUCAUCUGAACUAAGAGAAUAAAUCUAUGUGGCCAGUUGAGUGUGUUUAAGCUCCUCUUCCUAAGGACGGGGAAAUACUAACCUGGUUCGGAAGGUGAAAUCUCUUUCUGUAUAAGCAUUUACAAAGUUUGGUUGCUGAGGAAACAGAUUGCAAAUAAAAUUUCUAAUCUUAGGUUUUGUGUUAUUUCUGCCACUAAGAAAUGGAAAAGAAUCCUCUGAACUGGUGAAAUAAUUAUAUUAGGUUGAUUCAGUCCCUCUCCUUUUCUCUGUAUAUGUAGAUACAUAUAUCUACACCUGUUUGGUUGGUGAGAGAACUUUGGGAAGUGGAAGAAAAUAAAGUAAUCCAGGGUCUUGUUUUAUGUUCUCAUCGAUUCACACAUUUUAUCAAAUUUGUGAGAUUGAUUAAACCAUGGAUUUACUCUGAACUUUGAAGAAUAAGUUGUAUCUAAUAAAAAGUGGGUUAGAUUAGAUGAUUAAAAUUUGAGUGAAUUCUGAAGCUGGUUGUCGUUCUGAUAUUUGUACCCCGCAUGAAUCUUGGAAGAUGCAAACAAAAAUAAGAGAAAAAGAAAAAAAGAAAGGAAAGAAGAAUGGAAGAAGAAUGAAAAAUAAGUUCGAGCUCAACAGUAUUUUUCUUCAUUAUUAUUUAAUUUGAUACUUUCUUCAAAUAGAGAACGAAGAAUUUGGAAACGUACAAGUUUUUAAAUAAUUUUCAUUAUAUUUAUUUCACUUUGUAUUCUUCAUAGCAAACCAAAAAGAAAAUUUGAGAUUCGUAUUUCUUAUUUCCCAUUCUUUCUCUUGUUGGUUUUCACGAUCCAGAAAGGGAGUCUUAAUGAAUUCAUCCUGAACUUUAUGCCCUGUGAUUUUCCCCUUCAACAUACAUGUAUGCAAGCAUUCUUGCUUUUCAUCCAUGGCCUCAAUCUCUGUUAUGAUGUUCCUUUCAAAUUGUUUGACUGCUUCUACCCAUCCAUAUGUUUAAGCUAUUACAGAAAAUGUGUAACUAUCUUCAUGAGUUGCAUCUUUUCUCUGGUCUACAGUUUACUAAUUCUCUUUAUGAGGCGUAUUAUAUGAGUCAUACAACCAGUCAUACCAAGUUUGUGAAAUACGUAGCUUACUCUUGUAAGUUAAAAUUACAUUCAUGUGGCUCGUCUGCAUCAUAUUUAAAAGAAUUAUCUUCUUCUGAUGCAUUCCUGUCUUCAGUGCAAGUUCUGUGAUAGGGAGGGAACUAUCUUGAUGAUCCCAGGCCGAGGUCGUCCACUGACUCAGGAAAUGAGUGAAUCAGGGAAGUUCACCCCCUUGAUGUUAUUGGACAGCAGGGGUUUUGAGCCGGUGGAAUUUUCUUUUGGUACCGGAUGGAAAGCUGAAUCCGUAACUCUCUCUCUCUCUCUCUCUCUCUCUCUCUGUUCACACACACACUUGUAAAUGCCGCAGACAGCAUUGGGUCAGUACAUAAUUUACCAGGUGGCCAUAUUGGACAUCCUUUUGUAUGAGAAUUCUAAUUUCCAAUGUAGUCACCAACACAAUCUCAAGGGCUCAUUUUGAUUGCAAUUUAUACUCUGGACUUAAUUGUGAUUUACAGCUUAGCAUCAGAAUCAAAUUGUUGUGGUAACAUGUUUUGAUUAAUUACUAAAAAUGAUUUCAUCUAGUGCUAAAAAAUGCCUUCUCCUUAAUCCUUGCACAUAUUUAAGAAUAAAACUUUGUGCUUAUUUAAUAGGCAUGCAUCUGAAGUUUUUAUAACCCAAAAGCAACUGCUGCAUUCUUUUAUGAUGGUUGUGUUCUCAUGUCAACAUCUCCUAACUCAUCUGUGUAGAUGGAAGGGACUAAAUUUGAUGACAUUGACUUGUCUGGAGGGGAAUUUGCUGAAUAUGAUGAGAAGGGAGAGUGCCCGGUGAUGAUAUCUAAUCUCCGCGCUACUUUUGACGUGACGAAGUAGACAGUAAUGUUCUCCUGCAUAUAUUUUCGCUGGUAUAUAGAAGAAAGUCAUGCUAUCUGAACCAUAAGCUAAUUAUAAGGAAAGCCAUAAUGUACUGAUGUUUUUCAGAGAAUGGGCCGUUGAACUUUAUCAUAAGCUUUUUCUGGACCUUCAUUUGUCCAUUAAUUUGCCGUGCUAAUACAUUCAAUGAAGCUUUUAGACAAUAUUACAAAACAUAAUUGGGUAUUUAAAUGUGUUAUCUGAGUUGGAUAGAGUCCUUUCUCAUUCCAUUGUGUUUCAUCAAGUUUUCCUAUAAUGUGUCUGGAGUUUUAAGGCUUGUAACCAUCAUGCCCUGCCUCUUUGGUAGGACCCAUUGAUCAAAUGGCCUGUCUAAUUUCUUCUGAAGUGACCUUUUAGUUAAUAGCAGCACUCUAAUCCUCUUUGAAUAGUUAAUUGACUGGCUGGCAAGGUCUAACCCAACCAGGGGUUGUUGGAAGACCAUUUGUGGUGAAGGGCAUUUUCACAUGUUGGUGGAAAAGACCCUGAAUCUGCUGGGUGUCUUUGAAAUUAGAACAAUUGCAUAGAUCGAAGUCCCUUGUAAGCAGUGUAAGCCAUCAGAUAAGUCCCCAUUAUGCUCGACCUGAUCACUGACCUUAGCAUUCCUAAUGUGGAUUUCUUAUGACACUUUAUGCUUAGACGCGUUGGAUUUCUUUGCCCCAAGGGUAAGUCAAGGUGCAGAUUGAACGUCUUGACCGGGUUCGAGUCCCCUCGCUGCAGAAAAGAAAAUUGUAGCACUUUUUUUUACUUUGCCCCCUCGGGAAGUCAAGGUGCAGAUUGAACGUUUUGGCCCCAGGCGGAUAUGAAAUAUGAAGAGAUUAAUAUACAUUUCAAAACUAUUUUUUAUUAUUUGAAAAAAAAUUUUAUCUUAAUUUUUUAAAUAAUUAUUUUGAAAAUUUAUUAUUUUUAAAAAACUAAUUUUUUGAAAAAUAUAUUCUAAAAAUAUAUAUUUUUCAAGAUGUUUGCUUUUUAAAUAAUAAUAAUAAUAAUAUUUUUUGAAAAAUUGUGUAUUUUUUCUCAAAUUAUUAAAUUAUAUUAAAUUUUAUUAAGGUUUAUAAAAAGAAUAAAAUUUAAAUUAAUAUUUUUAUAUAUUUUUUUUAAUAGUGAGUAAAGGUCAUUUAUGGAAAAAUGACAAAUUCAUGUUAUUCUUCUCAAUUUUCAUAAUUUCUUUAGAUCUUGGACUUAAACGGUGAACUUAUAUGAUCAAAGCUUAAUUUUCUAAAACACAAUUAUUCUCAAGAAUUAUUAAAUACUCUUAACUAAAAUAUCUUUAUUUUUAUGUUUUGUUUUUCAAAAAUAAAUUUUUGUGUGAAAUGACAUAAAUAUACUUUUUUUUCCAAAUAGGAUGAUUUUUAAAAAGCCUAGUGGUUACUUUUGUAUUAAAAACUUAUGGUUGAAAAAAAAUCUUGAUAUAAAAAGCAGGAUAAUGUUGUUGUUUUUUUAUAGAAGUUUUGUUUUGAUUUAUGCAAUAAAUUCCUUCAUACUUAAAAAAAAAUUAUAAUAUUUAAAAAUUAUAAUUUUGGUGAUAGCAAAGCUAUUCUUUUACACGUCAAAUUUUUUUUUUUUUUUAAACGUUGGGAACAUCAAAUUUAUUUUUAAAAAAACGUUGGGAGUAGAGAUAUUUUUGGUGGGGGUUUGAAUCUUCUCGUAGACGCGUGAAACACUGAAAUAUGGUAUUGUUACGCGGAUCGGUCCUUUGUGAAAGGAGGAAAGAGGUGAACACGACGUCGUUUUUUGUAGACAAAUAUUUAAUAUGAUUAGAACCAAACGAAGGAGUCAUCUUUGUACACGCCAAGCCUUAGACAAACCCAACUGCAUUCCUCCAAUGGAAACGCGCCACGAAGCUCAAGUCCAAAAACCCAAAAUCAGUCUGGUCGCGUGGCGGUGGCUCCGCAAACUGUGGGUCGUGAAACAUCAUGUGACCCAUGCUUAACUUGUCACGUGUCAAAUGGUCCCAGUCUCUUGACAAUUAAUCAAUCACAUGCACGUACAGGCACCCCAUGUUAACCAAAUUUAUUAUUUAUUUAUUAACCCAACACAUUCUCAAAACCCCAUAGUCGUAAAAAUUGCCUUAAAAAAAUUUCUUUUUUUUUUUCCUAAAAUUUUUAAUCAUACUAUAAUUUUCUAUUGUUACACUUCAAAACAAAUUUCUUCUGAAAUAAAAAAGGUUUCCCAUAAUUAAAUUCCUAUGUUUUUGCCGUUAUUAGGGCCACUUACACCAUAACCUCUGGAAAUAAAAUCGUAACGUAAUGAAUGGGGUUUCAAAUUAUAACGUUUUUCUUUUCCAAUCUAAUAUUAAAUUGUUCUUUUAUAACACAAAAAAAAUUCAACCCCAUUGAAAAUUGUCAAGGAAAAGAAAAAAAAAUUGGUAAAAAUAAUUAUUUUUUAUUUAUAAAAAAAUAUAUAAGAAAAAAAAUAAAGAAAAAAGAAAAAAAAUCUGCACGUUUUUCUUAAAUAAGGGAAAAUACAUUAUUCAAUAAUUAUUAUUUUUUUCUCUCAAUUUUUAAAAAUUUAAAAAAUAUUUUCUAAUUUUUAUUUUUAUUUUUAGAUGGCCCUUGGGUAUGAGUUGUAAAUACCGUCCAUUGUACCUGCCAAACCACAAAAAUACCAACAGAAGGGACAAAAUGCCAACCUCUCUAUUCUGAAAAAACCCAAAAUAAAAAUAAAAAUAAAUAAAGGAAAACUAAAACCUUAAAACCCAAGGGAAUCCCUAGAUUGUUUACUCCGGAAUUUAUCCCACGAGUUUCUACUUUCUCUCUCUAUAUUCUCCAACUCCUCUGGGCUCUCUUUCUCUGCCAUCUGCAUCUGCCCGCCAUACCUCUCCCUCUCUCUCCCUGACCACACCAUCUCUCUCUGACCAGUCCAUCUCUCAUUCAACUCCAUUCUGAUGCAAUUCGUGCUGUGUAUUGAAAGAUCCAAGUACCAAUUUCUCCCUCAUUUAUUCAUCCUGAAACCACUGUCUCUGUGGUACGGUGUCUAUUAGAUGCUUUUUAUCUCUCUGUUUGUUUGUGCCAGACCUGUUUGAUUCUUGGGAAAUCUCUCUUUGCCUAACACCCAUGUGAUAAGAACUCAAUUUUUUUAUGUAGAAUGAUUCCGGCCUUGAUCUCUAAAACGUUUCUUUGUAUUGAAGGCAAAUAGUUUUAGCUGGUAAUCCCAAUACCCAAAUGGUGGAACCCGGACCCUUUUCACCGUUUGGGUUAUAAGAUAUACAAUUUAGGAAUCUGGGUUUGGUAGUUUUCAGGGGAGAAGUUGAUGAUUGACAAGAAUUUGAACUGUUUCCGAUUAGAAAAAGGGUGGGGUGUUUUUGGAUUUGAUCUUGGUCAAAACAGAAUACCCAGAAACUGAAUUUUGAAACCGGAGAGUUAUCAAUAUGCAAUCAAGGGCGUUGUCGACUGAGGAAGGGAAGGAUCCUGCAAAUACAAGCAGAACAAAUCAAUCCAGGGUUUUGCCUCUAAGGCUGCUUCAGAUAUUUGGGCUGUUUCUGGCUCUCUGUGUCGCGUUUUCAGUCAUUAGUGUAUACAUGAUUAAACGUUUUGGAGUUUCUACUACAUUGACAUCGCCGCAGUCUAGUUUCCAGCCCUGCUAUGAGGAGGUGGGUGGCUUAGAUCGGUGGAUUAAGCCUCCUUCAACUUUGCUCCAUACAAUGAAUGACACAGAGCUUCUCUGGAGGGCAUCUUUUGCCCCUAAGGUGAAGAAGUACCCAUUUCAGAGAGUUCCAAAGGUUGCAUUCAUGUUCUUGACUAAGGGCCCAUUGCCGCUGGGACCUCUCUGGGAGAGGUUUUUGAAGGGGCAUGAAGGGCUUUAUUCAAUCUACAUUCAUUCGACGCCAUCAUUCCAGGCCAAUUUCCCUGCCUCAUCGGUUUUCUAUAGGAGACAGAUACCAAGCAAGGUACGUGAAGAUUUAUAAUUUGUGCAAUUUGCUUGUGAAUAUUUUGUUGUGAGUUCUACUUCUUUUGUUUUAUGGUAUAAAAACCCUUUUUCUUUGAAUCCUACAUGUUUAUUCUUGUAUUGGAAUCAUUGCUGCCUUAUAAAUGUUAAAGCAUAACUAAAUGCUUUUACAAUUUUUUUUGGCCUUUGAUAAGGGCCUUUACAAUCUGUUUCAUUCGUCGGGAAAUGUGAUGCCUUUACAAUUGAGUUAGGAAACUCAUGGUUUGGUGCUCUAAGCAGGGGAAACCUAUGGUUAGGUGUUUGGGAGGAAUUUAAGAAGGUGGUGUUUGCAAUCUAAUCAAGAAAUCGGUUUGGGAUUUUACACAUCAUGGCUUUGUGUUUCAUAGGCUAAGCUUUACUCCCUGUACUUUUGAUGAGAAUGUUCAUAUGAUAACAAGUUUACCUGCAAUGCGUAGUAGUCUUGUAGAUACUGUGCUUUGGAAUCCUUAGAUCUGAUUUGCAGGAAUGGUAUGGAAAAGGGCUUGUUAUAUUGGAAAGUUUAGUGUAGCUAGCAAUGCUGCGGAGUUAAGCCACAAUACUAUAAGUUGGAGAAAGAACCAAAAUGGUAAGUUCUCAUCUUGAGGUUUUUUCUCAUUUUUUGAUGAGGUAGGUGUAAGAAUCUCUUUAUGGCAUUCAUUCAAGGCAGUCCUUUUCUGUUGAUGAAAGCUUGGGAUAAUAUUUUGAUGGUAAAACUAUAGUAAGAAUUGGGUGGGUUGUUCCCAACAAAAUUGUACUAGGAGUAUGCAUAAUUGGUUGAUCUCUUGUUGAUACAUGGCAAGGUGGCUUGAAAAGGGAAGGAGGAUCAUUUUUGUAGGUUUAAUGUUCCUUGGUGAUGCCAAGAUGAAUACAUGGAAAAAAAUUUGGCAGGUGUUUUAAGCCACAUAAAUGCAGAUGAGCAAGUGUGUGACAACGUGCUAAUGCAGUAACCGAAUGCAUGUCCAUUUUUGCACAUUUGGAAAGACUGCAAUAAACUGAUACUGUAGUGGUGGAGAGGGCUCUAUGGUCUAGCUUUUGGGCAUUUUGGAGUUUUUGACUUUGCAUGAAUUUUGCUUAUGCAGUUCCUCUUCUUGUUUACGCGCAUUCAUGCAUAAACAUGAGGGGCUUGCCCUUUCUAUUUAGUAUAUCUACAUAAUUUUACUUAUUAAAAAUGGUCAAAGGGAAGAUAAUUAAGCUUGUGCAAGCAAACAUGAAUUUUAAGCUUAUAGAUAUGUUUAAGUGACUGAUAUGGUUGUUGAAUCAUUCCUCAAAAUUGAGAUGGCAGAGAAACUGGUAGUUGAUUAACUUGAUUAUGGUUUCUUGAGAUAUUAUGGGUUUUCUUUGUGUCAUCUUGAUAUGAAAAUGCUUAAUAUAUUACUUAUUUCAAUAUUGAUAAAUUAUUUAGGCUAUGUUUGUUUUCUGAAAAUUUUGAGGGUAAAAAUGCAAAGAAAAGAAACUAUAGAGGAAAAGUAUAAGGAAAGAAAAAAAGUAAAGGAAGAUAGAAAACACAUUUAAUGUUAAUAAAUUGUUUUCAUAUGCUGCUUCAAACUCAUUUAACUUAUUUUAACUCUCUUAUAUAAAGCUUAAAUAAUUUGAAAAUGCAUAGGUUUCUAAUUAAUUUUAAUUAUAUUUUAUUUUCCAUGAUAAAACCAAACAUGAGAAAAUCAUUUUCCUUAGAUUUUUUUUUUUUUUUUUUUUUCCUUAGGGUACUUUUUUGGAACCAUUCAUAGCAAUAAAGUCUGGUUUUCAGUUUUAAAUUUUAUGGAAUAACAGCUAUAGAGAUCCCAAUUUCUUAAGUUGAAGAGAUGAUUCUGGGUUAUGUUUUAUGAAGGAUUAGACAUGUUUUAUACGGAUGCUACUGAUCAAUGUGGCUGACAGAUGGCAAUGUUGAUAUCCUCAUUAAUUAGCUGAGAGUCUGAAUGAAGGCAUUGUGUGGAUGAUGAAUACUAUGAAAGAAUAUUAAUUGGGAUAAAGGUUCUGUUGAGUUUAAUGUAGCCUAGACUGAAGAUAGCCUGUUGAUUAUUCUCCCCUCCCUCCCUUCAAGCUGCUUUAAGUAGGACUUGAAGAGUGGAUCCCACUUUCCCCCCUUUGGGGAGGCAGCUGCAUGUCAAACUCUUGGGCACCAUUGGCUUUACCGUAACCAAGUAGGGAAACUUCAAUAGCAUUGAGGCUUCACUUGUUGGUUCACCUUCUGUUCCUGAGACACAGAAGAAUGCUUUACCUUGGCUGUUGCACUUGAAAGUAGAGGACUGCACUCCCAGUAAAUCAUUAUAUUCUUGCCUGGUUUGUGCAAUUGUCAUGCAAAUUGCUGCUUAUUGAUUUUGCAUUCCAACAAAGUUCCUCUUCGUCUCCUCUUCCUGAGACGUAAAGCUUUUAAUUGAUGUUUGGAAUUGCAUGGCUAGUUGUUAUUCCCUAUGAAAUCAAUUGAUUUAUUUUCUAUUGUUAUGUUUGUGAUUUUUAUGAUGUCUAUCGUAUCAAUUGCUUUUAGACUUGGGAAUAUAGACCGAAAUAGAAACCCCUUAGUGACAAUGAUUUACUAAGGAAUCAUCUACAACCUACAUAUAAAUAUCAGUCGUAAAAAAGUUGGGGAAAUUUCAAUAUUCUAUUCUAAUUUCAACCAGUUGGGCAUGUAGAAACUUCUACAUUUGUUAUAAAAAGUUAGGUAUUCCAUUGAGCGGCUGAUGAUUUAUGUGGUUGCCCUCCAUUUCAGGUGGCAGAGUGGGGGAGGAUGAGUAUGUGUGAUGCAGAGAGAAGGCUCCUCGCAAAUGCAUUGCUUGAUAUCUCCAAUGAACGGUUCGUUCUUCUUUCUGAAUCAUGCAUUCCUCUCUACAAUUUCACCCUCAUCUACCACUACAUAAUGAAGUCCAAAUAUAGCUUCAUGGGUGCAUUUGAUGACCCUGGGCCAUAUGGAAGGGGUCGGUAUAAUGGGAAUAUGAAACCUGAGGUGAGCAUUUCCCAGUGGCGUAAAGGAGCCCAAUGGUUUGAAGUUAACCGAAAACUUGCAGUCAACAUAGUAGAAGAUACCACGUUCUACAAGAAGUUUGAGGAGUUCUGCAAACCAGCAUGCUAUGUGGAUGAGCACUACUUCCCCACCAUGCUAACCAUUCAAUCAGGACACCUUAUAGCAAACAGAAGCAUUACUUGGGUCGAUUGGUCAAGAGGCGGUGCUCACCCUGCUACCUUUGGGAAAGCAGAUAUCACAGAGGAGUUUCUACACAGAGUUGUCAGCAAUCACAAGUGCCUCUACAACAAUCAGCCUUCCUCUACUUGUUUUCUUUUUGCAAGAAAGUUUGCUCCCAGUACCCUGGAACCUCUGUUACAGUUGGCACACAAACACUUAGGGUUUUGAGCGAUAAUAGUUUUUUGAGAGAAACCCAGAAAAUUCUUUGAAUCUCUAACUCUCAUAUCUGAUUUCUCUCUUGUAAACUAGUGAGUUUUAGGUGAAUAAUCCAGCCACGCAAUUUUAGAUGUACAUAAAGAAGUAUCACUAGUGCCCAUCUUUAUAGCAUCAUCAUAGUCGGAUUAUUAUCUGGAGCUUAGUGUGUACUCAAUUUUAAUACAAUUUCAGUCAAAUUUUUUCAUCUUUUCCCCAUUGCAACCAAUUUUAUACAAGGGUGCAACUUGAACGGAUUGAUCAAACCUAAAUUGCCCAAAGUUUGGGUAGGCAUGAACAAUCUUUUUUAAUAUUGGGAUUGGGUUAAGUUUUUUCAACCCUAGCGUUAAAAUUUUGAUUGGAUUUGAGCUGAGGUUCGGAUAAUUCGAGCCUAAACCGAUCCCAAUUUAAUCUUGAAAUUUUGCCCUAUUUAUUAUUAAAUUUUCAUAUAAAUACAUAGAAAAGAAUUUAGUAAAAAAUAUUAUAGAUGAAUUCCGAAUUAUAUAUAUAACAUGAUUAAUCCAUUGAAGUUUAAUCCGAGUUUAAUUUGGAAAAAUCGAACUCAAUCUAAAGUUUAAAAAAAUGAGAUUGGGUUAGAUUUGGAUUAAGUAUCUUGAGUCGAUUGAAUUAUUUCUUAAUUUGAGUUGGUGGUAUUUAAUUUAUGUUGGGUUUUCUUUAAAAGGGGUCAAUAUUGACAUUUAUGAUGAAAGUUAGGUGAUUUAUGAUGUGUUUGGUAGUAUUUUCGAACCGGUUUCCAGUUCUUGAAGAUGGUUUUACCUUAUUUCUAAAAGUAAAAUUCUGUUUCAAAAAACAAUCUCUCUUUAAGAUGUGCAAGGGAGGUUGGGUUGAUUGUUAAUUCAAACUCAAUAAUUGUGGAAAUAGUUGGCAUACUGGGAAUUCAAUUACAAUGCUCCCACUUGGUAUCCGCGCUUGAAAACAAUUUUUUUUUUUUCAGCUUACUUUUAAUAGAAAGAAUUUGUUUCGAAAAGGAUGUUUUUGAAAACAAAUUUUAGUGUGUUUUCAAUUGUUUUUCUAAAAAUGUUUUAAGUAAUAAAUUGAAAUAUAAAAAAUAUAUUAGAAACUUUUGCAUUGUAUUUAUUAAUAAUUAGUCUAUUUUUUUUUAAUAUUUGAAUUCCUAAUUAAAAUUUUAUUUUAAAAAAUAAUUAAAAGCUACUGUCAAUAGAAAUUCUUUUGGAACCUAUUCGAAUACAUACCCGGCUCAACCAUAAAGUCUUCAAAAACAGUUUUUAAUAAAUAAAUAAAAAUGACUAUGAAUACAUUUUAAAUUAAAAAAAUAUAUUCCCAUUAAAAAAGUCUUUAAAAUAUUUUUCAAAAUUUUAUGAAAUUGAAGGACACUUUUUCAAAAUUUGAAGUUAAAUUCAACCUUAAAAUUUCUACCCCUUUAGAAGAUGACUGCACGUGACAUGACAUCUACUUAAUGCAAAUCAUACAUAAAUGACAUUAAAGAGAAGGAGAAUUACAUGCAAGGCCUAAAAUUCUCAAUGGCAUUUAGACUGGGACAAAUAACUAACAAUCACAUCCACCACAUAAUUUCAAACCCAAUAUCCCCACUAACAGAAUUAUUUUAGAAAUUGACCCGAAAUCAACCCAUGUGGGGUUUUUAUUUCUUCCUUCCUACCAGAUUCAACCCGAUAUCAAAAUUUUUAGACUUUGUAGACGUAUUUUAAAAUUGAAAGUAACUAUUUAAUCAUAUAUAUAUAUACUUUUUCAAAUGAAAAUAAAUGAAGGAUAUGAUAUGUUUGUUUAGAAGUAAUUUUUAUAUGCUUGAAAACAUUUUUUUUUGUUUAAAUACUAAAAGCAAAAACAUCGUUAGGGCCCAAAACAUGUGAUUGGGCGUUGGGGUUGGAGAUGGGCAUUUUGGUAAUUCCAACCCCGGUGGCCAGAGGGGCGCAAACGGAAACUUCUCGAAACACACUAGAGAAAACGACAAGUCAAAUCUCACCAUACACGUGUCGUAUCUUUUACGUCAAUUUGAGGACCGUCUCUUUUCAACUCUCAACGUGUCAGUCUUUUGUUGGCUACUUAACACGCGGGCCCCACUGACGCCGCAUCUUUGCAGUGAGUAGCGCUGGAAUCGCGUGAUUGCAGAAUGUGGUCUGCGUUAUCGUUCCUUUCUCAAAACCGCAUCACCAUGUACGAGCGUGCGUGUGCUCACGCUCCAAAAAUUAUAUAAAAAAAACCAUGCUUUUGCAUUUAUUCACGAAAGAUUGAAAUUUUUUUCUCAUUUAAUAAUUUUCAGAAAUAAAAGUUUACUUUAAAAUUUAAAUAUAAAAAAUAGUAAUACCCUUUUUUCUCCUAAAAGCUUUGAUAUAUAUUUAAAUAAUUUUCAUAAUAAAUUAUAAAAAAUAUAUAUUUAAAAAUUGGUAAAUGUAAUUUUUUUUGAAGUUAAAUAACAGAAAAUAGAAAAUUGGAAAAAUUAGAUUAUUUUUAUUUAAAAAAAUUAAAAGUGGUUUUAAUCUAUCAACGGUUGAGAUGGCGAGUGCGGCACGUCUUGCUUACUAAAGGCGCGUAUUCAACCCAAUAUGUCACCGAAUAUGUUGGUUCAAAACGAAUCCGUCUUAGGAAACGACACCGUUUUGGAGUCCUGGAAACGACGCCGUUUAAGCCAAGAACCGCCUAAAGCAAACGCAUACUUACAUGAACGAAAAUGUAGGCCCACAACAUAACCCAGCUGUCACUCAAUUAAUCUACAGCCUGUAAUCCGGGCAGCUGCCCGAACUUCCCUCUCCUCUCUCUAUAAAACUCCUCACCACCGAUACUUCUUUCCUGCUUGUAGCUUUGCUUAGGUUUUACGAGAGAUUAUUUCCCGAGAAACAUUCCCAAUCUUUUAGUAAUCUCAAACCCUCCCACCGCACCGAUGGCUUCAUCUCUCUCCGGAGCUUCUCUCAUUGCACUGAUGGUGUUCUCCGUCGCCAUUCUCUCGUCCGUUGUAGCCGCCCAGGAUUUGGCACCGGCUCCUAGUCCGGCGUCUUCCGCCGGAGCUAUCUCGCCAUCUUUCGCCGCGGGUUGUGCCGUCGCCGUUGUGGCAUUUGUGUUCGGAUCUGUGAUGAAGGCUUGAAGAUAUCAUCGUCUGGAUGAGGUUUUUGGCUGUUUGUUCUGAGAGAGUUUGUGACUAUGGGUCGUGUAGAGCGAUUGGGUUCUCUUAGGUAUUAGAGAUUGAUUUGUUUACAUGGUUUGAUAGUAGUGUUGGAUCUAGGGUUUUUGAUGUUGUUUCUUUUCAGUAUAUACGCUUUGUUUUGCUGCACAGAUGGUCUAAUGCAUAUUUGAAGCCAUUGAUAUGGUUUUUUAGUAAAUAAAAUUCCUUAUAUAGAUGUGAGUUUCUCUAUCAUUGUGGUUUUACUUUACUGUGUUAAUAUAUGGAAAUUUGCUUGUGUUGUUGCUCCUUAAUACUUGACCUUUUGUUUCGUUUGGUUGCUGAGAAACUGGGGGGAAAUGUAGAAAAAUUGAAACAUCAUUUCCCGUAAAUGAUACGCUUAUUUCACUUUACGGAGUUUGGUUUCUUGUUUUCUUAAGAACCAAACAGCACAACAUACAAGACUUCGAACAGUUGUCUUCGUAUUCACGUUACAACUUUUCAGCAAUCUUGUCGGUUUCAAAUUGUUGUACCAGCGGAUUUGGGACACUUUCCAACACCAAUGCUGAUCUAAUCUUCCACUAGUCCAAAAUAAGUGACACAAAAAGUUUUCUUAAUUCUGAAGUUUUCUUAAUUUCCACGUUUUCCUCCUUUGUUUUCUCUGCUUUCUCAGCAACCAAAUUGCACAAAAUCAGUUUCACUUUUGAUGUUUCCAGUUAUGAAUUCUGUCAUUUUCUUUCCUAUUAAUGUGUUCUUGUCCUUGACGGUGUAAAUUUCCCAUAGUUUCUCUGUUCCUUCUCCAAAAUAUUUCUGUUUUCCUUUGAAUUUGAAUGAACAAUUUCUCAUCUUGUAAACAUUUGAAUGUCUUGAUUUUGCACUCAUUUGAAACCUUGGAAAGGAAAAGAAACCCAGAAUUGUAAGGACUCUUAAGAUAUUUUGAUUUUGAUGUACAGUAAUAAUUCCCAGUUUUAUUGCGUGGAUUCACCAUAUGGGGAAUUGUUGUAUCGAGUAUAAAGAAGAGCUCUGUCUGUUCCCAUCACCAGUUUCAGAGAAUCCAAAAUUUGAAACUUGUGAUUGAAAUGCCAGCCAUUGAAGAAUCUCCACUGCUCUUCGUAUUUGUCCUCUACCUAUAUUUCAGCGUGGAAUUUUAUGGACUUAGGAAUUGUGUUUUGCUUGCCCAAAAUAAUUUUCUGAAUUUAUCUUCGAACUGAGCCUCUGCUAUUUUGAAUUUCCUGAAGGAAGGUAGGCCUCGAAAACUGUUUUGUUUUUGGGAUUUUGUUCUAAAAAUAGGUUACUAUUUUAUAAUAAAUGCAAGUGUUUUAAGUUUUUAUUUUUUAAAAUAUUCCGAGCAAUAAUUAGAAACUAACAUUUUGAAAAUUUGUGUAUCAUGAGAAUGUCUUUGUUUUCCCUCAAAAUAAUUGAAAGCUUUUUUGUAUGUUUUCGUAAUGGUAAAGCACUUAUAAUAUGCUUCAGAAAUGGAGAAGAAAAUUAAAAAUAAUAUAAUAAAAUAAGAAUAAUAAUAAUAAAUAAAUAAAAAGGGUGGGGGAGGGCGUUUAUUAAUUGAAGGGAGCGGUAGACUUUGGCUUGAAAUGAACAACGAAAUGAUACCAUGUGAUUGUGAGAGAUAUUGAACAGCGUAUUUUUUUUGGGCUUUUGUGGGAUGAAAUCAUCAUUGCAGAGUGAUGAAGCAAUUUUUUUUUGUGGUGACUACUGACUAGUGGGUCUGAUUAUCCGAGAAUCGAGAGCUCUUUGUAAUUGAAGGGAGCACCAUUAUUUGUUAAUUUUUCAAAAUUUCAUAACCAAAGGGGUACCCACUAUCACCUGGUGCCUGGUGCCCGGUUACGACAAGUAACAAAGUGCUGUCUAAUGGUGGGUUGGUGGGGAGCUUUUCUGCUUUUAGGUGAUGAAUCAUUCGUUCAUUAAGCAUGAUUAGGGUUCGUGAUUUUGGGUAAUUAUGAGGAAGACUUUUAGUAUAUUUCUCCUUCCCAUCACUCUUGUUGGUUCUAGUUUUACUGUUUUAGUGUGUAGUACAAGGUUUCCUUUUUGUUGAACUUUCUUCAGCUGGAUCCCACUUGUAAUGAAAUGAAUGGGAUUGAAACAUUGCCCAUUCCAAUAAUAGAUCUUAUGCUAUGAAAUGUGCCCAUUUUAAUCACUUUUUUUUCAAAGUGAGGAUGACGAAGAUCCAGAGUGGUUUAGAAAUAUAUUUACAAAUCUGCUCCGGAAGUCUAAUAACCUAUUGCCAUCUGUUUUUUUUUUAACUUUUUUGUGUUUGCAUAAAUAUGUUAUUAAACUUGGGAAUCGGAUUCUGAAGAUGAGAAAGAGAGAGCAAAUACGGAUAUAAAUCUUAUGUCUUCAUUCUUCUCACAGGGUGAAAAGCCAUCAUCAUUUACAAAGUUGUUCCCAAAAGGAAAAGGAAAAAGAAAAAGAAAAAACCAGACCUCUCACAAAAUAUCCCGCCAUCAUCUUCCUUGCCCAACCCUAUUAUUAUUCUAGAUUCCCCGUCUAUUCCGAGUCGGAUUCCAUGUUACCCAUUGCCUUCAAGCCCCUCGGUUUCUGCAAAUAAAGAAACACAUGAAUUUUCAUAUAUUUUACAACCAUCCCUAUGAGUCGGCCACACACCUCUUUUUGAGUGUCUAAACUCAGCUUAUAUAAAAAAAAUUUAUCUUUUCCCACCAGAGCUUUCCAAGAAAAAGACACAAGCGAGUGAAAUUAAGGAGGUUGGAGGUACCUUCUUGGAAAUCUUCUUCUCCCUGACCUCAUAUCGCUCUAGAGUCAGAUCGCAUAGCCACGCACCGGGGCUUACUAGCUGUACACACAUCACAUACAACAAAUCAAUUCCAAUAUUGUAAUCAAACUCCUAGUUUACUUCAAUUUGACGAGGCUGUCGUUUGUGAUAUUUUGUUAACAAAAAUGCUUUCAUUAAAAAGGAAUAAAAGUAAAACAAAAUUGUACAUGUUCUUUUGUGCUUUUCACAGUUGCACUGCCAGUGUGGUCCAAGCUGGUGGCGUGGUGUGCACCCCACUGGUAUAAAUUAAAACAUAUAUUUUUAUUAAAUAUUAAAACAUAUAUACAGUUAUUUUAUGAUUACACUUUACACCCCUUCACUUUGAAAAAUAUUACAAAAUUGCAACCGUGGCACGCCCCUCACUUCUAUACCCUCGGUUUUGUCGGUUUGUAUUUGAAAACCUCCUUGCUUCAUUGACAAGUCUAGUGAAAGAGAGUACCCUUUUAAUCGGAACCGUACACCUGGCACACCUAUGUACCGUCCGUCCCGAUCUAAUCCCACUAACCCCCAAUACCACUCACAAAAUCAGGUAACUGAUUUAGAAGCCCACUCCUAUACUGACACGUGUCGUCUCCAUCACCAAUUCAGUACUUAGCCCCUUCUUUCCCACUUACACGUAUACGUACUUGUUAAAUUUCGUCCACCUCCUCAUGAAAAUAAUACCCGAUAUACAAAUUUAUAAAUCAUAAUAGGGUAAAGAAAAAGGGGGAAAAAAUGGAAGAGAAUACCUUAAAAAAGGUGGAGCGAAAUAAAUGCCAGGUGAUCCCACAAAUAAAAUAAAAUCAAACCUAUAUAUAAUUUUUUUCUUCUAAAAAGGGGUAUUGGGAAAUUAAUUAUGAUAAUAAAAAAAAUCAGCAAGAAAAAGAGGAAAAGUCAUGGGGGGCGUAGGCUUACAUUGAGAGUGCGUUGAAUAAACUUGGCCCGUUUCUUGGGUCUCUGGGGGAGUUUGGAGCCCUUAAUGGCCAUGAAAUCUUCUUCCUUCUCUUUGUUGGUGAGGGCAAUAACAAACUUAGGAGGCCAGACGGGCGGCACAGCCUCGCUGCCAGCCGACGAAGACCCUCCUCCUCCCUUCUUGCUGUCGUGGGCCGUCUCCGACGAGGCCGACUUAUUAUCAUUGUUAUGGUGGUGGUUGUUAGCGUUGUGAUGAUUACCUCUCCUGUCCUGGUCUCUUGCCGGAGAAGAGAACCCACGUACGCCGUUGCUUUGCCCUUUCAUGGCACUUGAAUUUUCUGAGUUCCUGAAAACAUUUACACAACAAACACAUAGAUAUCAUCAUAUUCCAUAUAUAUCAUCCUGUAAAAGUGGAAAUAAUUAUUCCCAAAAAAAAUAAAACAAAACAACAGGUAACAAAACGAAAAUGAAAAUUUAAUUUGGUAAAUAUGGAAUUACGAGAAUGGGCUUCUGUGGUGAUCUCGAUUAUGGCUUUAUGCGUAGCGGAGACCGGAAUAUAGGCGGGUUUCGCGUGGAAAAUGGGGUGGUUUGGGGACUGCUAUGUAUUCAUUCUACUUUUCUGAAGGGAGGGUUUUUAUUUUUCAUUUUAUUUUUAUUUGUUUUUUGAUAUGAUAACUGAAAAGGUUGAGAUAUUUGACAAGUGGGAUUGUGACUAACGUGCUCCGGUGGGGGGUGGGUGUACAAGGGAAAAACAGAUGGAGAUUUGUGGCCGUUGGAUUUGUGUUUCCUUUUAUCUUUGGUGAGGGCUACGUGUCGAAAGGCGGAUACGUCACAAGGAUAAAGUGGACCAAGAUGAGGAAUCUGGGUUAAUAUCCAACGGCGCCUAAUGGUGGGUGGAAAAGACAGUUUUCGGUGUACACGUUGAGGAAGAGAUCUGUAACCCGACUAGCCAGACCUAAGGAGAAAAAAAAAAAAUAAAAAAUCAGGUGUGAGUAUCCCCACCAUACCAUGAGGCAUUUAAACAUCAACUCAGAGGUCAAAGGGUUAUACUGUUAGGAGUGCAUCAUUAGGCUAAAGCAACACUUCGUAUCUUAUACGGAUAUGAAUAGUACCAUCCAUCCAAGGUCUAUUCAUAUGAAAACCUUCAACAUCAUCAAGUUAAAACUUUUUACGAAAUUUAUUAUUUCUAUUAAACCAUUAUAAUAAACAGGAAUAAAAUGUCCUACCAUUUAAUUUCUAGAACAGCCAUCUCCACUCACCACCCCAUGAAAAAGUUGGGAUGCCAAUACCCACUUCAAAUAGGAAGAAGCAUGAUUAAUGUUUACUCAAUAAAACCAUCAUCCCCUUCUAAUUUGCCUUUCGAAUAUACAGAUACCAUAAAUGCUUUUUUGUUUAGAAAUAGAAUAAUAAAUUAACCAAUUAAUUCCACGGGUAAAAUCCUCUGCCUAUAUCAUAUCAACCAUCAGUUUAUUAUAUUGAGCUAAUUUUAGUAAAUUCCCUGGCGUUUAGCAAGAUCCAUCUAGUGCACUAAAUGAGAAGGGACCAAAUUUGGAGUGAUGAUUUCAAGAUAUAUUCUUUUUGGGUAUCAAAACUUUCUAAAAUAUUUCAUCACAGAAAUGCUUGUCUUUUGAAGAAAGGUAAUGUUAGAUUUUCCACAAUAAUCCUCAGAAACGCUGCCUAAGGCACAAAUGUGAAUGCUUCAACAAAACCGCAGAAAACCACAAAAUGCGUCAGAGGACACCAUUUGUGGGACUAACUCUAUAGAAUUUUAUAGGAGGGAUUUUAUAAUUGGAUUUGCAGAUGAGUCAAUUAUAUUAAAUGUGAAGCAACCACCAACAACCAAAAGUAAAAAAAGCAAGUGGGAGUUACCUGAGAACGCGUUGUGGAGGCGGAGGCGGAGGUGGCUGAGGCGAAGAUGGGCGGUGGCGGAGAUUAAAAUACCCGUUACUGGUGGCUGCAGCGGUGGUGGUGGGUUGAUUCAGAGAGUCCUUAUCAGCUCUAACCACUCGGCGGUCGACUCGGACCGUGGUCUUGUGAACCGGGGCCGAGUCGUCCUUGACUUGGAUCUUCAUACAACGGAGUCGCUUGCGGUUCCCCCACUGCAACACAAAGUCUGAAGCGGUUGAUCUAGGCUCAGAGCUCGCUCUCAACAACGACCCAUCAUCUGCACCUCCGCUUCUUUCUCUAUGGUUGUUAUUGUUGUUGUUGAUGCUGCUGCUAUUAUUAUUGUUAUUUUUCACUCCCUCCUUUUCCAUAUCCUUCACCCUUUUUGUACACCUGUCCCAUUCCAAAACACAUUCAUGAUUAACUCUAGUUGAGGCCUUCAUUUAACUAUGGUUAAUCUCAUCUCGCAACACUGGAAAAACCGCAAAAGAAAGGGAAAAAAAAAUGAAAAUCGAAAAUUAAGAUUUGUAUUAAGAUUUGGAUACCACUCUUAUCUACAACUCCCCCGAAUUUGAGGGCUGAUUCUACAAAAUGAAAUUGAAAUUGAAAUUUACAUUAUUGGUUCUUCCUGUUUUCUUGUUGGGAAAAAAACGAGAGAAAACGCAGGAAAACGUGUGAGACAAUUGAGGCAUUUUAUCUUCGUUUUCCUUUUCCUUUUCCUUGUUGUUUCCCAGGAAUGAAAGGGCAGACGGGUCGGCGGAUGAGAAUUUUCUUCAACUUGAAAAAGGUAUCAAAGCCGUCACAGAGGAAAAAACUAAGUGUGACUGUUGUCGGGAAAAGAAAAGAAAAGAAAAGAAAAAAAAAAUCCAAGGAAGGGGUUUAAUAAUAGAAGGAAAAUGAGAGAGAGAGUUAUGUUUAGAUGCGUUUGGUUGCUAGGAAAAUGUAGGAAAAUAAAAGAAGGCGGAUUUUUUAAAUUCGGAUUUCUCGCCAUUUGUGACCCGAGAAAUCACAAACCGAUGAACCAGAAACAACAACCUCAAUUGAGCCUAAUACAAUGAUUUGGCUUGACUGAGACGAGCUUUUCAAUAUUUGGAAAUCCGAAAACAACGUAAUCCAAUAUUUUUUUCUCGCCCGUUUUCUUUCCAACCAAACAGAGAGCGAAGACAAGGAUGAGGAGGAUAAGAAAUAAACGAUCAAAUCAGAAAAUUUUCACCCAACAACGCACAACUUGUCACUAAAAUAACAAGUUUUCAUUACCAAAUCCUCAGAAACAAAGGGAACAAGAAGACAAAUUGAAUUGAAGGUAGAAUCGAAAUGCAAACAACACGAACUCGGACAUGGAUUCUCAGAGAGAGAGAAAGAGAGAUUCAUCAAAAUCAUGGCAUUACCAGAAAAUUUCCACGUUGCCGAAAAAUUCUUCAAAAGGCGAUUAUUAAACAACACAGUAGAGCACGCAGAACAAAGCUAAGAAGAAUCGAAGCUCCGUUCAAUGAAGAACGGACCAAAGAACAGAGUAGACCGAUUUGCUAGCAGAGAGCCUCACGAACUGCAAAAAACAGAGAUCACAACCAACAUUAAAUCUUCAGCUAAAUUUCCAACAACAAUUACUUGAAUAUCUGAAUUUUUUUGUUCAGAGGUAAGGAUUUCCUGCCUUCUAUGCAAAUCUAUUACAGAUUUUCGACGAAAUGAUUGCAUUUUCAAAGCUCCAAUCUUCAGUUUUGUUGUCAGAUUUGGAUCUAAUCAAUGAAGAGAGAAACUUCAGUUUCGUACAAACUCCACUCAAAUCCCUCAAAAUGUGUAUCUGUUAAACAAAAUUGAACAAAAAUUAGACUUAAUUCACAUUAUUCGCCACACAAAAUCGAACUCUGUUCUCAAUUACAAACCUCAAAAACUCGAAUUUCUCGAACUGAAUCACUAGUAAUUUUAUCUGCUAAACAAAAACAAAACAAAUUGAGUUAAUUGAUGGAAUUAAUUACACAAAAAACAUUGCAAAACCGAUCCUCUGCGCUCAAUUACAAACCUCUAAACACACACUCUUUCUAAAAAUACCAUUCUUCAAUAGCUCCAGAUCUUCUAACAAGGAAAAACCGUCAACCUUCAGUAUCAAACUCUCAUCAAUUUCCCUUCGAAAAUCCUCCGUUCGGAUUCCGAGAAAAACAUAGAAACAGGUAGUCAGACAGAACUUCUAACACCAGAAAAACUUCGACAUUUCACUAAUGAAUUCUCCUCAUAUUUUACUUCUUUUCAUCCCCUGUUUGGUUCCCGUGAAAGUGAAAGAAACGGAAAGAUAAUCGCAAAGAAAAUGAAGAAAACCAGAGAUGGCUUCUUCUGAUAAAACGAAAUGCUCUCGCUCCCUUUCAAAACCGAUUUUUAUACCUCCGUCCACUUUUCCUUACGGCCCAACCCUCCCCUGGUCGAUUCACCGACCAAUCCUGACCGUCCAUCAUCCAUCCGAGGGCUCUCAUCUCUCCUCAUCUGAACCGUCAGGCACGUCCGUCACUUAAGCCGUUACGACGUGAUAUUAAAUUACUCAGCAUUGUAAUUGUACUUCACGGCGUUAACGGAUAUAACGGAAUCUUCGACGUCGUUAUCUUUCCGUCCAUUAAAUUUUUUUUAUUUCUUUUUAUUUAUUAUUUUGUAGUGCACUGGUGCGGGGGUUCUAGUGAGUUAACCAGGCGCAGUUGUCACUUGCCUGUAGGUGCACUAACCAUGGUUAGUUUAACUAGACUGAUCGGUUACAUGAGCGAAACUCCCUUCUGGCAGACCUCGAGUUGACUGAGAUAUUGAAUCACAGCCGUCCAUAUCUAUCAGUGAUCCUAAAUACUGCCAUUUAUUACAAAUGAUUUUAUGAAUUAUUUCUUCCUUCGGAUCUAGCACUAGAGUUCUCGAUUUUGUGAUUAUUUAUUAUUAAUAUUAUUAUAUUUUAAAAAUGUAAACUCUUAAAUUUCAUAAUUGCAUAUUCGAAAAAUAAGAUAAAUAAAAUAAAAGAUUAUUGGGGAUAACUUUCUUUUUUUACUUUAAUUAGAAAUUGAAAUUUAACCCAAGCCAUUGAUUUUUUUUUACAAAAACAUUAAUUUCAAACGAAUUUUAUUAAAUCAAGUAUCUUUUUUUAUAAUUAAGUUCGUCAUCAUAAAUAAUUCGAUUAAAUAUUAAUUGAUUUUGAGAUGAAAUCCCUAAUGUAAUAAUCGAUAUAUUAAGUCAAUUGUAUUUGUUAAUGUUAUUAAAUUGCUUAAAUGAUAAUGAUACUGAGAAAUGUUCAUCACCCUUAGUAUGAUCCUUCUAGAUCGUUUAGCACGAUUCAUGUUUUGUGGAGUCACCACACAGCAUUACCCGUCCACUUCAUGGUAUAAACCGAUAUAAACUUUCGAUCACUAUGCAUUCUUGCAUGUCAAAUAUUAAAUAUAGCAGACAUUAAAUACAUCGAAUGUCACACCAUUAUUGAACAUUAAACUUCAAGGGUCAAGCUCGACCAUCAUUGGUAUUAAAAACGGUAAAAUCACAAUCAAUGACACAAUAAAAACAUUGAAAAAAUGUUACUUUUGGGUAAAAGUAAAAAUAAUCAUUAUUCACCAAAAUGAAGAUAUACUCUUUUUUUUUUUUUUUUUUUGUGAUCUAUUGCUCAAAUCUUCGUCACCUAACUUAAAUUUAAAAGGGGUGUGCCCGAAAAACUCACCGGAACAUUCUUCAUUCAAACAUUCUUUUUUGGAGGUGCAAUUGACAAUUAUGUCAAGCGGAGACCAACUCUGUACUAACAUUGUUAGUUGUGCACCAACAAAUAUCGUAUGCCAUUUUUCACCUAAGAUAAUCAAAAUUGUCCUUCAUAUCAAAUAUCAUAAAAUAAUUGAUCAUACAAGAUAAUUAAAGUUUAAUCAAAGAGUAACUUUAAAACAUGAGUUCUUUUAAUAAAAUUAUUAAAUAAAAAAAAUUGAAGCUGAUAGGUUUUUACUUUUUAUUUAUUUUUAUUUUUAUUUUUAAAAAGUUAAGCAAAGUUUGUGCCGUGUAAUACAAUAGUUCUUCAUUUUGUAAAAUUAUUAUUAUUAAAUUUGAAUAAAUAAAUAAAUUUUAUCACUACAUAGUAAAAAUAUGAUGAAGGAAAGGAAAUAAGUUUUGUAUAGCAUUGAACUAUUAGUAUUCAAAUUUAGAUUUUUUAAUUUCACAAAGGCCAAAAAAGCAUUUAUAACAUAAUUUAGAGUGGUGCAUGAUUGUUAGUACGAGAAAUGUGUGUGAAAUUACGGUUUAAUAAUAUCGAAAUUUGACUUUAUCAUUUUCAAUCUCCUUAAAUUAUAACCGAUAAAAAUCAAAUAAAACCGAUAUUAUAAGACUUUCUUUUUUUAUAAUUUGUAAUUGUUUGGUAGUAGAUGAGUUUCUAUUAUUUAUUAUAUUUUACACAUUUUAUUAAAGUAGAUUUUUUUAUUAAACUAUUUUUUAAAUGUAUUUAUUAUGUUUUUGGUAAAAAAAAUUAUUGAAUUUUGGACUUCAAAUCUAAGUUGAUUUUAAUUAUUUGAAAAUAAAUAAGUUUAAGUUCUAAUUAAAUAAUGCCAACUCCAUUAUUUAAAUCAAAAUAAAGCAAUUUUAAACAAAUUUCAUUUGAUUUAUUAAUUUCGGCACAAACAUAAAUUAAUUUUUCAAUAGUUGAUUAUAUUGCGCAGGGGUGUACGAGUGCUUGUGAUGGACUUGAGCACAUGGGAACACAGGAUCUGAAGAAAACAAAUAAUGAGUGCUUUAACGGAGUGAACUGAAGACAGCGAGACGCCCACGUUUUUCUGCCC